UUAAACUCUAUUCUGAACAGAGCAUGAAGGGAUUCACUUAUCUAAUUAUUGCUUUUAUGCUUUAACUUCGCUUGAUUUCAUCUUUUCCGUCACCUUUAUUAAAGUUGUAUAUGUUGGAGUGUUAGGUUCAUCAUAAGGAUCAUAUUAUGGCUAAGGAAGGAGCACAGUUUAUCAGCUGCACUGAAGUGUAGCAGAGAAUUUGGAUUCAAGACUGAUGCAAGGCUGUUGCUGUGUAAUUGUAUGCCAUGCUUGCUAGUGCACUCUAAUAGAUUGCUGAGCUGGCACCGGAUGUUUUUAGCUAAUAUUAGUAAUUAGUCUAGAGUGUUCGAUUUAUUCUAUAAAUUGCUCAUUUGAGCUUAGAACCUUUAAAGUGUAUCACACGAUUCUGUUACUUCUAAUACAGAUUUUCUCUAUUCCUUUUUCUAUCACUUUCUCUUCCAUUUUCAUGAUCCCCAAACACCAUCAAUCCAUGAUUUCUAGAGUAUUAGCCGUCAAUCCAUGAUUUUCUUGUUAUUUUUUCUUUCACUUUCUCUUCCAUUUUCCCACUCCCCAAACACCACCAAUCCCUGAUUUUUUGAGUAUUAGCUGUCUAUUUCUACAAACAUAGAAGUGCUGUUUGUUUGUCCAAUUACUUUCGAGAAACAAAACUCUCUGUCCUGUGGUCUUUUCGUUUAUUGACUUGUGAGUAAAUAAGAUAUUGGGCCAAUGGACUCAACGUGACAAGUUCUUGAAUUGAAUGGCUCCUCUUUUCUCCAUAAAUCUUUGCUUAAUUUUUUUGCUCCCUCAACUUUUUGGGCCUUUUGCGUUAAAAUUCUUUUUUUGAUACAUUAUGCAAAAAUUAUGAUGAAAAUGAGUUACCUUAGAAGAUCAACAAAUUUUUAUUACAUGACAAGACAAUUAUACUUAGAUUACUCUUAUUUAGUUGAAUUAUAUGUAAUAAAAUUAGUUUAACAAAAUCUAAUCCGUAAAUAUUCCUUAUCACAUGAUUAACGUACUUAAAAAUCUUAACGGAUUGGUCGCUUGUUUUACAAUUCUUUUAUAUAUCUUUGAAACUUUCAGCUUCCUAACACAUCAUUUGUUAGAGUGCAAUUUAUGCACUAGUUUUGCAUUGUUUACUUCCCUUAAUAUCGAUGUUUUGCACUUAAUAAUAUUGAUUUACUUGUGUUUUACUUUUGUAUAAUGAUGGCAAUGGGGUGGGGUGGGGGUGGGGAGGCCUACCCCAUUCCCCACCCCGUUAGAAAUUUUUACCUCUAUUCCCCACCCCAUUCCCCAAUAAAUUUAGUGGGGUGGGGAUGGGGAAUCCCCAUGUGGGGAAUGCUUUCCCCAUUCCCACCCCAUUCCCCAUUUAUCUAUUUUAUAUUAUGUAUAAAUAUAUGAUUUCAGUAAGUUAAAAAUUAGAGACUUAAAAUAAAAUCAUCACCAUAUUAUAAAGUAUUUAAAUUCUUUUUAAAAAAAUAUCUAAAAGUUUGAACCAAUAUCUUAAAAUAAUAUUAAAAGUAAAAAAAUAUUUAAAGAGCGUAGCACUUUAAAAGAGAAAAGAAAAUAUAACAAUGUUUCAUAGUUGAAAAAUAUUAUAGGGUUUUUUUUCAUUCAUAUCCUGUUUAUAUUGCAUAAAAAUUAAAAAAAUAUUAAUUGACAUUAUAAUUCAUAAAAUAAAAAUUAUUAAAUAAGAAUUAAAAAUAUAUUUAUAUAUAAUGGGGAUUGGGGUGGGGGUGGGGGUGGGGUGGGGAGUGCAAAACCAAACCCCACCCCAUUAAGAAUUUGGGGAUUAUUUUUCCCCCACUCACCACCCCAUUCCCCAUAAAUUAUUCAAAAUUUUAUCCAUUUGGGGUGGGGCUCCAUGGGGCCCCAAACCCGUGGAGGAUUUUGCCAUCCCUACUUUUGUAGGUGCAAUUCUAUUGAUUGGUGAUAAAAUUGAGCUAUAAGAUUAUGUUUAAGGAUGAUUGUUCUCUUAGAGAAAUUAUGAGCGUCAGAAGAACUCUGUUGAUAAGGCGUGGGCGCGUACUGUCAACUGCGGACCUGCAGUUUUUAGUUUAACGUGUUUUGUAUUUUUGGUUAUUUUUGUAAUUACGAAUUUAAUAUUUCAGAUAUUAGGAUUUUAUUUUAAAUAGAAUUAUAAAAGAGAAGAGAGAGAGAGUAUUUAAGGGAGGAAUCUAUUGUGAAAAAGGGGGAUUUUUGGAUUGGAGAAAAAGAAAGAAACCCUAGAUCUAAUUUUUCUCUUCUCUCUAUGAGGAACUAAACCCAUUUUUCUGGUUGAAGGUUAAUGAAGCUUUGAUUCAUCACUACUGUGAGACCUUUCUUGUGCUUUAAUUGUUUUAUUGCUUUUUAGAUAUUUGUUUAUUCUCUGAAUUAUUUUCAUGAUUAUGUUUGUUAAUUAGGUAAUUGGCCACUAUUUAAUUAUCAACUUAAUCUAUUGUCAAUUAAAGGAUUCAUCGUAUGAAGAAUUUAAUGUUUGUGACAAAUAACAUAGCAGAGAGUUGUGUUGUGAGAAUAAAAAAUCUAAUUUAAAUGAAUCAUCAUAUGUGUUGAUUAGGAUUUGGGUCUCUCUGAUUUUUCAGGCUGUCAAUUGAUUAAAUCCUAUGAUCGUAUCUAGGGUUGUCUAUUGAUUAGGGAAAUAACCAACGGUCGUACCUUGGUUAUCGACUAGUUAAGGAGAGAUUGGCUAUUAGAGGGUCUCAGUAGCUAUAAUCGGUCUAUUCAUGAGUAAUAAUAAUCUAUAUUUGAAUCAAUGAUCAGUAGUCGAAUCAAGCUGAGUUAAUUCCUUCAACCAGAGCUUUCUCCAAUUUGAAUUACAACUUUAAUUUGCAUUCUUGUUAUUUUUAAUUUGAUUUUUAUUAUUGUCAACAAUUCCCCCAUUUUACGUUUUACGUUUCAAAAGGAUUUAAAUAAUUACCGAUCUCUGUGGACACGACCCUGCUCAAUCACUAUACACAAUUUAUUUAGAGUAGGAAUUUAUUUUUGUUGGCUUCGACACCCAUCAAAUUUUGGCGCCGUUGCCGGGGAUUGGUGUCAUUUAUUUAAUCAUUUUUACGUUUUACUUGGUGUAUGGUUCGUUCUUCUCGUACAGGUACACUUUCAUUUGAUCCUGAAAUUGAGAAGACAGCUCGCCAGCUGAGACAAUAGACUAAGCGAGCUAAGCAAGGAUCCUCGUCGCCUUUGCUUUUUGAAACAGAUACGGUGCCUAAUUUAGUUGAAUCAUCUAGCGAUUCGGAAGAACAAGUGAUGGAUAGACCUGCACCUGUAGAAAGAACUCUUAGAGAGUUAGUUGAACCAGACUUGAAUCAGCAACCACUCUGCAUUCAAUAUGUAGAUUUGGAGGUAAAUUUUGAAUUAAAGUCUGGUCUUAUUCAUUUAUUACCCAAGUUUCAUGGUUUUGCAGGUGAAGAUCCUCAUAAACAUCUUAAGGAGUUUCAUGUUGUGUGUUCAAGUAUGAGACCACAAGGCAUGACUGAAGAGCAGAUUAAGCUGCGUGCUUUUCCGUUCUCUGUAGAUGGGCUAGCUAAAGACUGGUUGUAUUACUUGCCUCCUGGAUCGAUUACAACAUGGAAUGAUUUGAAGAAGCAGUUCCUCGAGAAGUACUUUCCUGCUUCAAGAGCUGCUAACAUCAGAAAAGACAUUUGUGGGAUCAGACAACUUCCUGGGGAGACUUUGUAUGAGUAUUGGGAGCGAUUCAAAUAAUUGUGUGCCAACUGUCCUCAACAUCAGAUUUCUGAUCAACUUCUUAUUCAAUAUUUUUACGAAGGACUGUCAUUGAUGGAUAGGAGUAUGAUAGAUGCUGCUAGUGGAGGCGUGUUGGUGAACAAGACCCCUACUCAAGCAAGGGAGUUGAUAUCAAAUAUGGCUGCCAAUACACAACAAUUUGGCAACAAGCAAGAUUUCACUUCAAGAACGGUGAAUGAGGUAAAUAUUUCUUCUGUUGAACAACGUUUAGAUAAACUUACUUCUCUUGUGGAAAAGUUUGUUGUAGGUAAUGUGCAACAGGUGAAGACUUGUGGCAUUUGUUACAAUAUGGGUCAUUCAACCGAUAUGUGUCCUACACUUCAAGAAGAACCCGUUGAACAAGCCAAUGCAGUUGGAGGAUUUCCAGGUAUGCCUCAGAGGAGGUAUGAUCCUUAUGCACAAACAUACAAUCCGGGAUGGAAGGAUCAUCCUAACUUCAGCUAUGGAGUUAGGCCGUCAAGAUUCCCACAACAGUAUCCACCAAGACAACCAACACCUCCACAGUCAAACUCCAAGUCAGGUGUAUCUCUUGAAGAAAUUGUUAAAUCACUUGCGACUAACACUCAACAAUUUCAGCAGGCAACUACAGCAAGCAUUCAGAACUUGGAGAACCAAAUGAGUCAAUUGGCGACUACAGUGAGCCGUCUGGAGUCUCAAGUAUUAGAAAGAUUGCCUUCACAAUCUGAGGUGAAUCCAAAGCAAAACGUUAGUGCUGUCAUCCUUAGAAGUGGGAAGGAGUUGCAAGAGCCUAGUAAGAAAGUGACAAAGCAUGUAGAAGAUGAGCUUGAGAAGAAUGAAUUGAUGCCUAAAUCUCAAGAUGCGCAACCCACCAAAGCGAAACCCGUACCUAUUGUGAUACCUCCUCCUUUUCCAAGCCGGUUUACAAAAUCCAAGAAGGAGGAACAAGAGAAAGACAUCCUUGAGACAUUUCGCAAGGUUGAGGUAAAUAUUCCUUUAUUAGAUGCUAUAAAACAAAUACCUCGAUAUGCUAAAGUCCUUAAGGAACUGUGCACCUCCAAAAGAAAAUUAAGAGGAGAUGAAAAAGUUCAUAUGGGGGAGAAUGUUUCAGCAGUUCUCCAAAAGAAACUACCUCCUAAGUGCAAGGAUCCAGGUAUGUUUACUAUCCCUUGUAAAAUUGGUAGUGUUAGAGUUGAAAAGGCUAUGUUAGAUCCAGGAGCUUCUAUUAAUGUCAUGCCUCGUUCCAUUUAUUCAUCUUUGAAUUUUGGUCCAUUAAAAGAAACUGGCGUGAUAAUUCAACUAGCUGAUAGGUCUAAUGCAUAUCCUGAUGGGGUAUUAGAAGAUGUCUUAGUACAAGUUAAUGAGUUGGUUUUUCCUGCUGAUUUUUAUGUACUUGAUAUGGAAGAUGAUAACUCCUCUAAUUCUGUCCCAAUUUUGCUAGGAAGACCUUUUCUUAAGACUGUUAGGACUAAAAUGGAUGUACAUAAAGAGACUCUCACUAUGGAGUUUGAUGGAGAGGUUAUAGAAUUCAAUAUGAAUGAUACCAUGAAAUAUCCUAGUGAGGAACAUUCGGUAUUUUCUAUGGAUGUUAUUAACCCUAUAGCGCAGGAAAUUUUCUACAAGGAAAAGACGAAGACAUUUCAUGAUAGAAUGAUUUUGAGAAAGGAGUUCUCUGUUGGUCAAAAAGUUCUUCUUUUUCAUUCUAAGCUUAAACUUUUUCCGGGUAAAUUACGUUCUUGCUGGGUUGGACCUUUUAUUGUUACUAAUGUUUUUCCUCAUGGUGCAGUUGAGAUUCGGAGUCCGACCUCUGACAAAGUUUUUAAGGUUAAUGGUCAUCGCUUAAAACCUUUUUAUGAAGGUUUUUCGGUGAAUAUUGUGGAGGAUGUGGCUCUCGAGAGUCCCAAUUAUGGAGAUUGAUGCAUAAAUGUGUCUAGCCAAAGACAUAAAACAAAGGCGCUUUUUGGGAGGCAACCCAAUUGAUUUAUUUAUUUUGGUUUUUGUCAUAUCUUCUUUUAAUUUUGAUUCAGAUUUUUUUUUUUAAAUAAUGUGUUUGCUUAUUUUGGUCAGAAGAAAAUUUUUGAUAAGGCGUGCCCACAUCUUAACUAAUAAGUACUUCUAUGAUUUUUAAAAUAAAAUGGUUUUAAGGCAUGCCCACGUGCUUAUUAGAAAAGUACUUCUGAAAUUUUUAGUGCCUCAAGUGAUUCAUCACUAAAAAAAAGAAAAAAUUAAAUUAAAAAAAUUAUUUUAUUUUAUUUUUUUUUCUAUUUAUUUAUUUUAAAAAAACAAAAAAAGAGAUUUUCUUUUGUUCUUUCUUUUAUAUAUUUAUUUAUUAAAAAAAAUUUCAAAAAUCACUGUUCAAAAAAAAAAAAAAUUUUUUUUCACUGUUCACAAAAUCCCUAAUUUUCCAGAACUUGUUUUCUUCUCCAACCGCUUGCAGCACACCAGCAGCACCUGCGCGCGCAGCACCAGCAUCCCGUGUCUCGCAGCCCAGCAGCGCGCAACGCAGCGCAGCACCCGCAAAGCAAGCCUCAACAGCGUGCAGCGCGAACCAGCCCCAGCCCGAGCACGCAACGCAACAAGCGUCACCAGCGCGCGCACCAGCAAUCCCCCAGCGCGCAGCAACAGCCGCAGCACGCUGAUCCAGCGUCACCAGUUCGCAGCAUCAGUCCCAUCCACGCGCAACUGAACCAGCAGCUGUGUACUCGCAAGCUCCAGUCGAGCAGCAAUAGUCCGCAACCAGCCUACGACCUGCAUUCCAGCCACAUGAAUCGAAAUCCGUGACAAGAUGAAGCAGAAUUUGGCCGCAUACUUCAAGAGUGUGGGAUUUAUCCCACCAUUCCCGCCAAGCCCAUAGACGUUAUGUGGAUCAAAGCUCACAAUUCAGGGAAGUUUUUGCCUUUAAUCUUUUAUCCUUACGCUUUAAUUUUUAUGUGAGCUUUGAUUAUCUUACAUUGGGGACAAUGUAAGUUAUUGGUGUGGGGGAGGGAUUUUUGCAUUAUUGAUGUCUGGAAUUAUUAUUUUCACUCUACUUAUUUUUUUUUCACUCUACUCAUCCUUAAAUGAUUUUGGAGUUAGUAUGCUUCAUAUAUUAUUAAUUUUCUUUUCAUUUCUCUCUCACUACUCUUUUCCCAUCUAUCUCAAAUUAUUUACAUCUAUUUUUUUUUUCUUUCUAUCAUACUCUUUCAUCACUCACAUUUUUUUUUACCUUUCCUUUUAUAUCUCACUCAUACCUUCUUCUCAUUGUACACCACUAUUUAUGGUUAAUUCAUUUAAAGAGUGUACAUGAUUUGAUGGCAAAUUUACCAACUUUGUGAGGAUUUGAGCCUAUGAGCAACCACUUUGCUCUAAUUAUUUUUUGUUAUGUGAAUAUCAAUCCUAGUUUGUUUAUUCUAGAACUUGCUUUGAUAUGCAUGUUGAAGCCACAUUACGGGAUUUUAUGCAUUAAAAUGAUAAGGGCAAACCAUUUACCAUUUUUCUAUUCUCGCAUUUUCCUUUUUCUCUACUCGAAGACCUUUAUUUGCUACCUUUGUUUGAGCCUUAACAAUUACCCAUCCAUUUUUCUUCUUUUUUGAGCCUCAAUUUAAGGAUAUUUUUGGACUCAUUGUGUGGAUAUAUUUUGUUGCUUUUUCUACCUUGUAGUAAAGCUUCUCAAUUAGAUCAACAAGCAUUAUGCUUGAAUUAAAUUGUGCAAGGUUCGUUUCUUUUGUUUGAUUCAAAAACAAAAACAAAAACAAAAACAAAAACAAAAAAGAAAAAAAAAAGAAAAAUCACAAAAAAAAAGAGAAAAAAAAAGGAAAAAAAAUGUUUACAUUCUUGGUGACUUGAGUAGAAAUAAGCAUUUUGAUAUCAUAAGUUCAUUCAAUGAGUUCAUUCUUCUCGUUUUGAUCUCUUUUUCUUUCAUAAACCUUUCUUUUUCAUUUAACCCAUUUAACCCCAUUACAACCCUUUUAAGACCCUUAGAUUUUUGCAUUUUAUUCAUGUUUUGUGGAUUGAGAUGUGAUAUAUGAGCAAGCUUAUGGUAAUAGCAUUCUUUGAUUUGAUUUGAGUGGAUAAAUGACAUCCUAAACACUUUCAGUGCAUGGAGUGAAGUUAUUGAGAGGGCUAUUACAUCUUGUUGCACUUGAAUUUUGAAUGGAUCUUCUUGGUGGUUGAAUGUUCUUAUUCUAUCUUAUGAAAUUCUAUGCUUUAAAAUCCUUGUCUCUCGAACGUUGAACGACUUAAUUUCUUGAGGUAUGCUUGCUUAAAAUUGUUUUUGGAUGAGUUGAGAUGAGAAUUGAGUGGAGAUUUGGGAUUAAUCUUGAGUUAUAUGCUUGAGGACAAGCAUCAUCUUAACGUGACAAGUUCUUGAAUUGAAUGGCUCCUCUUUUCUCCAUAAAUCUUUGCUUAAUUUUUUUGCUCCCUCAACUUUUUGGGCCUUUUGCGUUAAAAUUCUUUUUUUGAUACAUUAUGCAAAAAUUAUGAUGAAAAUGAGUUACCUUAGAAGAUCAACAAAUUUUUAUUACAUGACAAGACAAUUAUACUUAGAUUACUCUUAUUUAGUUGAAUUAUAUGUAAUAAAAUUAGUUUAACAAAAUCUAAUCCGUAAAUAUUCCUUAUCACAUGAUUAACGUACUUAAAAAUCUUAACGGAUUGGUCGCUUGUUUUACAAUUCUUUUAUAUAUCUUUGAAACUUUCAGCUUCCUAACACAUCAUUUGUUAGAGUGCAAUUUAUGCACUAGUUUUGCAUUGUUUACUUCCCUUAAUAUCGAUGUUUUGCACUUAAUAAUAUUGAUUUACUUGUGUUUUACUUUUGUAUAAUGAUGGCAAUGGGGUGGGGUGGGGGUGGGGAGGCCUACCCCAUUCCCCACCCCGUUAGAAAUUUUUACCUCUAUUCCCCACCCCAUUCCCCAAUAAAUUUAGUGGGGUGGGGAUGGGGAAUCCCCAUGUGGGGAAUGCUUUCCCCAUUCCCACCCCAUUCCCCAUUUAUCUAUUUUAUAUUAUGUAUAAAUAUAUGAUUUCAGUAAGUUAAAAAUUAGAGACUUAAAAUAAAAUCAUCACCAUAUUAUAAAGUAUUUAAAUUCUUUUUAAAAAAAUAUCUAAAAGUUUGAACCAAUAUCUUAAAAUAAUAUUAAAAGUAAAAAAAUAUUUAAAGAGCGUAGCACUUUAAAAGAGAAAAGAAAAUAUAACAAUGUUUCAUAGUUGAAAAAUAUUAUAGGGUUUUUUUUCAUUCAUAUCCUGUUUAUAUUGCAUAAAAAUUAAAAAAAUAUUAAUUGACAUUAUAAUUCAUAAAAUAAAAAUUAUUAAAUAAGAAUUAAAAAUAUAUUUAUAUAUAAUGGGGAUUGGGGUGGGGGUGGGGGUGGGGUGGGGAGUGCAAAACCAAACCCCACCCCAUUAAGAAUUUGGGGAUUAUUUUUCCCCCACUCACCACCCCAUUCCCCAUAAAUUAUUCAAAAUUUUAUCCAUUUGGGGUGGGGCUCCAUGGGGCCCCAAACCCGUGGAGGAUUUUGCCAUCCCUACUUUUGUAGGUGCAAUUCUAUUGAUUGGUGAUAAAAUUGAGCUAUAAGAUUAUGUUUAAGGAUGAUUGUUCUCUUAGAGAAAUUAUGAGCGUCAGAAGAACUCUGUUGAUAAGGCGUGGGCGCGUACUGUCAACUGCGGACCUGCAGUUUUUAGUUUAACGUGUUUUGUAUUUUUGGUUAUUUUUGUAAUUACGAAUUUAAUAUUUCAGAUAUUAGGAUUUUAUUUUAAAUAGAAUUAUAAAAGAGAAGAGAGAGAGAGUAUUUAAGGGAGGAAUCUAUUGUGAAAAAGGGGGAUUUUUGGAUUGGAGAAAAAGAAAGAAACCCUAGAUCUAAUUUUUCUCUUCUCUCUAUGAGGAACUAAACCCAUUUUUCUGGUUGAAGGUUAAUGAAGCUUUGAUUCAUCACUACUGUGAGACCUUUCUUGUGCUUUAAUUGUUUUAUUGCUUUUUAGAUAUUUGUUUAUUCUCUGAAUUAUUUUCAUGAUUAUGUUUGUUAAUUAGGUAAUUGGCCACUAUUUAAUUAUCAACUUAAUCUAUUGUCAAUUAAAGGAUUCAUCGUAUGAAGAAUUUAAUGUUUGUGACAAAUAACAUAGCAGAGAGUUGUGUUGUGAGAAUAAAAAAUCUAAUUUAAAUGAAUCAUAGCAGAGAGUUGUGUUCAAGUAGUUCUUCUGCGAAAGCCAAAUUUUCCUGUUAUUUAUGUCUCGGUGAAUUUGCAUCCCUAAAAUCUUGUUUGCUGGUCCCAAGUCCUUCAUUUCAAACUCCCUAGCCAACUGUGCCUUUAAUUCUUGGAUUCGAUCUUUAUUGGGACCUGCUACCAACAUGUCAUCUGUUGAGUGUUAGAAAAUGCAUAUUUAUAAAGGAGAAAACCGUCAUUUUACAUUUCAAGUCUUAUUAACAACCCUUACUUUUAUGUAUUUAACCUUCUUGUGAUUUAAUUACAUGUGUUUUAUUUUAAUUAAGUAUUUUAUGUAUUUUAGGGGCAUUAUAGUCAUUUCACAAUAAAGGAGAGAUCAGACGGAAAAACGGACAUCACUUUUGAACUCAGGACGGUCGAAAAUCUUAGGAGGAGCAUAAAAGGAAAAAUGGCCCUAUUCAUAUGUACGGUACUAUUCACGUGUACGGUACUAACUACGUUACUGUUCACAACACUGUUCACAUAGACGAAUCGAUGACGUGGCAUUGACCGAUGAUGUGGCAUUGACUGAUGAGAUGUCACGAUCUUGUUGGGCUAAAAUUCUUAUGUACUGUUGAUGGUGACGUGGCAGCAUAUCAGUGGAUGAAAAAUCUCGCGUACGGUACAUGCAUCACACAGGAUUAUUUUCAACCAAACCGCGUUACUGUUCAUCCGAGUCAAACCGCGUUACUGUUCAUCCGAGUCAAACCGUGUUACUGUUCAUCCACGUGGUCAAACCGUGGACUGUUGACUGAUGACGUGGCGCAAUCCUGAGCGUCCAAACUGUUUUUAAUCCGAUGGCCAUGAUUUACUCCAUGUAUCUAUAAAAAGGGGGCCUCCCCCCCCUAAUUUGAUAGCUCUGAAUCUAUUUUUUGGAUCCAUUUUCUGUAAUUCCCUCUCCAUCUUGUAUUUUCUUUGUAUUUUAAUAAAUUUUCAUUUUGCCCCUAGUUCAAUUAUGAGGAGCUAAUUUCCUUUCAAGCUUGGGUUGAAGGUGAAGUCUCAACAUGUGUCAUGGGCUUUAUUUGGUAAAUUUAUUUCCUUUUCCCCUCUAGUUUUUGUGGAUGAUUUGACUUAUCGUCGACAAAUAAUACUGAUCUUGUCUAGAUACCGCCUUGGUUACACCGGCUCUCUAGUAUAAGGUUAUUAUUAUUUGGCACGAUAAGCCCUUAGCACCAUAUUGAUUAGAGCGUGGUUCAUGAGGUGUGGAUUCCCCCCUCAUGAUUUAAUUGGCAUUAAUAAGGAAUAUUUAGCCCAUGAUGCAUGUUGAUACGGAUCCAGAUACCCAAGUACGUCAUUUCAAUAGAAUUCUCUUCAAUUUAUUCUCGCUAUUUCAAUUCCAAUUUUAGAAUUUAUUCUCGCCAUUUUAAUUUAAGUUUUAGUAUAUUCCAAAUCAUUUCCACCACAAAUCCAAUCACCCAUUUACAGAAUUAAUUCUACACAUAAUUAAAAUCCACCUCCUCGUGGGAUCGACACUCGUCACCAUUGAUCUACACUACAAUAGAUUCGUGCGCUUGCGAGUACAUUAAAAUUUGCACAACAUCAUCCACAUACAACAGUAAAAUAAUGAAAUCAUUAUCUUCAAACCUCUUGUAAUAUGCACAAUGGUCUGAACUGAGUCUGUUGUAUCCAAGGCUCAUGAUGAAGGAAUCAAAUCUCUUAUACCAACACCUCGGCGCCUGUUUAAGACCAUAUAGAGAUUUGUUCAACCUGCAAACCAAGUUCUCCUUUCCUGUUUCUGCAAAACCUUCUGGUUGGAGCAUAUAUAUUUCUUCUUCAAGUUCUCCAUGAAGAAAUGCAGUUUUCACAUCUAACUGCUCUAGAUGUAAGUCAAAUGUAGCACACAUCGCCAAGACUACUCUGACUGUUGUGAGUCGAACCACCGGAGAAAAUAUCUCGUUGAAGUCAAUACCUUCUUUCUGAGUAUAUCCUUUCACCACCAAUCUCGCACGAUACCGCUUCACUUGGUCAUUGCCAUCACGCUUGAUCUUGUAGACCCAUUUGUUUCCAAUGGCUUUUCUUCCACGUGGUAGUGGUACAAGUUCCCAUGUCUUAUUCUUAUGUAGAGCUUCAAUUUCUUCCUGCAUUGUUGUUAUCCACAAAGCAAUAUUUGAGCUUUCUAAAGCUUUAUGGAAAGUUGAUGGCUCUCCAUCCUCCGUUAGAAGACAAUAUGCAACAUUAAUUUCUGUGACAUACUCCGAGUGCCACACCGGCGGUCGUCUCUCACGAGUUGACCGUCGAACUUCUGGAGCCUCAGACCCGACUGGUUCUUGUUCCUCGUGCUCUGGUGCUGCUUGAGAAGAAUCUGAAUCUUCUAGAUUAUUUUCCACAUAUACUGGCACGGUCUCUGACUUUUCUUUUGUAGUGCCAUCAUCCUCAUCUCUCAUUUGCAGUUGAUCUUCUACAAAGAUAACAUCUCUGCUGAUGACGAUCUUGUGGGCAGUGGGGUCCCACAGACGAUACCCCUUUACUCGAUCAGCAUACCCCAAGAAAAUACAUAUUCUAGAUUUUGGAUCCAGCUUUGUUCUUUCUUGGGCAUUGUACAUCACGUACACAGGACAUCCAAAUGCAUGUAGGUAGGAAUAAUCAGCUGGCUUUCCAGUCCAUAUCUCCAUCGCUGUCUUCAGCCCAAUAGCUGUAGAUGGCGAUCGAUUUACUAUAUAACAGGCAGUUUUGGCUGCUUCUGCCCAGAAUGAAUUGGGUAGACUAGCAGUCUUCAACAUAGCUCUUAUUCUUUCUAUAAGAGUUUUGUUCAUCCGCUCUGCUACUCCAUUUUGUUGAGGAGUGUAUGCUACCGUGAACUGCCUUUGAAUACCUUCUUGCUUACAGAAAGCAAGAAACUCACAGUCUGUAUACUCUCCACCAUUAUCCGUCCUCAAGCACUUGAUCUUUUUACCAGAUUCAAGUUCCACCUGCGCUUUGUAUUCUUUAAAUACUGGAAAUACAUCUGACUUUUUCUUAAUUGGAUACACCCAACAUCUUCUGGAAUAAUCAUCAAUGAAAGUCACCAUGUACUUUGCACCUCCCAUAGAUAUAUCCAGUGAUUCCCAAACAUCAGAAUGAAUCAAGUCUAAAAUGCAUUUACUUCUAGCAAUAGAUCUACUGAAUUUUAAUCUAUGCUGCUUACUUGUAACACAAUGCUCGCAAAAUGGUAAACUUACCGAUUUGAGCCCCGGAAGCAAUUUUCGCUCAGAGAGAAUCUUCAAACCUUGUUCUGACAUGUGGCCAAGUUUGAGAUGCCACAUCAUCGUUGAUUCUUCUCCAUUUGAUGCGACACAUGCAUCAGCCUCCUGUAGUGUUUCUCCUUUAAGCAUGAAUAAAUUAGCACCGAUCUUUUCUGCCUUCAUCAAUACAAGCGCACCUUUAACGAUCUUUAUAAUUCCAUUCUCCACAUGAGUUUUGUACCCAUGACUAUCCAUUUGUCCCAAAGACAAUAGAUUUUUCUUCAGGCCGUUGACAUGUCGUACUUCUCCAAUUGUGCGAAUUGUACCAUCAAACAUUUUUAUUUUGAUAGUACCAAUACCAGCGAUCUCUAAGGCAUGAUCAUUACCCAUAUAUACAGAUCCUCCUGAGAUAGGUUCAUAUGUGUGGAACCAUUCUCUCCGAGAGGUCAUGUGCCAGGUAGCUCCUGAGUCUAUAAGCCAGACAUCAGACAGUCAUUUUCUGCCUUCUGAAACAGUUGUUGCCUCGCUAUAGAGAAUUUCGCCAUCAUCUAAGGUACUUGCCACACACCCUUGAGCAUUUGAUGACUCAGGUUCUUUACCCUCUCUUCUCUUCUGGUUACUCCAACACUCUUUCUUGACGUGCCCUUUCUUGCCACAUUUGUAGUAUUUAACAUUCUUCUUACUUCUGGAUUUUGAUCUACCCUGAUUUUGACUCCCACUGGGGCCACGUUCCGUUAAUCUCCCUCUCGUCACCGAUAGCGCUUCUGCUUGCUGCGAACUUGCUUGUCUGUUUUCCUUAUUUUUUCGCCUGCUCUCCUCAUUUAAUACGGAGGCUGCAACAUCGUCGAAAACUAGACUCUCCACUGGAUUGUUGUUCGUCAGGUUGAUGAUGAGUUGAUCAUACGAAUCUGGUAGACUUUGAAGUAGAAGCUUUGCACGUUCAUUUUCCUCUAUAUUAUGACCCAACGUUGUGAGUUGUGAAAAUAGAGUCUUCAAUGUGUUGAUGUGGUCGGUCACCAUUGUAGAUUCCGCCAUUCGAAGAGUAUAGAGUUUUCUCUUCAAGAAGAUUUUGUUGUGUAGUGACUUGGCCUCAUACAAUUUUGUGAGAGUAUCCCAUAUUUCCUUUGCCGUAUUUUUCUCUGCCAUACUGGAUAAUACUCCAUCCGCAAGUGCCAAGUGUAGAUCAGAAAUGGCGUUGCCGUCUACCUCGUUCCACUUGUCAUCAGUUAUUUCCAUAGGCCUUUCUCCAAUUGCUGCCAAGCAAUUAUUUUUCCUCAAUACAGCUUUCAUCUUCAUUUUCCACAACGAAAAAUUAUUUCCGUUAAAUUUCUCAAUUUCAUACUUUGCCGCCAUUUUGUUGAUAAAUAUCGCACACAAGCUAGUGUACCACCUUGAAUAGUUGUGAGUAUGUGUGAGAAUGCACACCAGGAAAGUUCCCAGGAAAGACUGGAGGGGUCACAAUGGUCCUACUUAAAACCCAGACUCCUUAAGCUCUUAUCGCUUUUGUGACAGAACUUUCCUAGACAUGUACAAAACCACAAUUGUUUUACUCACACCACUAUUCCCUGCUUUGCAUCGCAAAAUUCUUGGAUCGCUCCCACCGCUUCUUGUGAAUAGUACCGUAUACGUGAACAGUACCGUAUACGUGAAUAGUACCCCUUACGUGAACAGUACCCGACUCCAAAAAAUACAACUAAUAGCUCUGAUACCACUGCUAGGAAAUUGGUGGGUGAAGCAGACACGUAGCUAAAAUAAAAUUGGAAGAAAAUAAAGAACAAGCACUCUAGAGGACACCAGAAAAUUACGUGGUUCGGCUUUUAGCCUACAUCCACGGGCGAAGACAGAAGAAAAUAUUUUACUAGUGAAAAGGAGUUACAAGUAUUGUAGUAUUUUAGCUCACUUCCCAAAACCCCAAUACACCUAAACUCUCUCAAUCACUGUAACAAGAGCUUAUAAAUGCAAGCUCUCUAAAUUCUCUCUAAAUACAAGAGAAAUCUUCUCAAAAUUGGAUGAUCAAAUGAGGGAAUGAGUCCCUCUAUUUAUAGCCAAAAUCUUGGCUACUAUUCACGUAUUUUUUUUAAUUAUUUAUUAUUGUUCAAAAUUCAAAAUUCAAAGUUUGAUAUUCAAACUUUGAAUAUCUAGAAUUUUGAAUUUGAUAUUCAAAGUUUGAAUAUCUAGAAGUUUGAUUUUGAUAUUCAAACUUUGAAUAUCAAGACACCCAAUCUUGACAUCGGAGGCUUCGUUUUAGAAGAGUGCAGAGCAGCUGCCUUGUCCAUUUGGCACGCCAACGACUUUCUAUUGACCAAUAAUUUUGAAAGCGAUAUUAGUAAUUUACCAUCUAAUAUUUUUUUUAUAUUAUCAUUUUACCAUAAAGUUUUUUAACAAUUAUUUUUUUCCUUAAUGUUUUAGUUUUUAUUAUAUUACUACCAAAAAUUGGCAAACGCACUCCUAGUGUAGGUUAUCCACAAAAUGGCUACCGAAUUGUCUUGUUUCUCAUUUUGUUUAAUUUUCAUAAAUUCGACUCACGAUUCAAAUGUGAGUGAAGAGUUUUUUUUUUGGGAAAAAAUCUGGUCUUCCAUUUACUAGAAUUAGGUAUGUGUGAUUUUAUUAUUUUUCUUUUGCUUUAUAUGUAUCUGGAAAAUUAUGAAUACUUUGCAGGAUUUAGAAGGAUUUGAAUGUUUGAACGCAUAUAGCUUUCUGUCCAUCAGCUAAUGCAUAUUCUGCAUUUUAUGAAUAUCAGAGCUGGUAGAUUGAAAAAUGGACCUUAUUACAUGUCAUAAGAUACUUUGCUCAAAGCUGCAAUUGGGCAACGUCGUGCUGUUCUUAUCCGCCAAUGCAAGCCAUUUACUAUUCUUUCUAAUGGAGCAAAAUAAGAUGAUUCUUACCUGCAUAGAGAAUUAGAAAAGAAAAGGAGGAUUACUGAUCCACAGAGCUGUCAUUUACUAGAAGCACAUAAAAUCUUACACUUAAUUCAUUAACCAUAUGUAUAUUCUAAUGAUACUUAAGUAUUACCUAAACUAGCCUUUCAAAAUUUCACUUCGAAAAAAUCCAAGGUUGUAAUGUGUCUAUUUGGUUGCUAAUACAAGUUCUCUCUAUUCCCAAUUUUUUAUGCUCUCACUUCGCUUGAUUCACCUUCUCCAUCUUUUAAAACAGUUGUAUAUGUCGGGGUAUCAAGUUCAUCACAAGGAUCAUAUUAUGGCCUAAGGAAGGAGCACAGUUUAUUGUCUGCACUCAAGCUUAGCAGAGUGUUUUGGGAUUCAAGAGUGUUAGUAGGCCGUUACAGAUGCCAUGCUGGCAAGCGUGCUAUGACUGAUUGCUAUUUGCACGCAAAAUUUGCCCAAAACAAAUAGAAUGAGAAUACUUGUACAAAAGGACAAGAUUAAUAAAGUGAAUAAAUUUUAUCUUUUAGUGAAUGCUUCUUGUCUUUUAGAAUUUUAGUGCAUUUUCGUGUGUAAUUUUAUGUGCAAAUAGCAUUACUCAUUAGUAAUUAGUCUCGAGUGUUCUAAUUUCUUCUAAUAAGUGGCUGAUUUGAGCUUAAGACUUGUAUUUUAAGUUUUUAUUACUUUCUAAUAAAGAUUUUCUCUGUUCUUUUUUACUUUCACUUUCUCUUCCAUUUUCCCGACUCCCAAACACCACCAAUCCUUGAUUUUCUAGAGUAUAGCUAUGCAGUUCUACAAACACGAAACUGCUGUUUGUCCAUUUACUUUCAAGAAACAACGUACUCUGUGGUUUAUUGACUUGUGACUUGUGACUUGUGACCGGGGCAAAUUAGUCACGGUCCGAUUGUCUCCUCUUCCACUGACUCUGUCAAUUCAUGACUUUGGCACACAGUAGACGCCAGCUGCCUGCUUCAUUUGACGUGCAAAAAACUUUCUUGAAUCGGGUUAAAAUCGAUUGAUUAUUUUGUUUGGUGAUGAUGAGUUAGUUGUCAAUUCAUGAGUUUGAUGCAGUGAAACGCUUAACGCUCUCUUGUGAUGCGCAGGAGAAAAGCCAGUGAUGAUGAAGAGGACGAAAAACAUUAUUUUGUUAUUUACAAUAAGGCUAUCAAUUAUAUAUUCCAAAAUAAUUGGGUUUGGAUGGUCAUUUUGUUUUCUAAAAUAUCCAAAUGGAAACAGAAUUUAUAAAGUGGGAAAAUCAAGAAAUUAAAUACUCUUCGUAUAGUGGAAGGAGAUUUGGUUGCCGUUAUGCUAAAUAAAAGAAAAAUAAAGUAAAAUUACAAUACUUUAAUAAUCUCAUUCCCAAUCAUACCGGAAAUAAAAAUUUUCUGUAUAGUUAUGAAAUAAUUAUUGAUUUUACUUUAGUGAUUUUUUUUUUAAAGUAAGGUAAGCAUCUUUAUUUUCUUUGCAAACGAGCCUUCUUUCUUUUGCUUUGGCCUUUACUCUAGACUGUAUUUCAUGGUCAUACUCAAUCUCAAUAUUUUGUAGGUUUGUGGCUGUUUUAUGAGUUACGAUUUUUUAUAGGGUUGCAUGUAGAUGAUACAUUUAUUUUUUUCUUUUUUCUUUUCUUCUUCGGUGAAGAUACUAAAAUUUAGUUUUUGUUAUCAUGUGAAAUGAAAAUAGUCCUCGUUUCAAGGAUUAAUGGGCCACUAAUUUCGUCUUCUUAGAAGAAAAUUUUUUGCAGCGAGGUAAUUCGAAGCUCGAAGAUUUCUAUAUUACAUAGCCAAACCUAAGUGAUAAGAAUUUCCAUAUGAGAUAUAAUUUGGAAAAAAAAAAAAAACCAAUUCAAGUUAAAGAUAAAAAAAUCUGUGUUCCUUAAAAAACAUAAUUCAAGCCACACAAUUUUUCUUGUUUCAUUUGAGAAAAAGAAAAUUGUGUUCCUCACAAAAACACUUUAACAUUUGUUGUCUCAUAGAGGGAAAUGUCCUUCAAAACAAUUGAAACGUUGUCCACAAACAUUGUCAUGUAGUUAAGAAAAACUUAAUUUUGAGAAGUGCAAGAGAUUGGUGGGACUCAUUUGAUUCAAGAAAAAUAAUCAGUCUCAUUUGAUACGCAAAGAGCUUUUCUACUCAUGCAGCCAAUAUUUUGAUGAAUGUGACAUUACUGGUUUGUAUAAUUUUUUGGAUAUUAUCUCAAUUUUACUUCUGUAGGUUUGUGGUUUGUAUAUUAUCUCAAUUUUUAAAAAAAUGUAAUGCAAUUAUCAAACACGACUAAUCCCAACAAUUUAUCCAAAAAUUUUUAUUUCAAGAAAUGUAGCAUUUAUGAUAGAAUGGCUAAUGUUUUCAAUCGACUUUCUGGAUAAAUGAUAAUUUUUUGAUAGAAAUGUUACUUAAGUAUUACAGGAAGAAAAUUAUAGAAUAAUUUUUUGAAUUAAUUGUAUUACUUUACGAUAACACUAUCACAAUCUAAUUUAAAAAAAAAAAGUUAUUCUUUAAAUUUCGCAUUACUAUUCCUACUUUUCUUGUUAUAGUACUUAAUGGCACUGGUGAAGCCUCAGAAUUAUCAAACAAAAGGCAAAAAUAGUUCAAUAUCUGCUGUCCCACUAAGCAUUGUUAAAUUCAUAUAAUAAAAUGAGUACUUAUAUUAAAAAAAAACAAUCGGUCUCAUUGCGUGCUCUUUCAUUGACAUAGGCAAUUUGCUGUCAACUUGUGGCACUUUUAUGAAUUUUCAAGAUUGGUGAAUUUUUCAAAUUUAAAAGAAAAAAAUACAGAAAUGUAAUUUCAAUUUAUCCAAAAAUUUGAGUUUCAAGGAAUACAGCAUUUAUUAUAUGUCAUGUUAAUAUAGAGAAGAAAAAUUAAAAAACUUCUUUUUGGAUGAAUAAAAGUAUUUUCUGAUAAAUAUUUCACAAUCAAAUUUAAAAAAAUUUCACUCCUCUUGGUACAUAAUUUAAGAAUUUAACAUUAUAAAUUAAUCUUUUUAAUCAAAGUAAUAAUCUCUCCUCGGUCUGCAAAUGCUAAAAUUUAAUAUUAUAUCCUUUGACAAUAUUUGCUCCAAAUUCACGAAAAUAAAAUUUCUAACAGAAUUAUGACAUUCGUUACUAGAAAUUUGUAUAAAAGUUGUGAGAAUAGAAGGUUUGAUCAUAGGAAAUUAAUAUAUCCCUAUCCGAUGCAAAAAUGAUUGUAAAGAAAAACAAAAGUCAUGGGCUUAUUUUGAAAAAAGAAAAAAUUACAUUCCUUUUUCCCGUUAUUAAAGUAAUUCUAAAAUCACUAGGCACACAAAGGAUAGGCUUUAGUUGACUGAGGUCAGCCUUAACGCAUGCCGGUCUUUUUCUCCUCUACAUUCUUAGAAAUUUUGGUUUCACUAUAAAUACUCGGUAUAUAGCAAACUUAUAAGUGUUCUUGCAUUACCAAUCCAACUAAGCACACGCUUACAAUAUAAAUACUCUCAUCUCAUGGAAAGACUUCAUUCUCUCAGGAUGAUGAGCAGAUUUCUCUUACUCCAUUGUUUGAUUCUUAUUUCCUUACUUAUCGCAGCUGCAACAGCCAACACAAGUACUAUUACCGCAGACCAAGAUGCUCUGCUUUCCCUGAAAGCUCACAUAACUCAUGAUCCAACCAAUUUCUUGGCCAAAAAUUGGAACACGAGUAUCUCUUUCUGUAAUUGGACAGGCGUCACUUGUGAUGUCCAUAGCCAUAGAGUCACAAUCUUGAAUAUUUCUGGCUUAAAUCUCACCGGCACCAUUCCUUCUCAGCUUGGGAAUCUUUCUUCUCUGCAAUCACUCAAAUCUCAGUUUUAACCAACUUUCUGGUUCCAUUCCCUCCGCUAUCUUCACCACGUAUACACUGACAUAUGUUAGUCUCUGUCAAAAUCAGCUCUCUGGGAAAAUUCCUGCAAAUAUUUGUAGCAAUCUUCCUUUCCUUGAAUUUCUUUCUUUGUCCAAAAACAUGUUGUAUGGCGGAAUACCGUCCACUCUAUCAAAUUGCACAUAUUUAAGAAUCUUAAGUUUGGCAUACAAUGAUUUCUCAGGAGCCGUACCUAGAGAAAUCGGGAACUUGACCAAACUUAAGGAAUUAUAUCUUGGCGUUAAUAGACUUCAAGGUGCGCAUGAUCACGAAGUUUAAUUAUAAGAAUUGUUCCCUGAGUUGUAGUAUGAAUAACGUUCCAUAAUACACUUUACACACGUUGAUUAAUUUGCAGGAGAAACUCCUCGAGAGUUUAGCAAUCUUGCCGACUUGGAGCAUAUGUCGUUGGCAGGCAACAAUCUCCAAGGCAUGAUUUUAAAGUUUUUGCAAUUUUAUUUUAGCGAUGCUUGCUUCUGUAUUCAUUCGCUUGUUCUUUGAUUAUGCGAUGAUUUAUUGUUUUUCUUUCAGAUAGAGAUAAAGCUCCAUGUCUCCCCUCACUCAUUUCAUUCUUUAAUUUAUGCAGAUAAAAAUUUAAAAAAAAUGUUUUGUAAUUUUCUUUUGUCAUAUUGCCACUUCCGUUUUGAAGCUCCCAAUCAAGUCGAUGAAAAUGAAUGAUGUUUCAUUCUUAUUCUUGUCAGCCUAAUUCUUAUAUAAUUGAAGAGUAAAUUGUUAUUAUGAUCAAAUUGUUUGCGCAUAUAUAAAUGUACUUUAUUUACAGGAGGUAUUCAACGGGAAUUGGGGAAUCUUACAAAAUUGGAGGGGUUACAGCUGUUCCAGAAUAACUUGAUCGGUAACUUUCUUUACAAUAUAUAUACGAGACAUCUUCCGCUUUUUAUUAGAAAUUAUAAAUUCAAGUUAAAUCUUAAUUAAAAGAUUUCAAGUCUCUCAUUAUAAAUUCUCAUAUGAUGAUGUGUCGUUACCACUAUCUAACAUUAUUCCCUUUUUUAUUAGAAAUUAGUUUGUGUUAAUUCAAAAUUCUGUAGCAUUUAAAAAAAUUAAAAACACGUGGAAUAAAUUGUUAAUCUUUCUUCUUUACUGAAUUUGGAUUUCUCAAAAAUAAUCAUGACAAGUAUGCUUCACUAAUGAUAAACAUGUGUGACAACUUCAUAAAAUAUUUUAUAUGGAAUCACUAAUUAUCUCUAAAGAUGCCAUCAGUGAUACAUAAUUUCUUAACAAGCACCGUACCAAAAGAAAUCAACAAUUUUAUUAAUCUUAAAGAGUUACAUCUUCACUGCAAUUAUGACAUAAAUUUUUAGUCAUCAAUCACAUAAUAUUUUAUCUUAACGGAUGAUGUUCAGUCUUGGAAUUUAUAAUAUCAUGAAGGUUAGUAGCAUUGAAAAUAAGAAAUUGUUCAUGUGCUAAAAAGUCAACUUAGUAUUUAAGUUUUUCACUUGAAAUUUUUGAAAAAAGUGUUGAGAACUAGCCCUCCUUAGUAUUUCAGCGGAUAAAUAUGAAAAAUGGGCUAGAAGAAAUUAUUUUAUUGUAAUAAGAGUUAGAAAGAGAGGAGAAGUACAGUACUCAUGACUUAGGCUUGCUGUGUGUGUGCUUAUUCUACUUGGGCUUUGGGCUUGAUUACACGGUCGAACGCUUACACCUGUUAAAAUAAUGGGCUUUUGCUUUCGCCGCACAUCUGAUAAUUUCCUAACCUUCCAAUUAGGUUAUAGCAAUUUAAAUAUAAAUAAUAAAGCAUGCUAAAGCUAGCAUUGGUGUAUGGCUGAGUGGUGUAAAAAGUGGAUCUGUUUUCAUGUAUUAUUUAUUCUCUAAAACAUAUUUGAAUACAAUUCUUUCAAAAUACCGAGGAAAUAGCACAUGAAAUCAGAAAUAUUUUAUUGUGAUGAGAAUUCAUAUACUCAUUGUAGUAGAACAUAUAAAAUAGACUAUAAAUUUAUUAUUCUUCGAAACAAACUUGAUUAUAAUUCCUUCAAAAUUAAGUUUGUCAUUAAAUGAUUUCUCAGGAGCCAUACCAAAAGAAAUCGGGAAUUUGACCAAACUCAAGGAAUUAUCUCUUGGCGGUAACAGGCUCCAAGGUGCGCAUGAUCACAAAGUUUAAUUAUGAAAAUUGUUGCAUAAGUUAUAUGGAUAUCCUUGAUAACCGCAGCAAGCAAACAAAAUCAAAUAAAAGCUAACUGAGACUCGAAUAUCCUAAACCCUGAAAAGGAAUGGUAAUGGUAUAAUAUGGAUUUUGAAGGCAUAUUUCACCGGACUCAACAUUUAUGGUUAAUUUACAACUCUUUGUUGGAAAGUCUGAGAAAUUGCUUUAUAUUAGGGGUGGGGAAAAUAAUGCUGGGCCACGAAUUUCAGGCAGAAUCCAGAUUGGGCCCAAUUAGACUUAUAGCUCAGCUCUGUGUAGAUAUCUGGGCCUUUACAAAUAAUUAAUGGGCCAAUUAAUAAUAAUAAAUAAAUUGAGAAGGGUGUGAGUGAAAUUAGAUAUGAAUGAAUCUGCCAAUGUAUGUACACAUUUUUAGCAAAAGAAAUCGGGAAUUUGACCAAACUCAAGGAAUUAUCUCUUGACCGUAACAGGCUCCAAGGUGCGCAUGAUCACGGAGUUUAAUUAUGAAAAUUGUUGCAUAAGUUGUAGUAUGAAUAAUGUUCCAUAAUACAGUUUAGACACGUUGAUUAAUUUGCAGGCGAAAUUCCUCGAGAGUUUGGCAAUCUUGCCGACUUGGAGCAGAUGUCGUUAUGGGAAAACAAUCUCCGAGGUAUGAUUCUAAACUUUUUGCGUUUUUUAUUAGAAAUUAAUUUGUAUUAACUAAAAAUUUUGUAGCAUCUGAAAAAAUUAAAAACACAUGGAAUAAAUCGUCAAUCUUCUAAUUUGGAUUUCUUAAAAAUUAUCUUGACAAGUAUGCUUCACUAAUGAUAUGCAUGUGUGACAACUUCAUAAAAUAUUUUACAUGGAAUCACCAAUUACCUUUAAAUAAUUGGAGAUGCCAUCAGUGAUACAUAAUUUCUUAACAAGCACCUUAUCAAAAGAAAUCAACAAUUUUAUUAAUCUUAAAAAGUUACAUCUUUACUGCAAUUAUGAAAUAAAUUUUUAGUCAUCAAUCGCAUAAUAUUUUAUCUUAACGGAUGAUGUUCAGUCUUGGAAUUUAUAAUACCUUGAAGGUUAGUAGCUUUGAAAAUAAGAAAUUGUUCAUUUGCUAAAAAGUUAACUUAGUAUUUAAGUUUUUCAAUUGAAAAUUUUGAAAAAAGUCUUGAGAACUAGCCCUCCUUAGUAUUUCAGCGGAUAAAUAAGAAAAACAGGCUUGAAGAAAUUAUUGUUGUGUGUGCUUAUUCUACUUGGGCUUUGGGCUUGAUUACACGGUUGAGCACUUACACCUGUUAUAAUAAUAGGCUUUUACUUUCACCACACGUUUGAUAAUUUCUUAACCUUCCCAAUUAGGUUAUAGCAAUUUAUAUAUAAAAAACGAAAGCAUACUAAAGCUAGCAAUUUUUUGACUGGUAUCAUUCCUUCAUCUAUUUCACGUCUUUCAUUAUAAAUUCUCAUAGGAUGAUAUCUCAUUUUUUAUUAGAAAUUAAUCUGUGUUUAUGCAAAAAAAUUUAGCAUCUAAAAAAAGUAUAAAAACACGUGGAAUAAAUCGAAAAUCUUUCUUCAUUACUGAAUUUGGAUUUCUCAAAAAUUAUCAUGACAGCUAUGUUAGUGUCUUACUAAUGAUAUGCAUGUGUGACAACUUCAUAAAAUAUUUUAUAUGGAAAAUAUUAAAAAUAGACUUGAAAAAAAUUAUUUUACUGAAAUAAUAGUUAAAAAGAGAGGAGAAGUAUUACCUAUUACACAUGGUCGAACACUUACACCUGUUAUAAUAAUAAUAGCAUCCGCCGGUCGACUAUGAGUGAUCAAAUUGUUUGCACAUGUGUAAUUUGCAGGAGCAAUUCCACGGGAGUUGGGAAAUCUUACAGGAUUGGGGUUCUUAGAGCUGGGUGAAAAUUUUUUAACCGGUAUCACUCCUUCAUCUCUCUCCAAAUUGCUUUUCUCUAUUAAAUUUGGAACUCUCAUUUAAUAACUUAACAGGUAACUUCCCUUACAACAUGUUUGUGUGACAUGUUUUGCUUCUCAAUUAAAAUAUUUCACUUCUCUCAUUAUAAAUUCUCAUAGGAGGAUGUGUUGUUAUUACUAUUUAACAUUAUCUCGUUUUUUAUUAGAAAUUAAUCUUUGUUUAUGCAAAAAAAUUUAGCAUCUAAAAAAAGUAUACAAACACGUGGAAUAAAUCGAAAAUCUUUCUUCGUUACUGAAUUUGAAUUUCUCAAAAAUUAUCAUGACAGCUAUGUUAGUGUCUUACUAAUGAUAUGCAUGUGUGACAGCUUCAUAAAUUAUUUUACAUGGAAAAUAUGAAAAAUAGACUUGAAAAAAAAUUAUUUUACUGAAAUAAUAGUUAAAAAGGGAGGAGAAGUACACUACUCAUGACUUAGGCUUGCUGUGUACUUAUUUUACUUGGGAUUCGAGCUUGAUUACACAUGGUCGAACACUUACAUCCCACGACAUAGGCUUUUAGGGACGAGUGGCGUCAAAUGUGUAUAUGCUUUUAUGUAUUAUUAUUCUUUGAAACAAAUCUGAUUAUAAUUCUUUUAAAAUACAGAUUAAAUGGCACGUGAAAUCGGAAAAUAUUUUACUGCAAUAAGAAUUCAUAUAUUCAUUGUACUAGCACAUAUAAAAUAAACUAUAAAUUUAGUUCCAAAAUACAUUCUUAUCUUCAUAUAAAUUUUACAUUAUUAAUUUAAAUUAAUAUUAAAAUAUGUUGUUUCUUUCACUAUGUUAUUUUAUUUACACAAUGAUGUGACUAUUGGAAUUAAUAAUACUUUUAAUUAUUUUGUAAAAAUAUAAAUUUAAUACUUUGUUAACAUUUUAACUACAUAUAAUAAUUAAACUGAAACUUGUAUUUAAAAAAUUCGAGUUACGCAUAUUCAUUUCAUGACAUAAAAGUGUAUAUUUAUGCUAAUUUACCAUUAUCAACAAAAAGAUUUGAGACAAAUAAUCUAAUUUAUAUUUUUAUAUUUAAAAUCUUGCAUUUAUUAUAUUUUGAAAAAAAUUUAUUUGCAAUUAUUUUAAACGGUUGGAUUCAAAUUUUCAUAGUUACUAAAGUCAAAGGGUAUAAAUGUAUAAUAGUCAAAAACAUAUUUGUAUGAUCAUUUUUCAAUGUAUAAAUUUUCUUAGUUAGUAGGAAAAUUAGAAAUUGUUGAUUUACUCAUAAAUAAAUUUAAUGUUUAGCAUUUCAAUUUUGGAAAACUUGAACUAAAUGUUGAUAACUUCGAAUCGGUCGAGCCGAGUUUCUCUUCCUUGACCCACGGACCCAUUGAAAGUUCUAUUCGAAUUGAGUUUCCUGGUGCUUAUAAAAAGCAUUUCUUUUCCUUGUUGCAGUAAUUUAUUCACAAAUGAGUUGAUUAGCAUCGAAGUUACCUGAGAGUCUGAGACCAUGCUAGUAGGAGAAAUUUGAUAAGAAAUUAUUUUACUGAAUUAAUUUAUUUUAUCUUGUUGCAACUGGAAUACUACUUUUUUUUUUGGGCCAUCACUUGGGCUUGAUUUACUUUAAUAGUAGCAUCCACCGACUUAGGCGUUUUUUACUUCUCACCACACAAUUUGAUCUUUUAAUUAGUUUUAACCACAUAAUCUAUCUAUUUCUCACCUAUUGCUUACUUAAAUCGCAUACAUAUUUUACCUACUAAUUUUUAUAAAUAUUAGUCAAAUAUAUUUUAUUACGUUUUUCUCGUAACUGCUCCAAAUGUGUACUAUUAAUACUUAACCCUCCCUUUUAAUUUACUGUGCAAUCUAUCUAUCACUUAAGUCAUAUAUAUUUGACCUAUAUUUUACCCCAAAAAAUAUAAAAAUAAAAGAAAAAGAAUGUGUAGCAAUUUGCAUAUAACUAACAAAGCAUUGAUGGUGUGUAGCCUUUCAAUACUUCACGACUGGCUUUUCUUGUGUGUUAGUACUUGUAAUAAUUGUGUAGUGUAUAAAUGGCAUUUUAUUAUUAAAGUGCGUCCAUUUUUAGAUAUUACUUAUUAUUUGAAAAAUAAUCUGAAUAUAAUUCUUUUAAAAAACAGGGGAGAUACCACUUGAAAUUGGUAAUCUCCAAAAUCUGGAGGAGUUGGACCUUCGUCAAAACAAAUUAGUUGGUAUUGUCCCCGCUGCAAUCUUUAAUGUGUCCACGCUCAAAUUACUUCAGCUUCAGAAUAAUUCUCUCUUGGGAUGUCUUUCGUCCAUCGCAGACGUCCGACUACCAAAUCUUGAAGAGCUUUCUUUAUGGGGUAAUAAUUUCAAUGGCACAAUUCCUCGUUUCAUCUUUAAUGCUUCUAAGCUCUCUAUACUAGAAUUGGUAGGCAACUCAUUCUCCGGUUUUAUUCCCAACACAUUUGGCAACUUAAGAAACCUUGAGCGGCUUAAUUUACAAGAUAAUUAUUUGACAUCUUCAACUCCAGAAUUGAGCUUUCUAUCCUCGUUGUCAAAUUGCAAGUCUUUAACACUUAUUGCCUUAUCAAAUAAUCCACUAGAUGGCAAUCUUCGUAAGACGUCUGUCGGUAAUCUUUCUCAUUCUUUGGAAAUCUUUCUCAUGUACAAUUGUAACAUUAGUGGCGGAAUCUCUGAAGAGAUUAGCAACUUGACCAACUUGACAACCAUUAAUUUAGGAGGCAAUAAAUUGAAUGGAUCAAUUCCGAUUGCCCUUGGCAAAUUACAAAAGCUACAAUAUUUGGGUCUUGAAGAUAACAAAUUAGAAGGAUCAAUCCCAGAUGAUAUUUGUCGUUUGGAUGAACUGUAUGAAUUGGAGUUGGGUGGCAAUAAGCUUUCAGGAUCAAUCCCUGCAUGCUUCGGUAAUCUGAUUGCUCUGAGGAUACUGUCGUUGGGUUCCAAUGAGUUAACUUCUAUUCCCUUAACUUUUUGGAACCUUAAGGAUAUCUUGCAACUCAACAUUUCAUCAAAUUAUUUUACUGGUCCACUCCCAUUAGAGAUUGGAAAUUUGAAGGUUUUAAUUGGAAUUGAUUUUUCGAUGAAUAAUUUUUCAGGCGUUAUCCCAACAGAAAUUGGAGGCCUAAAAAAUCUAGAAUAUCUCUUCUUAGGAUAUAAUAGAUUGCGAGGAUCGAUUCCUGAUUCAUUUGGGGAUUUGAUAAGUUUGAAAUUCUUGAAUUUGUCCAAUAAUAAUCUCUUUGGGGCUAUUCCUGCAUCUUUAGAGAAACUCUCAUAUCUUGAAGAUCUAAAUCUUUCUUUCAACAAGCUAGAAGGAGAAAUUCCUAGGGGAGGAUCUUUUGGAAACUUCUCAGCUGAAUCAUUUGAGGGAAAUGAAUUAUUAUGUGGUUCACCCAAUUUACAAGUCCCGCCAUGCAAAACUAGGAUCCACCACACAUCAUGGAAAAAAUCUCUUCUCCUGGGGAUUGUCUUGCCAUUGAGUACUACAUUAAUGAUAGUAGUCAUUUCGUUGAUCCUAAGAUAUCGACAGAGAGGAAAACAACCAUCGAAUGAUGCUAAUAUGCCACUAGUAGCAACGUGGAGAACAUUUUCAUACCUAGAACUUUGUCAAGCAACAGACGAAUUCAGUGAAAACAAUCUAAUCGGCAGAGGAGGUUUUGGCUCUGUUUAUAAGGCAAGACUUGGGGACGGGAUGGAGGUUGCAGUGAAAGUUUUCAAUUUGCAAUGUGGAAGAGCGUUCAAGAGUUUCGAUGUUGAAUGUGAAAUUAUGAAAAGUAUUCGCCAUCGAAACCUUAUCAAAGUUAUUAGCAGUUGUUCAAAUGAAGAGUUUAAAGCGUUGGUAUUAGAAUACAUGCCUCAUGGAAGUUUGGAGAAGUAUCUGUAUUCAAGUAAUUGCAUUUUGGAUAUUUUUCAAAGAUUGAACAUAAUGAUAGAUGUUGCAUCAGCUUUGGAAUAUCUGCACUUUGGUUGUUCAGCUCCAGUAAUUCAUUGUGACUUAAAGCCCGACAAUGUAUUGUUAGAUGAUAAUUUGGUUGCUUAUUUGAGUGAUUUUGGCAUCGCGAAGCUCUUAAUUGGAGAAGAUCAGUCUAUGACUCAAACGCAAACACUUGCCACAAUAGGUUAUAUGGCACCAGGUUUGUUCAAUAUAAACAUUUUCUAUUUCUUGUAAACUUCCUAAUAAGUUAUUUAUGUUUCAUGAUCUUCAUUAGAUCAGGAAAUUAUUGUUAAUGAUAUAUCUUACUAUGUAACUGUUGCAAUUCAUAGAGUAUGGAAGAGAAGGACGAGUAUCCACAAAUGGAGAUGUUUAUAGCUUUGGAAUUAUGUUAAUGGAAACUUUUACCGGGAAGAAACCCACAUAUGAAUUUUUUAAUGGAGAAAUGACAUUAAAGCAUUGGGUUAAUGAUUGGCUACCCAUUUCCACUAUGGAAGUUGUUGAUGCUAAUUUGCUAAGUCAGGAGGACAUACAUUUUGUUGCAAAGGAGCAAUGUGUGUCAUUUGUCUUCAAUUUGGCUAUGGCGUGCACUGUGGAAUCUCCUGAGCAGAGAAUCAAUGCAAAAGAAAUUGUAACAAAACUCUUAAAAAUUAGAGACUCAUUACUUAGAAAUGUUGGAGGCAGACGUAUAAGACAAUCAAAUUUAAAUUGAUUCUACCCCUCCACUACUUGCUAUCCUUUUCAGAGACUUGAACAAUUAUCCUUAAUACAAUUUUUGUUGAUGUGCUUUGUUAUUGCUCUUACUCAUGUUUAUUUCUCUAUUUCUUUAAUUUGCAUGCAUGUAUUUUUCGUUCUCUUUUAUGUUUUUGUUGGUUUGUAUGUAGUUUGUUUUUAGGUUGAUUAUGUCCUCCCCUAAUUAGACGCAUCCUUUUUAUGUUUAUUCAAUAAAGCUUCUCUAAUACUAUCGAGGUUCAUCAAAAGAAAAUUUUAAAUUAAUUUUCUUUUCUUUGACAGGUAAUGAAAUUCUAAUCUUCAUAGUGAAUAACUUCAAUAAUAGAGUGUAAGUGUAUUAGUAGUUAUGGUUGUUUUUUGAACCUGGAGUCAAAAGCAAUUUAAUAGCAACAAACAAGUCUCUUGUAUUAUAGGCAAAAUUAUUUUCAUUAAUCUUAUUUUUCUACAUGUUCUCCUAUUUUCUCCAUUUAUCUUCGCUCAAGGUUUCAUGCUUCCUCUUGGAUAAAGGAAAACUUACUUGCGAAUAUUUCAAUUUGACAUAAGAGACUGUUUUGCCAACCAUUUGAUAAAAUGGAUAUGAGCGGAGCUUUCAAUCAUCACCUCCACCAAAAUCCUUACUACGCCACUUUUAAAUUGUAUUUUUUAAAAUGCAUUCAGUUUAAUUUAUAAAAAAUAAAUUCAUUUGUUAAAAUUAAUCUUUUUCUCAUAAAUUUCAGCCUAAAAAAUAUAUUUCUUUUAAACUUUUAAUUAUAAAAUACAUACAAGUUCUAAACUGUUAUAUUAUUUUCUUCUUAUUAUAUAGUUCAUAUCUCCAUAACUCUAAACUCCUAUAAUUUUUUUUAAAAUAUUUUUAAUUUAAAAUAUAAAUAUAAAAUAUAAAAUGGAGUGGGUAUAAAAAAACUUGUUAAAAGAAUAAUUCAUUUAAGUAUUUAACUGAAUUUAAAUUAAAAUAAGAAAUAAAUAAAUUUAUUUUUAUUAGUUAAGUAAUUUUCAAUUGUAAAAGAGCUUUAUGAGUAAUAUUAUUGAAAUAUGAUUAAAAUUCUUAUGAAUUAAACAUUUUCGUAUAAAUACUAGUGAUAAUUAUAGAGAAAAUGUGAUGAACCAAAGAAAACUUGAGUAUAAAUACUCCAAUGUAAUUUUACACAUGCAAAUUAUGAACCAAUGAUCUUUAGAGCAUCAUAAAAUUAUUUUGACACAACUAUUUAUUUUGAAAAACUGGUAACAAUGUUUAAAGUGGGAUUGAAAAGAUUAUGCUACUUAUAUAAGACAUGAUAUCAUUUAAGACGGCUUACAGAUUAUGAGAAAUAUAUUCAUCUUACAAAUAUUUAAUAUGUUAAUUAGACGGGUCUAGCUGCCUUUCACCCGCUGGAAGGUACAGCUUAUUUUGUCCUCUAGUGUUGUGGCCGUUGGAUAUUUGAGAAGUUGAUCUAUCGGUUCUUGUUCGGCAGCGUGAAAUUGAAUUUCAAUCAGCAACCAUUUCAUGAACUUUCAGGAGACAAUUAUCUACAAAAAAAAUUUUUUAAAAAAUAAUUUUUCGCUUUCAUCAACCGCCGCUGCCACCCACAACCCCUUAAUAUCAUCACCACCAUCCCAAUCCUUAGCCGCCAUCCACAAACUCUAACAACCACCAUGACUGCCAUCACAACCGCCACUCCUCACAACCCUAGCCACCCCUACAAAUGACUGUAUUUUACGUUUGAGCAUUAAUUGCCGGCAUGAUCUCUUAGACUUCUCUUGCAUUGAAUGAAUGGAUGAGUGCUAAUCCAUGCAAAGACUUCCAUGCAUGCACAAUGAAUGCUAAAUCUAAGGUAUAGCAAAAUGUCAGCAACCUUGGCCCAAAUUAUCAAGAUGGUUUGGUGGCUGCUAGAUUUGUUCAUCCGGAUUUUGGACCAUUUUCCUUGACAAUGAGAAAAGCUCCAAGAUGUGUAAUGUUAGUGAAUCAGAUGAAGCUGGAGCAGAGCAUGAUGUUGCUGUGUAGCUGGAGCAGAGCAUGAUGUUGCUAUGUAGCUGGUUGUAUCAGAUCAAAUCAUUAAGCUGACUUGUCAAAGUUAGUUAACUGGUUGAGCUGAUGUGUCAAGUUAGUUAUACAGCAAAUGGUUAUGUGUUGCAACAAUCUCGUGUGUGUGUUAAGAGAUUGUAGCUCAAUAUAAAUAUCAAUUGGUAAUCAUUAAACUGUAAGCUUGGAAUAAUAAGAAGAUCUAACAGUUUUCUUUGCAAAGCUUUUCUUUUAUUUUCUUUCAUUUUCUAGCCUACCAAACAAUAUAGAACUAAGUUUCUUUCAUGGUAUCAGAGCCAUAAAUGGCAAAUAUAGUUCAAAACAACAACUCUUUUAGUUUUGUUACACCAGUAAAGCUAGAUCAAAACAACUUCAUUCUGUGGCGCACACAAAUUUUAACUUCAAUCAAAGGAAACGGUUUGGAAGGGUUUAUCAAUGGCGAUCGAGAAUGUCCUGAGCAAUUUCUUUCUUCUGGAAACAACAAUGGAGCUGAAGUUUUAACUGAGUCUGGAUCCAGAUCUGUUAAUCCAGAAUUCGAAGCUUGGAUGAAGACUGACCAACUCUUACUGAGUUGGAUGAUGUCAUCGAUACAGCAAAAUCUGCUUGCUACUGUGAUUGAUUCUACAACUUCAAAACAGCUUUGGGAGACUCUUGCUAGUAUGUUCAUCUCUCAAUCACAAGCUAGAAUUCAAACACUUAGAAUGCAGAUUCAAACUAUUAAGAAAGGUGCCAUGCAUAUUUCUGAUUAUUUUGUUAAAGUAAAACGCAUAGCUGAUACUUUAGCUCUAGCUGGAAAACCUAUUGAGUUAAAUGAUCUUGUGAUGCAUAUAUUAACUGGUCUUGAUUCAUCAGACUAUGAAUCUUUAGUCACAGCUAUGUUAGCUCGAGGUGAAAAGAUCACAUUAGAUGAACUAUAUUCUUUGUUGUUGAAUCAUGAAAAUAGAGUUGAGCAAAAGAAAGGGAAAAUUGCUAGUGAUGUGAUGCAUAACAUGACAGCAAAUAUUGCUCAGAAAAAUUCAUAUGCUGGAAAGAAUAAUGGAAAUUUUCAGAAAAAUUAUGGAAAUAACUAUCGAAGAGGUAAUAAUUCUGGAUAUGGAGGUUCUAAUGGAUAUGGAUAUGGUCAGUUUAAUACUAGCAGUAAUUCCUCUGAAGUUGUUUGUCAAAUUUGCUUUAUACCUGGUCAUGCAGCAAAUAGAUGUAGGAAUAGGUACAACUCAUCCUUUGUUCCACAGAGGAAUCAUGGUAGAGGAAAUAUGAAUGGUGGCAGAGGUUUUAAUCAAGGGCAAUAUGGCAGAGGAAGAGUCUAUAAUGGUAAUAGUGGAAGAGGAUUUGGAGGUUUUGGUUCAAAUGCUGGUUUUGGACAAAAUGCUAGUUUUGGUCAUGCACCCAGGGGUUUUGGCUAUUAAGGAAAUAUAGUGUAUCCAGAUAGCAAUCCUUCUGCCUAUUACUCUUUCACUCCUGGAUCAUCUAAUUUUGUUGCUGGUCAAGGAAACAACAAUCCUGGACAGUCAAGUGCUUCAUCUUCCUCAGCUAUGUCUUUUUCACUCCCAGAAUACAUUUAAGAUCCUUCCUGGUACAUUGACAGUGGAGCAACAAAUCACAUUACUAAUGAUCUAGGUAAACUUCUAGAUUCACAAGCUUAUACUGGUACUGAAAAGUUAUUUGUUGGGGAUGGAAAUGCAUUAGCUAUUACACAUAUAGGAUCAGUUGUGCUAAACACUUCCAAUUCUCAAUCUUUAUUUCUUAACCAUGUUCUUCAUGUCCCUUUUAUUACUAAGAAUUUGCUUAGUAUCUCAAAAUUAUUGGCUGACAAUCCAGUUACUGUUGAAUUUCUUGGUGAUUUCUGUUUUAUAAAGGCCAAGAACACAAGGAAAAUUUUACUUGAAGGUGUUGCUAAAGGUGGCUUGUAUAGAGUCUCUUCACAUGCUGCUGCUCACUCAGUCUUUCUCAGUUCAGUUGGUCAAAACAAAAUUUAGUCUCUCUUUGCUUGGUCUCCUGUUUUUACUUCUGAAAAACCUUCUGUUGUUAGUUCUUAUAAACUCAAUAAAAAGUCAUGUAUGUCAGUUGUUGCAAAGGGUUUAACUGAUGUAAAUCUUCUGCAUAGAAGAUUAGGACACCCAGCCCCUUAUACUCUCAAAAUUAUUCUCAAAGCUUGUAACAACUUUACUGCUCUUAAUAAAGUUGAAAGUUUGAAAUUUUGUUCAGCAUGUCAAUAUGGAAAAAUCAUAUGCUGCAUUUUAAUUCAGUUGAAACAAAAACUUCAGCACCUUUAGAAUUGAUAUAUGCAGAUUUGUGGGGUCCUUCUCAUGUUUGUUCUACCCAAGGAUAUAACUACUACCUAUCAAUCCUAGAUGAUUACAGUAGGUUUACCUGGAUAUUCCCUUUAUCAGCAAAAUCUGAUGCUCUUGAAGUGUUUAAAAAUUUCAAAACAUUCAUUGAAAAGCAUCUUCAACUUUCAAUCAAAACUGUCCAAACAGACUGGGGAGGGGAGUUCAAAUCUUUUUCCUCAUUACUCACUACUUCUGGUAUCCAUUUUAGACACCCUUGUCCACAUAUUCAUCACCAAAAUGGAAGAAUUGAGAGGAAGCAUAGACACAUAGUUGAUGUAGGUCUGACUUUAUUAGCUCAAGCACAUUUACCACUCAAAUUUUGGUGGAAUGCAUUCCACACAGCUGUCUAUUUGAUAAACAGACUUCUCACUCCAGUUCUAAAUAGCAUUUCUCCCUUUCAAAAGUUGUUUCAUUAUCAACCAGAUUAUUCAACACUUAAAACUUUCGACUGUGCUUGUUAUCUAACACUCAGACCAUACAAUAGAUAUAAGUUUGAUUUCAGAACUGCUAGAUGUAUAUUCAUUGGCUAUAGUUCACAACACAAGGGAUAUAUGUGUCUUCAUUCUUCUAGAAGGGUCUAUAUUUCUAAUCAUUUCACUUUUGAUGAAAAUUCCUUUCCUUAUGAGUCUGGGGUAGAUUUUUCUUUAACUUCUUUAAGUUGUCAGUCCACUUCACACUCUGAGUCCUCUUUUCAGUCUUCCCCUUCUUCUGUUACUCAGUUACAAGCACCUUUAGCAGCAUCAUCAGCACUUCAACCAACUCACCCUGCUGAUCAUCAAUCUAAUGCUUCUACUCCUGUUUAUUUUUCUGAUAACUCCAACUCAGCUUCUCAUUUCUCAUCUUCUCAUUCUUCACCUCCACAUACAUUACCCCAACCUGUACCAUCUGGUCAUCCAAUGGUAACCAGAUCAAAAGUAGGUAUUUUCAAGCCAAAAGUUUAUUUGUCAGCCUUGUUAGCCCAGCAAUCAGAACCAACUUCUGUUUCCAAAGCACUCUCUGAUCCUAUGUGGUAUAAGGCUAUACAAGAAGAGUAUCUAGCACUUAAAGCUAAUCACACCUGGGAUUUGGUUUUACAUACUACUCCAGUGAAGAUAGUUGGUAACAAGUGGGUGUUUCGAAUUAAGUAUAACUCAGAUGGCUCGGUUUCAAGGCACAAAGCCAGACUUGUUGCUAAGGGGUUUCACCAGACACAUGGGGUUGAUUACACAGAAACCUUCAGUCCAGUGGUUAAGUCUUCAACUAUCAGAGUUAUUCUUAGCUUAGCAAUAUUGAAUCACUGGGUUAUUCGGCAAGUGGAUGUUAAUAAUGCCUUCCUCAAUGGCAUUUUAAUUGAAGAUGUGUACAUGGCUCAGCCUCAAGGUUUUGUUGAUUCAACUAAACCUAAUCAUGUUUGCAAGCUGAAUAAGGCUUUAUAUGGUUUAAAACAGGCUCCUAGAGCCUGGUUUGAUAGAUUUAAGGAUGCAAUGCUCUCCUAGUGGCAUUUUCAGCAUUCAAGGUCUGAUAACUCUCUCUUUUAUACCUGGAACAAUGGUCAUGUAACUAUUGUUUUAGUCUAUGUUGAUGAUAUUAUCAUCACUGGCUCAAGUCCAUCACUAAUUCAGCAAGCUAUUCAGAAUAUGCAUCAAACUUUUGCUUUAAAAGAUCUGGGGGAACUUAACUAUUUUUUGGGGAUUGAAGUCAGCAAGUCCUCCACAGGGGUUUCUUUGACACAAGCAAAGUAUAUUGCUGAUGUUCUGGAAAAACAUGGCAUGAUUGAUUGCAGUCCCGUGCCAACUCCCAUGUCUACAGGUUAUUACUCACCAAAGACUCAGGGGAGCCAAUUGACAAUGUCUCUCAAUACAGGAGUGUUAUAAGAGCUCUUCAGUAUGUUACUCUUACCAGACCUGACAUUGUUUUUUCUGUCAAUAAGUUAAGUCAGUUCCUUUCCGAUCCUAGAACUCAACAUUGGGAAGCAUGCAAAAGGUUAUUGAGGUACUUAAAAGGUACUAUCCAUCUUGGGCUACAAUUCUACAACCAAGGAGCUCUGCAAAUCCAUUGUUUUUCAGACUCUGAUUGGGCUUGUGAUCAUGAUGAUAGGAAGUUAGUAGCUGGCUUUGCUGUUUAUCUAGGUCCUAAUCUUGUUUCUUGGUAGUCCAAGAAGCAAGCUAUUGUUUCUAGAUCCAGCACAGAGGCUGAGUACAGAUCUCUUGCUCAUGCUGCUUUAGAGGUUACCUGGAUUAAGUCUUUACUUGGUGAACUUAGCGUCAACUUGAGCUCUACUCCUAUGAUGUGGUGUGAUAAUCAAGGAGCUAUUGCUUUAGCUUAUAAUCCAGUCUAUCAUGCUAAAACUAAGCAUGUUGAAUUGGAUAUCCAUUUCAUCCGAGAUAAAGUUACUGCUAAAGAAGUUGCAGUCUGCUAUGUGCCUAGUCAAGAUCAAACAGCAGAUGUGUUGACUAAAGCUCUCUCUUUCAAACAGUUUAGUUACUUCCAAAGUAAGCUGAAUGUUCAUCCUAAACAUUUCAGCUUGAGGGGGGGUGUUAGUGAAUCAGAUGAAGCUGGAGCAGAGCAUGAUGUUGCUGUGUAGCUGGAGCAGAGCAUGAUGUUGCUAUGUAGCUGGUUGUAUCAGAUCAAAUCAUUAAGCUGACUUGUCAAAGUUAGUUAGCUGGUUGAGCUGAUGUGUCAAGUUAGUUAUACAGCAAAUGGUUAUGUGUUGCAACAAUCUCGUGUGUGUGUUAAGAGAUUGUAGCUCAAUAUAAAUAUUAAUUGGUAGUCAUUAAACUGUAAGCUUGGAAUAAUAAAAAGAUCUAACGGUUUUCUUUGCAAAGCUUUUCUUUUAUUUUCUUUCAUUUUCUAGCCUACCAAACAAUAUAGAACUAAGUUUCUUUCAUGUAAAUUGAAGACUCACUGAACGCUCCAAGUUUCAGGUAACUCUUGUGUUGUGUGCUCGGAGUAUUCUCUAUUGUAUUUUUUUUGUUUGUUAUUUAUUUGACGUAUUGCUAGCAGAGAUCUUGGGUGGGAACCAGAAAUUCCCAACAAUUGUCAAUUGUUUUAAACUCUAUUCUGAACAGAGCAUAAAGGGACUCACUUAUCUAAUUUUGUCUUUUAUGCUUUAACUUCACUUGAUUUCAUCUUUUCCGUCACCUUUGUUAAAGUUGUAUAUGUUGGAGUAUUAGGUUCAUCAUAAGGAUCAUUUUAUGGCUAAGGAAGGAGCACACUUUAUCAGCUACACUCAAGUGUAGCAGAGAAUUUGGAUUCAAGACUGUUAGAAGGUUGUUACAGAUGCAAGGCUAUUGCUGUGUAAUUGUAAUGCUGCGUAGCACCGUAAGUAAGAAGAAAAGUGUCUAAGGUUGCCACGUGUUGUCUCAACGUCUGUGUGAAAACCGAUUUGUUUAAUCAAAAUCAUAAACACCAUUUUGAAAAUCCAUGGCCAUGGUCGUGAUGUGUCUUUAUCAAUCACGGAUACCAAAUUUAAUCAAAAUUAUCGAUUGUUUUAAAUUCUGUUUUUAACAGAGCAUGAAGAUGUCGCUUAUCUAGAUUUACUUUUUAUGCUUUGACUUCACUUAAUACAGCUUCUUCCUCCUUUAUCUGUAUGCCAUGCCGGCAAGUGUAUUGUACAGAUUUCUAGAGUAUUACCUGUCUAUUUUUUUCACCGAUGACGAAGCUAAUUAUUAGUAAUCAAUCUAAAGUCUACCUAUAAAUACAAUAGGUUGCUUAGGUGGCACCAAUAUCCUAACUUUAUGCCAUGUUUCUGGUGUGUCUUCACAAAUUCACCGAUACAAAUUAAUUUCUACCAAUAUUACCAAAUGAUUGUAUUUUACGUUUCUAUUUACUUGUAAUAAAGAUCUUCAAUUUUAUUGGUUACAAAAUUCUCUAGGAUUGCAUGUACAUUAUACUUUUAUAUACAUAUUUUCUUCUUUCUCAUUCGUUUUCUGGGUGAACAUAUUAUUUUCGUCAUCAUCUCUAUAACAAUGAAGUGAAAAUAGUCCUCAUUUAAAGUAUUGACAGCAAUGUUAUACUCAAUAUAACGCAUAAAGCACGCAUAAUUUAAUUAAUGGGGUAGCUGCUAGUACCUUCUUUAGAAGAGAAUUAUUGCAGCAAGGUAAUUGGAAGCUCAAAGAGUUUCCGUAUUAGCCGAAUCUAAGCGAUAAGUGUUUCCAUGUGAGCCAUAAUUUGGGAAAAAGACCAAUUCGAGUUAAAGAUCAGAAAACAGACACUGUCAACAAGCAUUAAUAUCAUUUGAUGCAUGAAAGACAGUUAGUCCCAUUUUUUUGUCCUGUUUACUUGAGUUGGGCAAUUUGCCGUCAACUUUUCUCAUCCACGUCAGGUAAUGUGGCUUUUAUUUGGUAUGAAAAAGCCAAUGCUUUACGAUAAAACUGUCACACACAUAUUAUCCAUCUGUAAUGUUCAAAUGACACUGAAGUAUUACCUAAAUUAGGCUUUCAAAAAUUCAUUUUCAAAAACCCAUGGUUGUGAUGUGUCUCUAUAAAUUAAGAUCUAUCUGUUACCAACUGUUUUAACUCUGUUCUGAACAGAGCUUGAAAGGGUACAUUCACUUAUCUAGUUAUGUUUUUUAGGCUCUCACUUUACUUGAUUCACCUUAUCCCUCUUUUGAAACAAUUGUUCACUGGCUGCACUCAGUUGACAAAAUAUUUUGGGAUUCAAGACUGUAGGUUGUUACGGAUGCAACUUGCAAGGCUGUUGCCAUGCUGGCAAGUGUGCUGCUAUAACAGAUUGUUGAGAUGGCACCAAAGAUUGUAAACUAAUUAGUACUGGAAAAUCAUGAGUUUGGUGAUGAAGAGGACCAAAAACAUUAUUUUAUUAUUUAAAAUAAGACUAUCAAUUAUUUCCAUGGUCAUCUUUUUUUUUAUUUAUUAAUUGGCCUAAAUAUUGUAUUUUUUGUCAGGAGUCUUGCAAUGUUGCUUAACACCGUAAGUAAGAAGAAACGUGUCUAAGGUUGCCACGUGUUGUCUCAACAUAUGUGUGAAAACUGAAUUAACCAGUUUGCGUUCGACAACAAAGGAAAAUACUUCUUGUUGCUGACCGGUUGAUAAGUAUUUCAAUACCUCCACCAAAAUCUUUAUAACACCCUUUUUAAUUUUAUUUUCUGAAAUACACUUAGUUUUUUAAAAAAGAGCUUUAUGAGAAAUUUUCAGUGUGUCAAAAGGCCUACUUAAUGGACUGGAUCCCGACUCAUUAAUUUUAUAACCCGACUUACAAUCCGACUCAUUAUUCACAGAGAUUAAUUUUCUAUUGCUUAAGGCACAAUAUUUACUAAGCAAUUUAUCGGCAAUAAAACAUGUAUAUUAUUGUGGUUUGUAAUAAAAUUGGAAGAAGACAUCACGUACGAAUUGGAUUUAUCCAAUGAAAUUUGAUUAACGAAACUGUAUGAAAAUAUAUCAAGAAAAUAGUAAAAAAAAAUGUUGUGUAAAUGCUGUAUAGGUGAUAUAUUACUUUUAUAAUCCAUCAAGGUACAUUUGAUUUUAAUGAUGAAACAAAUACAAAUAAAUCUAUGUGCGUCAAUGCUAGAUGGCUCCAUAUUAAACUUGUGAAGUAUAGAAAAUAAGCAGGAUUCGUAACAAAUAUUUUAGAUAAUACCACUGAAAAGUUAUAAAAAUAUUUUUUAAAAAAAGAAAUACAUGCUCGAGACACCACGACCGACGCGCACAAACUCACAUAUUUAUAUAUUAAUUGAGGUAAAAAAUGAUAUUCUGAGUAAUAUUGUUGACAUAUGAUUAAAAUUCUUUUUGAUGAAACAUUUUCGUAUAAAUACUAGUGAUAUUUGUAGAGAAAGUAGAAUGAAGUGAAAAAAACUUGAAUAUAAAUGCUCCAAUAUAAUUUUUCCCAUACAAAUUAUGAACUAGUGAACUUUAAAGCAUCAUAAAAUUGUUUCAACAUAAGUAAUUAGUUUGAAAAAUUGCCAAUAAUGUUUAAAGUGGGAACGAAAAGAUUAUACUAUAUGAGACACGAUAUUAUUUAAGACAGCUUACAAAUUGUGGGAAAUAUAUCGAUCUUACAAAUAAUAUUUAAUAAGUACAAAUUUCAAAUUAAAUAAUAAACCCUUAAUUUCCUUUUAAUCAUAAUUAUGAUCUUAAUAAUUAAAGUCAUUCAAUCUUAAUCACUUUUUUAUUUUUUUAAACUAUCUAAAUGACAUCGAAAACUCUACUCAAUAUUAAUUUAUUCGAAUGUUUUGUUUCAAAAAAAUUGAAAACUGUAAAUGAAACAAAUGCUUGCAAUCACAAAUGGCCUAAAAUAGGAUUUUUAUUUUUUAAUAUUGCAAUGUCUUUGAUCUUGAUAUUGGAAAUUUAUUUGUAACUUAUACCAAGUCUUCAAUUUUAUCAUAAUUAGUUUCUAAAGAUGCAUUUGCCAUACUGUGUAGUUGUAUUGUAUGAUGAUAUAUUACAUUAGGGUGCAUUGUAUUGAGCUGUAAUGCAAUACUAUUUUAUAUUAAUGUUAAAACUAAAUCAACAUUAUUUAAAUUUAUUAAUAUUUUAGGAUUUUAUUAGUAAUUUCUUAAAUUAAGUAUUAAAUAAUUAUUUUUAUAAUAUACAAACUAUUUAAUAAUAUUUUACUAUUAAAUAAUAAAAUAUUACAAUAUUAUGUUAUAUUAUUAAUAAUUAUUCUGUUAUAAUAUAAUUUAUUUUUAUAUAUUAGUUAUUAUAAUUUAGUAGAAUCAUAUUAUAAUAAUAUUAUAUUUUAAAAAUAUAAUACUAUAUAACUGUAUAAUAUAAUAUGAAUUAAUUUAUAAUUUAACAUUAAAUUAUAAAUUUAUUUUAUUUAUUAAUGUCAAAUAUAAUUGUCUAAUUUAAAUUUAGUUUUAAAUUUAGUAUUUUUUUAAAAAUAAACUAUUUAGUAAAAUUUAAAAAUAUAUUUUUAUUUAUUAAAUAAAACUAAAAUAUACUUUUAUGCAUUUAAAGUAAAAUUACUAAAAUGAUUUUAUAUAAUAAAGUAAAAUAAUGUAUUAUUAUUUAUUAAUUAAAUAUUUAGGUUUAUUAAUAUAAUAUAUUAUUAAUUAAAUUAAUGAAUAUUAAUUAAUAAUUUAAAUUUAUUAAAUAAUAAAAGUUAAAUGAUUAUAUUUAAAAUAUAAAUAGUAUUUUAAUGCAAUAAAACCUAAAUCCCACAUGUAUGCCACAUUUGUUAUACAGUGUAAUGCAACUAUAAAUUAUAAUUAUAUAAAAAUAAUAUUUUAAUACAAUAUAAUACAAGUAUAAUGCCACUUGAGAAAUUGAUAUUUUAAUCAUAAAAACCAAUAUAAUACAAUGAUUCUGUCCUCUUUAUUAUUUUUCUAAAUGCUUCCAUGGCAUAAUCUCAUUGGUCCAUUUUGUUUCACAGCUUAGAUUCAACUGCAAGAUUUUCAAUUUGAAGCAAGCUGUGGUCCACUGGCCGUGGCCAAACAAACAUGCCUCAUGAAGUCAUGGUGACUGAAUCAUCUCUUAUGUCAGAAUUUGAACUUAAACAAUUUGAACAUAGACUGUUUUUUGAUUGUCGAAGAUUCGCUUCAAAAAUUAGUAUUUUUUAGUGGAGUUUGGUUGUCUCGUAUCCUUCAAUUGUUGUUUGGUUAUGAAAAUAAUUUUUGAUUUUAGGGAAUUUCGAUUAUCUGGUUUAGUUUGAGUGCAAUUUCCUCUAUUUACGGUUUCAGUGUGACGGAUAAAUUGCAAUUUCGAAUUUUUGAUAAAAUUAAAAUUAAAAUUGGGCGGUUAUUAAUUAAUUGAUGGCUAGUGAUACUGCAACGGCGGCCGAAGCUCCGGAAGAAGCGGAGGCGGUGGAGGAGUAUGAUAGCGAUCCAGAUGAAGUGAAACACUCUCUCGUGAUGCGCAGAAUGGAAGCAAGCGAUGAUGAGUGUUAAGGAAGCUCAUGUUGCAGUCAAAGGAGCAGCUCAGUUAGCACGUGUGAAUCAAAGCACUCAUUUAAUGGAAAUUUUUCUAGAUGCUUCAAUGGCAGAAUCUCGUUGGUCUAUAACUCUCACGCCUUUGACUCAAGAUUCAAUUUCAAACCAACGCCGAACAAACAGUAUAAACCUUAAUAAGUCUGUGGCUCACCGAAUAAUAUCUCUUACGUCAGAAUUUAAACUUAAACAAAGCUACAUCCCACGUGUCCCCAACUUUCUUCAUAUUCCCAGAAAACCCCUACCAGAUCCAGAUAAUUACCUUCACUCUUCUCGUAUAAAUAGAGAAGAUGAUGAUUCCUACAAAGCCACGUAAGUCAAGUGAACGUUACGGCCAUGGGACGUUGGAAUUGGAUCAAACCACCGGAAUGUAAAGCAAAAUUAACCGAAUAGACUAAAUUAGAUCCAACCAUUUGAAUCGGUUGAGUGUCACUCAAAAAACAAAUAAAUAUAUAAAACAACACAAUUAUCAUAUUAAUGGGGUUCAGUGGAUGCUUCUUUUUUUUCAUUUUCAAUGAAUGCUUAAUAUGCAUUCAAUAUGAAAAACAAUCUGUCCCAUUGAGCACUGUUGAAGUCAUUGAAUGAAAAUGAAUACUUCUAUAAGAAACAAUCAUUCCCCUAUUUAUUUGACACGCAAAGAACUUUCUUACUCAGCUCGGCGGCCAAACCUUUAACAUUUGUUGAAAUUCAGUUAAUUGGUGAAUGUGACAUAACUCGAUAAAUCGUUUAAUUUGUAUAAUUGAUAAAAAUUUGAACUUCAAAUAAUAUAUGUUUUCAAUUUUAGAUAAUGGAUAUAUGUCAUGAUACUAUGAGCAAAUGAAGCGUCUGAUAGAAAACAUAAUGUUUGUAUUAGAAAUUUUAAGUGUGAAUCUAUUUACUGUUGGUUUUAUAUAUAAAAAAUUAGUUACCAACUUGUCUUGUUUCUCAUUUUGUUCAAUUUUCAUAAAUUUGACUAACGAUUAAUUGUGAGCGAAGAGUUUGUUGUAAAAAUAUGGUCUUCCAUUUACUAUAAAAAGAUUAGUGUGAUUUAAUUAUUUUUUCCUUUUGCUUCAUUUCUAGAAAAUUAUGAAUACUUUGGCAAAUAAGAUAAUUAAUUAUAAACAUCGUUUUCAAAAUCCAUGACCAUGGUUGUGAUGCGUCUUUGUAAAUAGCUAAUACAAAAUUAAUUUCUAUCAAAAUUACGGUAAUUACCAUUUGUUUUAAACUCUGUUCUGAACAGAGCAUGAAAAUACCACUUAUCUAGAUUUGCUUUUCAUGCUUUCACUUCACUUAAUCCAGCUUGUCCCUCCUUUGACUGUAUGCCGUGCUGGCAAGUGUGCUAUGCAGAUUACUGAGCUGACUAAUCAAUUUGAAGUGUACCAAUAAUAGAUUGGUGCCAGCUACUAACCUUAUGCCAUGUUAGUGCACAAUAACAGAUUGCUUAAGUUGGCUGGCACCAAUCUACUAACCCUAUGCCAUGUUUCUAAUGUGUCUAUAAAUUCACUAACACGUAUUAAUUUCUGCCAACAUUACCGAAUGAUUGUAUCGAUUUUUAAGCACGUAAACAUACCAGCUUUCUUUCUUUUACUCUCUAUUUCAUGUUUAUUCAAUUUCAAUCUUCUGCAAGUUUCUUUUACAUGCAUUUUUUCUUCUCUCUUUUGUUUUUUUGGUAAACAUAUUAUUUUAUCAUCUAUUACUAUAAGAAUGAAAUGAAAAUAGUCCUCAUUUAAAGUUUUGACAGCAAUGUUAUACUCAAUAUAACGUAUAAAGCACGCAUAAUUUAAUUAAUGGGGCUGCUAAUAUCUUCUUUAAAAGAGAAUUAUCGCAGCCACGUAGUUGGAAGCUCAAAGAGUUUCCAUAUUAGCCGAACCUAAGUGAUAAGCGUUUCCUUAUGAGCCAUGAUUUGGGGAAAAAAACCAAUUCAAGUUAAAGAUCAGAAAAGUGUGUCCCUCACGAAUACAAUAAUUCAAGCCACACAUUUAUCAAACGCAUGGCAGGGACGCUUCAACAUGUUGUCUCAUGGAAAGAAAUCCUUGUCUUUGACUUAAUACAAUGUUACAGAAAAAAUAUUGGGUGCUCCCACUGGCUGCUUUUAUUGAGUGGCAGAAUCAGAAUUUUAUUUCGGGUAAAAUCUCGUUUAGUCCCUAUAUUUUGAGGUUAGUGUCCGUUCAGUCCCUAUAUUUUUAAAAAUAUCUCAAAACAUCCCUGACAUUAAAUUAUUAGCACAUUUCCUCUUAUUUUUUGUUGCUUUUGGCUUAAUUUUUACAAUAUUACCCUCUUAUAAUAUUUUUUUUGGACAUUAGUAAAAAGAAAAAAAUUAAUUAUCAAUUUAAUCUCAAAAAAUAAAAUAGUAACAAAAUUAAUAUAUCAUACUUUUUUGUAACACACUACUGAGGAAUUAAUAUAAUAAUUUUUUUAUUACUAAUGUCCAAAAAAAAGGUAAUUUAAUUAUUUUAUUUUUGGGGUUAAAUUGAUAAUUUAAAUUUUUUUCUUUUUAUUAAUUUUAUAACAAGAAACAUUAUUGUAAGAGGGUAAUAUUAUAAAAGGAAGUCAAAAGAAACAAAAAGUAACAGCAUGGAUGUCAAUAAUUUAAGGGUAAGGAUGUUUUGAGGUAUUUAUAAAAAUAUAGGGACUAAAUGGGCACUAAUCUUAAAUUAUAUGGAUGAAACGAGCCUUUACCCUUUUAUUUCCAUGGUGGCAAUAAUGAUUAAACUGUAAACUUAAUUUGGUUGUGACAUGAAAAUAACGUUGUAAAUACUGGCUCUGCAUUUUAUAAAAUGCAGAUAUCUGUACUAGAAAAGAACUAUGACACACACACACACACACACACACACACACACACAUAUAAUCAUUCUCAGGUGCAGACGUCCGGAUUUUUUUUAAUGCAAACAAAUUUUUAAACCGUGCAAUUUUAAAGAAUUAGUUGUUGAAUAAACUAUAAAAUCAUGCUGUUUAGAAGAGUUAAAAGCUAACUCUCUUAUACCAUGCAGUUUUAAAGUGUGUCCGCAUAAAAAAAAAUGAGGACGCUCACACUAGAGAAGACUAUAUAUAUAUAUAUAUAUAUAUAUAUAUAUAUAGGUAUUCUCAUUUUAUUUUCAUGCGGAUACACUGUAAAACCGUAGGGUUUAAAAGAGUUGGUUAAUUUUUAACUCUUUUAAACUGCAUGGAUUAAAAGUGUGUCCACAUUAAGAAAAAUAUGGACAUCCGCACCCGAUAAUGAUUAUAUAUAUAUAAUAGUUUUUUGGUCCGGAAUUUUAAAGUGCGGGAAAGGUUAGGGAAAUCUUUAAAACCACAGAAUUUUAAAGGCUUAAAACUUGAAGCACUUAAACUGCACAUUUUAUGCAUUUUCCCGGACGUCCCCGUAAUUUAAAAUUCUAGAUUAUAUAUAUAUAUAUAUAUAAAGUUUUUUUUUCAAUUAACUAUUAUACCAUAUGAUUAAUAGCUGAUCCACACGAAAUUUACAUUUAGGCAAUUACUAUCAAAUAUCGAUACGUGUUUGAAUAAACUCUUAAAAAUCGAUUUCCACCUUCAUUAUUACAGCCCUUGUAUAAACUAACGCGGCAACAUAUAAUCAGUUGGUAAAAGAAUAAAUAUAUGUCAAGUGGGUUCUACCAUGUUUUUAAUUCAACGAAUGACAAUAUGCCACCUCGAUUUAUACAAUAAUAUUUAUGACUAUAUCAUUACUCAUUAAUUAAUAGGAACACUAAUUUAUUUUCUUAAAAGAGAAUUCAUCAAUUUGUACAAUAGUAUUUUUACAAAAGUAUUUGUGACUGUAUCAAUACUUGUUAGCUAUUAAUAGACCACUAAUUUAUUCUUCUUAAAAGAGAAUUACUGCAGCAAGUUUGGAGGCACAAAGAUUUCCCAUAUUAGCCAAACAUAAGAGAUAAAGAGUUCAUAUGAGAGGUAAUUUGGAAAAUCAAUUCCAUGCAAUAGGUCUUAGUGGGUUCGACUCAGUAUACGAUUAUUUUCAAAUUUUUAACGUAUUAAAGAUUCCUAUAUCACAUUAUAAUUUUCAAACAAUCAAAAUGAGUCAAAUCAAAUUUAGAACUUUGAGGUCUACUAUAGACUUGGACGUAUUAAAUUUAAGACAAUUAAGCAAAUCCUAGACAAAAUCUAACUUGUAAAUAUACCUUACCACACGAUGAACGUACUGAUAAAUCUUAACUGAUUGCUCACCAAUUAAUUGUUAUUUUGCAAUUUUUAUGUAUCCUUUUUUUCCCUAAAACUUCUAGUUUCCUAACAUACGGUUCUCAAUUGGUCUAAUUAUACUGUAAAUUGUAUUUUAAAUAUAAAUAAAAUGAAUUUAUUUAAUGGAAAUUUGAAAAAGGGACACUUAUCUACGAAAGCAAAGUUGCAUUCUCUUUGUGGGGACCCUAAAAAAAAAAAACGAGCCAGAAUGAUACUCCGAUGACGAUAAUCCUUAAGCUUAAGCAUUAAUUUUCUUUGCUUACAAUUUGGUUUGAAGGGUUAAGUUCAAGUUCGAAUUGAUAGAAAGAAUGGGCUGGUCAGUAUGAUGAUGAUGAUGAAGAAGAAGAAGAGGGGGAUGUCUUUGAGGAUGAAGAGAAAGAAAGUUCUAAAAAAAAAAAUACAGAUUUGUGGAAAUUAAAUUAAAAGCAACUAAUUAAGCAUUAUAAAUUACUUAACAGAGUAAUGCUGAGCUAAUCAAGUUUGUUUUUGAAGAAGGUAUCUUUAAAUCUCUUGGAGUUAAAGAUAAUUAUCAUAUCGCCAUAUCAAACGGACCGAUUAAAAAAUAAACUUAAAUAUUAUUUAAAAUCAUUUAAAUUUAACUUAAUAUAAUCCAAUAUAGACAAUACUAUAUAUAAUCUAGUCUAAUCCAAUUCAAUUGUAAUAAAUAAUACAAUCCAAUCUUGCGAGACAAAAUUGGCCUAAGGGUACCAAUUGCGCAAUAAUCUUUAUAGCCCGUUUCCCAGCCACGCACCCUUUUGUAUUAGUAUUCUCACAGCCGUUGGAAAUAUGGUUCGUAAUCCAAUAAAUGACAUUUUAUGGCUGUUGCUUGCUAGUUUUUGUAAGGUGGCCAAGGCCUUUUAUCAAACACUAUAGGAUCAACUAGUACAAAAUGAAUUCAUUUGGGAUGCGUUUAACGUACUGUGUUAGCUAUAUGCCUAUUAUGAUGUAUUGCAUUAACAUGCAUUAUAUUAAGUUAUAAUGUUAUACUUUGAUAUAGUAUAAACUGUAUUAUAUAAGGUAAUGUUUUAUAUUAAUGUUAAAACUAAAUUAAUAUUAUUUAAAUUUAUUAAUAUUUUAGGAUUUUAUUAUUAAUUUUUUUAAUUAAGUAUUAAAAAUUAUUUUAUAGUAUAUAAAUGAGUUAAUAAUAUAUUAUUAUUAAAUGAUAAAAUACUAAAGUACUAUGUUAUAUUAUUAAAAAUUAUUAUAUUAUAAUAUAAUUUAUUUCUAGAUAUUAAUUAUUAUAAUAUAGUAUAAUCAUAUAAUAAUAUAAUAUAAGUUAAUAUUAUAUUGUAAAAAUAUAAUACUGUACAAUUAUUUAAUAUAAUGUAAAUUAAUUUAUAAUAUAAUAUUAAAUUAUAAAUUGAUUAAAUUAAAUUAAAAUACUUUUUACGUAUUUAAAGUAAAAUAAUUAAAAUAAUUUAUGUAAUAGAAGUAUGAUAAUGUAUUAUCAUUUUCUCAUUAAAUAUUUUAGGUUUGUUAAUUUGUUAAAUUAUUAUUGAAAUUAAAAUUAAUUGUUUAAAUGUAAAUAUAAAUAUAAAUGAAUGCUUAAUAAAAUCUACUCCUAUGGAUCUAUUUUAUACACUUUUUAUUCUAUGAACCACGCUUAUAAUGUAGUUGUAUAAUAGAAACUGGAUAUUUAAUGGAAGCAAAAUUGCGCACGGUUUGUGGGUCUGUCAAAAAAUGAUAAAAAGACCAAUAUGAUACACUGACUCUGUCCUCUUUAAUAUUUUUCUAGAUGCUUCCGUGGCAUAAUCUCAUUGGUCCAUUUUUCUUCACGGCUUAGAUUCAACUUCAAAAAUCAAUUUGAAGCAAACACAACAAUUCAACAAAUAUAAUUAGUGUAGAGUGUUCUGAUUUAUUCUAUAAGUAGCUCAUUUGUGCUUAAAACCUACAUGUAUUGCACGUUUCUAUCGGUAAUUUGAUUACCUUUCCGUACUUUAUCAAUUAUUGAAUGAUUUUACCGGUUUAAUCGCUUGAUUGUUUGAGUAUAAUCGGUAAUUUGAUCGUCUGUCAGCAAGUGAUUUACAAUUCACUCUCCAAUUUUCAUUAAUUUAGUGUAGCCAAGCUUUAACUAGAUAGGUAGAUAACGUGGUCAUGAAAACUUGAUUAAGAGUUUAAUGCAAUCAAAUCUACUUUAAUGAUUAUUUAAUGCACGGAGAUUUAACAUCAAUUAUCAUCACGUUAUUCUAACAACGAAAUUGUAGAGCUUGGAUCUUUACUCGAACAGUUUCACUGGCACUAUUUCUGACACAUUGGGCAAGCUGAAGGAAUUGCAAUUCCUGUAUGAUCAUUUCCCCAACUAUUAUUUGAAUAAUUAUUUAAUGCCGUUCAUUCCAGCUCUGUUUGGCUGUUAACUUUAUUUUGUUAUUUAUGAGGAGAUUCAUUUCUCACCUGAAGCUAGAAAAUUUAUUGUAAUACAUGGAAGUAUAUAUUGCAUUGAAUAAAAUGAAAUUGUUCAAAAAUUAACAAAUUCAGCUUUAUUAUAAUCUAAAACAAAGUAAAUAGAAUAAUACCCAUCAUGUGUAAAAAUAAAAAAUAAAAUUUUUUAUACCACUUGGAAUUUAUUUUAAAUGUUUUGGUCAAAUCUAAGAAGCACAAACUUUGAACAAUGAUAAUAGGUAAAAACUAAUAAUCUUAUAAUAAAAAGUAAGAAAAAAAAUCAAGUUGAUUUAGCAGCUAAGAAUAAAAAAAGAAAAAUAGAAAGAGAGAGAAAUUAGUUUAGUCUUUAACCAUUGUUAUACUAGAGAAAAAAAAUUAAUUAAGAGUAAUUUUAUGAAUUUUUAGAAAUGAGUGAAUUUAAAAUAAUAAAUUAUAAUUUAAUAAUUAUCUUAAUUAAAAAAAUGGGUGUUGAAAUAAAAUUAGUGAAUGACUCUUUAUUUUACGGAUCAAUGACUCUUUAUUUUUUCUUUUAUAUGAUAGCUUGCAAUCCCUGGUGUGUGUUGAUAGUGCCAUACAUAAAUACAAAAAUGAACAAUUUUUUUUUUUUUUUGGGGGGCCAAUUGCAGUUUUGAUAACUAAAAUCUGUGUGGUCCGGUUACCACAAAGGCUUGCCGCAGAUCCCUGCCAUUUUCUCCUCCACCUCCAUUUGGGGAAAUUACUACUUACUUUUUGCAAGUUUUUCUUGAAAUAUUUAUUCUGAUAAGAAAACCAAUAAUACAUUUUAAGAUUUGGGCUGUUUCAAAGAUCUUCCCUUGAUGUCUCUGCUACUGAUGAUAUAUUGGGAUCGACUUUUUUUAUGAAAUAGGAGUUAGACCGAACAACGUUAUAUUUUUUACGGACUCUCAUACCAUGGAAAAACUCAGCCUUAAAGAAUGGUAUGAUGCUUUGAUAUAUGAAGUAAUUGGUAUAUAUUUUGUACCUUCCAUACACGGUGUCUAGAAUUUUGAGAUUAAGAAGAGUAUAAAUGCUAUACAAAUACACUCCUUUCAUUUUAUACAACUUUGAUUGAUCAAGUUGUAUCUCUUUGAUAAUAUGUUCUAUCUUCUUUCAUUUUAAACUUCAAUUGAGUUGCUAUCUAUUUAACUUUGGCAAGUCAGAGAGAGGGAUGGGACUGUCCAAUUAAAAUUAAGUUCCAAUUGCCAAUCCCACCAUUGUUGUCUCAUGUUUGCCAAAUUCAAAUUUGAAAAUCUCACCAAGUCAGUAUGGUGAUGUUGUGGGAUUGUCUCGCCUAGGUUUUUAGCCUCAUGACCUCCUUUAUUAGAAAAAGUCUUAAGUGUUCUUACUCAAUGGUAGAAUCAUGAUUUUACUUCAAUGGAAGCCAUAAUGAUUAAAAUAUACUCUUUUGAUUAAUUACUUAUUUGAUGUUGCUCUCUCUACCAUCAUCUCCAUCUUUAUGAAAAAAUUUAUUGUAAUACAUGGAAGUAUAUAUUGCAUUGAAUAAAAUGAAAUUGUUCAAAAAUUAACAAAUUCAGCUUUAUUAUAAUCUAAAACAAAGUAAAUAGAAUAAUACCCAUCAUGUAAAAAUAAAAAAAAAUAAAAAUUUAUACCACUUUGAAUUUAUUUUAAAUGUUUGGUCAAAUCUCAGAAGCACAAACUUUCAACAAUGAUAAUAGGUAAAAACUGAUAAUCUUAUAAUAAAAAGCGAGAAAAAAAAUAAAGUUGAUUUAGCAGGUAAGAAUAAAAAAAGAAAAAUAGAAAGAGAGAGAAAUUAGUUUAGGCUCUAACCAUUGUUAUAGUAGAGAAAAAAAAAUUAAUCAAGAGUACUUUUAUGACUUUUUAGAAAAGAGUGAAUUAAAAUAAUAAGUUAUAAUUUGAUAAUUAUCUUAAUUAAAAAAAUAGGGGUUGAAAUAAAAUUAGUGAAUUUAAAUAGCCUGCCCAAAAUCCAAACUUGCAUAUCAAUUAUUUUCUAAUUUACAUAAAGUUUUUCUAUAUGUUUGAUAACAUUUGAUUCUCAAUUGGUCUAAUGGAGAAACAACCAGCAAAAAAAUAAAAUGAAUGAAAUUAAAUGGAAUUUUGAAAAGAGCAGUAGAUGACAUUUAUGUGCAAGCAAAAUGCAAAAUUGCAUUCUGUUUGUGGGAUCCUGGAAAAAAUAAAAGAAAGAAAACAGAGUAAGACGCUGGUACUGUGGGCUUUAAUAUUUUUCUAGAUGCUUCAAUGGCAGAUUCUCGUUGGUUCAUUUUUCUUUACGCCUUAGAUUCUAUGAUUCAAUUUCAAUCAAAUAAGACAAACAAAAGAAGCUUUUAAGCCUGCAGCUCAAAAAGAUGGCACUUUAAUUUUCGGCUGAACAUACAUAUGGCAAGAUUAUUAUUAUUGAGCUUGAUAAGUGGGGAUAGCAAAAUCCGAAUUCGGAUGUAGGUGCAUUCGGAUUUGGAUUCGGGAAAAAUUAUGUGGAUGUGGAUUUGGAUGCGGGUAAUAUCUGCACGAAUUGCGGGUGAAUAUUCUAAAUAUUUAGAUCCGCAUAAUAAUAAAUUUAAUUUUAAUUUUAAUAAUUUACAUAAUAAUAUUAAAUAUAAUAUAAUUAUACUUUAACAAUCAUUAAUUUAACAUCAAUUCAACAUAAAUACCAUACAACAACACCAUAAAUUCACAAACAAUAAUUUCACAAUAUAAAUCAAACAUAAAAAAUAAAAAUAAAAAUCUAUGGUAAACCGAUUUAUUACAAUAUUCUCUAAUUAUUAUUAUUAUUAUUAUUAUUUGUUUUUUAAUAUAUUCAUAGUUAAUGAAGAUUAUAGAGUUAAUUAUGCUUAUACAUUUAUAUAAAUAAUUUAAUUUAUAUAUUUUCAAUUGAAAUUUAAUUAAAUAAAUAAUUUAAUUAUAAAAUAAUGCAGAUCCGGAUAUCUAAUUUUUCGGAUGUAAAUGCAUCCGGAUCCGUACGGAUCUUAAUUUUUAAGAUUCGGAUUCUUUUUUUUUAACAUACAGAUUUAAAUUUUUUUGAAUUCGGAUCUUCUGAAUCUUUGCAGAUCCAGAGUUUAUUGCCAACCCUAAAUUGAUAAGGCUAUAGAAAAUUCAAUAUCCAGAUCGGAUAAGGAUCCAAUAAAUUAUAAAAUAUUGCGGCUCAAAGCCCAUAUGAUCAUGGGCCACCGCUUGCUCAUGCUUUGAAUCAAAAUUUUCUAAUGAAGUGAGGUUGGAAGCUAAAAGGGGCAAAUGAUGAAAUGGGGUUCAUCAUAUAUUGAGCCCAACGGGACAAGAUCAUCAUUUAAUUCCCUCCUCUUGUCGAUAGAUAUUUGCCGAAUUUUUUCAUUUAAAAAAUAUUAUAUUGGUUAAUAGAAUUUGAAGUUUUACAAAAUAUAAGUUUAAUUUAAAAAAAAAUUAUGUUUGUUAAUUUAAAAUUUUCAUUUGGUGGUUGUGUUUGAGAAAAAAUUUAGGUAUACUCGGAUAUACUCUCUUAUUAUUCAUUGAAUUUGGGUAUUUAAACAUACUAGUAUGUAGUAUUUUUAGGUAAUUAGCAGAGAAGUAUACGUGACAAAAAUAUAACACGUGAAACAAUACACAAUGAAAUUAUCUACAAUUUUCCAUUGACUUAGUCAACUCUUCAUUAAUUUCAUUGACUUGAUCAACUCAUGAUCUAACUUGACAACUUAAAAAUUAAAUUAUGCUAGUAAUUCCGUAAAAUUAAAAUUUAUCUCCCAAAAUUGAUAAAUACCAUGUCACUUUGUCAAAUUACUUAGGGUAAAAACUCUGUGGCUAAAAACUUUUAACAUUAGUUGUAUGCUAAUUGAGAAGGACAAGACACAAAAGAAUUAAAUUAAUGCCACAUCAUGCAACACUAACACUACUUACUCUUAACAAAUUCUUACAAACGUGAUUCAUGAAAUUAACUUGACUUUUUGUCUAAAAAAGGCCUAAAGAAUCAUGCCAAGCAACAAAUAAAGUAGUCCAAACGUGAUUCAUGAAACUUGAUAGGCACUAUCUAAAUAGUAUUAAUAUGGCCACCAAAAACAUGCGCGCAAAAUAGACUUUCUUGGACGAUCCAUGCCAAUCAGCAAAUAAAGUAGUCCGAACGUGAUUCGUGAAACUUGACUUCUUGUCUAAAAAUGCCUAAAGAAACAAGACCACAAUUUCCAUGCAAUAUCAAUAUGGUGGCCACAAUGCACUUUUUAAGCCAUUUUUCAAAACUAAGUUUCUUCGUUUCACAUGCACUAUUCAAGCAAUUUUUCAACAUUUUCUCCUUCCCCUAAAAGCUACAUGCAUGAAUCAUGUCCCAAUCAAUUUCUUGGCAAAAAUUGGAACGCAAGAACCGAUUGGAGCAUAAGGACAAUGUCACGAUUCAAGAUUCUCAGCAAGACCACGUCACAAUGCAUCACUUUUGGAAAGUAAUCUAGCAAUUUCCAAUGCCUUAGCUGAUUAAUGGCUUGACCAUGUCACGAUUGGUCCACAUUAUGCACAUGGCAAGAUCAAACAAAAUAUCACAGCUAGCUCGACGACUACUAGCCAAAAUAACAAGACAAUGACGGCCAGUUACAAACUCUUUACGAAGGAAAUACCGAAAUAUGAAUUUCCCUCCUAAUCACUUUCUUAUAUUAUCAUUAUUUUGUACAUAUAACAGAACACGUUCUCUCUUGUAAAGAAGUCAACAAAACGGUUUUAGUUUUCAUAUCAAUAAUAGAAUCCAAAAUCUUUCACAGCUUGCUUCUCCUUUGGACGCUUGAAAGACUUUCUUACCUGGCUAAAACUGUGAAAAUUGUUCAAACUAAUUUGAUUGAUAACUUUCUGACACUAUAAUGUAUUAUUUAUAUGAAGGCUACAUUUAAAUGUGAAAUAAAAAUGAGUGUUUAUAUUAAAAAACAAUCAGUCUCAUUGCGUCCUCUUUCAUUGACAUAGGCAGUUUGCGGUCAACCCUUUAUUAGGUCAUGACUGUCCGAUUGUCUUCGCUUUCAUUGACUUCGCAACUGUGAAUUCUAAGCCGGGUUAACGAUUGACAAAAUGUUAUAACCCAUAAAGCACGGAUAAUUAAUUAAUGGGCCACUGAUUUCUUCUUUAAAGGCUAAUUCUUGGUAAAGAUCAGAAAGUUCUCAAAUAAAAAUUCGGCUUUGUGGAAAUUAAAUUAAAAGCAAUUAAGCAUUAUAAAUUACUUAACAGCUUAAUCGAGUUUGGUUUUGAAAAAUAUAUCCUUAAAUCUCUUGUAAUUAAAGAUAAUUAUCAUAUUACCGUCUCAAAUGGACCGAUUUCAAUCAAAUGAAAUCUAGAAAAUUGAGCAGCUCAUUGAUGUAUUUGGUCGAAUUGUGACUUGUGUCAGAGUCUUCGUUUUAGAAGAGUGCACAGCAGCUGCCAGGUCCACUCGGCAGUUGGCAGCAAAUUAUCUAACACCACUUUACUAUCAAAAUUUUUUGACAAUAAUUUUUUGUCACUUAAUAUUUCAAUUUUUAUCAUUUUAUCAUCAAAAAAUAGUAAAUGCAUGUUUAGUGUAAGUUAUCCACAAACAUGGUUGUUGAAUUGUCUUGUUUCUCAUUUGGUUUAAUUUUCAUAAAUUCGACUCACACAAUUCAAUUAUGAGUGGAGUUUUUUUGGAAAAAAUCUGGUCUUCCAUUUACUAGAACCAGGUCUGAAUGAUUUUAUUAUUUUUCUUUUGUUUGAAAUAUACGUGGAAAAUGUUGAACACUUUGUAGGAUUUAGAAGAAUUUGAAAGUUUGAAUGCAUAUAGUUUACUAUCCAUCAGCUAGUGCAUAUUCUGUAUUUUAUGAAAUCAAAGCUGGUUGAUUGAGAAAUGGACCUUAUUACAUGUCAUAAGAUUUUACAGUGCUUUCUAAUGGGGCAAAAUAAAAUGAUUCUUAUCUGCACAGAAAAUUAGAAACGAAAAGGAGGGUUACUGAUCCACAGAGUUGUUAUUUACGAGAAGCACAUGGAUAUUACACUUAAUUUAUUAUCCAUCUGUAUUGUUUAGAUGACACUGAAGUAUUACCUAAAUUUAUUAUCCACAAAACUUCUUUUUCAAAAAUCUAUGGUUGUGAUGCGUCUCUAUAAACUCACUCGUACAAAUUCUAUCUAAUGCCAAUUGUUUUAAACCCUGCUCUGAAGAGAGCAUGAAAGGAUAUGUUCACUUAUCUAGUUAUGUUUUUUAUGCUUUCACUUCACUUGAUUAUAUCCAUCACAAGGAUCAUAUUAUAUCCUACGGAAGGAGCACAGUUCAUUGGCUGCACUCAGUUUACAGAGUAUUUCGGGAUUCAAGACUGUAGGUUGUUGCGGUUGCAACUUGCAAGGCUGUAGCUGUGUGACUGUAUGCCACGCUGGCAAGUGUGCUCUGACGGAUUGUGGAGAUGGCGCCAAAGAUUGUAAACUAAUUAGUACUGAAAAAUCCUAUUUGCACAUAAAAUUGCACAAAAUAAAUAGAAUGAGAAUAAUUGUACAAAGAAAUAAGAUUAAUAAAGUAAAUAAAUUUAUCUUUUAACAAAAUAUUUCUAGUCUUUUAGUGUUUUUGUGUACGUACAAGUAGCAUUACUCAUUCUAAUAAGUAGCUCACUUGAGCCUAGGACUUGUAACUAUGUUUUACCUUUCUGUAACUUUCUUAUAAAGAUUUUUUUUUUUUUUACAUUUUCAAUUUCUCUUCCAUUUUCCCGACUCCCAACACCACCAAUCCUCGGUUUUCUAGAGUAUCAGCUAUCUCUUUCUACAAACACAAAACUGCUAUUUACUUUCAAGAAACAACGUAUUCUGUGGUUUAUUGGCUUGAGCCUUGUGAACCGGGCUAAUGUUGGUCUAACUACUUUCACGAAACAACGUACUCCGUGGUUUAUUGACGCGCACGGUAGCUGCUAAGUGCUAACUGCCUUCUCCAUUUGACGUGCAAAACACUUUCUUGAGUCGGGUUAAAAUUAAUUGAUCAUUUUAUUUGGUGAUAAUGACUUAGUUGUCAAGUCAUGAGUUUGAUGAUGAAGAGGAUGAAAAAUAUUAUUUUAUUAUUUAAAAUAAGACUAUCAAUUAUUUCCAUGGUCAUCUUAUUUUCUAAAAUAACUAAAUGGAAUCUCACAGAAUUAAAGUGCUUGACUUCUUCAUACAGUGGUUGACUUCUUUUUACAGAAUUAUAAAGUGAAAAAGGAAAUUAAGAAAUUAAAUACUUUUCAUGCGAGUGGAGAAGAUUGGGUAGCGAUUACAUGAAAUAAAAGAAAAAUAAUUUAAAAGUACAACACUUUAAUAAUCUCAUUCCCAAUCAUAUCGGUAUAAAAAUUCUGUAGAUUUAUUGAAUAACUAUUGAUUUUACUUUGGUAAUUUCUUUCUAAAAGUGAGGUAAACAUUUUUAUUUUCUUUGCAUUCGAGCUUUCUUUCUUUUGCGCUGGCCUUCACACUCUUGACCGUAUUUCAUGGGGCACAUUCAAUCUCAAUCUACUGCAAGUUUGUGGCAGUUUUGUUAAUAACGAACAUUUGUAGGAUUUUAUGUAGAUGAUACUUUUACAUACAUUUUUCUUUUCUUUUUUUCUUCGGUGAACAAAUUAAAAAUUUAGUUUUUGUCAUCAUGACUAGUGAAAUGAAAAUUGUCCUCAUUUCAAGGAUUGACAAAAACGUUGUGCUCAUACCGAUUAAUGGGGAACUGAUUUCGUCUUCUUAAAAGAGAAUUAUUUGCAGCGCCGUAAUUCGGAGAUUUCUGUAUUAUAUAGCCAAACCUAAGUGAUAAGAAUUUCCAUAUGAGAUAUAAUUUGGAGGGAAACAAAAAACUAAUUCAAGUUAAAGACCAGGAAUUUGUGUUCCUCACAAAAACACUUCAACGUCUAUUCUCUCAUAGAGGGGAAUAUCCUUCACUCUUUGACGUAUCCCUGGGGCAAUGUAAGUUGACUUUACAUUAAAACAAAAAAUAAUUACAAUCACAUAAUUACAAUUAUCAUCACUGAUUUGUAUAAUUUUCAGGACUAGUAAAUUAUCUCAAUUUUUAAAAAACAUAAUUACAAUUAUCGAUCGAACACCACUAAUUCCAACAAUUCAUCCAAGUUUUUCAACUUUUUAGAUAUUUGAUAUAUGUCAUGUUUUAACUUAGUACGAGAAAAAAAAUAUAGAAUAAUUUUUUUUCAAAUUAGUGGAAUUAUUUUACGAUAAAACUAUCACAAUCACAUUGAAAAAUAUUCUUUAAAUUUUCACUAUUUCUACUGUUAUUCUUUAACCUUUUUUCUGAACAGAGCAUGGAGGGUUGCUUAUCUAAAUAUGUUUUCUGUGCUUUCACUUCACUUGAUUCAUCUUGUCCCUCUUUCAUAGCUUCUAUCUCGUGUGAGCUUAGAACCUGCAACUCGUAUUUUACGUUUCUGUUACUUUCUCUUUCAUUUUCCCGACUCCCAAACACCAUCAGUCCUUGAUGUUAUAGAGUAUUAGCUGUCUAUUUGUACAGACAUAGAGCUACUGUUCCCACUGUAGAUCUUCAGAUGGUUAGCUCACUAUUGUUUGAAUAUUAAAAUUAAUUUGUUAAAUAAAUAAAGAAAACAAGAGACAAUUGCCAUAUAUAUUCCAUAUUAAUUAGUCACCGUCCGAUUGUCUCCACUUCCAUUGACUCUGUUGAUUCAUGCUUUCAUGAAGUGAAACGUUUAACACUCUGUUCUGAUCCGCAGGAGAGGAGGAAAAACAUAAUUUUAUUAUUUCAUUCCUGACACGCGCAAAGAGCUUUCUUAAUUGAUGAAUGUGACAUGAAGCUCUAUAAAUAGUUUAAUUUGUAAAAUUGUUAAAAUUUGUUAAAUUUCAUUUAAUUGAUGAAUGUGACAUGAAGCUCUAUAAAUAGUUUAAUUUGAAAAAUUGUUAAAAAUUUAAAUUUCAAGUAAGGUAGAUAAAAUGAUUAAAUUUUUUCAAUAUUUAGAAAAUUAACAUGUGUCAUGUAACUAUGAGUGAAUGAAUGAAAUUUUUGAAGUGCGAAUCCAUUUACAAGUUACGACUUGUCUUGUUUCUCAUUUUACUUAAUUUUCAUAAAUUUGACUCACGAUCAAUUAUGAGUGAAGAGUUUGUUGGAAAAAUAUGGUCUUCCAUUUAUUGUAAUCAGAUGAGUGUGAUUUAAUUAUUUUUUCCUUUUGCUUGAUGUCCCGAAAAUUAUGAAUGCUUUUGUAGGAUGCAGAAGAUUAAAAAUUUUAAUGCAUAUCUAUAGUCAAAACUGAGGAAACAGAACAUUACUGCUUCUAUAAAUAGGUCAUUUCAACCUAAAACUUGUUACUUGUAUUUUACAUUUUUUUUUUUUAACUUUUUCUUCCAUUUUCCCAAACACCACCAAUCCUUGAUUCUUUUCCUAGAGUAUUAGCUGUCGAUUGUUACAAACAUAGACAUAUUGUUUGUCUAAUUACUAUCAAGAAACAACAUACUCUAUCCUGGGGUCUCUUCGUUUAUUUAAUAUUUAGGUUUAUUAAUAUACUAUAUUAUUAAUUAAUAAUUUAAAUUAAUUAAAUAAUAAAAGUUAAAUGAUUAUAUUGAAAAUCCAAGUAGUAUUUUAAUGUAAUGAAACCUAAAUCCCACCUCUAUACCACAUUUGUUAUACAAUGUAAUGCAACUAUAAAUUAUAAUUAUAUAAAAAUAAUAUUUUAAUACAAUAUAAUACAAAUUACAAGUGUAAGGCUGUAAUAUUAAUUAGCCUGUGUAAUAGUAUGCCAUGCUGGCAAGUGUGCUAUAACAGAUUGUCGAGCUGGCACCAAUUAUUUUAAACUAAUAUUAGUAAUUAGUCUAGAGUGUUCUGAUUUAUUCUAUUAAUAGCCCAUUUAAGCUUUGAACAUGUGAACUUGUAACGUGUACUGUACUUUUCUAUUACUUCUAAUAAAGAUUUUCUCUAUUCCUUUUUCUUCACUUUCUCUUCCGUUUUCCCGACCCUCAAACACCGUCAAUCCUUGAUUUGAACUGCUGUUUGUUUGUCUAAUUACUUUCAAGAACAAUACCCUCCAUCCCACGGUCUCUUCGUUUAUUGACUUGUUACUUGUGAACAGGGCUAAAUAAAGGGAAAAUACAACAAUUCAAGCCAGCCAUUUAUCAAACGCAUGACAGAGACGCUUCAACAGGUUGUCUCAUGGAAAGAAAUCCUUCAGUCUCUGACGUAAUACUUGGGGCAACGUAAAUUGACUUUACAUUGAACGAAACACUGGCCACAAACAUUAUCAAAAUUAAAUUGAUCGGUUUAACGUAAGUUUUUCUUCAAGAACGAAUGCCAAGAGCUCAAGAAAGUCCUAUCCUUUAGACACGUUAAGAAUUACUUUUCUUUUCAUAAUAAAUUAGAUUGAGUUAAUAAUAUUUGCCUGUGUGAAAUGAAUAAUCAGUUUAGUGUCACCCCAUUAUUAAUUUGUGACUGUCCGAUUGUCUCCUUUUUCAUUGACUUUGCAACUGUGACUUCUGAACCGGGUUAAGAGUUGACAAAAAUGUUAAUGUUAAUAUGUUAUAACUCAUAAAACACGCAUAAUUAAUUAAUGGCCCGCCAAUUUCUUCUUCUCAAAAGAGAAUUUUUGUAGGAGAUUGAAAAAAGGCUAAUUCAUGUUAAAUAUCUUAGAUGAGUGUCUAUCAGGGAUACAAGUCAAGCCACACGAUUUUUCUUGUUAUACUAUUUAUUGGCACUUGUGAAUCCUUGAAUUAUCAAAUGAAUAGCAACAACACUUCAAUAUCUAUUGUUACACGGAGAGAAAUCCGUUCUCUCUUUGAUGUACUACUUGGCAAUAUACAUUGAUCUUUCAUUAAAACAAGCAUUCUCAUAUUGUUGAGAAAAGCUCACGUUAAACUAUUCAAUUUAAUCAUUUAUUAAACAGAUAUUUGGUUUGAUUCAUUUAAUUCAUUUAGUAGAAUUAAUAAACGAAUCGGAUCGAAUCCAGAUUCAUUUAUUCUAUUACGAAUCCACAACGAAUUGAAUAGAAUCGAAUCAGAAUUCAUUUACAAUUCGUUUAGAAAAAUAUAAUUGAUUAACAAAAUUAAGCAAAAUAAAAUAUAAAAAAGCCGCAAAUUUAAUAUCCUACAACAAAAUACAAAUAACACAAACCAUAUUCUAGGAUUAAAUAUACAGUCAUCCAAAUUACAACAUUAACCUUCAAAUUUUAAAAUAAAUAAAUAAAUUUAAGGACAAAAAAAUAAUUUUAUUAAAUGAAUAAUAAACGAAUUUUAAACGAAUCGACAUGUAUUCGAUUUGUUUAUCACUUGUUUAUUAAACGAAUCCUAGACAAAUAUAACGAAUCAAUAUCUUCAAAGCUGGAUUUGAUUUGUUUAAUUAGCGAAUCGAAUCAAAUUAGCCCAUUUAUUAAACGAAUCAAUUUUUUCGAACCCAAACCCAUUUAAUUGGCAUCGAAUCAAAUAAACAAAUCCUGACCUAUAUUGUCACCCCUAGGCUUUUGGUGUUUCUUUGCGUAUUUUUGUGUACAAGUUUGUGUGCAAAUAGCAUUACUUAUCAAUAAUUAGUCUGGAGUGCUCUAAUUUCUUCUAAUAAGUAGCUCAUUUGGGCUUAGGACCUAUAACUAGUAUUUUACGUUUUUGUUAAUCUCUGAUAAAGAUUUUCUCUAUUCUUUUUUUUUUUCCUUUCACCUUCUCUUUCAUUUUCCGAGUCUCAAACACCACCAUUCCUUGAUUUUCUAGAGUAAUAGCUCUCUAUUUCGACAAUCGCAGAACUGUUGUUGAUCUAACUACUUUCAAGAAAUAACGUAUUCUGUGGCAUAUUGACUUGUGAACGGGCCUAAUUAGUCACGGUCCGAUUGUCUCCUCUUCCAUUGACUCGGUCAAUUCAUGACUUUGACCUGCACAGUUGAUACGAACUGACUUCUCCAUUUGACGUGCACAAAACUUUCUUUAGUCGGGUUCAAAUUAAUUGAUCACUUUGUUUGGUGAUGAUGAAUUGGAUGUCCAAUUCAUGAGUUUCAUGAUGAAGAGGACGAAAAACAUUAUUUUUUGAUUUAAAAAAGACAAACAAUUAUUUCGAUGGUCAUUUUAUUAUUAUUUUUUUAAAUAUCCAAAUGGUAGAAUCUUACAGAAUUAAGGUGCUUGACUUCUUUAUACAGAAUUACAAAGCGAAAAAAUAAAGAAAUAAAAUACUCAUCGUGCAAGUGAGAAGAGAUUGGGUUGUUGAUACAUUAAAUAAAAGAACAAUGAAUUAAAAGCAUAACAUUUCAAUAAUUUCAUUCUCAAUCAUAUCAAAAAUAAAAUUUACUGUACAUUGUUGUUCGGUUCUGCAAAAAAAAAAAAAAAAGGAUUUGCGGUUUUGCUUGAGUGUAAUUUUCGUUAAUUACAGUUUGAUUUGAAGGGUUAAGCGCACGUUCGGGUUUCUUUUAUGUAAUUUAAAUCAACAUUGAUAUAACAAAUGAGCUGAGUACGAUGAUGAAGAAGAGGAAGAGGGGUAUCAUCAAUUUAUUAUCAAAUCUUUUCUCAUACAUCACUUUAUCAUUAUAAGCUUUUGACAAUUAUUUUUAUCAAUCGGGGUUCUUGACUUUUUGUUUGAAGUCUAAAGCUUAAUAAUUUUAAAGCAUUUACCAUUUUUAUUUUGUUUUUUUAAUCACUUAUGUCUGAUUAUAAGAUGUUUAGGUAUGAAUAGAAAAAGUUAAAUAUUUUAACUUUUAUCUGAAUGACAAAAUAUAUAAAUGGAUUUUAAUAUUCUCUCUUGUUAAUACCCCUAUUCGAUAAAUUUAUUUCUUGUUAUAUAAAUUAUUGUUUUAUUUUUUUAUUUUUUUAUUUUUUUAUUUACCCCUCUCUUUUGUUAUAUACAUGCAUUCAACUAUCAUUUUUUUUUCUAUGAAUGAGAAUUUUAGACAUAAUAGAAAUUUAGGUGAGUAUGUUUUAUAAUAGAUCUAUCUCUUUGUAUUUACAUUUACUAUUUUAUAAUAAAAUUUUGAAUUUUAUUUACUACAUUAAUUUUAAUUCAAAUGAUAAAGCAAUUCUUGAUUGACUUAUAUAAUUAACAAGAAAAAAAUAUCAAUAUAAAAUACAAAAAAUAGCAUUAUAUUCAAUACUUUAAUAAUCUCAUUCCCAAUCAUACCGGAAAUAAAUUUUUCUGUAUAUUUAUGAAAUAACUAUUGAUUUUUUUUUUUAAAGGUAAACAUCUUUAUUUUCCUUGCACACGAGCCUUCUUUCUUUUGCUUUGGCCUUUACUGUUGAUUUCAAGGUCAUAUUCAAUCUCAAUCUUCUGUAGGUUUGUGGCUGUUUUAUGAGUUACGAUUUUUAUAGGAUUGCAUGUAAAUGACAUAUUUAUAUACAUUUUUUCUUUUCGGUGAAGAUAUUAAAAAUUUAGUAUUUGUUACCAUGUGAAAUGAAAAUAGUCCUCAUUUCAAGGAUUAAUGGGCCACUAAUUUCGUCUUCUUAAAAGAUAAUUAUUUGCAGCGAGAUAAUUGGAAGCUCGAAGAUUUCUAUAUUACAUAGCCAAACCUAAGUGAUAAGAAUUCCCAUAUGAGAUAUAAUUUUGGGAAAAAAAAAACCAAUUCUAGUUAAAGAUAAAAAAUUUGUGCUCCUCACAAAAACAAUAAUUCAAGCCACACAAUUUUUCUUGUUUUAUUUCAAAAACAAAAUUGUGUUCCUCACAAAAACACUUCAACAUCUGGAGAAAUUUUAGAAUAUAUCUGUUGUAACAUGUCAACCAUACAACAAACAAAUAAUUUCAUGACAUGUAUGUAUUUAUUUUAUAAGCUAUCAUUCAAGUGGUGGUUGUAUUAAACUCAAUUACACAUGUCAUGCAUGUAUUAAUUGGUUGUAAUACAACAGAUGUAUUAUAGAAUUAUUCCAACAUCUGUGGUCUAGUAAAGGGAAAAAUCCUUCACUCUUUGACGUGUCCCCAGGGCAAUGUAAGUUGACUUUACAUUAAAAAAAAAAAAAGAAACAUUGUCAUAUAGUUAAGAAAAACGUAAUUUUGACAAGUGCAAGAGAUGGGUAGGACUCAUUUGAUGCAAGAAAAACAAUGAGUAUACGCAAAGAGCUUUAUUACUCUGCAGCCAAUACUUUGAUGAAUGUGACAUUAUUGGUUUGUAUAAUUUUUUGGACUAAUAUUUUAUCUCAAUUUUUUUAAAAAAAUAUAAUUGCAAUUUUCAAACACGAUUAAUCCCAACAAUUUAUCCAAAAAUUUGAGUUUCAAUAAAUGUAGCAUUUAUGAUAGCAUGGCUAAUUUUUUUCAACCAACACUUUAGAUAAAUGAUAAAUCAAUAUUUGACAUGUUACUAACUUACUACAAGAAGGAAAUUAUAGAAUAAUUUUUUGAAUUAGCAGAAUUAUUUUACGAUAAACCUAACACAAUCUAAUUUAAAAAUAAAGUUAUUCUUUAAAUUUCCCGUUCCUAUUCCUACUUUUCUUGUUAUACUACUUUGGCACCGGUGAAGCCUUGAAUUAUCAAACAAAAAGCAAAAAACACUUCAACAACUGUUGUCCCACUAGGCAUUGUUAAAUUCAUACGAUAAAAUGAGUACUUGUAUUAAAAAACAAUGAGUCUCAUUGUGUCCUCUUUCAUUGAUAUAGGCAAUUUCCAGUCAAUUUGUGGCACCCUUACUGACACGUAAAAAACUUACUUACCCCUCACCCAAUACUUUUAUGAAUUUUCAGGACUAGCAAAAUUUUCAAAUUUAAAAGAAAAAAAAUGCAGAAAUAUAAUUUCAAUUUAUCCAGAUAUUUGGGUUUCAAGGAACAUAGCAUUUAUUAUAUGUCAUGUUAAUAUAGAGACUAAUUUUUUUUAAAAAAAAAUUGAAUGAAUAAAAGUAUUUUUUUGAUAAAAAUUUCACAAUCAUAUUUUUUUAAAAAAGUUUUUUUAAAAAAGAAAAUUCACUCCUCUUCUUACAUAAUUUAAUAAUUUAACAUUAUAAAUUAAUCUUUUUAAUCAAAGUAAUAAUCUCUCCUUCGGUGUGCGAAUGCUAAAAUUUAAUAUUAUAGUCGUUGAUGAUAUUUGCGUCAAAUUCACGUGAAUAAAAUUUCUAACAGAAUUAUGAAAUUCGUUACUAGAAAUUUGUAUAAAAGUAGUGAGAAUAGAAGGUUUGAUCAAAGGAAAUUAAUAUAUCCCUAUCCGAUGCAAAAAUUACAUUCUAUUUUCCAAUUACUAAGGUCAGCCUUAACGCAUGCCGGUCUUUUUCUCCUCUACUUUCUAGAAAUUUUGGUUUCACUAUAAAAACUCGGUAUAUAACAAACUUAUGAGUGUUCUUGCAUUACCAAUCCAAUUAAGCACACGCUUACAAUCUAAAAUACUCUCAUCUCAUGGAAAGAGUUCAUUCUCUCAGGAUGAUGAGCAUAUUUCUCCUACUCCAUUGUUUGAUUAUUAUUUCCUUAUUUAUCGCAGCAACAACAGCCACCACAAGUUCUACUAUCACAGACCGAGAUGCUCUGUUAGCCCUGAAAGCUCACAUAACUCAUGAUCCGACCAAUUUCUUGGCCAAGAAUUGGAACACAAGUACUCCUGUCUGUAAUUGGACAGGUGUCGCUUGUGACGUCCAUAGCCAUAGAGUCACAGUCUUGAAUAUUUCAAGCUUAAAUCUCAGAGGCACCAUCCCAUCUCAACUUGGGAAUCUUUCUUCUCUGCAAUCACUCAAUCUCAGUUGUAACCGACUUUCUGGUUCCAUUCCCUCCACCAUCUUCACCAUAUACACACUAAAAAAUGUUAGUCUCGGUAAAAAUAAGCUCUCUGGGCAAAUUCCUACAAAUAUUUGUAGUAAUCUUCCUUUUCUUGAAUUUCUUUCUUUGUCCCUAAACAUGUUCCAUGGCGGAAUACCGUCCACUCUAUCAAAUUGCACAUAUUUAAGAACCUUAAGUUUGGCAUACAAUGAUUUCUCGGGAGCCGUACCUAGAGAAAUCGGUAACUUGACCAAACUUAAGGUAUUAUAUAUUGGCGCGAAUAGACUCCAAGGUGCGUAUGAUGAUGGAGUUUAAUUAUAAAAAUUGUUCCAUGAGUUGUAAUAUGAAUAAUGUUCCAUAAUACACUUCUGAGCCCGAAGUCCUUUCUUUUCCUCCUUGACUCUUCUAUCGUCGAGCUAAGUGACUCUGUCAUGCCGCUUCAAGUAAUACACACGUUGAUUAAUUUGCAGGAGAAAUUCCUCGAGAGUUUGGCAAUCUUACCGAAUUGGAGCAGUUUUCGUUACCAACAAACAAUCUCCAAGUUAUGAUUUUAAACUUUUUGCAAUUUUAUUCUAGCUCUGCUUGAUUCUGUAUUCAUUCGUUUGUUCAUUAUUUAUGCUAUGAUUUAUUGUUUUUCUUUCAGAUAGAGAUAAAGCUCCAUGUCUCCCCUCACUCAUUUCGUUCUUUGAUUUAUGCACAUAAAAAUAAAAUAAAAAUGUUUUGUAAUUUUCUUUUGUCAUAUUGCCACUUCCCUUUUGAAGCUCCCAAUUAAGUCGAUGAAAAUGAAUGAUGUUUCAUUCGUAUUCUUGUCAGCCUAAUUCUUAUAUAAUUGAAGAGUAAAUUGUUAUUAUGAUAUUCGUCAGCCAAUAAAUUCUUUUUUUUUUUCAAAAUAUGAGUGAUCAAAUUGUUUGCGCAUAUAUAAUUUUACUUAAUUUGCAGGAGGUAUUCCACAGGAAUUGGGGAAUCUUGCAAAAUUGGAGAUUUUACAGCUGUUCCAGAAUAACUUGACCGGUAACCAUCUUUACUAUAUAUAUAUGAGACAUCUUCUGCUUCUUAAUUAAAAGAUUUCAAGUCUCUCAUUAUAAAUUCUCAUAUGAGGAUAUGUCAUUACUACAAUCUAACAUUAUUCCCUUUUUUUAUUAGAAAUUAGUUUGUGUUAAUUCAAAAUUUUGUAACAUGUAAAAAAAAUUAAAAACACGUGGAAUAAAUCAUCAAUCUUUCUUCUUUAUUGAAUUUGGAUUUCUAAAAAAUUAUCUUGACAAGUAUGCUUCACUAAUGAUAUGCAUGUGUGACAACUUCAUAAAAUAUUUUACAUGGAGUCAUCAAUUAUCUUUAAAUAAUUGGAGAUGCCAUCAGUGAUACAUAAUUUCUUAACAAGCACCAUAUCAAAAGAAAUCAACAAUUUUAUUAAUCUUAAAGAGUUACAUCUUCACCGCAAUUAUGAUAUAAAAUUUUAGUCAUCAAUCGCAUAAUAUUUUACCUUAACGGAUGAUGUUCAGUCUUGGAAUUUAUAAUACCUUGAAGGUUAGUAGCUUUGAAAAUAAGAACUGUUCAUUUGCUAAAAAGUUAACUUAGUAUUUAAGUUUUUCAAUUGAAAAUUUUGAAAAAAGUCUUGAGAACUGCCCUCCUUAGUAUUUCAGCUGAUAAAUAUGAAAAAUAGGCUAGAAGAAAUAUUGUUGUGUGUGCUUAUUUUACUUGGGCUUUGGGCUUGAUUACAAGGUCGAGCACUAACACCUGUCAUAAUAAUAGGCUUUUACUUUCACCACACGUUCAAUAAUUUCUUAACCUUCCGAAUUAAGUUAUAGCAAUUUAUAUAUAAAUAACUAAAGCAUACUAAAGCGAGCACAAAGUACUCAUGACUUAGGCUUACUGUGUUACCUAUUACACACGGUCGAACACUUACAUCUGUUAGAAUAACAAUAGCAUCCACGGAUCGACUAUCAGUGAUCAAAUUGAUUGCACAUAUGUAAUUUGCAGGAGCAAUUCCACGGGAGUAGGGAAAUAUUACAGGAUUGGGGAUCUUAGAGCUGCCUGAUAAUUUUUUAACCGGUAUCAUUCCUUCAUCUAUCUACGAAUUGCUUUUCUCUAUUAAAUUCGGAACUGUCAUUUAAUAACUUAACAGGUAACUUCCCUUACAACAUGUCUGUGUGACAUGUUUUGCUUUGAAAUUAAAAUAUUUCACGUCUCUCAUUAUAAAUUCUCAUAGGCGGAUGUAUUGUUACUACUAUUUAACAUUAUCUCAUUUUUUUAUUAGAAAUUAAUCUGUGUUUAUGCAAAAAAAUUUAGCAUCUAAAAAAAGUACAAAAACACAUGGAAUAAAUCGAAAAUCUUUCUUCAUUACUGAAUUCGGAUUUCUAAAAAAUUAUCAUGAGAACUUCAUAAAAUAUCUUACAUGGAAUCAAUAAUUAUCUUUAAAUAGUUGGGGAUGCCAUCACUAAUAAAUAGUUUCUUAAAAAGCAUCAUACUAAAAGAAUUCAAUAAUUUUAAUAAUCUUCAAGGGGUACAUCUUCGCUGCAAUUAUGACAUAAUUUUUUAUCUAAAUAUAUUUUUAGUCAUCAAUCGCAUAAUUUUUUAUCUUGACGGAUGAUGUUCAAUCUUGGAAUUUAAAAUAUCUUGAAGGUUAGUAGCUAUGAAAAUUAGAAAUUUUUUAUUUGCUAAAAAAUUAACUUAGUAUUUAAGCUUUUCAAUUGGAAAAUUUGAAAUAAAUGUUGAGAACUGGCCCUCCUUAGUAUUUCAGCGGAUAAAUAUGGAAAAUAGGCUAGAAAAAAUUAUUUUAUUGAAAUAAUAGUUAAAAAUAGAGACGUACAGUACUCAUGACUUAGGCUUGCUGUGUACUUUUUUUACUUGGGGUUCGGGCUUGAUUACACACGGUAGAAUACUUACACAACUCCCCCCAUAUAGGGUUUUACUUUCAUCCCACAUUUGAUAAUUUCUUAACCUUCCCAAUUAGAUUAUAGCAAUUUAUAAAUAAAUAAAUAACUAAAGCACACUAAAGCUAGCAUUGAUGGACAGAUGAGUGGUGUCAAAAGUGUAUCUGUUUUUAUUAGGGUUGGCAAUUUAAGGGCCUGGGCCGGGCUUUGCCAAGCCCAGGACCAGGCCCAUAUAAUGUUAAAUAAGUUCAGGGCCUCUCAAAGCCCAUCCAAGUUGGGCGGGCCGGGCCUUGACCGGCCUCGGGCCGGGCCCGGGCUUUUAUGAAUUUUCAAAUUUUUUUAAAAAAUAAAACUAUAAAUUUUCAAAACAUAAUUAUCCAAUACAUAAUACUACAAUAGGCUAAAAACUUAAAUAUAUUUCUCUAAUACAUGAUUAGCCAACACAAAAUAUAAAAAUACUAACAAUACAAGUACCGUACAUAACAUACAAAUCAACCACUAAUAUAAAAAAAAAAACUAAUAGAGAUUUACCAAUUUAGGAAUUUUGACAUUUUGUGACAAAACCUUUGCCCUUUCCCUUUGCCCCAUUUUUUUAUUGUUUUGUUUAAUUUUUUUUUUCAAUUUUAUAAUAUAUUAUACAUUUUUUUUAAAAUAUAUAUAUAUAUAUAUAAAGCCCUUAUCCAUAAUAUAUAAUAUAUAUAUUAUUUAUUAUAAAGCCCGGGCUUUUCAUUUAGGCCCUUGACUGAGCCCAUAUGUUAUGGGCUUUAUUAAUUAUGAGCCCUUACCCAUACUUUCAAGCCACGGGCCAGGCUUAAAGCCCGCGGGCCUGGGCCGGCCCGGGCUUUUCUGCCAACCCUAGUUUUUAUGUAUUAUUGUUCCCUGAUACAAAUUUGAAUAAUGGAAAAUAUAAAUUUAAUAUUUUAUUUAAUACUUUGUUAACAUUUUAUCUAUAUAUAAUAAAUAAACUGAAACUUGUACUUAAAAAAUUUUUUGGUUACGCAUAUUCAUUUCAUGAUAAAAAAAAUGUCUAUUUACACUAAUUUACCAUUAUCAAUAAAAUGCUUUGAGACAAAUAAUCUAAUUUAUAUUAGUAUAUUUAAAAUACUUGCAUUUAUUAUAUUUUGAAAAAACAUUAUUUGCAAUUAUUUUAAACCUUUGAAUUCAAAUUUUCUUAGUUAUUAAAGUCAAAGGGUAUAAAUGUAUAAUAGUCAAAAACAGAUUUGUAUGAUCAUUUUUCAAUGUAUAAAUUUUCUUAGUUAGUAGGCAAUUAAAAUUUGUUGAUUUACUCAUAAAUAAAUUUAGUGUUUAGCAUUUCAAUUUUGGAAAACUUGAACUAAAUGUUGAUAACUUCGAAUCCAUCGAGCCAAGUUUCGCUUCCUUGACACACAGACCCAUUCGAAGUUCUAUUCGAAUUGAGUUUCCAAGUGCUUAGAAAAAGCAGUUCUUUUCCAUGUCGCUAUAAUUUAUUCACAAAAGAGUUGAUUAGCGUCGAUGUUGCUUCAGAGUCUGAGACCAUGUUAAUUUAUUUUACUGAAUUAAUUUAUUUUAUCUUGCUGUAACUGAAAUACUACCUUUUUUUUUUUUUUGCUAUAACUGGGGCUUGAUUAACUUUAAUAAUAGCAGCCAUAGACUUAGGCUUUUUUACUUUUCACCACACAAUUUGAUCUUUUAAUUCGUUUUAACCACAUAAUCUAUCUAUCUCACACCUAUUGCUUACUUAAAUCGCAUACAUAUUUUACCUACUAAUUUUUACAAACAUUAGUGAAAUAUAUUUUAUUACAUUUUGCUCGUAACUGCUCUAGUUGUGCACUAUUAAUACUUAACUCUCCCUUUUAAUUUAUCGUGCAAUCUAUCAACCACUAAAAUUACAUAUAUAUUUUACCUAUAUUUUGCCCCAAAAAAUAUAAAAGUAAUAGAAAAAGAAUAUGUGUAGCAAUUUGUAUGUAACUAACAAAGCAUUGACGGUGUGUAGCCUUUCAAUACUUCAUGAGUGGCUGUUCUUGUGUGUUAGUACUGGUAAUAAUUGUGUAGUGUAUAAAUGACCUUUUAUUAUUAAAGCGCGUCUGUUGUUAGAUAUUAUUUAUUAUUUGAAAAAUAAUAUGAAUAUAAUUCUUUCAAAAUACAGGGGAGAUACCAACUGAAAUCAUAAUCUCCGUAAUCUGGAGGAGUUGGACCUUGCUCGAAACAAAUUAGUUGGUAUUGUCCCAGCUGCAAUCUUCAAUGUGUCAACACUCAAGCAUCUUGGUCUUCAAGAUAAUUCUCUCUUGGGAUGUCUUUCGUCCAUCGGAGACGUCCGACUUCCAAAUCUUGAAGGGCUUUAUUUGUCGGGUAAUAAUUUCAGUGGCACAAUUCCUAGUUUCAUCUUUAAUGCUUCUAAGCUCUUUAAGCUAUCGUUGCAAAGGAACUCAUUCUUUGGUUUUACUCCCAACACAUUUGGCAACUUAAGAAACCUUAAGUGGCUAUCUUUAUAUGAUUCUUAAGUGGCUAUCUUUAUAUGAUAAUUAUUUGACAUCUUCAACUCCAGAAUUGAGCUUUCUGUCCUCGUUGUCAAAUUGCAAGUGUUUAACAUUUAUUGACUUAUCAAAUAAUCCACUAGAUAGCGUUCUUCCAAAGACAUUUGUCGGUAAUGUUUCUCAUUCUUUGGAAUUCUUUGUCAUGUCCUAUUGUAACAUUAGUGGCGGCAUCCUUGAAGAGAUCACCAACUUGACCAAAUUGACAACCAUUAUUUUAGGAGGCAAUAAAUUGAAUGGAUCAAUUUCGAUUACUCUCGGCAGGUUACAAAAGCUUCAAUAUUUGGGUCUUGACGAUAACAAAUUAGAAGGAUCAAUCCCAGACAGUAUUUGUCGUUUAGCUUAACUGUAUGAUUUGGAGUUGGGUGGUAAUAAGCUUUCUGGAUCAAUCCCUGCAUGCUUCAGUAAUCUGGCUUCUCUGAGGAAACUGUCGUUGGAUUCCAAUGAGUUAACUUCUAUUCCCUUAACUUUUUGGAACCUUAAGGAUAUCUUGUACCUCAACUUUUCGUAAAAUUUUUUGAUUGGUCCACUCCCAUUAAAGGUUGGAAAUUUGAAGGUUUUAGUUGGAAUUGAUUUUUCGAUGAAUAAUUUUUCAAGCGUUAUCCCAAUAGAAAUUGGAGGCCUACCAAAUCUAGAAUAUCUCUUCUUAGGAUAUAACAGAUUGCAAGGAUCGAUUCCUGAUUCAUUCGGUGAUUUGAUAAGCUUGAAAUCCUUGAAUUUGUCUAAAAAUAAUCUCUCAGGGGCUAUUCCUGCAUCUUUAGAGAAACUCUUAUAUCUUAAAGAUCUAAAUCUUUCUUUCAACAAACUAGAAGGAGAAAUUCCUAGGGGAGGGUCUUUUGGAAACUUCUCAGCUGAAUCAUUUGAGGGAAAUGAAUUAUUAUGUGGUUCACCCAAUUUACAAGUCCAGCCAUGCAAAACUGGCAUCCACCACACAUCAUCAAAAAAUUCUCUUCUCUUGGGGAUUGUCUUGCCAUUGAGUACUACAUUUAUGAUAGUAGUCAUUUUGUUGAUCCUAAGAUAUCGACAGAGAGGGAAACGACUAUCGAAUGAUGCUAAUAUGCCAAUAGUAGCAACAUGGAGAAUGUUUUCAUACCUAGAACUCUGUCGAGCAACAUACAAAUUCAGUGAAAACAAUCUAAUCAGCAAAGGUGGUUUUGGCUCUGUUUACAAAGCAAGACUUGGGGACGGGAUGGAGGUUGCUGUGAAGGUUUUCAAUUUGCAAUGUAGAAGAGCAUUUAAGAGUUUCGAUAUUGAAUGUGAAAUGAUGAAAAGUAUUCGCCAUCAAAACCUUAUCAAAGUUAUUAGCAGUUGUUCAAAUGAAGAGUUUAAAGCGUUGGUAUUAGAAUACAUGCCUCAUGGAAGUUUGGAGAAGUAUCUGUAUUCAAGUAACUGCAUUUUGGAUAUUUUUCAAAGAUUGAACAUAAUGAUAGAUGUUGCAUCAGCUUUGGAAUAUUUGGACCUUGGUUAUUCAGCUCCAAUAAUUCAUUGUGACUUAAAGCCCAACAAUGUAUUGUUAGACGAUAAUAUGGUUGCUCAUUUGAGUGAUUUUAGCAUUGUAAAAUUGCUAACAGGAGAAGAUCAAUCUAUGACUCAUACACAAACACUUGCAACAAUAGGCUAUAUGGCACCAGGUUUGUUCAAUAUAAAUAUUUUCUAUUUCUCAUAAACUUCUGAUGGGUGUCGAAGCCAACAAAAAUAAAUUCCUACUCUAAAUAAAUUGUGUAUAGUGAUUGAGCAGGGUCGUGUCGACAGAGAUCGGUAAUUAUUUAAAUCCUUUUGAAACGUAAAACGUAAAAUGGGGGAAUUGUUGACAAUAAUAAAAAUCAAAUUAAAAUAACAAGAAUGCAAAUUAAAGUUGUAAUUCAAAUUAGAGAAAGCUCUGGUUGAAGGAAUUAACUCAGCUUGAUUCGACUACUGAUCAUUGAUUCAAAUAUAGAUUAUUAUUACUUAUGAAUAGACCGGUUAUAGCUACUGAGACCCUCUAAUAGCCAAUCUCUCCUUAACUAGUCGAUAACCAAGGUACGACCGUUGGUUAUUUCCCUAAUCAAUAGACAACCCUAGAUACGAUCAUAGGAUUUAAUCAAUUGACAGCCUAAAAGACCAGAGAGACCCAAAUCCUAAUCAACACAUACGAUGAUUCAUUUAAAUUAGAUUGUUUAUUCUCAUAACACAACUCACUGCUAUGUUAUUUGUCACAAACAUUAAAAUCUUCAUACGAUGAAUCCUUUAAUUAACAAUAGAUUAAGUUGAUAAUUAAAUAGUGGCCAAUUACCUAAUUAACAAACAUAAUCAUAAAAAUAAUUCAGAGAAUAAACAAAUACCCAAAAAGCAAUAAAACAAUUAAAGCAUAAGAAAGAUCUCACAGUAGUGAUGAAUCAAAGCUUCAUUAUCCUUCAACAAGAAAAAUAGAUUUAGUUCUUCACAGAGAGAAGAGAAAAGUUUAGAUCUAGGGUUUCUUUCCUUUUCUCCAAUCCCUUUUUUCACAAUAGAUUCCUCCUUAAAUACUUUCUCUCUCUUCUCAUUUAGAGUUCUAUUUAAAAUAAAAUACUAAUAUCUGAAAUAUUAAAUUCGUAAUUUCAAAAAUAACCAAAAAUACAAAACACGUUAAACUAAAAACUGCAGGUCCGCAGUUGACAGCACGCGCCCACACCUUAUCAAUAAAGUUCUUCUGACUCUCUAAAUUUCUCGAAGAGAACAAUCAUCUUUAAACAUCAUCUUAUAGCUCAAUUUUAUCACAAAUCAAUAGAAUUGCACCUACAAAAGUAAAACACAAGUAAAUCAUUAUUAUUAAGUGCAAAACAUCGAUAUUAAGGGAAGUAAACAAUGCAAAACUAGUGCAUAAAUUGCACUCUAACAAAUUCCCCUACACCAAGAUGAUGCUUGUCCUCAAGCAUAUAACUUAAGACUAAUCACAAAUCUCCACUCAAUUUUCAUCUCAACUCAUCCAAAAACAAUUUUAAGCAAGCAUACCUCAAGAAUUUAAGUCGAUCAACAUUCGAGAGCCAAGGAUUUUAAAGCAUAGAAUCUCAUAAGCUAGAAUAAAAACAUUCAACCAUCAAGAAGAUCCAUUCAAAAUUCAAGUGCAACAAGAUUUAAUAGCCCUCUCAUUGACUUCACUCGAUGCACUCAAAGUGUUUAGGGUGUCAUUUAUGCACUCAAAUCAAAUCAAAGAAUGCUAUUACCAUAAGCUUGCUUAUAUAUCAUAUCUCAAUCCACAAAACAUGAAUUAAAUGCAAAAAUCUAAGGGUCUUAAAAAGGUUGUAACGGGGUUAAAUGGGUUAAAUGAAAAAGAAAGGUCUAUGAAAGAAAAAAAGAUUAAAAUGAGAAGAAUGAACUCAUUGAAUGAACUUCUGAUAUCAAAAUGCUUAUUUCUACUCAAGUCACCAAGAAUGUAAACUUUUUUUUUCGAUUUUUCUUUUUCUUUUUUUUUUUUUAAUCAAACAAAAGAAACGAACCUUGCACAAUUUAAUUCAAGCAUAAUGCUUGUUGAUCUAAUUGAGAAACUUUAAUACAAGGUAGAAAAAGCAACAAAAUAUAUCCAUACAAUGAGUCCAAAAAUCUCCUUAAAUUGAGGCUCAAAAAGGAGAAAAAUGGUUAAGUAGACGGAGAGAAUUAGAUGGGUAAUGGUUAAGGCUCAAACAAAGAUAGCAAAUAAAGGUCUUCGAGUAGAGAAAAAAAAAUACGAGAAUAGAAAAUUGGAAAAUGGUUUGCCCUUAUCAUUUUAAUGCAUAAAAUCCCGUAAUGCGGCUUCAACAUGCAUAACAAAGCAAGUUCUAGAAUAAACAAACUAAGAUUGAUAUUCACAUAACAAAAAUAAUUAGAGCAAAGUGGCUGCUCAUAGGCUCAAAUCCUCACAAAGUUGGUAAAUUUUCCAUCAAAUCAUGUACACUCUUCAAAUGAAUCAACCAUCAAUAGUGGUGUAGAAUGAGAAGAAGGUAUGAGUGAGAUAUAAAAGGAAAGGUAAAAAGGAUAAUAAGCGAGAAAGAUGUAUGUAGUAAAAAAAAUGAAAGAUAAAAUGUGAGUGAUGAAAGAGUAUGAUAGAGAAAAAAAAUAGAUGUAAAUAAUUUGAGAUAGAUGGGAAAAGAGUAGUGAGAGAGAAGGGAAAAGAAAAUUAAUAAUAUAUGAAGCAUACUAACUCCAAAAUCAUUUAAGGAUGAGUAGAGUGAAAAUAGUACUUCUAGACAUCAAUAAUGUAAAAAUCCCUCCCCAACACCAAGAACUUACAUUGUCUCCAAUGUAAGAUAAUCAAAGCUCACAUAAAAAUUAAAGCGUAAGGAUAAAAGAUUAAAGGCAAAAAAAAUUCCCUGAAUUGUGAGCUUUGAUCCACAUAAUGUCUAUGGGCUUGGCAGAAAGGGUGGGGUAAAUCCCAUACUCUCGAAGUAUGCGGCCAAAUUCUGCUCCAUCUUGUUCAGCUUGUGCUCCAUCUUCUCUAACUGAAUGCUGGUAGUGCGGAUGUAGAAGGAAUAGUUGGCGGGCCAGCAGUGUCGUCUUCAAACUCGUCAUUAGAGGUAACACCACUCCUAGCAUAAAGCUUCUUUGGAGGUUGAGUGGGUCUUGGUUUAGUAAACUAAAAUCUCCCCUCCUUGAAUUCGACGACACCUGUUCUUUGAAACACAGACAUAUCCAAAAAUUCCUUUUUGCAAGCAGGAUGCAAAUCAUUAUUGUCAGGAUCAAGCACACAUAGGUUUAUAGCUAACAGAGUAAUGUAUGGACCAAGAAAGAAAGUCCGAUACCGUUUAAGCACACUUUGAAAUUUAUCCGCUAACCAAAAACCUAAAUUAGGCCUCACAUCAUUUAACAUGCACCAGAUAAAAUAAAAUUCAGUUUUAGAGAAAACUCCUGAGUGAUCUUUCUUUCCUAAAAAAUUAUAUGCUAAGAAUCGAUGCACACAUUUCAAAACAGGAUCACGUAAGAAAUAACUCUUUGAUUUACUCAGGUCAUAGGCAUUGUGAUCAACACAUAAAUUACGCCAAAGACCAUAAGGCUCAAAAUUGUCACUAAAGUCACAAGUUGUUCCUAAAUAUGCAUCACUAGAAGAAUAAUCAUCAUCAAGGAAUCCUAAAGCUAGGUUAAAAUCCGUGAUAGAGGUGAAAAAUUUUGUCCCAUUAACCUAAACUUUAUGACAUCUGGGGUAUGCAAAGUAAAAUCAUUCGGUAUAUUAAAUUGAAAAGUCGCAUAAGACUCCUUAAUCAACUCAACAUAACCCAAACAAUCAACAUCAACAAACUUACGCAACCCAAUCUUAUCUAUCAAAUAAUCAAAAUUAUCCUUAACAUUCAAUUUUUCAAGAGUCGGGUAAUUAAUAUACUUAGCUGGAAGUAUUUUGCACGUGGAAAUAUCUUUGUAUCUCUCUUUCUCUUGUUGAGUCGCGAAUGCAAGGCAUCCUCCGAGAUUGGAUUCCGCAAGUGGCAAAACACUCAUGCCUUUUUCAUGUUUCGAUCUUUGUCUCAUGGCUUGGCGUGAAUCUGAACUUGUGUUCCAUGGAACCGGAAUGCGAGCGACAAUCUUAGAUUUCUUUGUGACGGGUAUCUUUUUAGAUGACUUGGAAGUAGAUGCUUUCCUCUUCGGCAUUGUUACAAUAAUUGCACUCACGGAUUUCGAUUUACCCGGCUGGAAUACAGGGCGUAGGCUGGUUGCGUUGCACUUGCUGCUCGACUGGAGCUUGCUGCGCGGGUUGGGGUUGGUUGCGCGCGCAGCUGGUUUUGCAUGCUGGUGAUGCUAGUUGCGUUGCGUGCGCGAGCUGGAGACUCUGGAUCUGCGUUACGAGGCGUGCUCGUCUGCUGUUCGUUGGGACUGUGUUGCGCGCGCGGGAUUGAUGCGCUGCGUGAUGGUGAUGGCCAAAGCUUGCUGCGCGCGGGCUGGUUGUGUUGCAGGUGGGACUGAUACGACUGCUGCUGGUGAAAACAAUAAUCAACAGUGAAUUUUUUUUUUAAUUAGGGAAUUGUAAAUAGUGAUUUGUGGUUUUUGCUUUUUUUGUUUUUUUUCUUUUUUUUUUAAAUAAAUAAAUAAAAUAUAUAUAUAUAUAUAUAAAAGAAAGAAAAAAAGGAAAAAAAAAAUAAAUAAUUUUUUUUUAAGUGAUGAAUCACUUUGAGUCACUAAAAAUUUCAGACGUACUUUUCUAAUAAGCACGUGGGCACACCUUAAAACUAUUUUACUUUAAAAAUUAUAGAAGUACUUAUUAGUUAAGACGUGGGCACGCCUUAUCAAAAAUUUUCUUCUGACCAAAAUAAGCAAACACAUUAAUUUUUUUUUUAAAAAUCUGAAUCAAAACUAAAAGAAGACAUAACAAAAACCAAAAUAAAUAAAUCAUUUGGGUUGCCUCCCAAAAAGCGUCUUUGUUUUAUGUCUUUGGCUAAACACAUUUAUGCAACAAUCUCCAUAAUUGGGACUCUCGAGAGCCACAUCCUCCACAAUAUUCACCGAAAAACCUUCAUAAAAAGGUUUUAAGCGAUGACCAUUAACAUUCAAAACUUUGUCAGAGGUCGGACUCCGAAUCUCAACUACACCAUGAGGAAAAAUAUUAGUAACAAUAAAAGGUCCAACCCAGCAAGAACGUAAUUUACCCGGAAAAAGUUUAAGCUUAGAAUGAAAAAGAAGAACUUUUUGACCAAUAGAGAACUCCUUUCUCAAACUCAUUCUAUCAUGAAAUGUCUUCGUCUUUUCCUUGUAAAAAACUUCAUGCACUAUAGGGUUAAUAAUAUCCACAGAAAAUACUGAAUGUUCCUCACUAGGAUAUUUCAUGGCAUCAUUCAUAUUGAAUUUUAUAACCUCUCCAUCAAACUCCAUAGUGAGAGUCCCUUUAUGUACAUCUAUUUUAGUCCUAGCAGUCUUAAGAAAAGGUCAUCCUAACAAAAUUGGGACAUAAUUAGAGGAGUUAUCAUCUUCCAUAUCAAGUACAUAAAAAUCAGCAGGAAAAACCAACUCAUUAACUUGUACUAAGACAUCUUCUAAUACCCCAUCAGGAUAUGCAUUAGACCUAUCAGCUAGUUGAAUUAUCACGCUAGUUUCUUUUAAUGGACCAACAUUCAAAGAUGAAUAAGUGGAACGAGGCAUGACAUUAAUAUAAGCUCCUAGAUCUAACAUAGCCUUUUCAACUCUAACACUACCAAUUUUACAAGGAAUGGUAAACAUACCUGAAUCCUUGCACUUAGGAGGUAGUUUCUUUUGGAGAACUGCUGAAACAUUCUACCCCAUGUGAACUUUUUCAUCUCCUCUUAAUUUUCUCUUGGAGGUGCAUAGUUCCUUAAGGACUUUAGCAUAUCAAGGUAUUUGUUUUAUAGCAUCUAAUAAAUGAAUAUUUACCUCAACCUUGCAAAAUGUCUUAAAGAUGUCUUUCUCUUGUUCCUCCUUCUUGGAUUUUACAAACUAGCUUGGAAAAGGAGGAGGUAUCACAAUAGGUAGGGGUUUCGUUCUGGUGGGUUGCGCAUCUUGAGAUUUAGGCAUCAAUUCAUUCUUCCCAAGCUCAUCUUCUACAUGCUUUGUCACUUUCUUACUAGGCUCUUGUAACUCCUUCCCGCUUCUAAGGAUGACAGCACUAACGUUUUGCUUUGGAUUCACCUCAGAUUGUGAAGGCAAUCUCCUUAAUACUUGAGACUCCAGACGGCUCACUGUAGUCGCCAAUUGACUCAUUUGGUUCUCUAAAUUCUGAAUGCUUUCUGUAGUUGCCUGCUGAAAUUGUUGAGUGUUAGUCGCAAGUGAUUUAACAAUUUCUUCAAGAGAUAUACUUGACUUGGAGUUUGACUGUGGAGGUGCUGGUUGUCUUGGUGGAUACUGUUGUGGGAAUCCUGACGGUCUAACUCCAUAGCUGAAGUUGGGAUGAUCCUUCCAUCUCAGAUUGUAUGUUGUGCAUAAGGAUCAUACCUCCUCUGAGGCAUGCCUGGAAAUCCUCCAACUGCAUUGGCUUGUUCAACGGGUUCUUCUUGAAGUGUAGGACACAUAUCAGUUGAAUGACCCAUAUUGGAACAAAUGCCACAAGUCUUUACCUGUUGCAUAUUAUCUACAAUAAACUUUUCUACAAGAGAAGUAAGUUUAUCUAAACGUUGUUCAACAGAAGAAAUAUUUACCUCAUUCACCGUUCUUGAAGUGGCAUCUUGCCUGCUGCCAAAUUGUUGUGCAUUGGCAGCCAUAUUUGAGUUCAACUCCCUUGCUUGAGUAAGGGUCUUAUUCACCAACACACCUCCACUGGCAACAUCUAUCAUACUCCUAUCCAAUAAUGAUAGUCCUUCGUAAAAAUAUUGAAUAAGAAGUUGAUCAGAAAUCUGAUGCUGAGGACAGCUGGCACACAAUUGUUUGAAUCGCUCCCAAUACUCAUACAAAGUCUCCCCAGGAAGUUGUCUAAUCCUACAAAUAUCUUUUCUGAUGUUGGCAGCUCUUGAAGCAGGAAAGUACUUCUCGAGGAACUGCUUCUUUAAACCAUUCCACGUUGUAAUCGAUCCAGGAGGCAAGUAGUACAACCAAUCUUUAGCUAGCCCAUCUACAGAGAACGGAAAAGCACGCAACUUAAUCUGCUCUUCAGUCACGCCUUGUGGCCUCAUACUUGAACACACAACAUGAAACUCCUUAAGAUGUUUAUGAGGAUCUUCACCUGCAAAACCAUGAAACUUGGGUAAUAAAUGAAUAAGACCAGACUUUAAUUCAAAAUUUACCUCCAAGUCUACAUAUUGAAUGCAGAGUGGUUGUUGAUUCAAGUCUGGUUCAGCUAACUCUCUAAGAGUUCUUUCUACAGGUGCAGGUCUAUCCAUCACUUGUUCUUCUGAAUCGCUAGAUGAUUCAACUAAAUCAAGUAUUGUAUCAAUUUCAGAAAGCAAAGGCAACGAGGAUCGUUGCUUAGCUCGCUUUGUCUGCUGUCUCAACUGGCGAGCUGUCUUCUCAAUUUCAGGAUCAAACGAAAGUGUACCUGUACGAGAAGAACGAACCAUACACCAAGUAAAACGUAAAAAUGAUUAAAUAAACGACACCAAUCCCUGGCAACGGCGCCAAAAUUUGAUGGGUGUCGAAGCCAACAAAAAUAAAUUCCUACUCUAAAUAAAUUGUGUAUAGUGAUUGAGCAGGGUCGUGUCCACAGAGAUCGGUAAUUAUUUAAAUCCUUUUGAAACGUAAAACGUAAAAUGAGGGAAUUGUUGACAAUAAUAAAAAUCAAAUUAAAAUAACAAGAAUGCAAAUUAAAGUUGUAAUUCAAAUUAGAGAAAGCUCUGGUUGAAGGAAUUAACUCAGCUUGAUUCGACUACUGAUCAUUGAUUCAAAUGUAGAUUAUUAUUACUUAUGAAUAGACCGGUUAUAGCUACUGAGACCCUCUAAUAGUCAAUCUCUCCUUAACUAGUCGAUAACCAAGGUACGACCGUUGGUUAUUUCCCUAAUCAAUAGACAACCCUAGAUACGAUCAUAGGAUUUAAUCAAUUGACAUCCUGAAAGACCAGAGAGACCUAAAUCCUAAUCAACACAUACGAUGAUUCAUUUAAAUUAUAUUGUUUAUUCUCAUAACACAACUCACUGCUAUGUUAUUUGUCACAAACAUUAAAAUAUUCAUAUGAUGAAUCCUUUAAUUAACAAUAGAUUAAGUUGAUAAUUAAAUAGUGGCCAAUUACCUAAUUAACAAACAUAAUCAUAAAAAUAAUUUAGAGAAUAAACAAAUACCCAAAAAGCAAUAAAACAAUUAAAGCAUAAGAAAGAUCUCACAGUAGUGAUGAAUCAAAGUUUCAUUAUCCUUCAACCAGAAAAAUAGGUUUAGUUCUUUAUAGAGAGAAGAAAAAAGUUUAGAUCUAGGGUUUCUUUCCUUUUCUCUAAUCCCCUUUUUCACAAUAGAUUCCUCCCUUAAAUACUUUCUCUCUCUUCUCAUUUAGAGUUCUAUUUAAAAUAAAAUACUAAUAUCUGAAAUAUUAAAUUCGUAAUUUCAAAAAUAACCAAAAAUACAAAACACGUUAAACUAAAAACUGCAAGUCUGCAGUUGACAGCACGCGCCCACGCCUUAUCAACAAAGUUCUUCUGACUCUCUAAAUUUCUCGAAGAGAACAAUCAUCUUUAAACAUCAUCUUAUAGCUCAAUUUUAUCACAAAUCAAUAGAAUUGCACCUACAAAAGUAAAACACAAGUAAAUCAUUAUUAUUAAGUGCAAAACAUCGAUAUUAAGGGAAGUAAACAAUGCAAAACUAGUACAUAAAUUGCACUCUAACAACUUCCUAAUAAGUUAUUUAUAUUUCAUGAUCUUGAUUAGAUGAGGAAAUUAUUAUUAAUGAUAUAUCUUACUAUGUAAUUGUUGCAAUUCAUAAAGUAUGGAAGAGAAGGACGAGUAUCCGCAAAUGGAGAUGUUUAUAGUUUUGGGAUUAUGUUAAUGGAAACAUUUACUGGGAAGAAACCCACAGAUGAAAUGUUUAAUGGAGAAAUGACAUUAAAGCAUUGGGUUAAUGAUUGGCUACCCAUUUUCACUAUGGAAGUUGUUGAUGCUAAUUUGCUAAGUCAGGAGGACAUACAUUUUGUUGCAAAAGAGCAAUGUGUGUCAUUUGUCUUCAAUUUAGCUAUGGAGUGCAUUGUGGAAUCCCCUGAGCCAAGAAUCAAUCCAAAAGAAAUUGCAGCAAAACUCUUAAAAAUUAGAGACUCAUUACUUAGAAAUGUUGGAGGCAGAUGUAUAAGACAAUCAAAUUUAAAUUGAUUCUACCCCUCAUUCAUUGCUUGCUAUCCUUUUCAGAGACUUGAACAAUUAUCCUCCAUAGAAGUUUUGCUGAUAUGUUUUGUUAUUGCUCUUGCUCAUGUUUAUUUCUCUCUUUCUUUAAUUUGCAUGCGUGCAUUUUAGUUCUCUUCCAUGUUCGUGUUGGUUUAUAUGUAGUUUGUUUUUUGGGAUAUGGUUUAUUAUGGCCUCACCCUAAUUAGAUGUAUCCUUUUGAUUUUUAUCAAUAAAGCUUCGCUAGUACUAUCGAGGUUAAUCGAAAGAAAAUUUUCAAUUGAUUUUCUUUUCUUUGACUAGUACUGGAAAUUCUAAUCUUUAUAGUGAAUAACUUCAAUAAUAGAGUGUAAGAGUAUUAGUAGUUGUGGUUGUUUCUGAACCUAGAGUUAGAGUAGUUUAACAGCAACAAAUAGGUCUCUUGUAUUAUAGCCAAAAUUCUUUUCAUUAAUCUUAUUUGUCUACAUUUUCUCCUAUUUUCUUCUUUAAUCUUCGCUCAAGGUUUCAUGCUUCCAUUUUGAAAUGUGAGAUUGUUUGUCAUCCAUUUGAUAAAAUGGAUAUGAGAGGAGCUUUCAAUCAUUACCUCCACCAAAAUCCUUACAAUGCAACUUUUAAAUUUAUUUUUUAAAAUACGUUCAGUUUAAUUUAUAAAAAAUAAAUCCAUUUGUUAAAAUUAAUUUUUUUCUCAUAAAUUUCAACCUAAAAAAUAUAUUUCUUUUAAGUUUUUAUUAUAAAAUACAUACAAGUUCUAAACUAUUAAAUUAUUUUCUUCUUAUUAUAUAGUUUAUAUUUCCAUAACUCUAAACUCCUAUAAUUUUUAAAAAAUAUAUUUUUUAAUUUAAAAUAUGAAUAUAAAAUAUAGAAUGGAGUGGGUAUAAAAAGUUUUGUUAAAAGAAUAAUUCAUUCAAGUAUUUAGCUGAAUUUUAAUUUAAAAUAAGAAAUAAAUUAAUUUAUUUUUUAUUAGUUAAGUAAUUUCAAUUGAAAAAGAGCUUAUAUUAUGGACAUAUGAUUAAAAUUGUCAUGAAUUAAACAUUUUCAUAUAAAUACUAGUGAUAAUUACGGAGAAAGUACGAUGAACCAAAGAAAACUUGAAUAGAAAUACUCCAAUGUAAUUUUACACAUGCAAAUUAUGAACCAGUGAUCUUUAGAGCAUCAUAAAAUUAUUUUAACACAAUUAGUUAGUUUGGAAAAUUGCCAAUAAUGUUUAAAGUGGGAUUGAAAAGAUUAUACUACAAAUAUAAGACAUGAUAUCAUUUAAGAGCUUACAGAUUAUGAGAAAUAUAUUGAUCUUACAAAUAAUAUAAAAUAUGUCAAUUAGAUUGAGUCUAUGCAAUAAAAGUUUCAAAUUAAAAAAUAAACCUUUAUUUUCUUUUAAUCAUAAGUGUGAUCUUAAUUAUUAAAGUCAUUCAAUGUCCAUUACUUAUUCAUUUUUUUAAUUAUCUAAAUGACAUUGAAAACUCUACUCAAUAUUAAUUCAUUCUAGUGUUUUGUUUUAAAGUAAUCGAAAAUUGCAAAUGAAACAAAUGCUUGAAAUCACAAACUGCCUAAAAUUAGAUUUUUAUUUCUUAAUGUUUUAGUGACUUUGAUCUUGAUAUUGAAAAUUUAUUUGUAACUUAUAUAAAGGCCUCGAUUUUAUCAUAAUUGAUUAGUAAGGCUAUGUACGGGAGCAUGGAUAAAUUUUGAGAUUGGAUUAUAUUUUUGGAACUAAAAAAUUAAUUUCAUCCAAUGUUAUGUAUAGCUGUCGGGACUAGCAAAUUAGUCUAAAAUUAUUGAAAUUAUUAGUCUUUUACAUUAUAAUUUUUUCGUUCCCACUUUAAACGUUAUUGGUAACUUAAAUCAUUUUUUAAAUUAAAUAUAAAGUUAAUUUAAUUAAAUAUAAUUUAAUUAAAUAUAAAAAUUAAUUUUAUAAUUUUUUCACCUAGAAUUUUAUAGUAUAUUAAAUACUAAAAUUAUAUUCGAUAAUGUAUUAUCAUUUAUUUAAUAAAUAUUUAGGUUUAUUAGUGUAUCAUAUUAUUAUUUAAAUUAAUUUUUUAUUUUCAUAUAGACAUAAAUUAAUAUUUACUAAUUUAAAUUUAUUAUAAUUUAUUAAAUAAUAAAAGCUAAAUGAUUGUAUUUAAAAUAUAAAUUGUAUUUUAAUGUAUUAUAGCCUAAAUCUUACCCCUAUGAAUUUAUUUUAUCCAUCUUUUAUUGUAUUAACCACAUUUAUAAGGCAGUGCGAUGCAACCGAAAAUUAUAACCAAACAUGAGUUAGUAUGAAAAUAAUAUUUUAGUACAAUACAAUACAAUGUAAUAUAAGCAAACAAAUAGAUAUUUAAUUGAAGCAAAAAUUGCAUAUGGUUUGUCGUCUCUCAAAAGACAGCAAAGAAACCAAUAUGACACAUUGAUUUUGAAUUUGUUGUUUUUCGUGUUAUGAAAAGGAAAAUGCAGAAAACUUAUUUGGUGAGCUUAUUUUGGUGGAAAACUGUACAGUGAUUAAAAACAAAAAAAUUAUCAUUUUCCAAUGUUUACAAAGAAAACAAGAGACAUUUUAUUUCACUUUUACUCUCUGCCAAGGGUCUCACUAUCUUAACUUUUAUAAGAUAGUGUAAUAAAUUACGUGGGCCCAUUUAAUAAAGAAAUAAUCUAAUAAAUAAACUAAUAUAACAAAUAUUUAAAAAUAAUAGCAAUAGUUUAUUCCAUACCUUGCAGCUUAACUACUUAAUAGAUUACCCAAAUUGUUUUAAAUAAAAAGUAAUAUCAUAUAAUUAUUAUACUAAAUUAUUACAUUGUUCGACCCAAUAUGCAGUUAUUUAAAAAUUAUUACAAAUUUUCAUACACUAAUGAAAAUAUUUCAAUAAUAAAGUUACUUCUUGACAGCUAAUAUAAAUAAAUAUAUGAUAAUUAUGAAAUAAUUUAAAAUUUUCUCAAUUACUAUUAUCUUAUAAGUACAAUUUAUUUACAUAAUUAAAAGUUUUUAAGAAAUCAUUAAAAUAUCAUCGUACCUAUAUGCAUUUAUAAUAAUAUAUAAUACAUCAUAAUAUAAUAGCUAAAUAGAUAAAUUAUUUAAUGACAUAAAAUAUAUAUUUAUAUUCAUUGUAUUAUAUUAUUCUUUCAUAAUAAUUUCAUUAAAUAAUUCCCUAUUCUCUCUCUCUCUUUUUGUCUUCAUUUUUUCAGAUAAGCAACCAAACAUCUUUUCACCUUUUUUUAUUUUCAAGUACUGUUUUUAAACUAAGGUACCAAACAUGUUUUUAUUUUUAACAAAAACUAAUCAUUCUUAUUUCAUAAAAUAAAUUUAAAAACACUAUUUAAAAAAUAAUACCAAAUGCACCCUUAAAAACUAUGAGAAAUAUACUGAUUUUACAAAUAAUAUUUAAUAUGUCGAUUAGACUGAAUCUUUGGAAUAAAAAUUUCAAAUUAAAUACUAAACCCUUAGUUCCCUUUUAAUCGUAAUUAUAAUCUUAAUUAUUAAAGACAUUUUAUUUUGUGCUUGUCUUUUUUUAUUCACUUUUUUUUUAAUCAAAAAUAUUGCUCUGCAUGCAAGUCUUUGGUCGCGGGCCUAGGUGUCCCAAACAUCCAGCUGACAGCGACGUUUCCACUUUGAUUAUCCGCACUUCCCAGAAGUCGCAAGGAAAGACCGAUUGAGUAGUUUGAUUGGUUUGAAGAUUCAUGAGACUGCUUUUCACUAGAAUUCCACGGCCUCAUUCAUUUUUUUUUUUAAUAAUCUAAAUGACAUCGAACACUCUACUCAAUAUAAGUUUAUUCGAAUGUCCUGUUUCAACCUAAUCGAAAAUUGCAAAUGAAACAAAUGCUUGCUAUCACAAACAGCCAAAAUGGAAUUUUUGUUUUUCAUUGUUGUAAUGACUUUGAUCUUGAUGUUGAAAAUUUAUUUGUAACUUAUAUAAAGGCUCAAUUUUAUCAUAAUUGGUUACAUCCAUAUGCAGCUUAUAUAAUGUUUAUUACAUCCAUAUAAUCUUUCUUAUAUAAUGUUUUUGUUACAUCCAAGAGAAAGACAGUUACGCUUAGAUCAGUCUUAUUUAAUAGAAUUAUAGGAUAAUAAAAUUGGUUUAAAGAAAUGUGAUUCUUAACUCUUGUAAUUAAAGUUAGUGUUCUUUGAUUUUAGUGGUGUAGGGCUUAUAAGUCUAUGCAACAAUUCUUGGUGAGUUUGAUUCAAUAUACGAUCAUUUUCAGUUCUUUAAAGUCUCAUAAUUAAAAAUUCCGAAAUCAUAAUUAGAAUUUACAAACAAGUCAAAGUGAGUCAAAGCAAACCUAGAAAUUUAAGGUCUAUCAUAAACUUUUGACAAAUUAAAGUUAAGGUGAUUAAUUAAAUGCUAGACAAAACAAAACCUAUAAAUUUACCUUACCACAUGAUGAAGCUAUUUCAAAGAUCUCAAAUUACACACUAAUUAAUAAUUAAUCUACAUUUUUUUCCGUUGUAUAUCGUUGAAACUUCUAUCUUCACAACAUAUUGUUCUUAAUUGGCCAAAUGUAUUUUUGUCUAGAAAUUUGCUAUGAACAAAUUUCAGAAUUCAUCAGAGAUAAUACAAACAACUAAUGUAUUUAUAAUAUACAUAAUUAAACUUAAUAUAACCAUCACUUACAUGAUAGUUUUUCAAAAUAAAUAAACACAUAUUAUAACAUAUUUAUUUAUUAUAUAAUUAAUAUAGUACCUUUAAUAUAUUGUAGAAUUUCUUCUUCCUAUGUUACAGAAAAUGUAAGUAACGGACACUAAUUUAACAAGAAACGUAUAUAUAAGUUUGCCACGUGUAGUCUCAACAUGUGUGUAAAAACCGAAUUAACCGGUUUGCAUUCGACAACAAAGGAAAAUAUUACUUGUUGCUGAUCGAUUGCAUAAUAUUUUAAUUCGACAUGUCUGACUGCUUUGCCAGCUCGUGUGAUAAAAUGGAUAUGAGUGGAUCUUCAAUGCCUCCCGCAAAAUCCUUGUAACACCACUUCAAAAUUUUAUUUUCUAAAAUACACCGAGUUUAAAUUAUAAAAUAUAAAUCUGUUUAUAAAAAUUAAUCAUCUUUCCAUAAAAUUUCAACCUAAAAAUUAUUUUUCUUUUAAUUUUUAUUAUAAAAGGUAUACAAACUCUAUUAUUAAAUUGUUUUCUUCUUAUGAUAUAGUUUAUAUCUCUAUAACUCUAAACUUGUGUAAUUUUUUUUUAAAAAUAUUUUUCAAUUUAAAAUAUAAAAUGGCGUGGGUAUUAAAAAAUUUGUUAAAAGAAUAAUUUAUUUAAGUAUUUAACUGAAUUUAAAAUAAGAAAUAAAUUAAUUUAUUUUUGAUUAUUUAUGUAAGUUUCAAUUAAAAAAGAGUUUUAUGAGAAAUUGAGAGGGGAAAAUGAUAUUCUUAGUAAUAUUAUUAACAUAUGAUUAAAAUUCUUAUUAAUUAAACAUUUUCAUAUAAAAACUACUGAUAUUUAUAGAGAAAGCACAAUGAAGUGAAGAAAACUUGAAUAUACAUACUCCAAUAUAAUUUUACACAUGCAAAUUAUGAACCGAUGAUCUUUAAAUUAUCAUAAAAUUAUUUCAACAUAAGUAAUUAGUUUGAAAAUUUUCCAAUAAUGUUUAAAAUGGGAAUGAAAGGAUUAUACUAUAUAAGACACAAUAUCAUUUAAGGCGGCUUAGAAAUUAUGAGAAAUUUAUCGAUCUUACAAAUAAUAUUUAAUACGUCGAUUAGACUGAAUCUUUGGAAUAAAAAUUUCAAAUUAAAUAAUAAACCCUUAGUUUCCUUUUAAUCAUAAUUAUAAUCUUAAUUAUUAAGACAUCUUGUUUUUUGCUUGCCUAUUUUAUUAACUUUUUUUUAAUGAAAAAUAUUGCGCUGCAUGCAAGUCUUUGGUCGCCGGCCUACGCGUCCCAAGCAUCCAGUUGACAGCGAGGUUUCCACUUUGAUUAUCGGCACUCCCCAGAAGUCGCAAGGAAAGACUUGUUCGAGUAGUUUGAAGAUUCAUGAGACUGCUUUUCACUAGAAUUCCACGCCCUCAUUCCUUUUUUUCUUUUUUUUUUUUAAUUAUCUAAAUGACAUCGAACACUCUACUCAAUAUAAAUUUAUUCGAAUGUUCUGUUUCAACCUAAUCAGAAAUUGCAAACGAAACAAAUGCUUGCGAUCACAAACGGCCUAAAUGGGAUUUUUGUUUUUAAAUGUUGCAAUGACUUUGAUCCUGAUGUUGAAAAUUUAUUUGUAACUUAUAUAAUGGCUUCAAUUUUAUCAUAAUUGGUUUCUAAUGCUAUGUUAGAGGGCAUGGAUAAACUGUGGGAUUAGAUUAGAUUUUAGGACUAAAAAAUUAAUUUCAUCCAAUGUCAUAUUUAGCUGUCGUGACUAAUAAAUUAGUCCAAAAUUAGGAUAAGAUUUAUAAUAUUAAAUGAAAUAUUUUUGUUCUCUUUAUCACUCUUUUCUUUUUCAUUUAAAUUGAAUAUAAACAGUAAUUUCAUAAUUUUUUAUGUAGAAUUUUAUAUUAUACUAAAUAUCAAAAUUCUAUUCAAAAUUUAUUUUAAGUUGUAUUUACUUAAGAUUAAUUAUCUAAAUUUAAUCCAAUAAUUUAGUUGAUCUAGUAUUGAAUAUUAAACAUUAAAAAUUAUUCGAUUAUUUGUUUAAAAUAAAAUUGAAUAUUAAAUAUUGAAAUAAUUAUUUAAUAGCAUAUUAUAUUAUUAAUAUAAUUAUUAAUAAGAAACAUAUCAUUUAUUUGAUUACUAUUUAAAGAUAAACUUAAAUACUAUUUAAAAUCAUUUAAAUUUAACUUAAUAUAAUCCAAUCUAAAAUUGUACCAGACAUGCAUAAUACUAUAUAUAAUUCAGUCUAAUCCAAUUCAAUCUUAAUAAAUAAUACAAUCUAAUCUUGUGAGUCAAAAUUGGCCUAAGGUUACCAAUUGUGCAAUAAUCUUUAUAGCCCGUUUCCCAGCCACACACCCUUUUGUAUUAGUAUUCUCACAGCCGUUGGAAAUAUGGCUCGUAAUCUAACAAAUGACAUUAUACGGCUGUUACUUGCUAGUUUUUGUAAGGUGGCCAAGGCCUUUUAUCAAACACUAUAGGCCUUUUAGUGCUGAGCUAACAGAUUAGUGCUGUCUAUUUCUACAAACACAGAACUGCUAUUUGUUUGUCUAUCCCGUGGUCUCUUCGUUUAUUGACUUGAACUGUGAUAACUAAGGGGGCAUUCCUUUCUUCAAGAGAGUACUACCCAAUGGAGACGUUAAGUAUUAUUUUGUUUUUUUUUCGAAAUAAUAAUGAGUCAUAGUCAAUUGGAUUGAAUUAAUAAUGUUUGUGUCUGUGUGGUGUAAAUUGUAUAAGAAUGGAAUUUUUAUACAUAAAUAUAUUUCUCAUUCAAACUAACGCGACCAUAUUUUAACAAAUAAUUGUCUUGUAUUUCAUAUUAUUUAUUUUAUUAUAUUAUUUUCAUUUUAAUAUAUCAUCACGCUACUCUUCCCCAGUUUUCAUAUACACCAUAUCUGUUUGUGUGAGAUUAAUUUGUACACACUACAAAAAAGGCGGCCUGAUGCGAGGCCGGAUUUGACGAAUAUCUGAGCCGACGUAAAUGAUGAUCGUCUGUCGGUAAUUUGAUUACCUUUCCGUACUUUAUCAAUCAUUGAAUGAUUUUACUGGUUUAAUCGCUUGAUUGUUUGAGUAUGAUCGGUAAUUUGAUCGUCUGUCAGCAAGUGAUUCACCAUUCACUCUCCAAUUUUCAUUAAUUUAGUGUAGCAAAGCUUUAACUAGACAGGUAGAUAACGUGGUCAUGAAAACAUGAUUAAGAGUUUAAUGCAAUCAAAUCUACUUUAAUGAUUAUUUAAUGCACGGAGAUUUAACAUCAAUUAUCAUCACGUUAUUCUAACAACGAAAUUGCAGAGCUUGGAUCUUUACUCGAACAGUUUCACUGGCACUAUUUCUGACACAUUGGGCAAGCUGAAGGAAUUGCAAUUCCUGUAUGAUCAUUUCCCCAACUAUUAUUUGAAUAAUUAUUUAAUGCCGUUCAUUCCAGCUCUGUUUGGCUGUUAACUUUAUUUAGUUAUUUAUUUAUGAGGAGAUUCAUUUCUCACUUGAAUCUAGAAAUUUACGGAUCAAUGACAUUUUAUUUUUUCUUUUAUAUGACAGCUUGCAAUCCCUGGUGUGUACUCAUAGUGCCUUACAUGAAUAAAAAAAUGAUUUUUUUUUUUUUGGGGGGACAAUUGCAGUUCUGAUAACAACUAAAAUCUGUGUGGUCCGGUUACCAGAAAGCCUUGCCCCAGGUCUCUGCCAUUUUCUCCUCCACCUCCAUUUGGGGAAACUAAACUAUUUACUUUUUGCAAGUUUUUCUUGAAAUAUAUAUUUUUGAGAAGAAAACCAACAAUACAUUUUAUGAUUUGGGCUGUUUCAAAGAUCUUUGCUUGAUAUCUCUGCUACUGGUUUUCAGCAGAGCGCCCAAAAUAAUCAGUGCACGCACCAUAUGCUUUAUUAUUAUCAGCAAAAAUCACUGCUGAUAUGUUGGGAUCGACUUUUUUAUUUGGGAGAGGAAGCAUGCUUGAAAGAGUAGAGCGGUGCAUCUUGUUCAAACAUGCACCGUAGAGCCAAUUCCAUUUUAUGAAAUAGGAGUUAGACUGAACAACGUUAUGUCUUCAUUAUCAUUUCAGGAGGAAAUAGAUCAAAUACAGCAAUUGCUGUAGGAGUUGAUGUUUGUGCUGCUAUAUUUUCUUCAGACUCUCAUACCAAGGAAAAAUUUAGCUUCAAAGAAUGGUAUGAUGCUUUGAUUUAUGAAGUAAUUGUUAUACAUUUUGUACCUUCCAUACAUUUUGCUCUGUUAAUAUUAUUAUUUGAUAACAUGCUUGUCGAGUUGCACAGCGUUUAGAAUUUUGAGAUUAAAUAGAGUAUAAAUGCUAUCCAAAUGCACUCCUUUCAUUUUAUACAACUUUGAUUGAUCAUUGUUUCUAAUUUACCUCAGGCAUCAAUGGAGUCUGUCCGAGUCUCCUUUGCUGGGAAAUCAGUCAAAUGACAGCACAGGUGCAUAUAUUCCAAGAGCCAGUAAUGUAAUAGCUCACAAUUUAGCAAGACUAGCUUUGGAGCAAUCUGAAGUUGUACUUUGGAUGGAUAAUAUUCCAGCCCAACAUUUGUAUUUAUUCACUAGUUUUUUUUUUUUUUUUGAAGAGAAAGUAAAGCUUUCUAACUAAACAAACUUAGACAGUAACAAUAUGAUUUGAACUGGAAAGUCCUCCAGCCAAACUACAGGGCUUUCAAAAUCUAAGGCUACUUUGGCCAAUGAGUGAGCUGCUACAUUACAGUUUCUAGGAACGAAUUGAAUUGAUGCUCUGCUCUGGUUCUUUAGACAUGCUUGAAUCUCUUCCACUGCCCAGCAAAUUUCUGCCAUGCUGCUCUUCCUUUGCAGUGAUAGCUCCACCACUUCUAAAGAAUCUGACUCUAUAAUGAUUGGAUUACAUUUUGCUUGGCAGGCAACUUGAAUUCCAAACAACACGGCUUCCGCUUCCAUACAAGCCACAUCACCUCUGAAUCCAGUGCUCUGAACUGCUGCAGCCAAAAUUUUCCCGCUUGAAUCUCUAACCACUACACCUAGCCCAGCCUUCGAAUCUGCCAUUUGAAUUGCUGCAUCCACAUUCACUUUAUACCAACCAAUUGGAGGGGGAUUCCACACCUGUUGAUUAUUAUUGUGCUGACUUGGAACAACUUGGACAUUUGGACACUUAAUUCUCAAGUACGACUCUACAGUUGCUGCAGCCCCGGCUGCUGUCAUUUGGGGAUCUUCUUGCUUACCUUCAUUUACCACUCUAUUUCUUGCAUACCAGAUAGCCCAACAAGUUGCAAUUAUCAGCCCCAAAUCAUCUUUUUUCCUCUUCCCGGCUAAAUCUUGAAGAAUACUCAGCAUAUCCUGGUGAGCCAUUAGCUUUAUAUCCUCAUAAAAUUCUGUCAACUUCCACACCUUCCUAGUAGCUCUGCAUCCCACCAAUGCAUGAAAGACAUCACUAGUUGAAUGCUUAAAAGGGAGACAUUUUUAUCAAAAAAAGAAAAAAAACUUCAAUUGAGUUGCUAUCUAUUUAACUUUGGCAAGUGAGAGAGAGGGAUGGGACUGUCCAAUUAAAAUUAAGUUUCAAAUGGUAAUCCCAUCAUUGUCGUCUCAUGUUUGUCAAAUUCAAAUUUGAAAAUAUCACCAUGUUUGUAUGGUGAUGUUGUGGGAUUGUCUCGCCUAGGCUUUUAGCCUUACGACCUCCUUUAUUAGAAAAAAUCUUUGGUGUUCUUACUCAAUGGUAGAAUCAAAAUUUUACUUCAAUGGAAGCCAUAAUGAUUAAAAUAUAUUCUUAUUAAAUUUGAUCAAUUACUUAUUUGAUGUUGCUCUCUCUAUCUACAUCUCCUUCUUUAUGAAAAAAAUUAUUGUAAUACAUGAAAGUAAAUAUUGCAUUGAAUAAAAUGAAAUUGUUCAAAAAUUAACAAAUUCAGCUUUAUUAUAAUCUAAAACAAAGUAAAUAGAAUAAUAUCCAUCAUGUAAAAAUAAAAAAAAAUUGUACCACUUUGAAUCUAUUUUAAUUUUUUUGGUCAAAUCUCAAAAGCACAAACCUUGAACGAUAAUAAUAUGUAAAAGCUAAUAAUCUUAUAAUAAAAAGUAAGAAAAAAAUAAAAUUGAUUUAGCAUGUAAGAAUAAAAAAAGAAAAAUAGAAAGAGAGAGAAAUUAGUUUAGGCUUUAAGCAUUGUUAAGUUCGGAGAAAAAUAAUAAUUAACUAAGAGUAAUUUUAUGACUUUUUAGAAAUGAGUGAAUUAAAAUAAUAAGUUAAAAUUUAAUAAUUAUCUUAAUUAAAAAAAUAGGUAUUGAAAUAAAAUUAGUGGAUUCAAAUAGCCCACCCAAAAUCUAAACUUGCAUACCAAUUAUUUUCUAAUUUACAUAAAGUUUUUCUUUAUGUUUGAUAACACUUGUUUCUCAAUUGGUCUAACGGAGAAACAACCAGCUAAAAAAUAAAAUGAAUGCAAUUAAAUGGAAAUUUGAAAAAGAGCAGUAUGUCACGGGAUGAGUGUUUUGCGCAGCUAACCCGUGCGGCACUUAGACAACUUUGCCGAAUGUUGCUAAGUAAGCCUAGAGCUUCUCGAACUAGAGAAGAGAGCAAUUGAGCCAAAGAAGAAAACUUGUAUUGCACAAAGAGAGAAUACAAUGCUUGAGUUGCUUACAAAGCUUGUUGGAUACAAAUGCCUAAUGCCAUCCCAUAUUUAUAGGGGAGGCUUGCCAAGCUCUAGAGAUUCUAGAGAAUUCUACCACUUCCUAGCUAUUUACAUGUGCUGGAAUUCUAUGGAGAAUUCUAGAGUUGCUUAGAACUUUCCGGAAUUGAGCCAAGCUAACACUCUUGGCCUUGUGUUGGCUCUCUAGCCCAAAAUUGUGAGCAAUUGGGCUAGCGAUUUGGGCGGUCCGCAACAAGUAGGUGACAUUUUUGUGCAAGCAAAAUUGCAUUCUGUUUGUGGGAUCCUGGAAAAAGUAAAAGAGAAAACACAGAAUGACACUGAUAUUGUGUUCUUUAAUAUUUUUCUAGUUGCUUCCAUGGCAGAUUCUCAUUGGUCCAUUUUUCUUUACGCCUUAGAUUCUAUGAUUCAAUUUCAAUCAAAUACCACAACCAAAAGAAGCUUUUAAGCCUGCAGCUGAAAUAGAUGGCACUUUAAUUUUCAGCUGAACAUAUAUAUGGUAAGAUUAUUAUUAGUAUCGAGCUUGAUGAGGCUAUAGAAAAUUCAAUAUCGAGAUCGGAUAAGGGUCCAAUAAAUUAUAAAAAUAUUGCAGCUCAAAGCCCAUAUGAUCAUGGGCCACUACUUGCUCAUGCUUUGAAUUAAAAUUUUCUAACGAAGUGACGUUGGAAGCCGAAAUGGGCACAUGAUGAAAUGGUGUUCAUCAUAUAUUGAGCCCAACGGGACAAGAUCAUCAUUUAAUUGCCUCCUCCACUUGUCGAUAGAUAUUUGCCGAAUUUUUCUAUUUAAAAAAAUAUUAUACUGGUCAAUAUAAUUAGAAGUUUUACAAAAUAUAAAUAUAAUUUUAAAAAAAUUUAUAUUUGUUAAUUUAAAAUUUUCAUUUGGUGGUUAUGUUUGAGAAAAAUCUUAGAGAUACUAAGAUAUACUCUCUUAUUAUUUAUUAAAUUUAGGUAUUUUGACAUAUUAGUAUUCAGUAUUUUUUGGUAAUUAGCUGAGAAGUAUAUGUGACAAAAAUUUAACACAUGAAAGAAUACACAUCGAGAUUAUCUAAAAUUUUCCAUUGACUUAGUCAACUCUCCAUUAAUUUCAUUGACUUGGUCAACUUAUGAUCUAACUUGACAACUUGAAAAUUAAAUUAUGCUAGUACUUUUGUAAAAUUAAAAUUUAUCUUCCAAAAUUGAUAAAUACCGUGUCACUUUGUCAAAUUACUUAGGGUAAAAGUUCUAUAGCUAAAACAUUUAAGAUGAGUUAUAUGCUAAUUGAGAAGGACAAGACACAAAAGAAUUCAAUGGGGCAAAACUAUGUUACAACUGUGGUAUGGUACCACAGUUGCUUUCAGUCGGUAGAUCCACAGUUGUACAGUUACAUUAGUUAGAUCUAAUGGUUGAAAGUAACUGUGAUACCAUACCAUAGUUGCAACAUAGCUGGACCCAAUUCAAUGAAUGCCACGUUAAGUAACGUUGCUUACUCUUAACAAAUUAUUACAAACGUGAUUCAUGAAACUUGACUUUGUGUAUAAAGACGACCUAAAGAAACAUGCCAGGGCAACAAAUAAAGUAGUCCAAACGUGAUUCAUGAAAACUUGAUAGGCACUAUUUAAAUAGUAUUAAUAUGGCAACCAAAAACAUGCGAGCAAAGUAGACUUUCUUGGACGAUCCAUGCCAAUCAACAAAUAAAGUAGCCCAAACGUGAUUCGUGAAACUUGACUUUCUGUCUAAAAAGGCCUAAAGAAACAAGAUCAAAAUUCCAUGCAGAAGCAAUAUGGUGGGCACAAUGCACUAUUUAAGCCAUUUUUCAAAACUAAGUUUCUUCUUUUUCACAUGCACUAUUCAAGCAAUUUUUCAACAUUUUCUCAUUCCCCUAAAAGCUAACACGCAUGCGUGAAUCAUGUGCCAAUCAAUUUCUUGGCAAAAAUUGGAACGCAAGAACCGGUUCGAGCAUAGGGACAUUUUCACGAUUCAAGAUUCUCAGCAAGACGGCGAGACCAACGUGCAUCACUUUUGGAAAGUAAUUUAGCAAGUUCCAAUGCCUUAGCUGAUUAAUGGCUUGACCAUGUCACGAUUGGUCCCCUAAAAGCUAACACGCAUGCGUGAAUCAUGUGCCAAUCAAUUUCUUGGCAAAAAUUGGAACGCAAGAACCGGUUCGAGCAUAGGGACAUUUUCACGAUUCAAGAUUCUCAGCAAGACGGCGAGACCAACGUGCAUCACUUUUGGAAAGUAAUUUAGCAAGUUCCAAUGCCUUAGCUGAUUAAUGGCUUGACCAUGUCACGAUUGGUCCACAUUAUGCACAUGGCAAGAUCAAACAAAAUAUCACAGCUGGCUCGACGACUACCAGCCAAAAUAAGAAGACAAUUACGGCCAGUUACAUCAUUAUUGCUAGUAAACUCUUUACGAAGGAAAUGUGAAUAUCCCUCCUAAUCACUUUCUUAUAUUAUCAUUAUUUUGUACAUAUGACAGAACAUGUUCUCCCAUGUAAAGAAGUCAAGAAAAUGGUUUUAGUUUUCACAUCAAUAAUGGAAUCCAAAAUCUUUCACAGCUUGCUUCUCCUUUGGACGCUUGAAAAACUUUCUUACCUGGCUAAAACUGUGAGAAUUGUUCAAACUAAUUUGAUUGAUAACUUUCAGACACAAAAAUGUAUAUGAAUGCUACAUUUAAAUGUGAAACAAAAAGGAGUACUUAUAUUAAAAAACAAUCAGUCUCAUUGCGUCCUCUUCCAUUGACAUAGGCAAUUUGCGGUCAACUUGUGGCACCCUUAUUGACACGUAAAUAACUUACUUACCCUGCAGCCAAUACUUUUAUGAAUUUUUAGGGUUGGUAAAUUUUUCAAAUUUAAAAGAAAAAGUACAGAAAUAUAAUUUCCAUUUAUCCAGAAAUUUGAGUUUCAAGGAACAUAGCAUUUAUGUUAAUAUAGAGAAGAAAUUUUUUAAAAAAAAAUUGAAUGAAUAAAAGUAUUUUUUGAUAAAUAUUUGACAAUCAUAUUUAAAAAAAAAAGUUUUUUUAAAAAAAAAAAUUCACUCUUCCUACAUAAUUUAAUAAUUUAACAUUAUAAAUUAAUCUUUUUAUUCAAAGUAAUAAUCUCUCCUUCGGUCUGCAAAUGCUAAAAUUUAAUAUUAUACCAUAUGAUGUAAUAGCAAAUCUGCAUGAAAUCUGCAUUUAGUCAAUAACUAUGAAAUAUCGAUACGUGUUUGAAAAAACUCUUAAAAAUCGGUUUCCACCUUCAUUAUUAUAGCUCUUGUAUAAACCAACUUGGCAACAUAUGAUUGAUUAAUAUAAGAAUAAAUAUUUAUUAAGUGGGUUCUACCAUGUUUUUAAUUCACCUAAUGAUAAUAUGUCACAUCAAUUUGUACAACAAUAUUUGUGACUAUAUCAUUACUCGUUAAUUAAUAUGAACACUAAUUUAUUCUUCUUGAAAGAGAAUUACUGCAGCGAGGUUUGAGGCUCAAAGAGUUCUCAUUUAGCCAAACAUAAGAGAUGAGAGUUCACAGGAGACGUAAUUUGGAAAAUCAAUUCCAUCCAAUAGGCAAUAGGUCUCAGUGGGUUUGACUCAGUAUACGAUUAUUUUCAAUUUUUUAACGUCUUGUAAUUACAAAUUCCGAUAUCACAUUAUAAUUUUCGAACAAAUCAAAGUGAGUCAAAUCAAAUUUAGAAAAUUGAGAAAUUUAAGAUGAUUAAGUAAAUGCUAGACAAAAUCUAACUUGUAAAUAUACCUUACCACAUGAUGAACGUACUUAAAGAUCUUAACUGAUUGCUAACCAAUUAAUUGUUGUUUUACAAUUUUUAUAUAUCCUUUCUUUUCCCUAAAACUUCUAGUUUCCUAACAUAUUGUUCUCAAUUGGUCUAAUUAUAAUAUAAUUUUUUUAAAUAUAAAUAAAAUGAAUUUAUUUACUGGAAAUUUGAAAAAGAGGCACUUAUCUAUGCAAGCAAAGUUGCAUUCUGUUUGUGGGGACCUUAAAAAAAAGAAAAAAGAAAAAAGCAUAAUGACACACUGAUGACGACAAUCCUGAAGUAUUUGUUUUCUUUAGUUACAGUUUGGUUUGAAUGGUUAAGUUCAAGUUCGAAUUUUCUUUACGUAAUUUAAAUUAAAAUUGAUAGAACAAAUGGGCUGAUCAGUAAGAUGAUGAAGAAGAAGAAGAAGAAGAGGGGAUGUCUUUGAGGAUGAAGAGAAAGAAAGUUCUCGAAUAAAAAUCCGGCUUUAUGGAAAUUAAAUUAAAAGCUAUUAAGCAUUGUAAAUUACUUAACAGAUUAAUGCUGAGCUAAUCAAGUUUGUUUCUGAAGAUGAUACCUUUAAAUCUCUUGUAGUUAAAGAUAAUUAUCAUAUCACCAUAUCAAAUGGACCGAAUUCAAUCAAGUGAAAUCUAGAAAAUAGAGCAGCUCAUAGAUGUACGUGGCUAAGUCGGGGUUCAUUUGGAAGUACUUGGUCGAAUUGCGACUUGCAUCGGAGGCUUCGUUUUAGAAGAGUGCAGAGCAGCCGCCUUGUCCAUUUGGCACGCCAACGACUUUCUAUUGACCAAUAAUUUUGAAAGCGAUAUUAUUAAUUUACCAUCUAAUAUAUUUAUGAUAUUAUCAUUUUACUAUAAUAUUUUUUUGAUAUUAUCAUUUUACUAUCAAAGUUUUUUGACAAUUAUUUUGUUCACUUAAUGUUUUAGUUUUUGUUAUUUUACUAUCAAAAAAUGGUAAACGCACCCCUAGUAUCGGUUAUACACAAAAAUGGUUACCGAACUGUCUUGUUUCUCAUUUUGUUUAAUUUUCAUAAUUCGACUCACGAUUCAAACGUAGGUGAAGAGGUCUUUUGGGAAAAAUCUGGUCUUCCAUUUACUAGAAUAAGCUAUGUGUGAUUGUUUGACCGCAUAUGGCUUUCUGUCCAUCAGCUAAUGCAUAUUCUGCAUUUUAUGAAUAUCAGAGCUGGUAGAUUGAAAAAUGGACCUUAUUACAUGUCAUAAGAUACUUUGCUCAAAGCUGCAAUUGGGCAACGCCGUGCUGUUCGUAUCGGCCAAGGCAAGCCAUUUACUAUUCUUUCUAAUGGAGCAAAAUACGAUGAUUCUUACCUGCGUAGAGAAUUAGAAAAGAAAAGGAGGAUUACUGAUCCACAGAGCUGUCAUUUACUAGAAGCACAUAAAAUCUUACACUUAAUUCAUUAACCAUAUGUAAUGUUCUAAUGAUACUUAAGUAUUACAUAAAUUAGCCUUUCAAAAUUUCACUUCGAAAAAAUCCAAGGUUGUGAUGUGUCUGUAUAAAUUCGCUAAUACAAGUUCUCUCUAUUCCCAAUUGUUUUAAACUCUGUUCUGAACAGAGCAUGAAAGGAUAUAUUCGUUUAUCUAGUUAUAUUUUUUAUGCUCUCACUUCACUUGAUUCACCUUCUCCAUCUUUUAAAACAGUUGUAUAUGUCGGAGUAUCAAGUUCAUCACAAGGAUCAUAUUAUGGCCUAAGGAAGGAGCACAGUUUAUUGUCUGCACUCAAGCUUAGCAGAGUAUUUUGGGAUUCAAGAGUGUUAGUAGGCCGUUACAGAUGCCAUGCUGGCAAGCGUGCUAUGACUGAUUGCUAUUUGCACGUAAAAUUUGCCCAAAACAAAUAGAAUGAGAAUACUUGUACAAAAGGAUAAGAUUAAUAAAGUGAAUAAAUUUUAUCUUUUAGUGAAUGCUUCUUGUCUUUUAGAAUUUCAGUGCAUUUUCGUGUGUAAUUUUAUGUGCAAAUAGCAUUACUCAUUAGUAAUUAGUCUAGAGUGUUCUAAUUUCUUCUAAUAAGUAGCUGAUUUGAGCUUAAGACUUGUAUUUUAAGUUUUUAUUACUUUCUAAUAAAGAUUUUCUCCGUUCUUUUUUACUUUCACUUUCUCUUCCAUUUUCCCGACUCCCAAACACCACCAAUCCUUGAUUUUCUAGAGUAUAGCUAUGCAGUUCUACAAACACGAAACUGCUGUUGGUCCAAUUACUUUCAAGAAACAACGUACUCUGUGGUUUAUUGACUUGUGACAUGGGCAAAUUAGUCACGGUCCGAUUGUCUCCUCUUCCACUUACUGUCAAUUCAUGACUUUGGCACACAGUAGACGCCAGCUGCCUGCUCCAUUUGACGUGCAAAAAACUUUCUUGAGUCAUGUAGUUAAGAGAGACUUAAUUUUGAGAAGUGCAAGAGAUUGGUGGGACUCAUUUGAUUCAAGAAAAACAAUCAGUCUCAUUUGAUACGCAAAGAGCUUUUCAACUCUGCAGCCAAUAUUUUGAUGAAUGAGACAUUACUGGUUUGUAUAAUUUUUUGGAUAUUAUCUCAAUUUUACUUCUGUAGGUUUGUGGUUUGUAUAUUACCUCAAUUUUUAAAAAAAUGUAAUUGCAAUUAUCAAACACGACUAAUCCCAACAAUUUAUCCAAAAAAUUUUGUUUCAAGAAAUGUAGCAUUUAUGAUAGAAUGGCUAAUUUUUUCAAUCGACUUUCUGGAUAAAUGAUAAUUUUUUGAUAGAAAUGUUAAUUACUUAUUACAGGAAGAAAAUUAUAGAAUAAUUUUUUGAAUUAAUAGUAUUACUUUACGAUAACACUAUCACAAUCUAAUUUUUUUAAAAAUAAAGUUAUUCUUUAAAUUUCGCAUUACUAUUCCUACUUUUCUUGUUAUACUACUUAAUGGCAAAAAUAGUUCAUACGAUAAAAUGAGUACUUAUAUUAAAAAAAACAAUCGGUCUCAUUGCGUGCUCUUUCAUUGACAUAGGUAAUUGGCGGUCAACUUGUGGCACUUUUAUGAAUUUUCAAGACUGGUGAAUUUUUCAAAUUUAAAAGAAAAAAAUACAGAAAUGUAAUUUCAAUUUAUCCAAAAAUUUGAGUUUCAAGGAAUACAGCAUUUAUUAUAUGUCAUGUUAAUAUAGAGAAGAAAAAUUUAAAAACUUCUUUUUGGAUGAAUAAAAGUAUUUUCUGAUAAAUAUUUCACAAUCAAAUUUAAAAAAUUUCACUCCUCUUGGUACAUAAUUUAAGAAUUUAACAUUAUAAAUUAAUCUUUUUAAUCAAAGUAAUAAUCUCUCCUCGGUCUGCAAAUGCUAAAAUUUAAUAUUAUAUCCAUUGACAAUAUUUGCUCCCAAUUCACGAAAAUAAAAUUUCUAACAGAAUUAUGAAAUUCGUUACUAGAAAAUUGUAUAAAAGUUGUGAGAAUAGAAGGUUUGAUCAUAGGAAAUUAAUAUAUCCCUAUCCGAUGCAAAAAUGAUUGUAAAGAAAAAAUUACAUUCCAUUUUCCAGUUAUUAAAAUAAUUCUAAAAUUGCUAGGAUCACAAAGGAUAGGCUUUGGUUGACUGAGGUCAGCCUUAACGCAUGCCGGUCUUUUUCUCCUCUACAUUCUUAGAAAUUUUGGUUUCACUAUAAAUACACGGUAUAUAGCAAACUUAUAAGUGUUCUUGCAUUACCAAUCCAAUUAAGCACACACUUACAAUCUAAAAUACUCUCAUCUCAUGGAAAGGCUUCAUUCUCUAAGCAUUAUGAGCAGAUUUCUCUUACUCCAUUGUUUGAUUCUUAUUUCCUUAUUUAUCGCUGCAGCAACAGCCAACACAAGUUCUACUAUCACAGACCGAGAUGCUCUGUUAGCCCUGAAAGCUCGCAUAACUCAUGAUCCGACCAAUUUCUUGGCCCAGAAUUGGAACACAAGUACUCCUGUCUGUAAUUGGACAGGCGUCGCUUGUGAUGUCCAUAGCCAUAGAGUCACAGUCUUGAAUAUUUCAAGCUUAAAUCUCACAGGCACCAUCCCUUCUCAACUUGGGAAUCUUUCUUCUCUGCAAUCACUCAAUCUCAGUUUUAACCGACUUUCUAGUUCCAUUCCCUCCGCCAUCUUCACCAUAUACACACUUCAAAAUGUUAGUCUCCGUAAAAAUCAGCUCACCGGCACUUUCCCUUCUUUCAUCUUCAACAAGUCUUCUUUACAACAUCUUGAUUUUAGUUUCAAUACAUUGUCUGGUGAAAUUCCUGCCAAUAUUUGCAGUAAUUUUCCUUUUCUGGAAUAUCUUGCUUUGUCCAACAACAUGUUUCAUGGAGGAAUACUGUCCGCUCUAUCAAAUUGCACAUAUUUGCAAAAAUUAGAUUUGGUAUACAAUGAUUUCUCGGGAGCCGUACCUAGAGAAAUCGGUAAUUUGACCAAACUUAAGGAAUUACAUCUUGGCCGCAACAGAUUCCAAGGUGCGUAUGAUCACGGAGUUUAUGAAAAUUGUUCCACAAGUUGUAAUAUGUAUAAUGUUCCAUAAUACAAUUUACACACGUUGAUUAAUUUGCAGGAGAAAUUCCUCGAGAGUUUGGCAAUCUUGCCGAAUUGGAGCAGAUGUCGUUGGCAGAAAACAAUCUCCAAGGCAUGAUUUUAAACUUUUUGCAAUUUUAUUCUGUAUUCAUUCGUUUGUUCAUUAAUUAUGCUAUGAUUUAUUGUUUUUCUUUCAGAUAGAGAUAAAGCUCCAUGUCUCCCCUCACUCAUUUCAUUCUUUGAUUUAUGCAGAUAAAAAUAAAAAAAUGUUUUGCAAUUUUCUUUUGUCAUAUUGCCACUUCCAUUUUGAAGCUCCCAAUUAAGUCGAUGAAAAUGAAUGAUGUUUCAUUCUUAUUCUUGUCAGCCUAAUUCUUAUAUAAUUGAAGAGUAAAUUGUUAUUAUGAUAUUCGUCAGAAAAUAAAUUCUUUUUUUUUUCCACCCAAAUAUGAGUGAUCAAAUUGUUUGCGCAUAUAUAAAUGUACUUAAUUUGCAGGAGGUAUUCCACAGGAAUUGGGGAAUCUUGCAAAAUUGAAGACGUUACAGCUGUUCCAGAAUAACUUGACCGGUAACCAUCUUUACAAUAUAUAUAUGAGACAUCUUCCGCUUCUUAAUAAAUAGAUGUCAAGUCUCUCAUUAUAAAUUCUCACUAUCUAACAUCAUUCCGUUUUUUAUUAGAAAUUAGUUUAUGUUAAUUCAAAAUUCUGCAGCAUCUAAAAAUUAAAAACACGUGGAAUAAAUAAUCAAUCUUUCUUCUUUACUGAAUUUGGAUUUCUCAAAAAUUAUCUUGACAAGUAUGCUUCACUAAUGAUAUGCAUGUGUGACAACUUCAUAAAAUAUUUUACAUGAAAUCACUAAUUAUCUUUAAAUGUGUAUAUGCUUUUAUGUAUUAUUAUUCUUUGAAACAAAUCUGAUUAUAAUUCUUUUAAAAUACAGAUGAAAUAGCAAAUCGGAAAAUAUUUUACUGCGAUAAGAAUUCAUAUAUUCAUUGUAGUAGCACAUAUAAAAUAGACUAAAUUUUGUUCCAAAAUACAUUUUUAUCUUCAUAUAAAUUUUACAUUAUUAAUUUAAAUUAAUAUUAAACUAUGUUAUUUCUUUCACUAUAUUAUUUUAUUUACACAAUGAUGUGACUAUUGGAAUUAAUAAUACUUAUAAUUACUUUGUAAAAAUAUAAAUUUAAUACUUUGUUAACAUUUUAUCUACAUAUAACAAUUAAAUUGAAAAUUGUAUUUAAAAAUUUUUAGCUACGCAUAUUCAUUUCAUGAUAUAAAAGUGUAUAUUUAUACUAAUUUACCAUUAUCCAUAAAAUGUUUUGAGACAAAUAAUCUAAUUUAUAUUUGUAUAUUUAAAAUACUUGCAUUUAUUAUAUUUUUAAAAAAAAAAUAUUUGUAAUGAUUUUAAACCAUUGGAUUCAAAUUUUUGUAGUUAUUAAAGUCGAAGGGUAUAAAUGUAUAAUAGUUAAAAACAGAUUUGUAUGAUCAUUUUUCAAUGUAUAAAUUUUCUUUGUUAGUAGGAAAAUUACAAAUUGUUGAUUUACUCAUAAAUAAAUUUAAUGUUUAGCAUUUCAAUUUUGGAAAACUUGAACUAAAUGUUGAUAACUUCGAAUCGGUCGAGCCGAGUUUCACUUCCUUGACCCACGGACCCAUUGAAAGUUCUAUUCGAAUUGAGUUUCCCAGUGCUUAUAAAAAGCAUUUCUUUUCCUUGUCGCAGUAAUUUAUUCACAAAUGAGUUGAUUAGCAUCGAAGUUACCUAAGAGUCUGAGACCAUGCUAGUAGGAGAAAUUUGAAAAGAAAUUAUUUUACUGAAUUAAUUUAUUUUAUCUUGUUGUUGUAACUGAAAUACUACUUUUUUUUUUGGGCUAUCACUGGUACUUGAUUUACUUUAAUAGUAGCAGCCACCGACUUAGGCGUUUUUUACUUCUCACCACACAAUUUGAUCUUUUAAUUCGUUUUAACCACAUAAUCUAUCUAUUUCUCACCUAUUGCUUACUUAAAUUGCAUACAUAUUUUACCUAGUAAUUUUUAUAAAUAUUAGUCAAAUAUAUUUUAUUACGUUUCUCUCGUAACUGCUCCAAAUGUGUACUAUUAAUACUUAACCCUCCCUUUUAAUUUACCGUGCAAUCUAUCUACACUUAAAUCACAUAUAUAUUUUACCUAUAUUUUACCCAAAAAAAUAUAAAAAUUAAAGAAAAAGAAUAUGUGUAGCAAUUUGUAUAUAACUAACAAAGCAUUGACGGUGUGUAGCCUUCCAAUACUUCAUGAGUGGCUUUUCUUUUGUGUUAGUAUUUGUAAUAAUUGUGUAGCGUAUAAAGACUCUUUAUUGUAUAUGCGUGUCCGUUUAUAUAUAUCAUUUAUUAUUUGAAAAAUAAUCUGAAUAUAAUUCUUUCAAAAUACAGGGGAGAUACCACCUGAAAUCGGUAAUCUCCGAAAUUUAGAGGAGUUGGACCUUGGUCAUAACAAAUUAGUCGGUACUGUCCCAGCUGCAAUCUUCAAUUUGUCAACGCUCAAAGAAUUCUCCAUUCCAAAUAAUUCUCUCUCGGGAUGUCUUUCGUCCAUCGCAGACGUCCGACUACCAAAUCUUGAAGUGCUUAAUUUUUGGGGUAAUAAUUUCAGUGGCACAAUUCCUCGUUUCAUCUUUAAUGCUUCUAAGCUCUCUGCACUAGAUUUGGACGGCAACUCAUUCUCCGGUUUUAUUCCCAACACAUUUGGCAACUUAAGAAAUCUUAAGUGGCUCAUUUUAUCUGAUAAUUAUUUGACAUCUUCAACUCCAGAAUUGAGCUUUCUAUCCUCAUUGUCAAAUUGCAAGUCUUUAACAUAUAUUGACUUAUCAUAUAAUCCACUGGAUAGCAUUCUUCCAAGGACGUCUGUCGGUAAUCUUUCUCAUUCUUUGGAAGAUUUUGAAAUGAACAAUUGUAACGUUAGUGGUGGCAUUCCUGAAGAGAUCAGCAACUUGACCAACUUGACAACCAUUGAUUUAGGAGGCAAUAAAUUGAAUGGAUUGAUUCCAAUUACUCUCAGCAAAUUACAAAAGCUUCAAGGUUUGGUUCUUUAUGAUAACAAAUUAGAAGGAUCAAUCCCAGACGAUAUUUGUCGUUUGGCUGAACUGUAUGAAUUGGAGUUGGAUGGCAAUAAGCUUUCAGGAUCAAUCCCUGCAUGCUUAAGUAAUCUGAUUUCUCUGAGGAUACUAUCGUUGGGUUCCAAUGAGUUAACUUCUAUUCCCUUAAUUUUUUGGAACCUUGAGGAUAUCUUGUACCUUAACUUUUCUUCAAAUUUUUUGACUGGCCCACUCCCAUUAGAGAUUGGAAAAUUGAAGGUUUUGGUUGGAAUUGAUUUUUCGAUGAAUAAUUUUUCAGGCGUUAUCCCAACAAAAAUUGGAGGCCUAAAAAAUCUAGAAUAUCUCUUCUUAGGAUAUAACAGAUUGCAAGGAUCAAUUCCUGAUUCAUUUGGUGAUUUGACAAGUUUGAAAUCCUUGAAUUUGUCUAAUAAUAACCUCUCUGGGACUAUUCCUGCAUCUUUAGAGAAACUCUCAUAUCUUGAAAAUCUAAAUCUUUCUUUCAACAAGUUAGAAGGAGAAAUUCCUAGGGGAGGAUCUUUUGGAAAGUUCUCAGCUGAAUCAUUUAAGGGAAAUGAAUUAUUAUGUGGUUCACCUAAUUUACAAGUCCCACCAUGCAAAACUAGCAUCCACCACACAUCAUGGAAAAAUUCUCUUCUCCUAGGGAUUGUCUUGCCAUUGAGUACUACAUUUAUGAUAGUAGUUAUUUUGUUGAUCCUAAGAUAUCGACAGAGAGGAAAACAACCAUCGAAUGAUGCUAAUAUGCCACUAGUAGCAACGUGGAGAAUGUUUCCAUACCUAGAACUUUGUCGAGCAACAGAUGGAUUCAGUGAAAACAAUCUAAUUGGCAAAGGAGGUUUUGGCUCUGUUUACAAAGCAAGACUUGGGGACGGGAUGGAGGUUGCAGUGAAGGUUUUCAAUUUGGAAUGUGGAAGAGCAUUUAAGAGUUUCGAUGUUGAAUGUGACAUGAUGAAAAGUAUUCGCCAUCGAAACCUUAUCAAAGUUAUUAGCAGUUGUUCAAAUGAAGAGUUUAAAGCGUUGGUAUUAGAAUACAUGCCUCAUGGAAGUUUGGAGAAGUAUCUAUAUUCAAGCAACUGCAUUUUGGAUAUUUUUCAAAGAUUGAAUAUAAUGAUAGAUGUUGCAUCGGCUUUGGAAUAUCUGCACUUUGGUUAUUCAGCUCCAGUAAUUCACUGUGACUUAAAGCCCAGCAAUGUAUUGUUAGACGAUAAUAUGGUUGCUCAUUUGAGUGAUUUUAGCAUCGCAAAAUUGUUAACUGGAGAAGAUCAAUCUAUGACUCAAACACAAACACUUGCCACAAUCGGCUAUAUGGCACCAGGUUUGUUCAAUAUAAAUAUUUUCUAUUAUUUCUUGUAAACUUCCUAGUAAGUUCUUUAUGUUUCAUUAUCUUCAUUAGAUGAGGAAAUUAUUAUUAAUGAUAUAUCUUACUAUGUAAUCGUUGCAAUUCAUAGAGUAUGGAAGAGAAGGACGAGUAUCCGCAAAUGGAGAUGUUUAUAGCUUUGGGAUUAUGUUAAUGGAAACUUUUACUGGGAAGAAACCCACAGAUGAAAUUUUUAACGAAGAAAUGACAUUAAAGCAUUGGGUUAAUGAUUGGCUACCCAUUUCUACUAUGGAAGUUGUUGAUGUUAAUUUGCUAAGUCAGGAGGACAUACAUUUUGUUGCAAAAGAGCAAUGUGUGUCAUUUGUCUUCAAUUUGGCUAUGGCGUGCACUGUGGAAUCUCCGGAGCAGAGAAUCAAUGCAAAAGAAAUUGUAACAAAACUCUUAAAAAUUAGAGACUCGUUACUUAGGAAUGUUGGAGGCAGAUGUAUAAGACAAUCAAACUUAAAUUGAUUCUACCCCUCCUUCAUUGCUUGCUAUCAUUUUCAGAGACUUGAAUAGUUAUCCUUCAUACAAGUUUUGUUGAUAUGUUUUGUUAUUUCUCUUGCUCAUGUUUAUUUCUCUCUUUCUUUAAUUUGCAUGCAUGCAUUUUCGUUCUCUUCCAUGUUUGCAUUGGUUUGUAUUUAGCUUGUUUUUUGGGGUAAGGUUCUUUAUGCCCUCCCCUAAUUAGAUGUAUCCUUUUAAUUUUUAUUCAAAAAGUUUCGCUAGUACUAUCGAGGUUCAUCGAGGUUAAUCGAAAGAAAAUUUUCAAUUGAUUUUCUUUUCUUUGGCUACUAAUGGAAAUUCUAGUCUUUAUAGUUAAUAACUUUAGUAGUUAUGGCUGUUUUCUGAACUUGGAGUCAGAGUAGUUGAACAGCAACAAACAAGUCUCUUGUAUUAUAGGCAAAAUUCUUUUCAUUAAUCUUAUUUGUCUACAUUUUCUCCUAUUUUCUCCAUUAAUCUUCGCUCAAGGUUUCAAGCUUCCUCUUUGGCAAAGGAAAAUGUUAUUUGCUACUGACCGAUUGCGAGUAUUUCAAUUUGACAUGUGAGACUGUUUUGUCGGCCAUUUGAUAAAAUGGAUAUGAGUGGAGCUUUUAAUCAAUACCUCCACCAAAAUCCUUAUAACGCCACUUUGAAAUUUUAGUUUUUAAAAUACAUUCAGUUUAAUUUAAAAAAAAUAAAUUCAUUUGUUAAAAUUAAUCUUUUUCUCAUAAAUUUCAACCUAAAAAAUAUUUUUCUUUUAAGUUUUUAUUAUAAAAUACAUACAAGUUCUAAACUAUUAAAUUAUUUUCUUCUUAUUAUAUAGUUUAUAUCUUCAUAACUCUAAACUCCUAUAAUUUUUUUUAAAAAAUAUUUUUCAAUUUAAAAUAUGAAUAUAAAAUAUAGAAUGGACUGGGUAUAAAAAGUAUGUUAAACGAAUAAUUCAUUUAAGUAUUCAACUGAAUUUUAAUUUAAAAUAAGAAAUAAAUUAAUUUAUUUUUAUUAGUUAAGUAAUUUUCAAUUGAAAAAGAGCUUAUAUUAUGGACAUAUGAUUAAAAUUCCUAUGAAUUAAACAUUUUCGUAUAAAUACCAGUGAUAAUUAUAGAGAAAGUACGAUGAACCGAAGAAAACUUGAAUAUAAAUACUCCAAUGUAAUUUUACACGUACAAAUUAUGAACCAGUGAUCUUUAGAGCAUCAUAAGACAUGAUAUCAUUUAAGACGGCUUACAAAUUAUGAAAAAUACAUUGAUCUUAUAAAUAAUAUUUAAUAUGUCAAUUAGACUGAGGUGGCGUUUGUUUUUUAACUUAAUAACUUAAAGUGACUUAACUUAAUUAAUUAAGUUAAUUAGAGGUGUUUGUUUUAUAACUUAAUGAGACUUUUUAGAUAAUUUUGACUUAAUAAAAUAAGCCAAUUUUUUUGACUUUUUACUUAAUGGAGAAAUCUGAAUUAAGUCAAUUACUUGCUAAUGUCAAAAAUAUCCUUAUUUUAUAAUUUAUUUUUCAUGUCUAUCCCAAACUCACCCAUAGACAUUUACCUCAUAUAAAAAUAUCUCUAUUUUUUCUUUCUUAUAUUAUAUACAAUAAAAUUUAAAAUUUAUGGUAUUUUAUAUAUUAAAAUUCUAAAAUAAUUAUGUAUUCACUUGAAUAUAAUUUUACUUAUAAAUGUUAAAAUAUUGUGUUAUUUAAUAUAUUAUUUAUUUGACAUUCAAAUUUAAUAAGGAUACAAAUGUAAAAGUACAUAUUUUUAGUUUUUUAAGUCGAAAAAACAAACAACUUAAUAUUUAUUUUCCGAGAUUCAGACGAAAAAACAAACAUAUUAUUCAGAUUCAGACAUUCAGAUAUAUUCAGAAUUCAGACUAAUUCAGGUCUAUUCAGAUUUCAGAUAAAAAAAAAACGCCACCUGAGUCUCUGCAAUAAAAUUUUCAAAUUAAACAAUAAACCCUUUAUUUUCCUUUAAUUAUAAGUGUGAUCUUAAUUAUUAAAGUCAUUCAGAUGAAAAAUGAGAAGCUUGAAGCUUCUCUCGGUUAUUUACUAUAUUCUUAUCUCUUUUCUUUUGUUGCAUUUUUCUUCUGUCGUUAUAAAUUAUUUUUUUACAGAUAUACAAAUAGAAACUAUAUAAAUUUAUAACACCUUAUCAGGGGGUUUUUAAUUAAAUACCCUUUAAUAGUUUCAAAAUUAUUGAAAUACCCCCUCCCUUUUUGGUUUUCAUGGAUACCCUAACAAAUGUGAGUAAAGUCGGAAAUACCCUUAAUGAAUGCAUCAAAUUCACUCAAUGAAUUGUCUUCAUAUUCCUUUCCUCAUUUCUUUCACCCAACUCCAUUUUUGCUGCCGAUUCUUUCAAAAUCUCUUAGAAUCUCUCAAAAUCUCUCAUAAUUUCUUACACAAAUACAAUUAUGUAGUCAUUUCUUUAACACCCACUCUUUCUUUAAAGGUGCAUUGCUUAUUAAACAACCCAAUAAGGUAUGUUAAUGUUGUUGGGUUUUAAAUUUUUUAAUUUUUAGGAAAAUUUAGAAAUUUUCCUCACAUUACAAUGUUUUAUUUUCACCAUUUUUUCUUAUAUGUAGAAAUAUAUGCAAUGUAGGUUGUUUAAUUAUUUUUUUCAGCAAUAAAACUUAUUUAUGGCGAAAAUGUUUCGCGUCGUGCAUUCUUUUGAUACCGUGUACGUCAUAUAGUUAGUCAUGUAGGUCAUGUACUUACUUGUAUAUGAAAUUUGAUAUUAUUAUUUUUAUUGUAUCAUCAGAUAUGGUUUUGGUACGUGUGCCUAUUCUCUUCAAUGGUGAAUGAAUUGAGCAAAAUGACGAGUAUAAGUUCAAAGGUUUCAAGGCUAAAGGGAUAAUGAUACCACGAUCGACAAUAUAUGCCGAAUUGAUGGAGAAGAUAGUUGAAGUUAUUGAUAUAGAUACUUCGGAAUUCGAAAUCACAAUGAAGUUCAAACUUAAGACAUCUGAUCCUAUGCCACCAGUUACAAUUCAAACCAAUGAUGAUGUGGAAUUUUUCUUAGAGGAAGUAGCUAGUGGAAUGAAGUUUAGAAACCCGCUUUGCAUUACUUUUGAACGUAGAUCAAAUCGUGUGUUCAUAAAUUACAGCAAAAAAAAAAAAAAUUGCAUAUUCGACAAUUUGAGAAAUGAUGAGAUUAAUUAUUAUAAAUAAACAAAGUUAUCAGUUUACAAUGUCAAUAUUUGGAUAUGAUACACUAAUGGAUAUCGUAAUUAAACAUAUUACAACCAUUUAAAAAGUUUUUUUUUUUUUUUUAUCUUCAAACUGCUUUCUUCCUCUGCCGAAGCAUACAUGCAUACAUGAGGAAUGCCUGCAUAUAAUAAAUCCAUGAAAUCAAUUAGAAACAACUCUUAAAUCAAAGGCUAGUUGAAAACACAGUCGCAAGUGUGGCAAUACUCGGGUUAUCAUCAAAUGUUGUCAGAAUCUGCACAGCAGCAAAUAUUAAUAACUUUACACAAUUUGUACGUAGUUAAAAAUAAUAACAUACUUAGUUAAAAAUAAUAACAAAAUGAACCUUCACAUUAUUCUUAUUGGUUCUAACGAUGACAAAUUAGUAAUUUUCAGCUUUCGGUUUGCCACAUUUCAUUUUUUCCUGAAUACUUUUCGUUGACAUUUUCUGCAUAGCAACAAAUAUAAAUUCUUAGCAAAAAUUAAGUCUUUAAACAACUAAGUUAUUAUAAUGAAUUAACAACAGUGAAAAAAGUCGUGUAAUUUUGAGGUCGUGUAAUACAUGAAGGUCGUGCAAGUGCAAUACAUGAAGGUCGUGUAAUACACAACCUUGAAUCCUAAUAACCUGACACGACCAAAUCGUGUGUUACAUAAAAAAAUUAUAAUCGGCACAAUCCAUCAAUUUUUCACAAUUUGCAUGCAGCAAAACAACUAGAAAUUUGUUUUUGAACAUGUAAUGAGAGACCCGCAACUAAUUAAUCUAUUUUUUCUAUAUAAACCCUAACUUUUUUUUUCCCUGAAUAUCAACAAGAAAACUAUUUAUAGAGAAUUACUUACCUCAACUAGUUAAAUUAUGACCAUUUUGCAGUAAAGAAUCAGCUCUCGCCGCCGAUUAUGUGGCGACGAACUAGGCUUCUCUUUCUCAGUUGUGGUAGCUUCCCCUUCUCAAGGUUAGUUUGCUCGUGUUGAAGUUCGAUUUACCAUGUAUGGAGAAUGAAUAUUUGUUUCGGUAGAUGUGAUGCCGGUGAGUAGGGAUGGCAAUGGGGCGGGGUGGGGGUGGGGAUGCCUACCCCAUUCCCCACCCCAUUAAAAAUUUUUGCCUCCACUCCCCACUCCAUUCCCCAAUAAAUUUAGUGGGUUGGGGAUGGGGAAUCCCCACGUGGGGAAUGAUUCCCCCAUCCCCACCCCAUUCCCCAUUUACUUAUUUUAUAGUAGAUAUAAAAAUAUGAUUUCAGUAAAUUAAAAAUUAGAGACUUAAAAUAAAAUCAUUAUCAUAUUAUAAAGUAUUUAAUUUUUUUUUUAAAUCUCUAAAAGUUUGAAACAAUAUCUUAAACUGAUAUUAAAAGUGAAAAAUAUUUAAAGAGAGCAGCACCUUAAAAGAGAAAAGAAAAUAUAAUAAUAUUUUAAAAUUAAAAAAUAUUGUAGGGUUUUCUUUUACUAUCAUGUUUAUAUUACAUAAAAAUUAAAAAAUUAUUAAUUGACAUUAUAGUUGAUAAAAUAAAAAUUAUUAACAUAAUUAUAUAUAAUGGGGAUUGGGGUGGGAAUGGGGUGGGGAGUGCAAUACCAAACCCCACCCCGUUAACAAUUUGGGGAUUAUUUUUCUCCCACUCCCCACCCCAUUCUCUAAAAAUUAUUAAAAAUUUUUCCCAUUUGGGGUGGGGCUCCAUGGGGCCCCAAACCCGUGGAGGAUUUUGCCAUUCCUACCGGUGAGGGAAUUGCAGAGGUGAUGCCGAUGAGGGAAUUGCAGUGUUUAUUUGUUUGAGUUUGAUAAUGGAGGGAAUUGCAGCAGAUGAGUGUUUGUUUGCUUCAGUAGAGAAGGGAGAGGUGCUGUCCGUUGAGUUGAAAUGUUUUAAAAUGAGGAUACCUUAGUAAUUUCCUAUCAGUUUUUAAAGGGUAUCGAUGAAAAUUUUGGCAAAAACAGAUUUUUGGGUAUUAAGAUAAUUUUUGAAGUAUGGAGGUGUACCGGGCGCAAUUGGCUCCCUUAUCAGUGCGGUUAAGCCGAAUAAUAUAUCAAAACGAAGCUCUCCAUAAGCUGAGCUUUCUGCCACAAAAUUAUUGUUAUCGGAGUCCCUAGGCGUCGACAAUUGCCACCGAAAAACUUUGGUUUUAAGGGAUAGAAAUGCAUCACGAUCGGGUCGGGUCAAUCCGAAUUCCUACCCGAUUGUUGAGCCUGAUUCAGGCCACAUUACUGGCCGUGGAGGGUACCAAUCAAACCGCCAAAAGUCACCUGUCAUUCUCCAAGUCAUCAUGGUUGCCGGAAAUGACUGGAAAACCGCCGAACGAAGCUCGAAUAUCCGCAACAAAUCGACCCAAAUCGGCAUGAUAUCGCCGAUUUCAGGCCACGCCACCACCUGGGCUUUACUCCUCAUGUCGUCCUCUUUAAUAUUUGACUGAAAACCGGUGCCAAAAGCCACUGGUUUGCCACAAAUCAAGCCACCAAGUUUCACGAUCGUUGGGGCCCGAUCCACUGCCGUAGCAGCGCGUCGGAGCUCACUGUCGGUAUCUUUGGAUUCAGCACGACCUGAAGUCUCUAUCUCGAGCUUCUAAGCCACCGGGGCUUGAUUUCCGGGCACCGUUGAAUGGUUAGGGUAGUUUGGUAAUUUCGAAUUUUAAGGGCAUUCUGGUAAUUUCAAAUUUUCGAGGUUAAUAUCUUUUAGAUCCCUAAAAGUUAUUUAAAUUAUGAUAAAAUCCACAUAUAUUUUUAAUGGUGUUAAAAAAAAUUAGGGAAAUUAUCAGACAUAUACCUUUAAAUGACACUAGUAUCAAACGUGUUACAACACUUUUCAAGUGUAUAACUCGUAUAUCGUAAGUUGACAAAACACUUCUGCCGUCCACCAAUCCGUUAACUACCAUUUACAAGCGCUGACAUCAUAAGGGUAAUCUAUUUUUUUUAAAAAAUGACAUGACAUCUCAUUUACCUAGUAAAAAAUGACAUGUUAUAUGAUAUAUAUUGAUAAAAAUGACAUGUCAUAUGAUAUAUAUUGAUAAAAAUGACAUGUCAUAUGAUAUAUAUUGAUAAAAAUGACAUGUCAUCCCAUUUAUCGAAUAGUUGUUCAUAAUUGCUAAAAAAAAAAAAGCUACUUUACAACCGAAUCUACUCCUCCAAACUUAACCUAAAUUUUUGAAGAUUUACUCCUCCAAGCUCCAACUAAAAUUUUUUAUGGUAUAGUAUAUAUAAUUAUAAAUAAUAUGUUGUUAAUAUUUUUUUAUGGUAUAAUAUAGAUAUUUUUUACAAAUAAUUGUUAAUAAUAUGUACCAUUAAUAAUUCAUAUAUUUUUUAAUAAAAAAAUGUAUUGUUAUUAAAAAAAUUUAAAAAAAUUGUGUAUUGAAAAUUUAUAUUAAUUUUUUAGGUAAAUUUAUCUUUUUACCUCAUUUUGAGUUUUAAGGGCGAAAUAGUCAAUUUGCCAUAAUUCUGUUAACUUUCUAACGGAAGUUAACGGAUUGGUGGAUGGCAGAAGUGUUUUGUCAACUUAGGGUAUAUGAGUGAUACACUUGAAAAAUAUUGUAACACGUUUGAUACGAAUAUCAUUUAAGGAUAUAUGACUGAUAAUUUUCCUAAAAAUUAUUAAAGUCAUUCAAUGUACAUUACUUAUUCAUUUUUUUAAUUAUCAAAUGACAUUGAAAACUCUACUCAAUAUUAUUUCAUUCAAAUGUUUUGUUUUAAAGUAAUCGGAAACUGCAAAUGAAACAAAAUAACAAAUGCUUGAAAUCACAAACGGCCUAAAAUUAGAUUUUUUUUUUAAUGUUACAGUGACUUUGAUCCUGAUAUUAAAAUAAUCUGAAAAUAAUUUGGAAUUUUGGGGAUUUUGAAAUUUUUUGGUUUUGUUUGAGUGCAAUUUCCUCUAGUUACAGUUUCAGUAAGAAGGGUUAAGUGCAAUUUCGAAUUUUUUAUAAAAUUUAAAUUAAAAUUCAUAAAAAGAUUGGGCAUCUAAUCCUAAAUUGAUGGCUAGCGAUACUACAACGGCGGCUGCAGCUCCAGAAAAAGCAGAGGCGGUGGAGGAGUAUGAUAGGGAUCCAGAUGAAAUGAAACGCUCUCUUGUGAUGCGCAGAAGGGAAGCCACUGAUGAGGAGGAGGCGGAGGAUGAGAGAGAUUCAGAGCUUCCAAUCGCUCAAAGUGUGCAUAUUCCUGCGGGAGAGGCGGAGGCUGUGGAUAAGUAUGAGAACGAUCCAGAUGAAGUGAUACACUCUCUCGUUCUGCACAGAAGGGAAACAAGCGAUGAGGAGGAGGAGGAGACAGAAUUUGAGCGUCGAAUGAAUUGAAGGCUCCAGAUUCACUCUUACGAUGAAUCUGAUGGCCAAGGUGGUGCUUCAGCUGAGUAUGAUGAUGAUGAUGAUGAAGACGAAGAGGAACAUGACAGAAUUAGAAGAAGAUGAUGAAGAAGGGGAUGUUUAUGAGGAUGAAGAGGAAGAAGAAGUUUAUGAAGAAGAGGAGAGGAAUGACGGGGCGGUUAAAGUCAAAGGAAUAGAGGGUAAUGAUGCAAGAGGAGUACGAAGGGGGCAGUGGAAGUGAGUAAAAGGAAUAAUGAUAAUGGCAAUGGUGCUAAAAGAAUGAUGUAGUGGAGGGAAUGGAGGAAGAGAAGGAGAGUAAUGAGCCUUUUGUCUCACGUUAACCCUCACCUCUGUUUAUUUCUCUUUCUUUUCUUUUAACCCAAUUUUUACUUCAAUCUUCGUUUUUCUUCUUCCCCCAAAAUUAAACAGCGAUUACAUUCCUCAACAGCUACAAAGAAAAAAAGCCACGGCACUUUCAAGAUACCGAAACAUACCCACAUUUACUAAACAAAAGAGAUUUAAUUUAAAAAAAAUUGCAGAGCGGAUUAAGCACUGACCAAGUGAAAAGCUGACCAAGCGAAGUAAGAGCAAUAGAAUGAACUCCACCAAGAGCAAUACAACGAACAUGAUCAUCCAAAUAAGGAUUCAAAGUAGGCACAAACGCAGCAUCCUCAUGCCCAAAUCCAAGCCGCCCGCCAUCUCCUUUGCCCCAAAUCCACAACUUCCCGUUCACCACCAACCCAGAAUGAAACAACCCACAUGAUGAAGAAUUUGAAAAGCGCUCUGAAGAAGACGAAUCACGAGUUCUCAGAGGUAAAAUUCCUGAUCUUUCUAUGUGGUUAACUCCUGAAUCAGUCGAUUCUUGGUUUCAAUUGGUUCACUGAGUUAGGUGAUUUUGUCUUACGUCUGAUGCAGGGAAGGAGCUUGGCUGAAGGUCACAACUCACGAGUUCGAUUUUUGCUUUUGGCUGAAGGUCACGACGAGCAGCGGCCAGCGGGAACAGAAGAAGUUAUGACGAGCAGCGGCCAGCGGGAAGUCGGGAACCGAAGAAGACAGAAGUCAGAAGUUUAGAUUUAGAUUUUAGGCUUUUAGGUUUUAACUUUAGCUUUCAAAUCGGUUUAUUUGUGAUUUCGGUUCGGUUUUGCGGUUUUUUUUAAAUCAAAAACUGAACCGAUUGGUUUUACUGGACCCUUUUUUAUAUUACUAUUUCGGUUUUUUAGAGGUAAAAAAAUCGCACAAAAACCGAACCGAACCGAUCGAUUCGAUUUUUAAUUAAUCAAUUUUUUUUGCCCAUCUCUACAGCUAGGUACGUAUUGGUGUUUGUGGAUUUCUAAAUGCUUUCUGUCAAAUGUGACUAGAUUAUUAUUAGAAGUCUAUGGAUCUUACACUUAAUUAAUUAUAUAUCCAUUUAUAAUAUUCAAAAUGAUAAUGUACUAUUGCUUAAAAUUAUGCUUUCAAGACAUCAUUAUGAAAAUCCAUGGUUGUAAUGUGUUUCUAAAUUCAGUAAUACAAGUUCUGUCAAUUACUGUUGGAUGCAGUGACCUGAAUAGUUUAAUAUUCAUUUGCAGAAAAAAGUUGAGAAAGAAAACUAAAAAUUUCCAUGCGUUCUGCUAGAAAUUUAAUUAGCUUCAUUUGAGCAUUAAUUGCCGGCAUGAUCUCUUAGACUUCUCUUGCAUUGAAUGAAUGAAUGAGUGCUAAUCCAUGCAAAGACUUCCAUGCAUGCACAAUGAAUGCUAAAUCUAAGGUAUGGUAAAAUGUCAGCAAGCUUGGCCCAAAUUAUCAAGCUGGUUUGGUGGCUGCUAGAUUUGUUCAUCCGGAUUUUGGACCAUUUUCCUUGACAAUGAGAAAAGCUCCAAGAUCUGUAAAUUGAAGACUCACUGAAAGCUCCAAGUUUCAGGUAACUCUUGAGUUGUGUGCUGGAGUAUUCUCUAUUGUAUUUUGUUUGUUUGUUAUUUAUUUGAUGUAUUGCUAGCAGGGAUCUUAGGUGGGAACCAAAAAUUCUCAAUAAUUAUCAAUUGUUUUAAACUCUAUUCUGAACCGAGCGUGAAGGGAUUCACUUAUCUAAUUAUGUCUUUUAUGCUUUAAAUUCAGUUGAUUUCAUCUUUUCCGUCACCUUUAUUAAAGUUGUAUAUGUUGGAGUAUUAGGUUAAUCAUAAGGAUCAUAUUAUGGCUAAGGAAGGAGCACAGUUUAUCAGCUGCACUCAAGUGUAGCAGAGUAUUUGGGGCUGAUGCUACAAUACCUGCAUGUAUGUGAUACAUGCAUAAAAGAUGACCGUUGGAUUGAAUAUAAUGAAUCCAACGGUUGAGAUGAGUUUAAUUAACAAAUAAUUAAAAAUUUUCACAAAACCUGAAACCUAUAGAAACGGUAACAGGCACACAUCCCAACUGGCUAUAUAUAUUUGUGGGAAAAAAAAAAGAAAAAGAAAAAGAAAAAAGCUCUCACCUCACGCAAAGCUAGUUCUUCUCUUCUCUUCUUCUUCGACAAUGGUGAACGGCACGAUGAACGGCGGCAUAGCUAAUUAGUAAUUCCUCUCCUCUUCUGCUUCCACAACAGUCAACGGCGGCAUAGCUUCCACAACAGUCAGCGACGGAUUUGAUUUUCAGGUAUUUUGGUUAACUCUAAACUGAUUUCAUAGCCUUUCAAUUCUUUUUUUUGCUAAUUUUUUUCUUUUUUUGCCCACGCUGCAGAAUCCUUGUCAGUAAACAAACCCUCACAGCCACCAGCCACCACUGACAUGCAUGAACGUCCAAUCUCUUAGCCGCAAUCGCUAUUCUUUGUCGACGUCGCGAAGAAAUUGGGUAUGAUGUUGUUAAUCAAUUACACAUGCUACCAAAAAAUUGUAAGAACCAAUUUUUUAAAUUUUGUUAAUAUGAUUAUGAAAUUGGGCUUGCUUUUGUGUGAAAUUUUAGGGUUUGUUUGCUUUUGGAUGAAAAUUAAAAAUCAGAUUUUGAAAUUGUUUGUUCCUCAUUUUGUUGAGAUAUAUCUUGUCUUCGUUUAUUGAUUUGUGCAUGUCUGGAUAGAUAUGCCAACCUAAUCGAAUGCUUAUUAAAUUCAAUGAAAUGUGAUGCAUGGCCUUAAGCUUGCGGUGAAUAGCUUUAUUCGACAUAUAUAUUUUGGAAAUUAGUUUUCUUUUGUUUGAUUUAUUUUGCUUUAAAAAAAAGAGCCUAGUCAAAAUAAGUUUAUUUAAAAGUGGAUGGCAUUUGAUUAAAAGAAGAGGUAAGAUUUAAAGCCCUCCAAGUGUUUGAUAAAAUAUCUAAAUGAAACUUCAUGUUCUUAUUUUCCUUUCGCAACUGACUUAGGUUCUUCGUAAUCAAGGUGAAGGUGCUAUAGUGUUAGUAUUGGCACCUACUAGAGACUUAGCCGAUCAAAUUCAGGAAGAGGCUUUUAAAUUUUGGUCGUGCGCAAGUGUUAUAAAUACUUGUGUUUAUGGUACUGCUCCUAAAUGAUCUCAAAUAUUCGAAGAGGUGUUUUGAAUUCUUUUUUGGAGAAUUUAAUUGUUUUUAGAUUAAAAUUACAAGUCAAGUAUUUUUAUUUGGUGUAUCUUCCUCUUUAACUACAAUAUGAAAUUGGAGAAUUUGAUAGAACUUUAAUCAUUUGUCUAUACUUUACUAUUGCUUAAUUGUAUCAUAAGAGUGUGUUAAUUUGCUCUGUAAUUCUUUCAAGAUUCUUGAGCUAUAGUCUUUAUAUUUAUAAUUUGUUUUGAUAAAUUUCUCUUGGUUCUUUAAUUUUGAUCUAUUCCCCACUUUAAAGAUAUUUUAUUUUAAACAUAAGAUGUCAUUAAUUAUAUUGAUUUAAUCUUACAGGGUGAUGAGCUAAAUUAAUUAAUUAUAUUAUAUGUAGAUUUUAGUUUGCUCAAUAAUGGUAUACUAGGAAUGCAGUUUUAUUUUAAGCAUAAUAUGCAAUUUGUUUUGCUAUUGUUUAUGCAUAAAAACAGCACCUGAAAGUUUCCAGGUGCUGCUUAGCUGCUGUUAUGUAAUAAACAUAAACACAACACAUGGAAACUUUGGGGUGUUGUUUAUGCACAAAAAUAGCAUGUAGAAGCUUGAGGCGCUGCUUAGCUGCUGUUAUGUAGCAAAAACAAAACAUGGAAGUUUCUAGGUGCUGCUUAGCUGCUGUUAUGCAGCAAAAACAACAGCCGGAAGUUUCUAGGUGUUGUUUUGUUGCUGUUUGUGCAGAAAAACUACACUUGGAGAUUUCCAGGUGCUGGUUAGCUGUUGUUAUGCUGCAAAAACAACACCAGGAAAUUUACCGGUACUGUUUUACUAAUGUUUGUGUAGAAAGACUUUAACUGUUGCUUUAUAUACCUAUAAUUUGUAUUUCAAUAUGAUCUCCAUUUUGCUUUUAUUGUUUAAUUUUUAAAAUGGGAAGAUUCCCUUGUAUUUUAUCUCAAAUGCAAUUUUGUCUAGUAAUCGUUCUUGGGAUUAUAUCUUCUUUUACUUGUUUUUAGGGUGCGGCUCUCAGUUUCAAGUACUACCAACAUUGUUUCCCUUCCAUGAAAGAAUCUGUAGUUUUACCCAGUUAUGAACUGAGUUAGCCAUUGGUUAUUAGCAGUUUCUGGACAAGGAGCAAGAAGAUACCAAUGAGGACCUGGAUUUCAGAAGCAAUUCUCUUAUUUUUCUUUUAUUUUAAAUCAUUAGCAUUUUCUUUUUCUCGUUUGGUUUCAGAUAUUGGUGGUAUUGGGUAGUGGGUUUGUUUCUCGAAUCAUCAUGAUACCAAAUGUAAUUGCAAACAGCAGGGUCUAAAAUUUAUACGACCUGAUGAUUUGUCCUAUAUUUUUUUACUGAUGUUUGCUUAAUUUUCUUUUCCUUUUUGUUUUUUUAAGUGAUCUCCAUAAUUAAUCAAGAACCAAAAUAUCAAGUUUGUUAAUCUUUUAAUUUAAUAGUAUUUUGAGAAUUAUUGGCUUCCAUCUUACAUUAAAAUAAUCCCUCAAUGAAAAAUCAUUGUUUUAGCAUUAAAUUUAAUUUUGCAAUAUGUAAAUUACCAGAAUAAAAUUUUCAAAAUUAAAAAUUUUUUGUUAGAAGAAUUAUAAUGUUAUAUUUUAUAUAUCUAAAAAUUAACCAAAAAAAGUUUGUGUAUUUUAAAGUUAUAAUAAAUGUACCAUUAAAAAAAUCUAUAUCUAUCGUAAAAUACGAUUUUAUGAAAUGAGUUAUUAUGAAAGCUUAUGGACAAAAUAGAAAAUAUUUUAGAAAUUAACAAGUAUUAUUUGAAAUUUUGGAAAAUAGGUUUGAUUGAGUUUCAUAAUGUUUUUAAUAAAAUUGUAAUUUUUGGGGCACAAACGGCGAACUGCUAACACUUAAAUUGGCUAAUUGAUUCCAAUUUGGAGAGUUUUCAGAAUUAAAAAGGCGAACCACUAACUUUAAAUGGCAAAACGACUACGGUUGGGUGAGUUUAUUGUAUGGUGUGCGUUGAUCAUCCCCGAUCCUCCGAGUAAGAAAAUGUGCUAGUUCUUCCAUGUAAUAAGAAACUUAGUGGUAUUUGGGUUGGGUUUUUAAAGCAUUUAAUGUCACCAUUAAUGAAAGGAUUUGGUUGGUUUCUGAGUUGGUGUACAAAUAAAUUAACUGCGCUCAUAUGUUACGUAGAGCUAAAUCGACUAGUCUGUAGUGAAAAGGCGGUUAGCCAUUUGGAGUUGCAUGCUCUCUGGAAUGAAAGAGGCUAGCCUCUUUGUAGGAAACAAGUAGCCCUUUUCACGCCAGAGAGCAUGUUUCUCGAAAAGGGCUAGCCGUUUCCCACGAAGAGGCUAGUCCUUUCACUUCGCAUGCUCUCUGGAAUGAAAAAGGCUAGCCUCUUCGUGGGAAACAGCUAACCCUUUUCACUCCAGAGAGUAUGUUUCCCGAAAAUGGUUAGCCAUUUCAAUAAAGAGGAUGGGCGUUUGGAGUUGUAUGCUUUCUGGAUUGAAAAAGGUUAGACGCGAUAAAGCAAACGGCUAGCCCUUUUUACUCCAAAAAGCAUUUUGAUCGAAAACGGCUAGCCGCUUAUUUUAAAGAGGCUAGCCGUUUUCGAUCCAGAAUCUGUUACAUUUGUAAUGGCUAGCCUCUUUAACAAAAUGGCUACCUGUCUCCCUCACUAUUCAACUUCAACCCACGACCACCUCUCUCACCGUCGCAUGAAAUUCACGGCUUCUUCAGCCAUUAACGAGAAAAUAUACAACUCCUCAUCAUUUUCCUUCAUUUACGCAUCUAAAUUUCAUUAGCUAAAUACUCUUUAACCCUAUUUCACCGAAAAACCCAAUUAAAAACCCUAGGUUCGGCCGAGGUUGUUUCUCUAAAAUUGAGUCCUUGUUCACUUCUUAUUGCUGAAAUUACUCACCCACAUUGAUUUUAAACCCAUUUGCGUGCUAUUUAAUUGGUUCAUCUUGACCCAAAACACAAUAUUUGUUAUUCAAAGAAAGAUUUUGGUUUCCAUGGCAGGUGGUGAAACUUCUCGGGGGAAGCAAGGGAAACUAAAGGAACAUUACAUCAUUAACUUGAAACAAGAGAUAAUUUUCAUGGCAGGACCAUUAACUUGAUACCUGGACCACUAAACUUGAAACCUAGGGCAAUAAACAUGAAACAUGAGAUCAUUAACUUGCAACCUGAAAAUCAUUUACUUAAUGGACUAAUAAAUAUGAAAUCAUGACCAUUAACUUGAUACAUCGGCUAUUAAACAUGAAACCAAAAGAACUUGAAACUUAGGGCAAUAGACAUGAAACAUGUUAUCAUUAACUUGCAACCGUGAAAAUCAUUUAAUUAACGAACUUGAAACUUAGGGCAAUAAACAUGAAACAUGAGAUCAUUAACUUGGAACCUUGAAAAUUAUUUAAUUAAUGGACCAAUAAAUAUGAAAUCAUGACCAUUAACUUGAUAUCUAGACCAUUAAAGGUGAAACCAAUGGAACUUGAAAAUAAUGGCAAUAGACAUGAAACAUGUUAUCAUUAACUUGCAACCAUGAAAAUCAUUUAAUUAAUGAACUUGAAACUUAGAGUAAUAGACAUGAAACAUGAGAUCAUUAACUUGCAACCAUGAAAAUCAUUUAAUUGAUGGACCAAUAAACAUCAAACUGUGACCAUUAACUUGAUACCUCGACCGUUAAACUUGAAAUCAAAGGAACUUGAAACUGAGGGCAAUCAACAUGAAACAUGAGAUCAUUAACUUGCAACCAUGAAAAUCAUUUAAUUAAUGGACCAAUAAACAUGAAACCUUGACCAUUAACUUGACACCUGAACCAUUAAACUUGAAACCAAAAGAACUUGAAACUUAGGACAAUAGAUAUGAAACAUAUUAUCAUUAACUUGCAACCAUGAAAAUUAUUUAAUUAAUGAACUUGAAACUUAAGGCAAUAAAUAUGAAACAUGAGAUCAUUAACUUGCAACCAUGAAAAUUAUUUAAUUAAUGGACCAAUAAAUAUGAAAACAUGCCCAAUAACUUGAUAUCGGGAACAUUAAACUUGAAACCAAUGAAACUUGAAACUAAGGGCAAUAAGCAUGAAACAUAAGAUCAUUAACUUGCAACCAUAAAAAUCAUUUAAUUAAUGGACCAAUAAACAUGAAACUAUGACUAUUAACUUGAUACCUCGGCCAUUAAACGUGAAAUUAAAGGAACUUGAAACUUAGGACGAUAAAUAUGAAACAUGUUAUCAUUGACUUACAAUCAUGAAAAUCAUUUAAUUAAUGAACUUGAAACUUAGCGCAAUAAACAUGAAAAAUGAGAUCAUUAACUUGCAACCAUGAAAAUUAUUUAAUUAAUGGGCCAAUAAACAUGAAACCAUGACCACUAACUUGAUACCUAAACCAUUAAACUUGAAACCAGUGAACUUAAAACUUAAGGUAAUAAACAUGAAACAUGAGAUCAUUAACUUGCAACCAUGAAAAUUAUUUAAUUAAUGGACCAAUAAAUAUGAAACCAUAACCAUUAACUUGAUACCUGAACCAUUAAACGUGAAACCAAAGGAACUUAAAACUUACGGCAAUAAACAUGAAACAUGUUAUCAUUAAUUUGCAACCAUGAAAAUCAUUUAAUUAAUGAACUUGAAACUGAGGGCAAUAAACAUGAAACAUGAGAUCAUUAACUCGCAACCAUGAAAAUCAUUUAAUUAAUGGACCAAUAAACAUGAAACCAUGGCCAUUAACUUGAUACCUGAACCAUUAAACUGGAAACCAAAGGAACUUGAAAUUUAUGGCAAUGAAUAUGAAACUUGAGAUCAUUAAUUUGCAACCAUGAAAAUAAUGAAAUUAAUGGACCAAUAAACAUGAAAUCAAAACCAUUAACUUGAUACCUAUACCAUUAAACUUGAAAUUCUUUUUUUAUUAUUAUAAAAAUAAUUUUUUAUUUUUAUGUGUCCUUUAAUAUUAAAAUAAUAAUUAUUUUAUUAUUAUUUUAUUUAUUAUAAUUGAAUAUUAUUAUAUUUAUUAUUAUUUAAUUCAUUUAAGGGGCAAAAACCGGUUGCUCCCAGUUUUUUUUUUUUUUUCCAUUGCUCUAUUUUCUUUCUUUUUUUAUUGCUUGCAUGUAUCACAUACAUGCAUGUACUGUAGCCGUGCCCAGUAUUUGGUUGUUACAGAUGCAAGGUUGUUGCUGUGUAAUUGUCAUUUGAGCUUAGAACCUUUGAGCUUAGAACCUUUAAAGUGUAUCAUACGUUUCUGUUACUUCUAAUACAAAUUUUCUCUAUUCCUUUUUCUUUCACUUUCUCUUCCAUUUUCAUGAUCGCCAAACACCAUCAAUCCAUGAUUUUCUAGAGUAUUAGCCGUCUAUUUCUACAUACAUAGAAUCAUUGUUUUAAGAAAUAAAGUACUCUGUCCUGUCCCCGUGGUCUCCUCGUUUAUUGACUUCUGAACUAGGCUAAAUAAAGGGCAAAUAAGAUAUUAGACCAGUGGGCCUAACGUGACAAGUUCUGGAAUUGUUUGCCUCUUUCUUUUCUCCACAAAUCUUUGGUUAAUUUUUAUGUUCCCUCAACUUUUUUCCCCUUUAGCACUAGAAUUCAUUUUUGAUACUUUAUGCAAAAAUUAUGAGGAAAAUGAGUCACUUUAGAACAUCAAUAAAUUUUUUUUACAUCCAAGAUAAAGACAAUUACACUUAGAUCACUCUUAUUUAGUUGAAUUAUAUGUAAUAAAAUUAGUUCAACAAAAUCUAACCCGUCAAUAUUCCAUAUCAUAUGAUUAACGUAUUUAAAAAAUCUUUAUUGUUCGGUCGCUUGUUUUAUAAUUCUUUUAUAUAAUAUCUUUGAAACUCAUCAUAUUGUUCUCAAUUCGUCUAAAUUAUUUUUUUCUUCAAACACUGCGGCAACAACCGGUAUAAAAUAGAAUGAACUCAAUUAAUGGAACUUUUUCUAGAUGCUUUCAUGGCAGAAUCUCAUUGGUCUAUUUCUCUUCGCACCCUAGGUUCCUCUAACAAACCUGCCUCUUAACUCUCAUGUCCGAAUUUAAACUUAAAAGAUGUUCCCCAUCCCACGUGUCCCCGAAUCUUCGUAUUUCCAAACAAACCCCUGCCAAAUUGAGAAGAGGAUGAUUCCUACAAAGCCACGUAAGUCAAGUGAUAGGAUGGCUUUUAUUACAAACUGUAUGAACGUUAUGGCCAUGGGACAUUGGAUAAAGCCAAUGGAAUGAAAAGCAAAAUUACCGACUAGACUAAAAUGAAAAUCCAACCAAUUGAAUCGGUUCAGUGUCACUGUAUAUAUAUAUAUAUAUAUAUAUAUAUAACACAACACAACUAUCAUAUUAACGAGGCACUGUUAAAUUCAUUCCGUGAAUAUUUUUCUUUCUUUUCAAUGAAUGUUUAAUAUGACAAACAAUUUGUCCCAUUGAGCACUGUUUUAGUCAUCAAUGAAAAUGAAUACUUCUAUAACAAAACAAUAAUUCCCUUGUUUAUUUGACACGCAAAGAAUUUUCUUGCUCAGCUCGGCGGCCAAUCCUUUAAAAUUUGUUGAAAUUCAGUUAAUUGAUGAACGAGACAUAACCGGUAAAUCGUUUAAUUUGUAUAAUUGAUAAAAAUUUGAACUUCAAAUGAUAUAGAUAGAAUGAUUAAUUUUUUUAAUAUUUAGAUAAUUGAUAUAUGUCAUGUUACUAUGAGUAAAAGAAUCAAGUGUCUGAUAGAAAACACAAUGUUUAUAUUUGUAUUAAAAAUUUUAAGUGCGAAUCUAUUUAGUGUAAGUUAGACAUAAAAAUAGUUACCAACUUGUCUUGUUUCUCAUUUUGUUUAAUUUUCCUAAUUUGAAUAACGAUUAAUUACGAGUCAAGGGUUUAUUAGAAAAAUAUGGUCUUCCAUUUACUAUAAAAUUAUGAAUACUUUGGCAAAUAAGAUAAUUAUAAACACCAUUUUUGAAAAUUCAUGGCCAUGGUUGUGAUGUGUCUUUAUCAAUCACACAUACAAAAGUUAAUCAAAAUUAUCGAUUGUUUUAAAUUCUGUUUUUAACAGAGCAUGAAGAUGUCAAUUAUCUAGAUUUACUUUUUAUGCUUUGACUUCACUUAAUACAGGUUCUUCCUCCUUUAUCUGUAUGCCAUGCCGGCAAGUGUAUUGUACAGAUUUCUAGAGUAUUACCUGUCUAUUUUUUUCACCGAUGACGAAGCUAAUUAUUAGUAAUCAAUCUAAAGUCUACCUAUAAAUACAAUAGGUUGCUUAGGUGGCACCAAUAUCCUAACUUUAUGCCAUGUUUCUGGUGUGUCUUCACAAAUUCACCGAUACAAAUUAAUUUCCACCAAUAUUACCAAAUGAUUGUAUUUUACGUUUCUAUUUACUUGUAAUAAAGAUCUUCAAUUUUAUUGGUUACAAAAUUCUCUAGGAUUGCAUGUACAUUAUACUUUUAUAUACAUAUUUUCUUCUUUCUCAUUCGUUUUCUGGGUGAACAUAUUAUUUUCGUCAUCAUCUCUAUAACAAUGAAGUGAAAAUAGUCCUCAUUUAAAGUAUUGACAGCAAUGUUAUACUCAAUAUAACGCAUAAAGCACGCAUAAUUUAAUUAAUGGGGUAGCUGCUAGUACCUUCUUUAGAAGAGAAUUAUUGCAGCAAGGUAAUUGGAAGCUCAAAGAGUUUCCGUAUUAGCCGAAUCUAAGCGAUAAGUGUUUCCAUGUGAGCCAUAAUUUGGGAAAAAGACCAAUUCGAGUUAAAGAUCAGAAAACAGACACUGUCAACAAGCAUUAAUAUCAUUUGAUGCAUGAAAGACAGUUAGUCCCAUUUUUUUGUCCGGUUUACUUGAGUUGGGCAAUUUGCCGUCAACUUUUCUCAUCCACGUCAGGUAAUGUGGCUUUUAUUUGGUAUGAAAAAGCCAAUGCUUUACGAUAAAACUGUCACACACAUAUUAUCCAUCUGUAAUGUUCAAAUGACACUGAAGUAUUACCUAAAUUAGGCUUUCAAAAAUUCAUUUUCAAAAACCCAUGGUUGUGAUGUGUCUCUAUAAAUUAAGAUCUAUCUGUUACCUACUGUUUUAACUCUGUUCUGAACAGAGCUUGAAAGGGUACAUUCACUCUUUUAAAACAAUUGUACUAUAUGUUCUGAACAGAGCUUGAAAGGAUUAGCAAUAACUACUGUUUUAUCCCUCUUUUUAAAACAAUUGUUCACUAGCUGCACUCAGUUGACAGAAUAUUUUGGGAUUCAAGACUGUUGGUUGUUACGGAUGCAACUUGCAAGGCUGUUGCCAUGCUGGCAAGUGUGCUGGAAAAUCAUGAGUUUGAUGAUGAAGAGGACGAAAAAUAUUAUUUUAUUAUUUAAAAUAAGACUAUCAAUUAUUUCCAUGGUCAUCUUUUUUUUUUUUAAUUAAUUGGCCUAAAUAUUGUAUUUUUUGUCAGGAGUCUUGCAAUGUUGCGUAGCACCGUAAGUAAGAAGAACUAGUGAACUUUAAAGCAUCAUAAAAUUGUUUCAACAUAAGUAAUUAGUUUGAAAAAUUGCCAAUAAUGUUUAAAGUAGGAACGAAAAGGUUAUACUAUAUGAGACACGAUAUUAUUUAAGACAGCUUACAAAUUAUGGGAAAUGUAUUGAUCUUACAAAUAAUAUUUAAUAAGUACAAAUUUCAAAUUAAAUAAUAAACCUUAAUUUCCUUUUAAUCAUAAUUAUGAUCUUAAUAAUUAAAGUCAUUCAAUCUUAAUCACUUUUUCAUUUUUUUAAACUACCUAAAUGACGUUGAAACUUCUAAUCAACAUUAAUUUUUUUGAAUGUUCUGUUUCAAAAUAAUUGAAAACUAUAAAUGAAACAAAUGCUUGCAAUCACAAAAGGCCUAAAAUGGGAUUUUUAUUUUUUAAUAUUGCAAUGACUUUGAUCUUGAUAUUGGAAUUUAUUUGUAACUUAUACUAAGUCUUCAAUUUUAUCAAAAUUAGUUUCUAAAGAUGCAUUUGCCAUACUGUGUAGUUGUAUUGUAUGAUGAUAUAUUACAUUAGGGUGCAUUGUAUUGAGCUGUAAUGCAAUACUAUUUUAUAUUAAUGUUAAAACUAAAUCAACCUUAUUUAAAUUUAUUAAUAUUUUAGGUUUUUAUUAGUAAUAUCUGAAAUUAAGUAUUAAAUAAUUAUUUUUAUAAUAUACAAAUUAUUUAAUAAUAUUCUACUAUUAAAUAAUAAAAUAUUACAAUAUUAUGUUAUAUUAUUAACAAUUAUUCUGUUAUAAUAUAAUUUAUUUUUAUAUAUUAGUUAUUAUAAUUUAUUAUAAUCAUAUUAUAAUAAUAUUAUAUUGUAAAAAUAUAAUACUAUAUAAUUGUAUAACAGAAUAUGAAUUAAUUUAUAAUUUAACAAUAAAUUAUAAAUUUAUUUUAUUUAUUAAUGUCAAAUAUAAUUGUACAGGUGUAGAAUUAUGAGGAGGAGGUGGAGAAAGAAUUUGAGCGUCGAAUAGGAUCUACAUGUACUCUUAAGAUGAAUCUGAUGGCGAUGGUGCUCCUUCAGCUGAGUAUGCUGAUGAUGAAUUAGAACAUGACAUAUAAUUAGAAGAAGAAGAUGAAGAGGAAGAAGUUUAUGAACAAGAGGAGAGAAACGAUAGGACAGUUAAAGUCGUUGGCUGCAGACUAUUAGAAGGUUGUUACAGAUGUAACGCUGUUGCUGUGUAACAGUAUGCCAUGCUGGCAAGUUUGCUAUAACAGAUUGCCAAGCUGGCACUAAUUAUUUUAAACUAAUAUUAGUAAUUAGUCUAGAGUGCUCUAAUUUAUUUUAUUCUAUAAAUAGCUCAUUUGAGCUUUGAACCUGUAACGUGUACUGUACUUUUCUAUUACUUCUAAUAAAGAUUUUCUCUAUUCUUUUUUCUUUCACUUUCUCUUCCAUUUUCCCGACCCUCAAACAGCGUCAAUCCUUGAUUUUCUACAGUAUUAGCUGCCUGUUUCUAUAAACAUAGAACUGGUCGUUUUAAAGGGCAAAUAAGAUGUUGGGCCAAUGGGCCCAACGUCACAGAUCUUGAAUUGAUUGUCUCUUCUUUUCUCCAUAAAUCUUCACUUAAUUUUUAUGCUCCCUCAACUUUUUUCCCCUUUUUGUGCUAAAUUUAUUUUUUUGAUACUUUAUGCAAAAAUUAUGAUGAAAAUUAAUUAGUUUAGAACAUCAAUAAAUUUUUGUUACAUUCAAGAUAAGGACAAUUACACUUAGAUCACUCUUAUUUAGUUGAAUUAUAGGUAAUAAAAUUGGUUUUAACAAAAUAUGAUUCUUAACCCUCGUAAUUAAAGGCUCGUGUUAUUUAGUUUAGUUAUAACACCAUGCAACAGGUCGUCUUGGUGGGUUCAAAUUAAUAUACGAUCAUUCUCAAUUUUUAAUAGUUCGUAAUUACAAAGUCCUAUAUCACAAUUAAAAUUUGCAAACAUGUCAAAGUAAGUUAAAUCAAAAUCUAUAAAUUUGAGGUCUACUACAAACUUCUGACAAAUUAAAAUUUAAAAUGAUUAAUUAAAUGCUAGACAAAAUUUAGCUUAUAAAUGUUCCCGACCACAUGAUGAAUGUACUUAAAACAUCCUAAUUCGUCACUAAUUGAUUGGUUGUUAUUUUUUCAAUUUCUUUUUAUAUAUCUUUGAAACUUCUAGUUUCGUUACAUGUUAUUCUCAAUUCGUGUAAAUUAUUAUUUUUAAAUAUUAGAGCAACAACCAGUAUAAAAAUAAAAUGCACUCAUCUAAUGGAAAUUUUUCUAGAUGCUUCAAUGGCAGAAUCUCAUUGGUCUAUAACUCUCACACCUUAGAUUCAAGAUUCAAUUUCAAACCAACGCCGAACAAACAGUUUAAACCUUAAUAAGUCUGUGGCUGUAGCCCAACAAACCUACUUCCGGCUCACCGAAUAAUCAUCUCUUACGUCGGAAUUUAAACUUAAACAAAGCUGCGUCCCACAUGUCCCCAACUUUCUUCAUAUUUCCAUAAAACCCCUACCAGAUCCAGAUAAUUACCUUCACUCUUCUCGUAUAAAUAGAGAAGACAACGAUUCCCGCAAAGCCAGGUGAGUCACGUGAACGUUACGGCCAUGGGACAUACGGUUCUCAAUUGGUCUAAUUAUACUGUAAAUUGUUUUUUAAAUAUAAAUAAAAUGAAUUUAUUUAAUGGAAAUUUGAAAAAGGGACACUUAUCUACGAAAGCAAAGUUGCAUUCUCUUUGUGGGGACCCUAAAAAAAAAAAAAAAGAGAGCCAGAAUGAUACACCGAUGACGAUAAUCCUUAAGCUUAAGCAUUAAUUUUCUUUGCUUACAAUUUGGUUUGAAGGGUUAAGUUCAAGUUCGAAUUGGUACACUGAUGAUGAUGAUGAUGAAGAGGGGGAUGUCUUUGAGGAUGAAGAGAAAGAAAGUUCUAAAAAAAAAAUACAGCUUUGUGGAAAUUAAAUUAAAAGCAACUAAUUAAGCAUUAUAAAUUACUUAACAGAGUAAUGCUGAGCUAAUUAAAUUUGUUUUUGAAGAAGGUAUCUUUAAAUCUCUUGGAGUUAAAGAUAAAUAUCAUAUCACCAUAUCAAGCGGACCAAUUAAAAAAUAAAUUUAAAUAUUAUUUAAAAUCAUUUAAAUUUAACUUAAUAUAAUUCAAUCUAAUAUUGUACCAAACAUGCACAAUACUAUAUAUAAUCCAGUCUAAUCAAAUUCAAUCUUAAUAAAUAAUACAAUCCAAUCUUGCGAGACAAAAUUGGCCUAAGGGUACCAAUUGCGCAAUAAUCUUUGUAGCCCGUUUCCCAGCCACGCACCCUUUUGUAUUAGUAUUCUCACAGCCAUUGGAAUUAUGGCUCGUAAUCCAAUAAAUGACAUUAUAUGGCUGUUGCUUGCUAGUUUUUGUAAGGUGGCCAAGGCCUUUUAUCAAACACUAUAGGAUCAACAAGUACAAAAUGAAUUCAUUUGGGAUGAAUUAUGAUGUAUUGCAUUAACAUGCAUUAUAUUAAGUUAUAAUGUUAUAUUUUGAUAUAGUAUAAAUUGUAUUAUAUAAGGUAAUGUUUUAUAUUAAUGUUAAAACUAAAUUAAUAUUAUUUAAAUUUAUUAAUAUUUUAGGAUUUUAUUAUUAAUUUUUUAAUUAAGUAUUAAAAAUUAUUUUAUAGUAUAGAAAAAUUAUUUUAUAGUAUAUAGACUAUUAUUAAAUGAUAAAAUAUUAAAGUACUAUGUUAUAGACUAUUAUUAAAUAAUAAAAUAUUAAAGUACUAUGUUAUAUUAUUAAAAAUUAUUAUAUUAUAAUAUAAUUUAUUUCUAGAUAUUAAUUAUUAUAAUAUAGUAUAAUCAUAUAAUAAUAUAAUAUAAGUUAAUAUUAUAUUGUAAAAAUAUAAUACUGUACAAUUAUUUAAUAUAACGUAAAUUAAUUUAUAAUAUAAUAUUAAAUUAUAAAUUUAUUAAAUUAAAUUAAAAUACUUUUUAUGUAUUUAAAGUAAAAUAAUUAAAAUAAUUUAUGUAAUAGAAGUAUGAUAAUGUAUUAUCAUUUUCUCAUUAAAUAUUUUAGGUUUAUUAAUUUGUUAAAUUAUUAUUGAAAUUAAAAUUAAUUUUUUAAAUGUAAAUAUAAAUAUAAAUGAAUGUUUAAUAAAAUCUACUCCUAGGGAUCUAUUUUAUACACUUUUUAUUCUCUAAAUCACGCAUAAUGUAGUUGUAUAAUAGAAACUGGAUAUUUAAUGGAAGCAAAAUUGCGCACGGUUUGUGGGUCUGUCAAAAUAUGAUAAAAAGACCAACAUGAUACACUGACUCUGUCCUCUUUAAUAUUUUUCUAGAUGCUUCCGUGGCAUAAUCUCAUUGGUCCAUUUUACUUCACGGCUUAGAUUCAACUUCAAAAAUCAAUUUGAAGCACACACAACAAUUCAACAAAUAUAAUAAGCGUCGAUAAACUUGUAGCUGACUGGCUGUGGCCAAGCAAAAAUGUACCUCAUGGUUACCGAAGGGUAAUUAUUAGAAAUCUCCCCUAAGGUUUGGCGUAUUUUCAGUUUGAUAGAUUGUAUUCGUGUAUUUUCAAAAACCUCCCCUGACAUUGAUAUACUGUUAAUUUGACCGUUUGUUGCAUGAUAAAAUGACAAAUAUAACCCUAAUUCAAAAAAGGGUAAUUAUCAUAAAAUUCUGUUGUAGCCUUAUAGGAAUAGAAUUUAAAAUUCUGUUGCAUCUCCUGUACCAAAUACUAAUUUGCUGGCUAUAUAUAUGGGAAAUGGCAGCUUCAUCAUCUCAUUUCUUUGACGUGAGUAGUGUAACAUUAUCUAAAUUCAAAAGUAUUUCUAUCACUUGUGUAAAAAACAACCUACUAAAAAAAAAACAAAAUCUUCACCAAGAUUGAAAGAAGUUUGAUGAAGAAAGCUAAGCAAUGAGGCAAAGUGCAAAAAGCUUCCUUCUAAUUCUGCGAUAUUUGACUCAAAUCUUUUCUUUGUUUCAUUCAUCAAAGUCAUUUUGGAAAGUAACAGGGAUGAUUUGGUAUUUUCAUUCCUUGGUGCCAGAACAAACAUGCUAGUACGAACCAACAAUUUUUUAUUUUCAGUAUACAAACUAUGUUUUUUGAAUUAGGGGAGGCAUCUGAAUUAUCCUCACCAACCAAAUUAUACGAAACGGUAUACUAAUGUUAGGGGAGGCAUCUGAAAAUAGGUGAAUACAAUCUAUCAAACUGAGAAUAUGCUAAACUUCAGGGGAGGUUUAUGAUAAUUACCCGGUUACCGAAUCAUAUCUUACGUCAGAAUUUUGAACUUAAACAAUGUUCUCAUUCCACGUGUCACUCUCUAACCAGUCCCCAAACUUUUAUCAUAUUUCCAAAGAAACCCCUACCAAAUCAAGGUAAUUACCGUCACUCGGCUCAAAUGAAUAGUCUCCUCGAUUCAACUGAUGACGACAUAUCCUCAUAGCCUUUAUUUAGAAGGGGAAAUUAUAAAAAAAUCCCCUCGUUCUCUAAAAAUAUGGGGUUUCUCAAGAAUAGCUAAACCUACAUCCCAAUCCUGAAAAAUCUCAAUUUAACCUCUCUAGGGUUUCGAUUGUUGAUGAUUCGCUUCAAAAUUUUGUAUUCUUUUAGUGGAUUUUGCUUGUCUCGUAUCCUUCAAUUGUUAGUUCAGUUCUGAUAAUAAUUUCGAAAUUUUUUAUACAAUAUAAAUUAAUUUAAAUUAAAAUUGAUAGAACAAUUGGGCGGUUAAUAAUUAAUUGAUGGCUAGUGAUACUACAACGGCGCCCGCGCCCGCAGCUCCGGAAAAAGCGGAGGCGGUGGAGGAGUAUGAUAGCAAUCCAGAUGAAGUGAAACGCUGUCUUGCGACGCGCAGAAGGGAAGCCAGCGAUGACGAGGACGUGGAGGACGUGGUGGAGGAGUACGAGAGCGAUCCAGAUGAAGUGAAACACUCUCUCGUGAUGCGCAGAAUGGAAGCAAGCGAUGAUAAGGAGGAGGAGGAUAAAGAAUUCGAGCGUCGAAUGAACCGUAGGGUCCACAUUCAUUAUUACGAUGAAUCUGAUGGCCAAGGUGGUGUCCUGCUGAGAAUGAUGAUGAUCAUCUCUCUCGACCAGUUCAGGUUCAAGGGAAGGGUGCUCGAGGGGUACUUGUCUUGUUUAUCAUUUUUGUUUAAUUUUCAUAAAUUCAACGACCCACAAUUCAAUUAUGAGUGAAGAAUUUGUUAAAAAAAUGUGGUCUUCCAUUUACUAUAACUAAGUCCGUGUGAUGUAAUUAUUUUUCUGUCACUUAAUGUCUUGAAAAUUAUGAAUACAUUGUAGGAUUUAGAAGGAUUUUAAGUUUUAAUGCAUAUGGGUUUUUUAUGUCCGUCCACUUAUGCGUAUACUGCAUUUUAUGAUUAUCGUAGUUGGUAGAUUGACAAAUGGACCUUAAUUACAAGUCAAAUAACCUAAAUACUUAUCGGCCAAAGGAAACCAUUUAUAGUACUUUCUAGUGAAGCAAAGUAAAAUGAUUCAUACUGGCAAAGAAAAUUAGAAAGAAAAGGAGGAUUACUGAUCCACACAGUGUCGUUUACUAAAAGUACGUUGAUCUUACACUUAAUUUAUUAUAUAUCCAUUUAUAAUGUUCAAAAUGAUAAUGUACUAUUUCUUAAAUUAGGCUUUCAAAACAUCAUUUUGAUAAUGCAUAGUUGUAAUGUGUCUCUAAAUUCAGUAAUACAAGUUAUUUCUGUUACUAAUGGAUGAAGUGACUUGAAACUUGCGUGGUCAUUAAAUGCUGGCAUAAUCUCUUUGACUUCUCUUGCAUUUGAAUGAAUGGAUGAGCGUUGCAUUUGAAUGAAUGGAUCAGUGUUAAUGCAGGCAAAGAUUUUCUGGACUUUCAUGGAUGCACAAUAAAUGCUACGUCAAAGGCCUGGUAAGAUGUCAGCAAGCUGGUCGAAGAUAUCAACCUGAUUUGGUGGCUGCAAGAUUUGUUCAUCCAGGACCGUUUUCUUUGACAAUGAGAAAGCCCCAAUGUCUAUAAAUUGAGAACUCACUGAAUUGUAGAGAGAGAGAGGAAAGUGAAUAACGGGAGAGGCAGUGAAAAGAGAGUGUGGGAAGAUUUGGGCGUAAUUGGGGUUUGGGUGUGAGAUAAAAUAAUCAGAGAGUGGUUGUAAUAAUUUUUUAUACGGUGAAAUUUUUUUGUCUCGUUGUUUUUUGCAGUGGUGGUUUUUUACUCUAAUAAAAUAGUCUUCCAAGUAAAUUUUGUGUGUUAUGAUUGGGAUAUUCACCAUUUUAGUUUUCUAUUUAUUAUUUGUUUUACAUAUUGCUAGCAAAAAUCUGGGGCGGGAACCGAAAAUUCCCAACAAUUAUUAAUUAUUUUAAACUCUGUUCUGAACAGAGCAUGAAGGGUUUCACUUACCUAGUUACGUUUUUCAUUCUUUCACUUCACUUGAUUUCAUCACAAGGAUCAUAUUCUGGCUAACGAAGGAGCAAAGUUCAUUGGCUGCACUCAUGUGUAGCAGAGUAUUUGGAUUCAAGACUGUUAGAAGGUCGUUACAGAGUAUUUGGAUUCACUCUCCAAUUUUCAUUAAUUUAGUGUAGAUAACGUGGUCAUGAAAACUUGAUUAAGAGUUUAAUGCAAUCAAAUCUACUUUAAUGAUUAUUUAAUGCACGGAGAUUUAACAUCAAUUAUCAUCACGUUAGUCUAACAACGAAAUUGCAGAGCUUGGAUCUUUACUCGAACAGUUUCACUGGCUCUAUUUCUGACACAUUGGGCAAGCUGAUGGAAUUGCAAUUCCUGUAUGAUCAUUUCCCCAACUAUUAUUUGAAUAAUUAUUUAAUGCCGUUCAUUCCAGCUCUGUUUGGCUGUUAACUUUAUUUAGUUAUAUAUGAGGAGAUUCAUUUCUCACCUGAAGCUAGAAAUUUACGGAUCAAUGACUUUUUAUUUUUUCUUUUAUAUGAUAGCUUGCAAUCCCUGGUGUGUGUUGAUAGAGCCUUACAUGAUUACAAAAAUGAAUUUUUUUUUGGGGGCCAAUUGCAGUUUUGAUAACAACUAAAAUCUGUGUGGCCCAGUUACCACAAAGCCUUGCUCCAGAUCCCUGCCAUUUUCUCCUCCACCUCCAUUUGGGGAAAUUACCACUUACUUUUUGCAAGUUUUUCGUGAAAUAUUUAUUUUGAGAAGAAAACCAACAAUACAUUUUAUGAUUUGGGCUGUUUCAAAGAUCUUCGCUUGAUGUCUCUGCUACUGGUUUUCAGCAGAGUGCCCAAAAAUAAUCAGUGCACGCACUAUAGGCUCUAUUAUUAUCAGUAAAAAGCAUUAAUGAUAUAUUGGGAUCGACUUUUUUAUUUGGGAGUGGAAGGAUGCUUGAAAGAGUAGAGUGGUGCAUCUUGUUCAAACAUGCACCGUAGAGAAAUUAGUUUAGGCUCUAACCAUUGUUAUAGUAGAGAAAAAGAAAAUUAAUCAAGAGUAAUUUUAUGACUUUUUAGAAAAUAGUGAAUUAAAAUAAUAAGUUAUAAUUUCAUAAUUAUCUUAAUUAAAAAAAUGGGGGUUUGAAAUAAAAUUAGUGAAUUUAAAUAGCCUGCCCAAAAUCCAAACUUGCAUAUCAAUUAUUUUCUAAUUUACAUAAAGUUUUUCUAUAUGUUUGAUAACAUUUGAUUCUCAAUUGGUCUAAUGGAGAAACAACCAGCAAAAAAAUAAAAUGAAUGCAAUUAAAUGGAAAUUUGAAAAGAGCAGUAGAUGACAUUUAUGUGCAAGCAAAAUGCAAAAUUGCAUUCUGUUUGUGGGAUCCUGGAAAAAAUAAAAGAAAGGAAACAGAGUAAGACGCUGGUACUGUGGGCUUUAAUAUUUUUCUAGAUGCUUCAAUGGCAGAUUCUCGUUGGUUCAUUUUUCUUUACGCCUUAGAUUCUAUGAUUCAAUUUCAAUCAAAUACGACAAACAAAAGAAGCUUUUAAGCCUGCAGCUCAAAAAGAUGGCACUUUAAUUUUCGGCUGAACAUACAAAUGGCAAGAUUAUUAUUAUUGAGCUUGAUAAGUGGGAUAGCAAAAUCCGAAUUCGGAUGUGGGUGUAUUUGGAUUUGGAUCCGGAAAAAAAUAUGUAGAUGUGGAUUCGGAUGCGGGUAAUAUCUGCACGGAUUGCGGGUGAAUAUUCCGGAUAUUCAGAUCCGCAUAAUAAUAAAUUUGAUUUUAAUUUUAAAUUUAAUAAUUUACAUAAUAAUAUUAAAUAAAAUUCAAUUAUAAUUUAACAAUCAAUAAUUUAACAUCAAUUCAACAUAAAUAACAUACAACAACACCAUAAAUUCACAAACAAUAAUUUCACAAUAUAAAUCAAACAUAAAAAAUAAAAAAUAAUCUAUGGUAAACCGAUUUAUUAUAAUAUUCUCUAAUUAUUAUUAUUAUUUGUUUUUUAAUAUAUUCAUAGUUAAUGAAGAUUAUAGAGUUAAUUAUGCUUAUAAAUUUAAAUAAAUAAUUUAAUUUAUAUAUUUUCAAUUAAAAUUUAAUUACAUAAAUAAUUUAAUUAUAAAAUAAUUGAUAAGUGCAUAUUUUCCACAUAUUUUGCUUUUAAUUUCUCCAUCUUUUUCUUAUUUUGAUCUUAAAUAUUCUAGUUAUUUUAGUUAAUUUUUAAUUUAAUAGGGAAUUAAUUAAUAUACAUAUUUUAUUUUUUUAUAUAUUUGCUAGUUAUUUUUAUUUCUUAUUUUUAAUUCAUUGUAUUAUUUUAUUGAAUAGGAAAUUAAUUGGAGAUUGUGGAUAAUAAAAAGGCAUGAAGAAAUUCAAAUUGAGAAGGAAUGAAGAUUAAAUUGGAAGACAAAAAUCAAAGCAAUUAAUCCAAUUGAGAAAUGUUGAAUAAUUAAAAGAUUUAAUUUUUUCCAAUUGGCAAAUUGGAGUACACGUUCAUGGCAUUGCAAAAGUGGAAAGCAUUUAAACGGGCCCACAAUUGACUUUCAAAAGUUGGAAUUAAUGGCUUUGGGUGGCGUUAAAUUGGAAAAGGAUUUCAAUUAGAAUUGAAAAAGGAUUUCUUUGGAUUUGUUGGAGAAGAAUUCGGUCAACUAGCAUUAUAAAAAGAGAGCAGCUGCUGGACGGAAGAAAAAAAAAAGACAGGAGAGAGAGCAGGGGCUGAUCCAAUUCGGCAAGAAGAAGAAAAAAAUCAGCAGCCGGAAUUCAAUUGAAGAAAAACGCUGCCGCUUGAAUUAAUCUCCAUGAUUGGUUUUGUCAAUUCUCUUAUUCUCAAUUCAAUUAUGUUAGGCUAAAUUUUUAUUUGGUUGAGGGUGAAUUCAAAACCCUAAACAUGCUAUGCAAUUAAAUUUAAAUUCUAUCAUUCAAUUUAUUUAAUUGAGAUUGUCUAUAAUUAAUUUUCAUGGUUUAUUCUUGUUUUAUUUAAGUGGCCAAUUAGAUAGGACUUGAAUAAAUUUUAUUGCUAGAUUAAAAUUCUUGAUCCGUAAUUGUCUUGAUAUUUUAAUCAUUAGUAGCAGGUUGGAAUCAGUGAUUUCAAUUGAAGAACAUAACCUAGGUUAAAUAAUCCGAGCUUGUGUGUUUAUUGCCUAGAUCAACCUAAUAUCUUUCUCUGUUUAAUGCUUCCAUUAUCUUAAAUUUAAAGAGCUUGUUUUAAAUUAUUUAAUGGUUAGAGAUUAUGUGAAGAGCUUAUUUUGCCUAACGACACACUAAGGAAAGAUUGAGACUAACAGAGCUUAUUGUUGUCUACGGUUGAUAGUUUUAAUAUAAAUUGAUGGUAGAAUUGAUAUAUUAUGUGCAUGUUUGGUGGUGGCGAAUGAUCCUUUAACCAAAGUUUUCAUCAUUAUUAUUUCCUUCUCAUUUAAUUAGAGUUUUUAUUAAAUUCUUGUUCGUAGUUUUAAUUUCUUUAUUUCUUACUAUUUAGUUAAAAAUUCAUAAACCCCCAUUUUAUUUAUAAUUGGCAUUUUCUUUAGUUAGAUUAAUUUAUAUUAUUAUUACUAUUAUUAUUAUUACUAUUAUUUUAUUUUAAAUCUUGCUUUGGAGUUAAUAAUAAAUAUAACUAGCAUAGUCUCUGUGCGAUCGAUCCUUACUCGCUCUGUACUAAUUAUUUAUAUUAGUGGUAAGGUUUUAAAUUUGGUGCACCUUAACGACACUACCAAAUUUUUGGCGCCGUUGCCGGGGACUAGCGUCUAGUUUGUUUAUUAUCACUCGUUUUAUUUUUAUUUUUUUUUAUUUCUUUUCUCAUUUUAUUUAUUUAUUUUAUUUUAAUUAGUUAAUUUUUGUUCUAUAUUUAGAUUUUCAUGAGCAUAGAGGACAUUCGAUUGAAACUCGAACAACUUAGAGCAACCUCAUCAUAUUCAGAACUCGAUUUUGCCAUCCACAUUCCACUCCCGAAGACAGAACCAAGCAGCCCAGAACCCGAACCAAUGGCUCAGAAUAACAACCGAACACUUAAAGAGUUGGCAGCUCCUAACUUGGACCAGCAACCCUUAUGCAUUGAGAAUCCAAACCCUCAGGUAAACUUUGAACUCAAAUCUGGGAUGAUUCAUCUUCUUCCUACUUUUCAUGGUCUUGCAGGAGAGGAUCCAAAUAAGCACUUGAAGGAGUUCCAUGUGGUCUGCUCCACAAUGAAACCAGCCGGAGUUUCUGAAGAGCAAGUUAAGCUAAUGGCCUUCCCAUUCUCUUUGGCGGAUUCAGCCAAGGAAUGGUUGUACUAUCUUCCCUCCGGUACUAUCACUACAUGGAAUGAGAUGCGUCAGCUAUUUUUGGAGAAAUAUUUCCCAACAUCAAAAGCUGGCAGCAUUCGAAAAGAAAUUUGUGGAAUCCGACAGUAUAAUGGAGAGUCGCUCUACGACUAUUGGGAACGAUUCAAAAAGCUAUGUGCUAGUUGCCCUCACCAUCAGAUAAGUGAUCAACUUCUUAUUCAAUACUUUUAUGAGGGUCUACUACCUAUGGAUAGGAGUAUGAUUGAUGCCGCUAGUGGAGGAGCACUCGUGGAUAAGACACCAGAAGCAGCCCGAAAUCUCAUUGCUAACAUGGCUGCUAAUUCCCAACAGUUCAACACUAGGAACGAUCUACUGCCGCCACCUAAGCGAGUCAAUGAGGUAAGUACUACUUCUCUAGAAAAACAAGUUUCAAAUCUUACUUCUUUGGUGCAACAAUUAGCUCUAGGGCAACAAAUGAGACCGUGUGGCGUAUGUUCUAUGGUCGGGCAUGCAACUGAUAUGUGCCCUACUCUCCAAGAGGGUUCACAUGAGCAGACCAACGCAGUUGAGGGGUUCCUAGGCCAAUCAAGACAAAGGUAUAAUCCAUAUUCUAAUUUUUACAAUGAAGGGUGGAAGGAUCACCCUAAUUUUAGGUAUGGGAACCAACAACAAGGCAUUCCUAAUGUGGCACCAUCUCGACCACCGGGCUACCCCCAACAGCGGGUGCAACAACCUUAUCAAGAUCGGUCACCUCCACCUUCUCAAAAUCAAGGUACGUCUUUGGAAGAUCUUGUAAAAGCUCUCGCUACUAACUCUAUGCAAUUCCAACAGACUACCCAGACACAGCUCCAACAUUUAGAGAAUCAAAUUGGCCAAUUGGCCACAUCUAUGAGUAGGAUAGAGGCUAGAACUUCAGGAAAGCUACCUUCUCAACCAUAAAUUAAUCCAAAGGAGAAUGCUAGUGCUAUGUCUCUUAGGAGCGGAAAGCAAUUGGAACCAUUAUUAGCUAAGCCAUCAAAAGUGUCCACAACAUCAUCGCCCUCUGUGACAAUUCCUCCCCUGAGGCUCUUCCUUUAACAAGGAAAGACGAUUCCCACUCGGCAUUGCCAGUCGAUCCAUCUAGCCAGGUAAGUACCCCCUCACCUCGAAUUAAGACUCUUUCCAUUCCUCCACCAUUUCCUAGCAGAUUUAAACAAUCCAAGAAAGAGGAGCAAGAAAAAGAGAUCCUUGAGACCUUUCGUAAAGUAGAGGUAAAUAUUCCUCUACUUGAUGCUAUUAAACAAGUGCCACGUUAUGCAAAGUUUUUGAAGGAAUUAAGCAGCAACAAGCGAAAGUUGAGCGGUAACGAAAAAGUAAGUGUAGGAGAGAACAUUUCUGCUGUACUUCAAAGAAAACUUCCUCCUAAGUGCAAGGAUCCAGGUACUUUUACUAUCCCCUGCACUAUUGGCAAUACCAGAUUCGAAAGAUGUAUGCUAGAUUUAGGGGCCUCAAUUAAUGUUAUGCCAUAUUCGAUUUAUAACUCCUUGAAUUUAGGUCCAAUGGAAGAAACUGGUAUAAUUAUUCAAUUGGCUGAUAGAUCUAACGCUUACCCGAAGGGGGUUGUGGAAGAUGUUCUUGUGCAGGUCAAUGAAUUGGUCUUUCCAGCUGAUUUUUAUAUCCUUGAAAUGGACGAUGAAUCAUCGCCCAAUCCCACUCCUAUUCUGUUGGGGCGACCAUUCCUUAAGAUAGCCCGAACCAAGAUUGAUGUUCAUGAUGGAACCCUUACAAUGGAAUUUGAUGGUGAAGUGAUCCGCUUCAAUAUCUUUGAGGCAAUGAGGUAUCCUAGUGAUGUUCAUUCUGUUUUUGCCAUGGAUGAUAUUAAUACUUUGGUGCAAGAUUUCUUUGAAUUAUCCGGUAAUGACAGUUUUGAAAUUGCCAUAAGCAAAAAUCUUACGAAAGAUGAUUCUAAGGAACAUGCAAAUUUGAUAAAGUUGGAUGAUGAGGCACCUACCUUAGAACUUAAACCACUCCCAGAACACCUGCAAUAUAUUUACUUGGGUGAGAAUGAAACACUUCCAGUCAUAAUUGCUAAAACCCUCACCCCAGUUCAACAAGAAAAGUUAAUUAGGGUGCUUCGGGAUCACAAAACGGCGAUUGGCUGGACCAUUGCCGACAUUAAGGGAAUUAGUCCUUCCAUGUGCAUGCAUCGCAUUUUGCUAGAGGAAGGGUCUAAACCAACGAGAGAUGCACUUUGGGCAUGUAGGACCGCAUACAAAACUCCUAUUGGUAUGUCACCCUACAGGUUGGUAUAUGGUAAGCCUUGUCAUCUUCCAGUGGAACUUGAACAUAAAGCAUGGUGGGCUGUGAAACAAUGUAACAUGGAACUGGACGCCGCCGGCCAACACAGAAAGCUCCAAUUGCAAGAAUUAGAGGAAAUUCGAAAUGAUGCCUAUGAGAGUUCACGAAUCUAUAAGGAAAAGACUAAGGCUUUUCAUGAUAAGCAGAUCUUGAGAAAGAAUUUUGAAGUUGGACAGAAAGUUCUGCUAUUCCAUUCUCGCCUUAAGUUGUUUCCAGGUAAGUUAGGUUCUCGAUGGGUUGGGCCUUUUGUUGUUAUUAAUGUUUUUCAUCAUGGUGCAGUUGAGAUCAGGAGCUUAAAGACAGGUAAAGAGUUCAAAGUUAAUGGUCAUAGGUUGAAGCCUUACUAUGAAAAUUUUCAAACACUCAAUGUAGAGGAGGCUCCACUUUAUGAACCUGCGUACGUUGAUGAGUGAAACUUGAGAACCAGGUCAGGCUGAGGACAAUAAACCAAGCGCUUAUUGGGAGGCAACCCAAUGGUUGGAGAAAAGAAUUUGAGAGCACGCCAUAACAGAUUUGAUCUUUCUCCCUUUCAUUCUCAUUUACUUUAUCCACUAUGUUGAAUUUUGUUUGUUUCUGUUUGUGUGUCUCAUCUCCUUUCCCCAUGUUUAAUUCUUUUGUUAGUUUAGGCUUACAUUGAGGACAAUGUAAGAAUUAAGUGUGGGGGGGUGGAUUUCGAACUUAGUUUUUGUUGCUUUGUCUUUUUCUUUUUUAAAAAAAAAAAUUUGAAUAUUAGCCAGUGAUAAGAAUUUGAUUGACAAUAAAUAUGGUUCUUAGAAAGGGUUGAAUAUUACCUUAGUUUAUACUUGAUUCUUGUGUUGAUUUCCUCUUAAUUGAGAUUCUUUAAACCAUGAGCACUAAUAUCAAUUCUUUCAUAAUUUUGACUUAGAAUUUGAGAUUGACGCAGCCUGAGUUGAGAAUUUUAGAUUGAGUAAAUGACUGUUUGUCUUGAUUCUUAUCUCCACAAUACAGUGUAGUAUACACAGGCACCAUAGUCAGAAAUAGCUACCUAUAACCCUUAAGAGUGAAGCUAUCCUUGAGUAAUUUGGGCCUAUGUACCACCAGUAUGUAGAGGAUAAUCUACCAUGAGAAGAAGGCUACCUUAAGGGGUAGAGUGAAAGCUCCUGACUAAAAAAAAAAAAAAAAACCAAAAAAAAACCAAAAAAAAAAACAAAAAAAAAGAGAACUUCAAAAGAAAAUGCACACAAAUGCCUGUGAAAGAAAGAAAAUUUUUUUUUUGGAGAUCAAGAUGAUAAGAUUAGUUUGACCUACUCUUUUCUUUGUUCGAGGCAAAGGCUGUUGAUAUUGAAGAUUUUGGGAAUGGAUUUUAAUUGAAUUGAUUCACACACACACACAAUGAGAAUCAAAAGAGAGAUGUGAUUGAGUAUUGAAUUAAAGUUAGAACUUCGAUAAUAUUUGAAAUUUUCUUUGAGCUAUAUGAUUUAUGCAAUCUUUGAGGCUAGUUUUAUUUUAAAAUAAAAAAAAAAACAAAAAAAAAAAAAUUGCAAUGAUGUUUGUGGGUAUCAUCGUUGAAGCCCUCACGAGACUAUAACUCGUCCACUAGGGCCGCCUAGGGGUUUAAAGGCUUGUUGCAUACGCUAAAUGCAAUCGUGAUUUCCUACGAAAGUGGACUAGUUUAGGUUUUCUUUUUAUUUUUGUUCUAGGUUUACUCGAGGACGAGCAAAGGGUAAGUGUGGGGGAAUUUGAUAAGUGCAUAUUUUCCACAUAUUUUGCUUUUAAUUUCUCCAUCUUUUUCUUAUUUUGAUCUUAAAUAUUCUAGUUAUUUUAGUUAAUUUUUAAUUUAAUAGGGAAUUAAUUAAUAUACAUAUUUUAUUUUUUUAUAUAUUUGCUAGUUAUUUUUAUUUCUUAUUUUUAAUUCAUUGUAUUAUUUUAUUGAAUAGGAAAUUAAUUGGAGAUUGUGGAUAAUAAAAAGGCAUGAAGAAAUUCAAAUUGAGAAGGAAUGAAGAUUAAAUUGGAAGACAAAAAUCAAAGCAAUUAAUCCAAUUGAGAAAUGUUGAAUAAUUAAAAGAUUUAAUUUUUUCCAAUUGGCAAAUUGGAGUACACGUGCAUGGCAUUGCAAAAGUGGAAAGCAUUUAAACGGGCCCACAAUUGACUUUCAAAAGUUGGAAUUAAUGGCUUUGGGUGGCGUUAAAUUGGAAAAGGAUUUCAAUUAAAAUUGAAAAAGGAUUUCUUUGGAUUUGUUGGAGAAGAAUUCGGUCAACUAGCAUUAUAAAAAGAGAGCAGCUGCUGGACGGAAGAAAAAAAAAAAGACAGGAGAGAGAGCAGGGGCUGAUCCAAUUCGGCAAGAAGAAGAAAAAAAUCAGCAGCCGGAAUUCAAUUGAAGAAAAAGGCAGCCGCUUGAAUUAAUCUCCAUGAUUAGUUUUGUCAAUUCUCUUAUUCUCAAUUCAAUUAUGUUAGGCUAGAUUUUUAUUUGGUUGAGGGUGAAUUCAAAACCCUAAACAUGCUAUGCAAUUAAAUUUAAAUUCUAUCAUUCAAUUUAUUUAAUUGAGAUUGUUUAUGUUCUUCUAUAAUUAAUGUUCAUGGUUUAUUCUUGUUUUAUUUAAGUGGCCAAUUAGAUAGGACUUGAAUAAAUUUUAUUGCUAGAUUAAAAUUCUUAAUCCGUAAUUGUCUUGAUAUUUUAAUCAUUAGUAGCAGGUUGGAAUCAGUGAUUUCAAUUGAAGAACAUAACCUAGGUUAAAUAAUCCGAGCUUGUGUGUUUAUUGCCUAGAUCAACCUAAUAUCUUUCUCUGUUUAAUGCUUCCAUUAUCUUAAAUUUAAAGAGCUUGUUUUAAAUUAUUUAAUGGUUAGAGAUUAUGUGAAGAGCUUAUUUUGCCUAACGACACACUAAGGAAAGAUUGAGACUAACAGAGCUUAUUGUUGUCUACGGUUGAUAGUUUUAAUAUAAAUUGAUGGUAGAAUUGAUAUAUUAUGUGCAUGUUUGGUGGUGGCGAAUGAUCCUUUAACCAAAGUUUUCAUCAUUAUUAUUUCCUUCUCAUUUAAUUAGAGUUUUUAUUAAAUUCUUGUUCGUAGUUUUAAUUUCUUUAUUUCUUACUAUUUAGUUAAAAAUUCAUAAACCCCCAUUUUAUUUAUAAUUGGCAUUUUCUUUAGUUAGAUUAAUUUAUAUUAUUAUUACUAUUAUUAUUAUUACUAUUAUUUUAUUUUAAAUCUUGCUUUGGAGUUAAUAAUAAAUAUAACUAGCAUAGUCUCUGUGGGAUCGAUCCUUACUCGCUCUGUACUAAUUAUUUAUAUUAGUGGUAAGGUUUUAAAUUUGGUGCACCUUAACGACACUACCAAUAAUACAGAUCCGGAUAUCCGGUUUUCCGAAUGUAAGUGCAUCCGGAUCCGCAUGGAUCUUAAUUUUUAAGAUCCGGAUUCGCAUUUUUUAACGUACAGAUCUGAAUUUUUUGAAUUCGAAUCUUCUGAAUAUUUGCUGAUCCAGAGUUUAUUGCCAACCCUAAAUUGAUAAGGCUAUAGAAAAUUCAAUAUCCAGAUCGGAUAAGGAUCCAAUAAAUUAUAAAAUAUUGCGGCUCAAAGCCCAUAUGAUCAUGGGCCACCGCUUGCUCAUGCUUUGAAUCAAAAUUUUCUAAUGAAGUGAGGUUGGAAGCUAAAAGGGGCAAAUGAUGAAAUGGGGUUCAUCAUUUAUUGAGCCCAACGGGACAAGAUCAUCAUUUAAUUCCCUCCUCUUGUCGAUAGAUAUUUGCCGAAUUUUUUCAUUUAAAAAAUAUUAUAUUGGUUAAUAGAAUUUGAAGUUUUACAAAAUAUAAGUUUAAUUUUAGAAAAAAUUAUAUUUGUUAAUUUAAAAUUUUCAUUUGGUGGUUGUGUUUGAGAAAAAUUUUAGGUAUACUCGGAUAUACUCUCUUAUUAUUCAUUGAAUUUGGGCAUUUAAACAUACUAGUAUAGUAUGCAGUAUUUUUAGGUAAUUAGCGGAGAAGUAUACGUGACAAAAAUAUAACACGUGAAACAAUACACAAUGAAAUUAUCUACAAUUUUCCAUUGACUUAGUCAACUCUUCAUUAAUUUCAUUGACUUGAUCAACUCAUGAAUCAUGAUCUAACUUGACAACUUGAAAAUUAAAAUAUGCUAGUAAUUCCGUAAAAUUAAAAUUUAUCUCCCAAAAUUGAUAAAUACUGUGUCACUUUGUCAAAUUACUUAGGGUAAAAACUCUGUGGCUAAAAACUUUUAACAUUAGUUGUAUGCUAAUUGAGAAGGACAAGACACAAAAGAAUUCAAUGAAUGCGACAUCAUGUAACACUAACACUAUUUACUCUUAACAAAUUCUUACAAACGUGAUUCAUGAAAUUAACUUGACUUUUUGUCUAAAAAAGGCCUAAAGAAACAUGCCAAGCAACAAAUAAAGUAGUCCAAACGUGAUUCAUGAAACUUGAUAGGCACUAUCUAAAUAGUAUUAAUAUGGCAACCAAAAACAUCCGCGCAAAAUAGACUUUCUUGGACGAUCCAUGCCAAUCAACAAAUAAAGUAGUCCAAACGUGAUUCGUGAAACUUGACUUCUUGUCUAAAAAGGCCUAAAGAAACAAGACCAAAAUUUCCAUGCAAUAGCAAUAUGGUGGCCACAAUGCACUUUUUAAGCCAUUUUUCAAAACUAAGUUUCUUCGUAUCACAUGCACUAUUCAAGCAAUUUUUCAACAUUUUCUCCUUCCCCUAAAAGCUACAUGCAUGAAUCAUGUCCCAAUCAAUUUCUUGGCAAAAAUUGGAACGCAAGAACCGAUUGGAGCAUAAGGACAAUGUCACGAUUCAAGAUUCUCAGCAAGACCACGUCACAAUGCAUCACUUUUGGAAAGUAAUUUAGCAAUUUCCAAUGCCUUAGCUGAUUAAUGGCUUGAACAUGUCACGAUUGGUCCACAUUAUGCACAUGGCAAGAUCAAACAAAAUAUCACAGCUAGCUCGACGACUACUAGCCAAAAUAACAAGACAAUGACGGCCAGUUACAAACUCUUUACGAAGGAAAUACCGAAAUAUGAAUAUCCCUCCUAAUCACUUUCUUAUAUUAUAAUUAUUUUGUACAUAUAACAGAACACGUUCUCUCUUGUAAACAAGUCAAGAAAACGGUUUUAGUUUUCAUAUCAAUAAUGGAAUCCAAAAUCUUUCACAGCUUGCUUCUCCUUUGGACGCUUGAAAGACUUUCUUACCUGGCUAAGACUGAAAAUUGUUUGCGGUCAACUCGUGGCACCCUUAUUGACACGCAAAGAACUUACAUCGAGGAGUUGUUUGAUUUUAUGUUUCAAAUUAAGUACCAUAGCAUUACUACUUCUAUAAAUAACUCAUUUGAGCUUCCAGCCUGUUAUUUGUAUUUUACGUUUCUGUUUCUCUUCAUAAAUAUUUUUUUUUCCAUUCUCUUUUUCUUCCACUUUCCCGACUCCCAAACACCACCAGUCUUUGAUUUUCCUAGAGUAUUAACUGUCUGUUUACACGAACAUAGACCGACUGUUUGUCUAAUUACUGUCAAGAAACAGCAUACUCUGUCUCGGGGUCUCUUCGUUUAUUGACUUGUCACUUGUGAACGGGAUAAUUAAAGGGCAUUCCUUUCUUCAAGAAAGAUUGCCAAGAAAGUACCAUCCAUUAGACACGUUAAGAGUUAUUUUACAUUAAAAAUGAUAAUAAUCAUAAUAAUCGGUUUAGUGUUACCCCUUUAUUAGGUAAUGACUGUCCGAUUGUCUUCGCUUUCAUUGACUUCGCAACUGUGAAUUCUAAGCCGGGUUAAGGAUUGACAAAAUGUUAUAACCCAUAAAGCACGGAUAAUUAAUUAAUGGGCCACUGAUUUCUUCUUUAAAGGCUAAUUCUUGGUAAAGAUCAGAAAGUUCUCAAAUAAAAAUUCGGCUUUGUGGAAAUUAAAUUAAAAGCAAUUAAGCAUUAUAAAUUACUUAACAGCUUAAUCGAGUUUGGUUUUGAAAAAUAUAUCUUUAAAUCUCUUGUAAUUAAAGAUAAUUAUCAUAUUACCGUCUCAAAUGGACCGAUUUCAAUCAAAUGAAAUCUAGAAAAUUGAGCAGCUCAUUGAUGUAUUUGAUCGAACUUGUGUCAGAGUCUUCGUUUUAGAAGAGUGCACAGCAGCUGCCAGGUCCACUUGGCAGUUGGCACGCUAAAAAUUUUCUGUUGACCAAUAAUUUUGAAAGGGAUAUUAUUAAUUUACUAUCAAAUAUUUUCUAACACAUCACUUUACUAUCAAAAUUUUUUGACAAUAAUUUUUUGUCACUUAAUAUUUCAAUUUUUAUCAUUUUAUCAUCAAAAAAUAGUAAAUGCAUGCGUAGUGUCAGUUAUUCAUAAAAAUGGUUGUUGAAUUGUCCUGUUUCUCAUUUGGUUUAAUUUUCAUAAAUUCGACUCACACAAUUCAAUUAUGAGUGAAGAGUUUUUUUUUGGGAAAAAAUCUGGUCUUCCAUUUACUAGAAUCACGUCUGAAUGAUUUUGUUAUUUUUCUUUUGUUUGAAAUAUACGUGGAAAAUGUUGAACACUUUGUAGGAUUUAGAAGAAUUUGAAAGUUUGAAUGCAUAUAGUUUACUAUCCAUCAACUAGUGCAUAUUCUGUAUUUUAUGAAAUCAAAGCUGGUUGAUUGAGAAAUGGACCUUAUUACAUGUCAUAAGAUUUUACAGUGCUUUCUAAUGGAGCAAAAUAAAAUGAUUCUUACCUGCACAGAAAAUUAGAUGUUACACUUAAAUUUAUUAUCCAUCUCUAUUGUUUAUAUGACACUGAAGUAUUACCUAAAUUAGCCUUUCAAAACUUCAUUUUCAAAAAUCUAUGGUUGUGAUGCGUCUCUAUAAACUCACUCGUACAAAUUCUAUCUAAUGCCAAUCAUUUUAAACUCUGUUCUGAACAGAGCAUGAAAGGAUAUGUUCACUUAUCUAGUUAUGUUUUUUAUGCUUUCACUUCACUUGAUUCACCUUGUCCCUCUUUUAAAACAGCUGCAUAUGCUGGAGUGCCAAAUCCAUCACAAGGAUCAUAUUACAGAGUAUUUCGGGAUUCAAGACUGUAUGCCACGCUGGCAAGUGCGCUCUCACAGAUUGUGGAGAUGGCACCAAAGAUUGUAAACUAACUAGUACUGAAAAAUCCUAUUUGCACAUAAAAUUGCAUAAAAUAAAUAGACUGAGAAAUAAGAUUAAUAAAGUAAAUAAAUUUAUCUUUCUAGUGUUUUUGUGUACGUACAAGUAGCAUUACUCAUUAGCAAUUAGUCUAGAGUGUUCUGAUUUUUUCUAAUAAGUAGCUCACUUGAGCCUAGGACUUGUAACUAUGUUUUACGUUUCUGUAACUUUCUAAUAAAGAUUUUUUUUUUUUAAUUUUCAAUUUCUCUUCCAUUUUCCUGACUCCCAAACACCACCAAUCCUUGAUUUUCUAGAGUAUCAGCUAUCUAUUUCUACAAACACAAAACUACUAUUUACUUUCAAGAAACAACGUAUUCUGUGGUUUAUUGGCUUGUGCCUUGUGAACGGGGCUAAUGUUGGUCUAACUACUUUCACGAAACAACGUACUCCGUGGUUCAUUGACGCGCACGGGGCUAAUUGUCUCCUCUUCCAUUGACUCUGUCAAUUCAUGACUUUGACGCGCACGGUAGCUGCUAACUGCCUUCUCCAUUUGACGUGCAAAAAACUUUCUUGAGUCGGGUUAAAAUUAAUUGAUCAUUUUAUUUGGUGAUAAUGACUUAGUUGUCAAGUCAUGAGUUUGAUGAUGAAGAGGACGAAAAACAUUACUUUAUUAUUUAAAAUAAGACUAUCAAUUAAAUGGAAUCUUACGGAAUUAGAGUGCUUGACUUCUUUUUACAGAAUUAUGAAGUGAAAAAGGAAAUUAAGAAAUUAAAUACUUUUCAUGCGAGUGGAGAAGAUUGGGUAGCGAUUACAUGAAAUAAAAGAAAAAUAAUUUAAAAGUACAACACUUUAAUAAUCUCAUUCCCAAUCAUAUCGGUAUAAAAAUUAUGUAGAUUUAUUGAAUAACUAUUGAUUUUACUUUGGUAAUUUCUUUCUAAAAGUGAGGUAAACAUUUUUAUUUUCUUUGCAUUCGAGCUUUCUUUCUUUUGCGCUGGCCUUCACACUCUUGACCGUAUUUCAUGUAUUUAGUUUUUGUCAUCAUGACUGGUGAAAUAAAAAUAGUCCUCAUUUCAAGGAUUGACAAAAACGUUGUGCUCAUACCGAUUAAUGGGGAACUGAUUUCGUCUUCUUAAAAGAGAAUUAUUUGCAGCGCGGUAAUUAGAAGAUUUCUGUAUUAUAUAGCCAAACCUAAGUGAUAAGAAUUUCCAAAUGAGAUAUAAUUUGGAGGGAAACAAAAAACUAAUUCAAGUUAAAGACCAGCAAUUUCCAUAUGUGAUAUAUCCUUCACUCUUUGACGUAUCCCUGGGGCAAUGUAAGUUGACUUUAUAUUAAAACAAAACAUAAUUACAAUUAUCAUCACUGAUUUGUAUAAUUUUCAGGACUAGUAAAUUAUCUCAAUUUUUAAAAAACAUAAUUACAAUUAUCGAUCGAACACCACUAAUUCCAACAAUUCAUCCAAGUUUUUCAACUUUUUAGAUAUUUGAUAUAUGUCAUGUUUUAACUUAGUACGAGAAAAAAAUUAUAGAAUUUUUUUUUUUUCAAAUUAGUGGAAUUAUUUUACGAUAAAACUAUCACAAUCACAUUUAAAAAUAUUCUUUAAACUUUCACUAUUUCUACUGUUAUUCUUUAAACUUUUUUCUGAACAGAGCAUGGAGGGUCGCUUAUCUAAAUAUGUUUUCUGUGCUUUCACUUCACUUGAUUCAUCUUGUCCCUCUUUUAUAGCUUCUAUCUCGUGUGAGCUUAGAACCUGCAACUUGUAUUUUACGUUUCUGUUACUUUCUCUUUCAUUUUCCCGAUUCCCAAACACCAUCAGUCCUUGAUGUUAUAGAGUAUUAGCUGUCUAUUUGUUCAGACAUAGAGCUACUGUUCCCAGUCCCACUGUAGAUCUUCAGUGGUUAGCUCACUAUUGUUUGAAUAUUAAAAUUAAUUUGUUAAAUAAAUAAAGAAAACAAGAGACAAUUGCCAUAUAUAUUCCAUAUUAAUUAGUCACCGUCCGAUUGUCUCCACUUCCAUUGACUCUGUUGAUUCAUGCUUUCAUGAAGUGAAACGUUUAACACUCUGUUCUGAUCCGCAGGAGAGGAGGAAAAACAUAAUUUUAUUAUUUCAUUCCUGACACGCGCAAUGAGCUUUCUUAAUUGAUGAAUGUGACAUGAAGCUCUAUAAAUAGUUUAAUUUGUAAAAUUGUUAAAAUUUGUUAAAUUUCAUUUAAUUGAUGAAUGUGACAUGAAACUCUAUAAAUAGUUUAAUUUAUAAAAUUGUUAAAAAUUUAAAUUUCAAGUAAGGUAGAUAAAAUGAUUAACUUUUUUCAAUAUUUAGAUAAUUAACAUGUGUCAUGUAACUAUGAGUGAAUGAAUGAAAUUUUUGAAGUACGAAUCCAUUUACAAGUUACGACUUGUCUUGUUUCUCAUUUUACUUAAUUUUCAUAAAAUUGACUCAUGAUCAAUUAUGAGCGAAGAGUUUGUUGGUCUUCCAUUUAUUGUAAUCAGAUGAGUGUGAUUUAAUUAUUUUUUCCUUUUGCUUGAUGUCCCGAAAAUUAUGAAUGCUUUUGUAGGAUGCAGAAGAUUAAAAAUUUUAAUGCAUAUCUAUAGUCAAAACUGAGGAAACAGAACAUUAUUGCUUCUAUAAAUAGGUCAUUUCAGCUUAAAACUUGUUACUUGUAUUUUACAUUUUUGUUUUUUUAACUUUUUCUUCCAUUUUCCCAAACACCACCAAUCCUUGAUUCUUUUCCUAGAGUAUUAGCUGUCGAUUGUUACAAACAUAGACAUACUGUUUGUCUAAUUACUAUCAAGAAACAACAUACUCUAUCCUGGAGUCUCUUCGUUUAUUUAAUAUUUAGGUUUAUUAAUAUACUACAUUAUUAAUUAAAUUAAUUAAUAAUUUAAAUUAAUUAAAUAAUAAAAGUUAAAUGAUUAUAUUUAAAAUCCAAGUAGUAUUUUAAUGUAAUGAAACCUAAAUCCCACCUCUAUACCACAUUUGUUAUACAAUGUAAUGCAACUAUAAAUUAUAAUUAUAUGAAAAUAAUAUUUUAAUACAAUAUAAUACAAGUAUAAUAGUAUUACAAGUGUAAAGGCUGUAAUAUUAAUUAGCCUGUAUAAUAUUAUGCCGUGCUGGCAAGUGUGCUAUAACAGAUUGUCGAGCUGGCACCAGUUAUUUUAAACUAAUAUUAGUAAUUAGUCUAGAGUGUUCUGAUUUAUUCUAUAAAUAGCCCAUUUAAGCUUUUUUCUCUAUUCCUUUUUCUUUCACUUUCUCUUCCGUUUUCCCGACCCUCAAACACCGUCAAUCCUUGAUUUGAACUGCUGUUUGUUUGUCUAAUUACUUUCAAGAACAAUACCCUCCAUCCCGCGGUCUCUUCGUUUAUUGACUUGUGAAUAUCAAUAAAUUUUUAUUACAUUCAAGAUAAGGACUGACCAAAUUAUUAAAAUGUGAUGCCACGUGUGUGAGUAAUUGGAUUGGACUGACCAAUACUUUGACGUUCAUAUUGGUUUAGGACCAUUCAUAAUUAUGACUUAAAUAGUUUCCAUUAAUAUCGAUUUUUCUAGAUUCUAAUUUCUAAAUGGUUAGAAGUUUCAGCCACUUAAAGCAAAGGAAUAAUCGCCCUUCUUGCACGGAAGCACGGAUAUUCCAGGAUUAAAAUCCUAGCCUAACUCCAACGCCAGGGAUUGGCAUCUAUUCCUAAGACAAAUUAACUAAUUACAACCGCUUAAUAAUAAUAAUAAUAUAUUAUUGUUGAGAUGAUGCGCUGGCAAAUCAUACAGGUGUACGUCCUAACCAAUAUGCUACGUUUCCCCACAUUAUAUAUUGUUUGAGGGAAAUGCUUCGAUGAGACCAGAAGUGAUGAGCAGAUAUUUGGUGGCAGAGUUCUGCGAACAGGUGCGUCCUGUAAGAGCCUGGUAGCAGGGGAACAGGAGCAGGAAUAUUCUGCUCGUCCAAGAACAUGCCAUUCACGAGGACGAACUCCUGUUAGAGGCAUGAGGCCAUUCCUGCUAGGGGUCGAGGCAAGGAGGCCCGGUCAACGACAGUUGGUAAGGCGUGCAUUCCUCCCCGAGAAUCAAGGCGCGAAGUCCAUCUCCAUUUGCCCACAAUGGCGAUAAUGGGGCAUCCACAUCCGAGAGUGGGGAGAAUAACGGGCGUGGACUACAGAAGACUGGGAUUCAGAGGAAGCCUAUAAAAAGGUAGCCAACGAAGGUAAAAGGGUUGGACUUUUUGCUAUUAGAACUAAGAAAAGAAAACUCUAAGAACUGAGAUUGAAAAGACACCAUAGGAUUCGUGGCAAACAUUCCCAGAACCUUCAUAUCUGACUUGAGCGUCAGAUGGUUUACGCCGGGAAAACAACCGGCGUACUCUGACCUGCUUCUGUGUACGCAGGAACUUUUGGAGAAGAAACCUUACGAGGAGAGAUCCUGGUCGUGGUAGAGUUGAUCGAGCCGAGUUCCUGGUCUUGGUAGAGAAGGCAACCAGAAUCUCGCAUCAACAUUUUGGCGCCGUCUGUGGGGAGCUGAGAAAAAAGCUUCUGCUGAUAGCAAGAAGAGGAGUGAAGCAAGUGAAAAGCAAUGGAGACAGGAGGAAGUAGUGCACAAGGGGGUGAUAUAAGGCUUAAUGAUUCCGUGACGUUGAGGGAGAUAGCCAGUGAAGCGCGGGAAAAAGCCAUGUUCGACCGGAUGGAACGGAUGGAAAAGCAAAUGGAGACCCUGACAACCAUCCUGCAUGAGUUGCGGAGUGAACGAAGAGUAACCCAGGAGGAAAGGGUGAGAAGUGGUGGAGUGGCACCAGGUCCCGAUAGUACGAGGAGAAGUCGAACCACCGUGAGAUUUGGUGGUGAGAGAGGUAACAUACCUCUGCGGGGAGAAUUUCAUAGAGAGGAAGAGCAAUCCCCGGCGAGACAGAUUUUUGAGGAGGACGACGGGGUGGCGAAUGCAGAGGAAACAGAGUUGAGGCAACACUUGCAUGAUUUAGAGCAAGAGCGGGAUCAAGUUGCAGCACGUGACCCUGGUCGUGCAGUGCAGCUGGAGGAGGAAGUGCGCAGGCUAGCGCAGAUAAUUGACGACAUGCAAGGAAGGAGUAGAGCUCCUGGUUGGAGGAUAAUGCUGGACGGAGAAUCACCGCUCGCAGCAGAGAUCAUGAGGGCAGUUAUUCCGAGAGAUUUCCGCCUCCCAGAUCUUAGAUAUUCGGGACGAACUGAUCCGCUGGUGCACAUAGAGCGCUUCAAUGACAUAACUGGGGUACAAGGAUUAUCUCAAUCCCAAAGGUGCAGGGUGUUCCCACUAUCCCUUGAGGGACGUGCACGAGAGUGGUACAUGAAACUUCCUCGGGGGAGCAUUAAAACCUUCGAGCAGAUGUGCCAGGAAUUUGCAGAGCAGUUUCGUGGGGCAAUGGCACCAGAAGAUGACAUGAUGGAGUUGAAAAGCAUGAAGCAGAGGGAACAAGAAACACUUCGGGAAUUCAUCAAGAGGUUUCACCGUGCUGUCCUUGAUUUGGGAGCCUUCAACCAUCCUCAAGCAUUAAGGGGACUGAAAGAAGGGGUGAAGAUAGGAAGACUAUGGUACAAUUUGAGAAGCCCAGUUAUUCAGACGUAUACAGCCGCAUACGAGCAGGCUAAGAAGGACAUUGAGAUUGAAGAGGAAAAGACAGCACGAAUCAAGACAGACCAGUUAGAAGGGUUGGGGAAGAAAGAAAAGAAAGCAUUGCCAGGGAAUGGGCCGAUCAGGAGGAGGGACCACUAGGCCUCAGGUAGUGGAGCAGGAGGUCGGGUAACUACUUACCAGCCUCAUCAGAGGCCACCAUAAUAUCAGCGCAGCAGGGUGCAACCUCCUCGUUCCCCAGCUAGGGAACUUUGGAGAAGGCAUGACUCGGCAUAUGGUGGUCUUCAUCAACACUCCCACGGUAGUAGAGUGGGCAGACCAGAAGUGCUGCCACCGCCUCCAACUCAGAACGGAGCAAACAGAGAAAGGGCAGUGCACCUGAUCGACCAGAACCAAGACUAUGGGCGGUAUACUUCCUUGAAGAUGUCCCUGGACGAGGUGUACGAGGCCAUAAAGGAUCGAGGGUUGCUAUACCUCCUUGCCCCAAUAACAAAGCUACCCAGCAGGAGGGAUAAGGGACGCUAUUGUAAGUUCCAUGGCACUCAUGGCCACACCACAGUAGAUUGCAGGGAUCUCAAGACCCAGGUUGAAGAUUUGGUGAGAAAUCGGUACCUGCACGAGUUUAUAGAUGGGACCUUCCCAAUGGUAGCCUCGACAAGCGAAAGGGAGCAGAGUGACAGAAACUUGAGGCGCGAGCCGCCUGCAGUAAGGGUGAUAGCUGGGGGCCCAACAUUGGCUGGAGAUUCCAACAGGUCGAGGAAGAAUUAUGCUAGAUACGCCAUGACUAGCAAAGAUGUGUUCUUCAACACCCCAGCAGCCAAACGUGCAAGAGUCAGGCAAGUGCCAAUCAUGUGGACAGAUGAGGAUGAAGAAGGGAUUCUAUACCCCCACGAGGAUGCUUUGGUCAUCAAGGCCACUGUUGCCAGCAAGAAGUUUGACAGGAUACUGGUUGACAUAGGGAGCUCAGUUGAUGUGUUGUUUAAGUCAACCCUUGAGGAGAUGGGAAUAGCAGACCUGAAGUUGGAUUACACCAAUACCUCAUUGAAGGGGUUUGGAGGAGGAAAGUUGGUCCCUCUAGGCGUAGUCGAGCUGCCUAUCACGAUUGGGAGCUCCCCGACAGAAAGGACAAUGAUACUGGACUUUGUGGUAGUGGAUGAGGAAGGUCCUUACCAGAUGAUCCUAGGCCGGCCAUUUCUGAGGAUGAGCAAAGCGGUGCUGUCCAACCAUUAUCUAGCUCUCAAGUACCGGGUGAAUGGGGUAGUUGGACUGGUACGAGGAGACCAGAGGAUCGCAAGAAGCUGCUACUCCUCGGCAACAAGGGAAGCAAUGCAGAUAACAUCGCUUGAUACCCGAGUGGAAAACAAGAAUGGCAGACAAGAACCUGUGGAGGAUCUAGAGACAGUAAGCCUGGGACUAGAGAAUCCGGGAAAGACGAUCAGAAUCGGGUCGAAGCUUAAGGAAGAGCAAAAGCAGGAGUUGGUGAAAUGCUUACAGGCUCAUGCAGAUGUGUUUGCUUGGACACAUGAAGACAUGCCAGGGAUUAAUCCUGAGGUAGCAUGUCAUAAGCUGGCAAUAAAGAAAGGUGCUCGGGCAGUAAGGCAGAAGAGGAGGUGCUUUAACCAGGAGAGGUAUGAGGCUAUAAAUGGCGAGGUGGAAAAGCUCUUGAGAGCAGGAUUCAUUCGAGAAGUCAAUUAUCCCGAGUGGAUUUCGAAUGUGGUGUUGGUAAAGAAGGCAAAUGGCAAGUGGAGGAUGUGUGUGGAUUUUACAGAUCUCAAUAAAGCAUGCCCGAAAGACAGCUUCCCUUUGCCAAAAAUCGACCAGCUAGUAGAUUCAACAGCUGGGCACGGCCUGCUUAGCUUCAUGGACGCGUUCUCGGGAUAUAACCAAAUCCCCAUGUACGAGCAGGAUGAGGAGAGCACUGCUUUUAUCACUAACCAGGGUUUAUUCUGUUACAGGGUAAUGCCAUUUGGUCUCAAAAAUGCUGGGGCCACCUAUCAGAGGCUGGUGAAUAAAGUCUUUAAGCCGUUGAUCGGGAAAACCAUGGAGGUGUACGUGGAUGACAUGAUCACCAAGUCCAAAAUCCCGAAGGAACAUGUCGGACACCUCGAGGAGACAUUCGGGCUUUUGAGGAAGUAUAAAAUGAAGCUUAACCCGGAGAAGUGUGCUUUUGGGGUCAAGUCAGGGAAAUUCCUUGGAUUCAUUGUGAGCCAUAGGGGAAUUGAGGCAAAUCCCGAGAAGAUCCAGGCGAUCGUGCAGAUGAGGUCUCCUCAUAGCCUAAAGGAGAUGCAGAGCCUCACGGGGAGGUUGGCGACAUUGAGCAGAUUCAUAUCUAAGGCUACAGGUAAGUGUCAGCCGUUCUUUCAAGUGAUAAGGAGGGGAAAGAAAAUAGAAUGGACUCCAGAAUGCGAGGAAGCCUUCUAGAACUUGAAGCAAUACUUGCAGCAAGCACUUCUGCUGUCCACACCGAGGGUUGGGGACAAGUUAUUUCUGUAUUUGGCGGUAUCAGAUCGGGCCACAAGUUCUGUUCUGGUGAGAGAGGAAGAAAGGGUUCAAUAUCCGAUAUAUUACACUAGCAAGGCCCUGCUCGACGCUGAGACCAGAUACCCACCGUUGGAAAAAUGGGCACUUGCCCUUGUGGUUGCUGCUCGGAAGCUGAGACCAUACUUCCAAGCAUUCCCAGUCUCGGUAAUAACAAACCAGCCAUUGCGUCAAACUCUGCACAAGCCAGACGCCUCUGGUCGGCUCGUCAAGUGGGCUGUAGAGCUGAGCGAGUUCGACAUAGACUACAAACCCCGAGCAGCGAUAAAGGCUCAGGCAAUGGCCGAUUUCGUAGCAGAAUUCACAGAGCCCGAAGUAUGUUUGGACCAACGAGAGGUAGCUACAGACAGUGGCGAAGCCCAAGUAUGGCAAAUGUUUGUAGAUGGGUCAUCAGGGGAGCAGGGAUUGUCUUGGAAGGACCGGAGGGGGAGCAGAUCUCUUAUGCUGUAAAGUUAGAAUUCGCAGCCACAAAUAACCAGGCAGAGUAUGAAGCCUUGAUAGCAGGUUUGGAAUUGGCUAAGGCCGUGAAAGCAGACAGAGUGAAGAUCAGAACUGAUUCCCAGCUGGUUGCAAAUCAUGUCAGUGAAAGAUUUCAACCAAGAGAGGAGAAGAUGGAGCAGUACCUGAAGAUAGUCAGGCAGAUGAUGGGGAAAUUUGAAGCAGUGGAGGUGGUACAAAUCCCCAAGGAGCAGAAUAGUCAAGCAGAUAUUUGGCCAGGAUGGCAGCGGUAGCAGACCCAAAAAUGCCAAAGUCGAUCCCUCUGGAGGUGAAGUCCAGCCCGAGCAUCGAACAGAAUUUGGGGGUGCUACGGAUAGAACAAAAAUGCUCGUGGAUGGACCCAAUAAUUUCGUACCUUAGAGACGGGGUAUUACCACCAGAUAAACUGCGAGCUCGGAAGGUUAGAGCCCAGGCCUCGAGAUACACGAUGAUUGAUGGGGUACUGUAUCGGCGAGGAUAUACACUACCUUUCCUUCGAUGUUUGGAUGAGGACGACGCGGAUUACGUACUAAGAGAAGUACAUGAAGGGAUUUGCGGAAAUCAUUCUGGUGGGAGGUCCCUGGCCCACAAGGUUCUAAGACAGGGAUAUUUCUGGCCAACAAUGCACCAGGAUGCGCAAGGGAAGACCAGGAGCUGUGUAAGCUGCCAGAGUUUUGCAAGUUUCUCCAACCAACCACCAGAGAAGCUCACCUCUAUGGCCUCCCCAUGGCCAUUUGCUCAAUGGGGAAUUGAUCUGAUCGGCCCGUUGCCAAAGGGACGAGGAGCAGCAACGCAUGCAAUAGUUGCUAUAGACUACUUCACGAAGUGGAUAGAGGUAGAAGCCCUUAGCAGGAUCACAGAGAAGAAAACAACAGACUUUGUGUGGAGAAACCUGGUUUGUCGAUACGGGAUCCCUUAUGCCUUGAUAACGGAUAAUGGUAGGCAGUUCGAUAAUCACAGCUUCAGGGAUUUCUGCUAGAACCUCGGGAUAGAGUUGAAGUAUUGCUCGCCGGCUCACCCUCAAUCUAACGAACAAGUAGAAGCAACCAACAAGACAAUCAAGAGGCUUUUGAAAACCAGGCUUGGAGCAAAGAAGGGUGCUUGGGUUGAUGAGCUAUCAGGCGUACUAUGGGCAUACAGGACAACCCAUAAGACAGCAACGGGGGAGACACCGUUCGCCUUGGCUUUCGGACAUGAAGCGGUCAUACCAGCUGAGAUAGGAACCACCACAUACCGAACAGAUCAUUUCAACGAGCAGGACAACGACGAGCAGAUGUGUUUGAAUUUGGACUUGCUAACGGAAAAAAUGGAGCAAGCAACCGAGCGAUAAGUCAUUUACCAGCAGAGGGUUGCCCGAUAUUAUAACCAGAAGGUGAAUGUACGGCAGUUCAAGGUCAGAGAUUGGGUGUUAAAGAGAGUGAAUCAGAACACCAAAGACUCAACUCAAGGAGUGCUCGGACCGAAUUGGGAGGGGCCAUACAGGGUCAAGCAGCUAGUUGGACCAGGAGCUUACAAGUUGGUUCGCAUAGAUGGCCACGAGGUGAAGCGCCCAUGGAACGCAGCACAUCUCAAGAAAUAUUUCCAGUAAGAGUCGUUCAUAUUUUCAAGUUCUUUCUGUUCGUGUUCGUUGUUAUUUAUUUUAUGUCAAAACGAUCUCAUGUAAGCCGAAUUCAACAAUAAAGGGAUCAAUGAGGAAUUUCAGUCAGCUAUACUGUCAUCGAAGAAUUUUCUAAGGCAUGCAAAGGCUCAUCAAGUCUCAAAGCCUGUUUUAUGGCGAGACAGAAGCCAAGCGUGCCAGGGUUUGCUCGACCGCGCGAAGGUGAGCAGAACCCCCAAACAUCGAAAUAUUUUCUAAGGCAUGCAAAGGCUCACAAAGUCUCAAAGCCUGUUUAUGGCGAGACCAGAAGCAAGCGUGCCAGGAUCUGCUCGACCGCGCGAAGGCGAGCAGAAUCCCAAGCAUUGAAGAAUUUUCUAAGGCAUGCAAAGGCUCAUCAAGUCUCAAAGCCUGUCUAUGGCGAGACAGAAGCCAAGCGUGCCAGGGUCUGCUCGACCGCGCGAAGGUGAGCAGAACCCCCAAACAUCGAAAUAUUUUCUAAGGCAUGCAAAGGCUCACCAAGUCUCAAAGCCUGUUUAUGGCGAGACCAGAAGCAAGCGUGCCAGGAUCUGCUCGACCGCGCGAAGGCAAGCAGAAUCCCAAGCAUUGAAGAAUUUUCUAAGGCAUGCAAAAGGCUCACUAAGUCUCAAAGCCUGUCUAUGGCGAGACCGGAAGCCAAGCAUGCCACGAUUUGCUCGAUCGAGCAAAGGCGAGCAAAAUCCCAAGUCAUGUAGAAAGACCAUAUUCUAAGCCAAAGCCUGCUCGACCAAGUGAAGGCGAGCAAACCUUCAAAUGGAAAAAUAACUUGUAAAUACAAACGCAAGAAAGUAAUCAAAAACAGUUUUUAUUAAUUUAUCAAUAACCAACAAAGUUGUUCAUUACAACGCAAGAAAUAUGUUCAAGAAGAUGGCGGAUCAGUAAGCCGAGCAGCUUCGGUUGGCUGGACCUCCUCAGGUGCAGGGGGGUAUCACCAGUUGCGUCCGGUGGGGUGCUCGCCUCGCCAACAUCAGCAGGGAUUGUACGAGGAGGAGAGUUUUCCUCCUCAAUCACGAUUGGCUCCACCCCUUCGGCAUCUUCCUUGGCCGCCUCCUCGUCUAUAUGUUGAGCAACACCAGCUGCUAGGUCAUCCAUCUUCAUAUCAGGAUACUGCUUCCCGAGGACGGCCAUGAUGUAACGAUAGGAAUGCCGAAGUCCCUGGUCGUAUUGAUUGUCGGCCUCCUUCUCCAAGUUCUCGACCUGAACUCGGUGGGAAUCGCGGAGAGAUUCGAGCUGAGCCUCAUACAUAGCCUUCUGCCUUUGAAGAUCCUCCUUGACCUUGGUCAACUCCUCCUCGAGGGUAAUGGCUUUUGCUUGAGCAAGAGAUUCUUGCUCUAUCAGCUUCAGGUUCUCGACAUUCAGCUCCCCUGCUUUCUUCUCGGCAUGGUCAGCUCUGGUCAUCGCCGACUGAAUGUCCUCCUUCAUCUUCCUGUCAUAACGGCCAACCUUGGCCUUAUAGUAAGUGGUCAUGCAGUUGAGAUGGAAAGCGCUAUACUGCAUGGCUCCUACCAGCUCGCCCAGGGUGUAGCCAUCAAAGUCCUCCAGGUCCUUCUUGCUCACGAGUUUAGAUAACUCAUUGAGAUAGAGGACCAAGUGUUCUGCUCGGUUGUCAGGUAAGCGAGACCGAGGCCGACAGGAGGAGAAGAGGACGCAGGAUCUAUGGCUGCUCCACUAGUUUCCCCGACUUUGGCAGGAGCAGAAGGUAAAGUCUUCAAGGGAGAGACCUGCUGUACGAUGUUGGCCCGCUUUGCAGUAGGGGCGUCCUUGUUCUGGUCCGUCUUCGUGGUUUGAGGUCGAGAACGUUUCCUGUUCAGAGCCCCAAUCACAGCGUCCUCCAUCUUAUGGCCAGGGAGUAUCAAGCGAGACUCGAGCAAGUUGUAAGUAGUUAUCAGUUCUCGGCUCGAGCAGGAAUUGACUAGUACAGCCUCAACCCGUUUGAGCUGGUCAGGUUUGAGCGGGAAGUGAACACCCCACGAACCUGCAAUACAAACAGACACUUGGUUAGAGACAAACCAAUAAAGCGAGAACAAUUAUGGAUACAAGACAUCUAAAGCGAGCAGGCAACCUGGGACCGUGAAACGGGAUGGGACACGAUAAUCCUUCCCGUCCAUUUGUGCAACCUGACCCCAAGGACCCCCAGCAAAAAAGAAUUUUCUCUUCCAAGCCCCACCACCACCAGUUGGAAGAUCAGUUAUGGGUUUCAUGCUCUUGGUGCUAGAUUGGAAGUAGUACCAGCCGGCAUCUUUGGGGCUGCUCUUUAGUUGGUACAGAUGCUUAGUCAUCUGAAGUACAUGUUUUUAGGAGAUGAUGAGACACUUCCGGUGAUCAUCUCUUCAAAGCUUAGUACUUUAGAGGAAGAGAAACUUAUUAGAGUGCUAAAGGAUUACAAAAAGGCUAUUGGGUGGACAAUUGCAGAUAUUAAAGGGAUAAGUCCGUCCACGUGCAUGCAUAGAAUACUACUGGAGGAAGAUGCCAAACCUUCAAUUCAAGCUCAAUGCCGUUUGAAUCCACUCAUGAUGGAAGUAGUGAAGAAAGAAAUUCUAAAACUUCUUGAUGCAGGUAUAAUCUAUCCAAUUUCGGAUAGUAAAUGGGUAAGUCCGGUACAAGUGGUACCGAAGAAAACUGGUAUAACAAUUGUUGAGAAUUCUUAUGGUGAGUUAGUACCUACCCGAGUUCAGAAUGGGUGGAGGGUUUGUAUUGAUUUUAGAAAGCUUAAUUCACUCACUAGGAAUGAUCAUUUUCCUAUUCCUUUUAUUGAUCAGAUGCUCGAUAGGUUGGCAAGAAAAUCUCACUUGUGUUGUCUUGAUGGCUAUUCAGGUUUUCAUCAGAUACCAGUUGCGCCCGAGGAUCAGGAGAAGACUACCUUCACAUGUCCUUUUGGAACCUUUGUGUACCGACGUAUGCCAUUUGGUCUUUGUAAUGCUCCCGCCACUUUUCAGAGGUGCAUGGUCAGUAUUUUUUCAGACUAUGUAGAAAACACUAUAGAGGUAUUUAUGGACGAUUUUACGGUCUAUGCUGAUUCUUUCGAUGAUUGUCUCUAUAAUCUGAAGAAAGUGCUUGAAAGAUGCAUUGAAACAAACCUUGUCUUAAAUUAUGAAAAAUGUCAUUUUAUGGUAGAUCAAGGCAUUAUUUUGGGUCAUGUAGUCUCUGCUAGAGGAAUUGAGGUAGAUAAAGCUAAAAUAGAUGUUAUUAAAUCUUUACCUUAUCCCACAUGUGUGCGGGAAGUUCGUUCUUUCCUUGGUCAUGCAGGUUUCUAUAGACGAUUUAUCAAGGAUUUUUCGAAGAUAGCUCAGCCUUUAUGCAAGCUUCUUCAGAAAGAUGUGACAUUUGAUUUUAAUGAAGCAUGCAAGGUAGCAUUUGAUAAACUUAAGGAGUUAUUGACUUCAGCUCCAAUUAUACAGCCACCAAACUGGAGCCUCCCUUUUAAGAUAAUGUGCGACGCCAGUAAUUAUGCUGUUGGUGCUGUUCUCGGACAAAGGGUUGGAAAAGCUGCUCAUGUGAUAUAUUACGCAUCAAGGACACUUGAUAGUGCUUAGUACAAUUACUCAACAACGGAAAAAGAACUUUUAGCUAUUGUUUUUGCUUUAGAAAAAUUCCGUUCAUAUUUAUUGGGUACCAAAGUGAUUGUUUUUUCUGACCAUGCAGCUCUUAGAUAUUUGCUCGCCAAGAAGGAAGCGAAACUGAGACUUAUCCGCUGGAUCCUACUGCUUCAAGAAUUCAACUUGGAGAUCCGUGACAAGAAAGGAACAUAAAACUUAGUUGCAGACCACCUUAGUAGAUUGACCACGAGUGAAGAAGCAGCACUUUUGAAAGAUGAUUUUCCAGAUGAGCAUCUCUUUGUAACUCAAGGUAUGGUUCCUUGGUACGCUGACAAGGACACUACCUAGUGAUCUGACGAGGGCUCAAAAAGAUAAAAUUAAGAGCGAUGCUAAAUACUAUGUUUGGGAUGACCCUUACUUGUGGAAACAUUGCUCUGACCAAGUCAUCAGAAGGUGUGUAUCUGAGUUUGAAAUUCCUUCUAUUCUUCAAUUUUGUCACUCAUAUGCAUGUGGUGGUCAUUUUGGUCUCAAAAUGACAGCAUCCAAGGUGUUAGAAUGUGGUUUAUUUUGGCCUACUUUAUUUCGUGAUUCAUAUAUGUUUUGUAAGUCGUGUGAGAAUUGUCAAAAGACUGGUAAUUUAAGUCAUAGAAAUCAAAUGCCACUUACCCCUAUUCUUGUAUGUGAAAUAUUCGAUGUGUGGGGCAUUGGUUUUAUGGGACCUUUUCCCUAAUCUUUUGGCAAUGCUUACAUUCUUUUAGCAAUGGAUUACGUUUCUAAGUGGGUAGAGGCUAAGGCCACCCGGACUGACAAUGCUAAAGUUGUUGUAGAUUUUGUCAAGUCUAAUAUUUUUGCCAGGUUUGGUGUACCGAGAGCGAUGAUAAGUGAUAGAGGCACUCAUUUCUGUAAUCGAGUGGUGGAAGCUUUGUUCAAAAGAUAUCAUGUUACCCACCGAGUGUCUACCGCUUAUCAUCCACAGACAAGUGGACAAGCUGAGAUAUCAAACAGAGAAAUCAAGUCUAUUCUUGAAAAGACAGUUAGUCCAAAUCGAAAGGAUUGGAGUUUGCGAUUAGAUGAUGCAUUAUGGGCGUAUCGCACCGCUUACAAAACUCCCAUAGGUAUGUCUCCUUAUCGUUUGGUAUUUGGUAAGCCUUGCCAUUUACCUGUAGAACUUAAGCACAGAGCAUACUGGGCGGUUAAGCAAUGCAAUAUGCGGAUGGAUGAAGCGGGAAAGCAGAGGAAGUUGCAGCUGCAAGAGUUGGAGGAGAUUAGAAAUGAAUCCUACGAGAGUUCGUGAUUUUACAAGGAAAAGACGAAGACAUUUCAUGACAGAAUGAUUUUCAGAAAGGAGUUAUCUGUUGGUCAAAACGUUCUUCUUUUUCAUUCUAAACUUAAACUUUUUCCUUGUAAAUUACGUUCUCGUUGGGUAGGACCUUUUAUUGUUACUAAUGUUUUUCCUCAUGGUGCAGUUGAGAUUCGGAGUCCAACCUCUGAUAAAGCCUUUAAGGUAAAUGGUCAUCGUUUAAAACCUUUUUAUGAAGGUUUUUCGGUGAAUAUUGUAGAGGAAAUGGCUCUCGAGAGUCCUAUUUAUGGAGAUUGAUGCAUAAAUGUGUCUAGCCAAAGACAUAAAACAAAAGCGCUUUUUGGGAGGCAACCCAAAUGAUUUGUUUAUUUUGGUUUUUGUUUUAUCUUCUUUUAGUUUUGAUUCAGAUUUUUUUUAAAAUAAUGUGUUUGCUUAUUUUGGCCAGAAGAAAAUUUUUGAUAAGGCGUGCCCACGUUUUAACUAAUAAGUACUUCUGUAAUUUUUAAAGUAAAAUAGUUUUAAGGCGUGCCCACGUACUUAUUAGAAAAGUACUUCUGAAAUUUUUAGUUCUCAAAGUGAAAAAAAAAAAAAUUAAUGUGUUUGCUUAUUUUGGUCAGAAGAAAAUUUUUGAUAAGGCGUGCCCACGUCAUAACUAAUAAGUACUUCUGUGAUUUUUAAAGUAAAAUGGUUUAAAGGCGUGUCCACGUGCUUAUUAGAAAAGUACUUCUGAAAUUUUUAGAGUCUCAAAGUGAUUCAUUAAAAAAAUAUAUAUUUUUUAAAAAAAAUAAUUUUAUUUUAUUUUUUAAAAAACAAAAAAUGAAAAAAAGAGCUUUUCUUUUGUUCUUCUUUUAUAUAUUUAUUUAUUUAUUUAUAAUAAAAAAAUCAUCAUUGUUCAAAAAAAAAAAAUUUACUGUUCACAAAAUCCCUAAUUUUCCAGAUCUUGUUUUCUUCUCCAGCCGCUUGCAGCACACCAGCAGCAAACCAGCCCGCCGGAAAAUGCAAGCCCCGCAACGCAGCGCGAACCAGCAACGCAAACCACCAGAGCGCAACGCAAGCCCCCGCGCGCGCAGCACCAACAGCCCACGAAGCAGCCGCAGCAACACGAAGCAUCUCUCACGCACAACAGCCCCGCAGCGCAACGAACCAGCAACGCGAACCAGCUCUCGCGUGCAACAGUCCCGCAGCAACAAGCCGCCCCGCGCGCGCAACACAGCCACGCACCAGCAUCCCGCACGCAACCAGCAGUGCGCAACCAGCCCCAAGCUGCGCAGCAAGCUCAAGCCGAGCAGCAAUGCAACGCAACUAGCCUACGCCCUGUAUUCCAGCCGGGUAAAUUGAAAUCCGUGAGUGCAAUUAUUGUAACAAUGCCAAAGAGGAAAGCAUCUACUUCCAAGUCAUCGAAAAAGACACCCGUCGCAAAGAAAUCUAAGAUUGCCGCUCCCACUACGGUUCCAUGGAACACAAUUUCAUAUUCACGCCAAGCCGUGAGACAAAGAUCGAAACAUGGAAAAGGCAUGAGUGUUUUGCCACUUACGGAAUCCAAUCUCGGAGGGUGCCUCGCAUUCGCGACUCAACAAGAGAAAGAGAGGUACAAAGAUAUUUCCACGCGCAAAAUACUUCCAGCUAAGUAUAUUCAUUACCCGACUCUUGAAAAAUUGAAUGUUAAGGAUAAUUUUGAUUCUUUGAUAGAUAAGAUUGGGUUGCGUAAAUUUUUUGAUGUUGAUUGUUUGGGUUAUGUUGAGUUGAUUAGGGAGUUUUAUGCUACUUUUCAAUUUAAUAUGCCGAAUGAUUUUACUUUGCAUACCCUGGAUGUCAUUAAGUUUAGGUUAAUGGGAUGAAAUUUUUCACUCUAUCACGGAUUUUAACUAGCUUUAGGAUUCAUUGAUGAUGAUUAUUCUUCUAGUGAUGCAUAUUUAGGAACAACUUGUGACUUUAGCGAAAAUUUUGAGCCUUAUGGUCUUUGGCGUAAUUUAUCUGUUGAUCACAAUGCCUAUGACCCGAGCAAAUCAAAGAGUUCUUUCUAACGUGAUCCUGUUUUGAAAUGUGUGCAUCGAUUCUUAGCAUAUAAUUUUUUAGGCAAGAAAGAUCACUCAUGAGUUUUCUCUAAAACUGAAUUUUAUUUUAUCUGGUGCAUGUUAAAUGAUGUGAGGCCUAAUUUAGGUUUUUGGUUAGCGGAUCAAUUUCAAAGUGUGCUUAAACGGUAUAGGACUUUAUUUCUUGGUCCAUACAUUACUCUGUUAGCUAUAAACCUAUGUGUGCUUGAUCCCAAUAAUAAUGAUUUGCAUCCUGCUUGCAAAAAGGAAUUUUUUGAUAUGUCUGUGUUUGAAAGAACAGGUGUGGUCGAAUUCAAGGAGGGGAGAUUUCAAUUUACUGAACCAGGACCCACUCAAAUUCCAAAGAAGCUUUAUGCUAGGAGUGCUGCUACCUCUAAUGACGAGUUUGACGACGACACUGCUGCCCCGCCAACUAUUCCUUCUACAUCCGCACCACCUUUGAGCAUUCAGUUAGAGAAAAUGGAGCACAAGCUGAACAAGAUGGAGCAUAAUUUGGCCGCAUACUUCGAGAGUGUGGGAUUUACCCCACCAUUUCCGCCAAGCCCAUAAACGUUAUGUGGAUCAAAGCUCACAAUUCAGGGAAGUUUCUUUUUGCCUUUAAUCUUUUAUCCUUACGCUUUAAUUUUUAUGUGAGCUUUGAUUAUCUUACAUUAGGGACAAUGUAAGUUCUUGGUGUGGGGGAGGGAUUUUUGCAUUAUUGAUGUCUAGAAGUAGUAUUUUCACUCUACUCAUCCUUAAAUGAUUUUGGAGUUAGUAUGCUUCAUAUAUUAUUAUUUUUUUUCUUUUCUUUUCUUUCUCACUACUCUUUUCCCAUCUAUCUCAAAUUAUUUACAUCUAUUUUUAUUCUAUCAUGCUCUUUCAUCACUCACAUUUUAUCUUUCACUUUUCAUAUUACUACAUACAUCUUUCUCACUUCUUAUCAUUUUUACAUUUUUUUUUAUAUAUCACUCAUACCUUCUUCUCAUUCUACACCACUAUUGAUGGUUGAUUCAUUUGAAGAGUGUACAUGAUUUGAUGGCAAAUUUACCAACUUUGUGAGGAUUUGAGCCUAUGAGCAACCACUUUGCUCUAAUAUUUUUGUUAUGUGAAUAUCAAUCUUAGUUUGUUUAUUCUAGAACUUGCUUUGUUAUGCAUGUUGAAGCCGCAUUACGGGAUUUUAUGCAUUAAAAUGAUAAGGGCAAACCCUUUUCCAUUUUUCUAUUCUCGCAUUUUUUUUUUCUCUACCCGAAGACCUUUAUUUGCUAUCUUUGUUUGAGCCUUAACCAUUACCCAUCUAAUUUUCUCCGUCUACUUAACCAUUUUUCUUCUUUUUUAGCCUCAAUUUAAGGAGAUUUUUGGACUCAUUGUGUGGAUAUAUUUUGUUGCUUUUUCUACCUUGUAAUAAAGUUUCUCAAUUAGAUCAACAAGCAUUAUGCUUGAAUUAAAUUGUGCAAGGUUCGUUUCUUUUGUUUGAUUCAAAAACAACAAAAAAAAGAAAAAAAAUUGAAAAAAAAAGAGAAAAAAAAUGUUUACAUUCUUGGUGACUUGAGUAGAAAUAAGCAUUUUGAUAUCAUAAGUUCAUUCAAUGAGUUCAUUCUUCUCAUUUUGAUCUCUUUUUCUUUCGUAAACCUUUCUUUUUCAUUCAACCUAUUUAACCCCAUUACAACCCUUUUAAGACCCUUAGAUUUUUGCAUUUUAUUCAUGUUUUGUGGAUUGAGAUGUGAUAUAUGAGCAAGCUUAUGGUAAUAGCAUUCUUUGAUUUGAUUUGAGUGAAUAAAUGACACCUUAAACACUUUGAGUGCAUGGAGUGAAGUUAUUGAGAGGGCUAUUAAAUCUUGUUGCACUUGAAUUUUGAAUGGAUCUUCUUGGUGGUUGAAUGUUCUUAUUCUAUCUUAUGAAAUUCUAUGCUUUAAAAUCCUUGUCUCUCGAAUGUUGAUCGACUUAAUUUCUUGAGGUAUGCUUGCUUAAAAUUGUUUUUGGAUGAGUUGAGAUGAGAAUUGAGUGGAGAUUUGAGAUUAAUCUUGAGUUAUAUGCUUGAGGACAAGCAUCAUCUUGGUGUGGGGGAAUUUGUUAGAGUGCAAUUUAUGCACUAGUUUUGCAUUGUUUACUUCUUUUAAUAUCGAUGUUUUGCACUUAAUAAUAGUGAUUUACUUGUGUUUUACUUUUGUAGGUGCAAUUCUAUUGAUUAGUGAUAAAAUUGAGCUACAAGAUGAUGUUUAAGGAUGAUUGUUCUCUUGGAGAAAUUAUGAGCGGCAGAAGAACUUUGUUGAUAAGGCGUGGGCGCAUGCUGUCAACUGUAAACCUGCAGUUUUUAGUUUAACGUGUUUUGUAUUUUUGGUUAUUUUUGUAAUUACGGAUUUAAUAUUUCAGAUAUUAGUAUUUUAUUUUAAAUAGAAUUCUAGAGGAGAAGAGAGAGAGAGUAUUUAAGGGAGUAAUCUAUUGUGAAAAAGGGGGGAUUUUGAUUGGAGAAAAAGAAAGAAACCCUAGAUCUAAUUUUUCUCUUCUCUCUAUAAAGAACUAAACUUAUUUUUCUAGUUGAAGGUUAAUGAAGCUUUGAUUCAUCACUACUGUGAGAUCUUUCUUAUGCUUUAAUUAUUUUAUUACUUUUUGGGUAUUUGUUUAUUCUCUGAAUUAGUUUCAUGAUUAUGUUUGUUAAUUAGGUAAUUGGCCACUAUUUAAUUAUCAACUUAAUCUAUUGUCAAUUAAAGGAUUCAUCGUAUGAAGAUUUUAAUGUUUGUGACAAAUAACAUAGCAGAGAGUUGUGUUGUGAGAAUAAACAAUCUAAUUUAAAUGAAUCAUCAUAUGUGUUGAUUAGGAUUUGGGUCUCUCUGGUUUUUCAGGCUGUCAAUUGAUUAAUUCCUAUGAUCGUAUCUAGGGUUGUCUAUUGAUUAGGGAAAUAACCAACGGUCGUACCUUGGUUAUCGACUAGUUAAGGAGAGAUUGGCUAUUAGAGGGUCUCAAUAGCUAUAACCGGUCUAUUCAUAAGUAAUAAUAAUCUAUAUUUGAAUCAAUGAUCAGUAGUCGAAUCAAGCUGAGUUAAUUCCUUCAACCAGAGCUUUCUUCAAUUUGAAUUACAACUUUAAUUUGCAUUCUUGUUAUUUUAAUUUGAUUUUUAUUAUUGUCAACAAUUCCCCCAUUUUAUGUUUUGCGUUUCAAAAGGAUUUAAAUAAUUACCAAUCUCUGUGGACACGACCCUGCUCAAUCACUAUACACAAUUUAUUUAGAGUAGGAAUUUAUUUUUGUUGGCUUCAACAACCAUCAGGCAUUCCCUUCUUGAAGAAAGAAUGCAAAGAGCCCAAGAAAGCACUAUCCAUUAGACACGUUAAGAAUUAUUUUGCUUUUCAUUAAAAAUGAUAAUAAUUAUAAUAAAUUAGAUUGAAUUAAUAAUAUUUGCAUGUGGUAUAUAAAUAAUCAGUUUAGUCACUAAUUAGUCACUGUCCGAUUAUCUUCUCUUUCAUCGACUUCGAAACUGGGACUUCUGAGUUGGAUUAAGAAUUGAAAAAAAUGUUGCAACCCAUAAAGCGCGUAAAAUUAAUUAAAGGGCGCGUAAACUAAUUCUUCUUCUUAAAAGAAAAGUUUUGCAGGGAGAUUGAAAAAAGGCUAAUUCGUAUUGAAGAUCAUAAAUGAGUAUCUGUCACAAAUAGAUCCUUCUGGGCAAAAAUAUUAUUUUAUCAUCUAUCACUAUAAGAAUGAGAUGAAAAUUGUCCUCAUUUAAAGUAUUGACAACAAUGUUAUACUCAAUAUAAUGUAUAAAGCACGCAUAAUUUAAUAAUUGGGGCUGCUAAUAUCUUCCACGUAAUUGGAAGCUCAAAGAGUUUCCGUAUUAGCCGAAUCUAAGCGAUAAGUGUUUCCAUGUGAGCCAUAAUUUGGGAAAAAGACCAAUUCAAGUUAAAGAUCAUGGAAAGAGAUCCUUCUGUCUUUGGCGUAAUGCUUGGGCAACGUAAAUUGACUUUACAUUAAAACAAAACAAAACAAACACUGUCAACAAGCAUUAAUGUCAUUUGAUGCAUGAAAGACAAUUAGUCCCAUUUUUUGUCCUGUUUACUUGACUUGGGCAAUUUACCGUCAACUUUUCUCAUCUACGUCAGGUAAUGUGGCUUUUAUUUGGAAUGAAGAAGCCAAUACUUGGACCGAGUGUAGCAUCACUGAUUUGUAUAUUUUUCAGGACUAAGUAAAUUAUCUCAAUUUAAAAAAAUAUAUAAUUACAAUUAUCGAUCGAACACCACUGAUUCCAACAAUUUAUCCAAAACUAUCUUUGAGUUUUAAGGAAUGUAACAUUUAUGAUAGAAUGGUCAAGUCUUUCAACUUUUUAGAUAUUUGAUAUAUGCCAUGUUCUAACUUACAAUGAGAAUAAAAUUAUAGUAUAAUUUUUUUAAAUUAGUGGAAUUAUUUUACGAUAAAACUAUCACAACAACAUUUAAAUAUAAAGUUAUUCUUUAAUUUUUCACUACUUUUAGUGAUAUUCUUAAACUCUUUUCUGAAUGGAGCAUGAAAGGACUACUUAUCUAGAUACGUUUUUUAUGCUUUCACUUCGCUUGAGCCUAGAACUUACAACUCGUAUUUUACGUUUCUCUUACUUUCUCUUCCAUUUUCCCGACUCCCAAACACCAUCAAUCCUUGAUGUUGUAGAGUAUUGGCUGUCUAGUUCUACAAACAUAAUAAAGAAAACAAGAGACAGCUGCCAUAUAUAUUCCAUAUUAAUUAGUCACCGUCCGAUUGUUUCCACUCCCACUGACUCUGUCGAUUCAUGCUCUGAUGAAGUGAAACGCUUAACGCACUAUUGUGAUGCGGAGGAGAGGAGGAAAAACACAAUUUUAUUAUUGCAAUCCUGACACGCGCAAAGAGCUUUCUUACUCGGCUCGGCGGCUAAUUCUUUAUAAUUUGUUAAAACUCAUUUAAUUGAUGAAUGUGACAUGAAGCUCUAUAAAUAGUUUAAUUUGUAAAAUUGUUAAAAUUUUAAAUUUCAAGUAAAGUAGAUAAAAUUAUUAACGUUUUUCAAUAUUUAGAUAAUUGAUAUACGUCAUUUACUGUGAGCGAAUGGCUGAAAUUUUUCAUAGAAAACACAAUGCUUGUAUUAAAAAUUUUAAGUGCGAAUCCAUUUAUUGUAAUCAGAUGAUGUGAUUUAAUUAUUUUUUCCUUUUGCUUGAUGUCCUGAAAAUUAUGAAUGCUUUGCAGGAUGUGGAAUAUUAAAAUUUUUAAUGCAUAUUCAUAUUGAAAACUGAGUAAACAUAACAUUAUUGCUUCUAUAAAUAGAUCAUUUCAACUUAAAACCUGUUACUUGUAUUUUACAUUUCUGUUCCUUAUCAUAAAGUUUUUCUCUGUUUUUUUUUUUUUUGGGUUUCACUUUUUCUUCCACUUUCCCGACCCACAAACACCACCAAUCCUUGAUUCUUUUCCUAGAGUAUUAGCCGUCUAUUGUUACAAACAUAGACAUACUGUUUGUCUAAUUACUAUUAAGAAACAACAUACUCUGUUCUGGGGUCUCUUCGUUUACUGACUUAUGUGACACGUUAAGAAUUAUUUUGCUUUUCAUUAAAAAUGAUAAUGAAAGAAUGCAAAGAGCCCAAGAAAGUACUAUCCAUUAGACACGUUAAGAAUUAUUUUGCUUUUCACUAAAAAUGAUAAUAAUUUUAAUAAAUUGGAUUGAAUUAAUAAUAUUUGCCUGUGUGAUAUAAAUAAUCGCUUUAGUGUCGCCCCAUCAUUAAUGAGUGACUGUCCGAUUGUCUUCUCUUUCAUUGACUUUGAAACUGUGACUUCUGAGUUGGAUUAAGAAUUGACAAAAACUGUGACUUCUGAGUUGGAGAUCAAUAAUUUUGUAAACAAGCCACCGUCUACGACCGUGGGUUGAAAGGAAAGAGGAUUAUGUUUUCAUUGUUUUGUACUUUGUUUCUGUUAAAGUAAGGUAAACAUCUUUCUUUUGCUUUGGCCUUUACUCUUGACUGUAUUUCAUGGUCAUAUUCAAUCUCAAUCUUCUGUAGGUUUGUGGCUGUUUUAUGAGUUACGAUUUUUUAUAGGGUUGCAUGUAGAUGAUACAUUUAUAUACAUUUUUUCUUUUUUCUUUUCUUCUUCGGUGAAGAUACUAAAAUUUAGUUUUUGUUAUCAUGUGAAAUGAAAAUAGUCCUCAUUUCAAGGAUUAAUGGGCCACUAAUUUCGUCUUCUUAAAAGAAAAUUUUUUGCUGCGAGGUAAUUGGAAGCUCGAAGAUUUCUAUAUUACAUAGCCAAACCUAAGUGAUAAGAAUUUCCGUAUGAGAUAUAAUUUGGAGAAAAAAAAAAACCAAUUCAAGUUAAAGAUAAAAAAAUCUGUGUUCCUUAAAAAACAUAAUUCAAGCCACACAAUUUUUCUUGUUUUAUUUGAAAAAAAGAAAAUUGUGUUCCUCACAAAAACACUUUAACAUUUGUUGUCUCAUAGAGGGAAAUGUCCUUCACUCUUUGACGUGUCCCUGGGGCAAUGUAAACAUUAAAACAUUGUCAUGUAGUUAAAACAUUGUCCACAAACAUUGUCAUGUAGUUAAGAAAAAUUUAAAUUUGACAAGUGCAAGAGAUUGGUGGGACUCAUUUGAUUCAAGAAAAACAAUCAGUCUCAUUUGAUACGCAAAGGGCUUUUUUACUCUGCAGCCAAUAUUUUGAUGAAUGUCACAUUACUGGUUUGUAUAAUUUUUCGGACUAAUAUAUUAUCUCAAUUUUAAAAAAAAAAUGCAAUUGCGAUUAUCAAACACGACUAAUCCCAACAAUUUAUCCAAAAAUUUGAGUGUCAAGAAAUGUAGUAUUUAUGAUAGCAUGGCUAGUUUUUUCAAUCAAACUUUUUAGAUAAAUGAUAAAUCAAUAUAUGACAUGUUACUAUCUUACUAUAGGAAGAAAAUUAUGGAAUAAUUUUUUGAAUUAAUAGAAUUAUUUUACGACAAAACUUUCACAAUCUAUUUUUAAAAAUAAACUUAUUCUUUAAAUUUCUCGUUACUACUCCUACUUGUCCUGUUAUACUACUUAAUGGCACUGGUGAAGCCUUGAAUUAUCAAACAAAAAGCAAAAACACUUCAACAUCUGUUCCACUGAGCACUGUUAAAAUCAUACGAUAAAAUGAGUACUUAUGUUAAAAAAAAAAAAAAGAAAAACAAUCAGUCUCAUUGCGUCCUCUUUCAUUGACAUAGGCAAUUUGCGGUCAACUUGUGGUACCCUUAUUGACACAUAAAGAUCUUUCUUACACUACGGCCAACACUUACUUUCAGGACUGGUAAAUUUUUCAAAUGUAACAGAAAAAAAUACAGAAAUAUAAUUUCAAUUUAUCCAAAAAUUUGAGUUUCAAGGAAUAUAGCAUUUCUUAUGUGUCAUGUUAAUAUAGAGAAGAAAAUUUUAAAAUUUAUUUUUUGAUAAAAAAACUCACAAUCAUAUUUACAAAAAAAAAGUUUUAUUUAAAAAAAAUUCACUCCUCUUCCUACAUAAUUUAAGAAUUUAACAUUAUAAAUUAAGCUUUUUAAUCAAAGUAAUAAUCUCUCCUUCGGUGCGCAAAUGCUAAAAUUUAAUAUUAUAUCCGUUGACGAUAUUUGAUCCAAAUUCAGAGAAUAAAAAUUCUAACAGAAUUAUGAAAUUCGUUACUAGAAAUUUGUAUAAAAGUCACGAGAAUAGAAGGUUUGAUCAUAGGAAAUUAAUAUGUCCCUAUCCGAUGCAAAAAUGAUUAAAAAGAAAAACAAAAGUCAUGGGCUUAUUUAGAAAAAAGAAAAAAUUACAUUUCAGCUUAACGCAUGCCAGUCUUUUUCUCCUCUACUUUCUUAGAAAUUUUGGUUUCACUAUAAAUUCUUGGUAUAUAGCAAUCUUAAGAGUGUCUUGCAUUACCAAUCCAAUUAAGCACACACUUACAAUCUAAAAUACUCUCAUCUCAUGGAAAAGCGUCAUUCACUCAGCAUUAUGAGCAGAUUUCUCUUACUCCGUUGUUUGAUUCUUAUUUCCUUAUUUAUCGCAGCUGCAACAGCCAACACAAGUACUAUUACCACAGACCGAGAUGCUCUGCUUGCCCUGAAAGCUCACAUAACUCAUGAUCCAACCAAUUUCUUCGCCAAAAAUUGGAAUACAAGUACUCCGGUCUGCAACUGGACAGGCGUCACUUGUGAUGUCCAUAGCCAUAGAGUCACAGUUUUGAAUAUUUCUCGCUUAAAUCUCACCGGCACCAUCCCUUCUCAGCUUGGGAAUCUUUCUUCUCUGCAAUCACUCAAUCUCAGUUGUAACCGACUUUCUGGUUCCAUUCCCUCUGCCAUUUUCACCACGUACACACUGAAAUAUGUUAGUUUCCGUAAAAAUCAGCUCUCCGGCGCUUUUCCUUCUUUCGCCUUCAACACGUCCUCUUUACAAUAUCUUGAUUUUGGUUUCAAUACACUGUCUGGUGAAAUUCCUGCAAAUAUUUGCAGUAACCUUCCUUUUCUGGAAUACCUUGCUUUGUCCCAAAACAUGUUUCAUGGAGGAAUACCGUCCGCUCUAUCAAAUUGCGCAUAUUUGCAACGAUUAGGUUUGUCAAGCAAUGAUUUCUCGGGGGUCGUACCUAAAGAAAUCUGCAAUUUGACCAAACUUAAGGGAUUAUAUCUUGGCGGUAACAGACUCCAAGGUGAGAAUAAUCACGGAGUUUAAUUAUGAAAAUUGUUCCAUAAGUUGUGAUAUGAAUAAUGUUCCAUACGACAAUUUGCACGCGUUGAUUAAUUUGCAGGAGAAAUUCCUCGAGAGUCUGGCAAUCUUGCCGAAUUGGAGCUGAUGUCGUUAUCAGAAAACGAACUCCAAGGUAUGAUAAUGAACUUUUUGCAAUUUCAUUCUAGCCUCUGGUUGCUUCUGUAUUCAUUCGUUUGUUCGUCAAUUAUGCUCCAUGUUUUAUUGCUCAGUCUAGUGGAUAAUGUUCAGUCUCAGAAUUUAUAAUACCUUGAAGGUUAGUAGCUUUGAAAAUAAGAAACUGCUCAUCUGCUAAAAAGUUAACUUAGUAUUUAAGUUUUUGAAUUGAACAUUUUGAAAAAAGUCUUGAGAACUGGCCCUCCUUAGUAUUUCAGCUGAUAAAUAUGAAAAAUAGGCUAGAAGAAAUUAUUGCUGUGUGUGCUUAACUGCUUAUUCUACUUGGGCUUCUGGCUUGAUUACAUGGUCGAGCACUUACACCUGUUAUAAUAAUAGGCUUUUACUCUCACCACACGUUCGAUAAUUUCUUAACCUUCCCAAUUAGGUUAUAGCAAUUUAUAUAUAAAUAAUUAAAGCAUACUAAAGCUAGCAUACAAUACUCAUGACUUAGGCUUGCUGCGUUACCCAUUACACACGGUCGAACACUUACACCUGUUAUAAUAAUAAUAGCAUCCGCCGAUCGACUAUGAGUGAUCAAAUUGUUUGCACAUAUGUAAUUUGCAGGAGCAAUUCCACGGGAGUGGGGAAAUCUUACAGGAUUGGGGAUCUUACAGCUGUCUGAUAAUUUUUUAACCGGUAUCACUCCUUCAUCUAUCUACAAAUUGCUUUUCUCUAUUAAAUUUGGAACUGUCAUUUAAUAACUUAAUAGGUAACUUCCCUUACAACAUGUCUGUGUGACAUGUUUUGCUUCUCAAUUAAAAUAUUUCACUUCUCUCAUUAUAAAUUCUCAUAUGAGGAUGUGUUGUUAUUACUAUUUAACAUUAUCUCGUUUUUUAUUAGAAAUUAAUUUGUGUUUAUGCAAAAAAAAUUGAGCAUUUAAAAAAAGUAUAAAAACACGUGGAAUAAAUCGAAAAUCUUUCUUCAUUCGUGAAUUUGGAUUUCUAAAAAAUUAUCAUGACAGCUAUGUUAGUGUCUUACUAAUGAUAUGCAUGUGUGACAGCUUCAUAAAUUAUUUUACAUGGAAAAUAUGAAAAAUAGACUUGAAAAAAAAAUUAUUUUACUGAAAUAAUAGUUAAAAAGGGAGGAGAAGUACAGUACUCAUGAAUUAGGCUUGCUGUGUACUUAUUUUACUUGGGCUUCGGGCUUGAUUACACACGGUUGAAUAUUUACAUCCCCCGACAUAGGCUUUUAGGGAUGAGUGGCGUCAAAUGUGUAUCUGCUUUUAUGUAUUAUUAUUCUUUGAAACAAAUCUGAUUAUAAUUCUUUUAAAAUACAGAUUAAAUAGCACGUGAAAUCGGAAAAUAUUUUACUGCGAUAAGAAUUCAUAUAUUCAUUGUACUAGCACAUAUAAAAUAGACUAUAAAUUUAGUUCCAAAAUACAUUCUUAUCUUCAUAUAAAUUUUACAUUAUUAAUUUAAAUUAAUAUUAAAAUAUAUUGUUUCUUUCACUAUGUUAUUUUAUUUACACAAUGAUGUGACAAUUGGAAUGAAUAAUACUUAUAAUUAUUUUGUAAAAAUAUAAAUUUAAUACUUUGUUAACAUUUUAUCUACAUAUAAUAAUUAAACUGAAACUUGUAUUUAAAAAAUUCUAGUUACGCAUAUUCAUUUCAUGACAUAAAAGUGUAUAUUUAUGCUAAUUUACCAUUAUCAACAAAAUGCUUUGAGAGACAAAUAAUCUAAUUUAUAUUUUUAUAUUUAAAAUACUUGCAUUUAUUAUAUUUUGAAAAAAAUUUAUUUGCAAUUAUUUUAAACCGUUGGAUUCAAAUUUUCGUAGCUAUUAAAGUCAAAGGGUAUAAAUGUAUAAUAGUCAAAAACAGAUUUGUAUGAUCAUUUUUCAAUGUAUAAAUUUUCUUAGUUAGUAGGAAAAUUAGAAAUUGUUGAUUUACUCAUAAAUAAAUUUCAUGUUUAGCAUUUCAAUUUUGGAAAACUUGAGCUAAACGUUGAUAACUUCGAAUCGGUCGAGCCGAGUUUCGCUUCCUUGACCCACGGACCCAUUGAAAGUUCUAUUUGAAUUGAGUUUCCCGGUGCUUAUAAAAACCAUUUCUUUUCCUUGUCGCAGUAAUUUAUUCACAAAUGAGUUGAUUAGCAUCAAAGUUACCUGAGAGUCUGAGACCAUGCUAGUAGGAGAAAUUUGAAAAGAAAUUAUUUUACUAAAUUAAUUUAUUUUAUCUUGUUGUAACUGAAAUACUACUUUUUUUUUUGGGCUGUCACUUGGGCUUGAUUUACUUUAAUAGUAGCAGCCACCGACUUAGGCGUUUUUUACUUCUCACCACACAAUUUGAUCUUUUAAUUCGUUUUAACCACAUAAUCUAUCUAUUUCUCACCUAUUGCUUACUUAAAUCGCAUACAUAUUUUACCUACAAAUGUUUAUAAAUAUUAGUCAAAUAUAUUUUAUUACGUUUCUCUCGUAACUGCUCCAAAUGUGUACUAUUAAUACUUAACCCUCCCUUUUAAUUUACCGUGCAAUCUAUCUAUCACUUAAAUCACAUAUAUAUUUUACCUAUAUUUUACCCCAAAAAAUAUAAAAAUAAAAGAAAAAGAAUAUGUGUAGCAAUUUGCAUAUAACUAACAAAGCAUUGACGGUGUGUAGCCUUUCAAUACUUCACGAGUGGCUUUUCUUGUGUGUUAGUACUUGUAAUAAUUGUGUAGUGUAUAAAUGACAUUUUAUUAUUAAAGUGCGUCCAUUUUUAUAUAUUACUUAUUAUUUGAAAAAUAAUCUGAAUAUAAUUCUUUUAAAAUACAGGGGAGAUACCACUUGAAAUUGGUAAUCUCCAAAAUCUGGAGGAGUUGGAGCUUGGUCAAAACAAAUUAAUUGGUACUGUCCCAGUUGCAAUCUUUAAUGUGUCAACACUCAGAUUUCUUGAUUUUCAAGAUAAUUCUCUCUCGGGAAGUCUUUCGUCCAUCGCAGACGUCCGACUACUAAAUCUUCAAGAGCUUCUUUUGUGGGGUAAUAAGUUUAGUGGCACAAUUCCUCGUUUCAUCUUUAAUGCUUCUAAGCUCUCUAUACUAGAUUUGCAAGACAAUUCAUUCUCCAGUUUUAUUCCCAACACAUUUGGCAACUUAAGAAACCUUCAGCGGCUGAGAUUAUAUGAUAAUUAUUUGACAUCUUCAACUCCAGAAUUGAGCUUUCUAUCCUCGUUGUCAAAUUGCAAGUCUUUAACACAUCUUUCCUUAUCAAAUAAUCCACUAGAUGGCAUUCUUCAAAGGACGUCUGUUGGUAAUCUAUCUCAUUCUUUGAAAGAAUUUUACAUGUCCAAUUGUAAUGUUAGUGGCGGCAUCCCUGAAGAGAUCACCAACUUGACCAACUUGACAACCAUUUAUUUAGGGGGCAAUAAAUUGAAUGGAUCAAUUCCGAUUACUCUCGGCAAAUUACAGAAGCUUCAAGGUUUGGGUCUUGAAGAUAACAAAUUACAAGGAUCAAUCCCAGACAAUAUUUUUCGUUUGACUGAACUGUAUGAGUUGGAGUUGGGUGGCAAUAAGCUUUCUGGAUCAAUCCCUGCAUGCUUCAAUAAUCUGGCUUCUCUGAGGAUACUGUCGUUGGGUUCCAAUGAGUUAACUUCUAUUCCCUUAACUUUUUGGAACCUUAAGGAUAUCUUGCAACUCAACUGUUCAUCAAAUUUUUUGACUGGCCCACUCCCAUCGGAGAUUGGAAAUUUGAAGGUUUUGGUUAUAAUUGAUUUUUCGAUGAAUAAUUUUUCAGGCGUUAUCCCAACAGAAAUUGGAGGCCUAAAAAAUCUAGAAUAUCUCUUCUUAGGAUAUAACAGAUUGCAAGGAUCAAUUCCUAAUUCAUUUGGUGACUUGAUAAGUUUGAAAUCCUUGAAUUUGUCUAAUAAUAAUCUCUCUGGAGCUAUUCCUGCAUCUUUAGAGAAACUCUCAUAUCUUGAAGAUCUAAAUCUUUCUUUCAACAAGCUGGAAGGAGAAAUUCCUACGGGAGGAUCUUUUGGAAACUUCUCAGCUGAAUCAUUUGAGGGAAAUGAAUUAUUAUAUGGUACACCCAAUUUACAAGUCCCGCCAUGCAAAACUAGCAUCCACCGCACAUCAUGGAAAAAUUCUCUUCUCCUCAGGAUUGUCUUGCCAUUGAGUACUACAUUUAUGAUAGUAGUCAUUUUGUUGAUCCUAAGAUAUCGACAGAGAGGAAAACGGCCAUCGAAUGAUGCUAGUAUGCCACUAGUAGCAAUGUGGAGAACGUUUUCAUACCUAGAACUCUGUCGAGCAACAGACGAAUUCAGUGAAAACAAUCUAAUCGGCACAGGGGGUUUUGGCUCUGUUUAUAAGGCGAGACUUGGGGAUGGGAUGGAGGUUGCAGUGAAAGUUUUCAAUUUGCAAUGUGGAAGAGCGUUCAAGAGUUUCGAUGUUGAAUGUGAAAUGAUGAAAAGUAUUCGUCAUCGAAACCUUAUCAAAGUUAUUAGCAGUUGUUCAAAUGAAGAGUUUAAAGCGUUGGUAUUAGAAUACAUGCCUCAUGGAAGUUUGGAGAAGUAUCUGUAUUCAAGUAACUGCAUUUUGGAUAUUUUUCAAAGAUUGAACAUAAUGAUAGAUGUUGCAUCAGCUUUGGAAUAUCUGCACUUUGGUUAUUCAGCUCCAAUAAUUCAUUGUGACUUAAAGCCCAACAAUGUAUUAUUAGACGAUAAUAUGGUUGCUCAUUUGAGUGAUUUUAGCAUCGCAAAAUUGUUGGCUGGAGAAGAUCAAUCUAUGACUCAAACACAAACAUUUGCCACAAUAGGCUAUAUGGCACCAGGUUUGUCAAUAUAAAAAUUUUCUAUUUCUUGUAAACUUCCUAAUAAGUUAUUUACGUUUCAUGAUCUUCAUUAGAUGAGGAAAUUCUUAUUAAUGAUAUAUCUUACUAUGUAACUAUUGCAAUUCAUAGAGUAUGGAAGAGAAGGACGAGUAUCCGCAAAUGGAGAUGUUUAUAGCUUUGGGAUUAUGUUAAUGGAAACUUUUACUAGGAAGAAACCCACAGAUGAAAUUUUUAACGGAGAAAUGACAUUAAAGCAUUGGGUUAAUGAUUGGCUUCCCAUUUCCACUAUGGAAGUUGUUGAUGCUAAUUUACUAAGUCAGGAGGACAUACAUUUUGUCGCAAAAGAGCAAUGUGUGUCAUUUGUCUUCAAUUUGGCUAUGGCGUGCACUGGGGAAUCUCCUGAGCAGAGAAUCAAUGCAAAAGAAAUUGUGAAAAAGCUCUUAAAAAUUAGAGACUCAUUACUUAGAAAUGUUGGAGGCAGAUGUAUAAGACAAUCAAAUUUAAAUUGAUUUUGCCCCUCCUUCAUUGCUUGCUAUCCUUUUCAGAGACUUGAACGGUUAUCCUUCAUACAAGUUUUUUUGAUAUGUUUUGUUAUUGCUCUUGCUCAUGUUUAUUUCUCUCUUUCUUUAAUUUGCAUGCAUGUAUUUUUUCAUGCUCUUUUCUGUUUUUGUUGAUUUGUAUGUAGUUUGUUUUUAGGGGUAAGGUUGAUUAUGUCCUCCCCUAAUUAGACGUAUCCUUUUUUUUUUAUUCAAUAAAGCUUCUCUAAUACUAUCGAGGUUCAUCAAAAGACAAUUUUAAAUUAAUUUUCUUUUCUAUGUUAGAUAAUGAAAUUCUAAUCUUCUUAGUGAAUAACUUCAAUAAUAGAGUGUAAGAGUAUUAGUAGUUAUGGUAGUUUUCUGAACCUGGAGUCAAGACCAAUUUAACAGCAACAAACAAGUCUCUUGUAUUAUAGGCAAAAUUCUUUUCAUUAAUCUUAUUUGUCUACAUGUUCUCCUAUUUUCUCCAUUAAUCUUCGCUCAAGGUUUCAUGCUUCCUCUUUGAUAAAGGAAAAUAUUACUUGCGAAUAUUUCAAUUUGACAUAAGAGACUGUUUUGCCAACCAUUUGAUAAAAUGGAUAUGACUGGAGCUUUCAAUCAUUGCCUCCACCAAAAUCCUUACAACGCCACUUUUAAAUUUUAUUUUUUAAAAUACAUUCAGUUUAAUUUAUAAAAAAUAAAUCCAUUUGUUAAAAUUAAUCUUUUUCUCAUAAAUUUCAACCUAAAAAAUAUAUUUCUUUUAAAUUUUUAAUUAUAAAAUACAUACAAAUUCUAAAUUAUUUUAUUAUUUUCUUCCUAUUAUAUAGUUUAUAUCUCCAUAACUCUAAACUCCUAUAAUUUUUAAAAAAUAUUUUUUAAUUUAAAAUAUAAAUAUAAAAUAUAGAAUGGAGUGAGUAUAAAAAAACUUGUUAAAAGAAUAAUGCAUUUAAGUAUUUAACUGAAUUUUAAAUUAAAAUAAGAAAUAAAUUAAUUUAUUUUUAUUAGUUAAGUAAUUUUCAAUUGAAAAAGAGCUUUUAGUAACAUUAUUGAAAUAUGAUUAAAAUUCUAUGAAUUAAACAUUUUCGUAUAAGUACUAGUGAUAAUUACAGAGAAAGUACGAUGAAGUGAAAAAACUUAAAUAUAAAUACUCUAGUAUAAUUUUACACAUGCAACUUAUGAACCAGUGAUCUGUAGAGCAUCAUAAAAUUGUUUUAACACAAUUAAUUGGUUUGAAAAAUUGCCAAUAAUGUCUACAGUGGGAUUUAAAAGAUUAAACUACAUAUAUAAGACAUGAUAUCAUUUAAGACGGCUUACAGAUUAUGAGAAAUAUUUUGAUCUUCCAAAUAUUUAAUAUGUCAAUUAGACUGAGUCUAUACAAUGAAAAUUUCAAAUAAAAAAUAAACCCUUUAUUUUCUUUUAAUCAAAAGUGUGAUCUUAAUUAUUAAAGUCAUUUAAUGUCCAUUACUUAUUCAUUUUUUUAAUUACCUAAAUGACAUUGAAAACUCUACCCAAUAUUAAUUCAUUCAAAUGUUUUGUUUUAAGGUAAUCGGAAACUGCAAAUGAAACAAAUGCUUGAAAUCACAAACGGCCUAAAAUUAGAUUUUCAUUUUUCAAUGUUGCAGUGACUUUGAUCUUGAUAUUGAAAUUUUAUUUGUAACUUAUAUAAAGGCCUCAAUUUUAUCAUAAUUGGUUAGUAAGGCUACGUAGGGAGCAUCGAUAAAUUUUGGGAUUGGAUUAUAUUUUUGGAACUAAAAAAUUAAUUUCAUCCAAUGUUAUGUUUGGCUGUUAGGACUAGCAACUUAGUCUAAAAUUAUUGAAAUUAUUGAUGUUUUAUAUUAUAAUCUUUUCAUUACCACUUUAAACAUUAUUGGUAACUUAAAUCAUUUUUUAAAUUAAAUAUAAAUUUUAAUUUAAUUAAUUAUAAAAAUUAAUUUAAUUAAAUAUAAAAAUCAUUUAAAUUAAAUAUUAACAUUAAUUUCAUAAUUUUUUACCUAGAAUUUUAUAUUAUAUUAAAUACUAAAAUUCUAUUCGAUAAUGUACUAUCAUUUAUUUAAUAAAUGUUUAGUAUGUUAUAUUAUUAUUUAAAUUAAUUUUUUAUUUACAUAUAAACAUAAAUUAAUAUUUACUAAUUAAAGUUAUUAUAAUUUGUUAAAUAAUAAAAGCUAAAUGAUUAUAUUGAAAAUAUAAAUAGUAUUCUAAUGUAUUAUAGUCUAAAUCUUACCCCUAUGAGUUUAUUUUAUACACCUUUUAUUAUAUUAACCACAUUUAUAAUGCAGUGCAAUGUAACAAAAAAUUAUAACCAAAUAUGAGUUAGCAUGAAAAUAAUAUUUUAGUGCAAUAUAAUACAAUGUAAUGUAAGCUAACAAAUGGAUAUUUAAUGGAAGCAAAAAUUGCAUAUGACUUGUGGGUCUCUUAAAAGACAACAAAAAAACCAAUAUGAUACAUUGAUUCUGUCCUCUUUAAUGGUGUCUUUACUAAAUGGGAAUAAGAAUAAGUUAGAAUUGGAGUGAGCUUGAAUCGAAAUAAGGAAUUAUAAUCAAAAUAAGUUGUUUAUUUAAGUUGUAUGAAUUAGAAUCAAAAUAAAUUUUAUUCAAAUUGAUGUGUUUAUUUUCUAUUGAAAUUAGAAUGGACUAUUACAAGUUGCUAAAAAACCAUUUGGUAAUUGUUGUCUCUAGUAUUAUUUGUAUAUGUUAUAAUGGUAACAAUAAUAAGAAUAAAAAUAGUACUAAAAAUGAAAAUAAUAAUAAUAGUAGAGACAAUAAUAAUAAAAUUAAUAAAUUAUUAUUAUUAUUAUUAUUAUUAUUAUUAUUAUUACUACUACUACUACUACUACUACUACUACUACUACUACUACUACUACUACUACUACUACUACUACUACUACUACUACUACUACUACUACUACUACUACUACUACUACUACUGAAGAUCGCUCGGUGAAGAUUGGAUAGUGAAGAUGAAGACGACGAAGAUCCCGGCAACCAACUGCUGUUCCAAAGAUGAUGUGCCCAAAUGGAGACAACCAAUGAUGACUAGCCAACUAGAUCCCAAUCUCGAUGUUGUGAUCUCGUAUGACCACAGAUAAAGCUAUGUGUGAUGUUGGCGUUAUGAUUUCUUUUUUAUUUAUAUUUUUUAAUUUAUUAGUGGUAUUUUCAAAUUUUUGUAAUUUUAAUAUGGACAAAUUGGAUAGUCCAGUAAACAGGAGACUGAUUCGCAACCAUCCUAAGAAUUAGGGCCCGUUUGGUAUCAUUUUCAAGGGCUUAUUUUCAUUUUCGUUUUUGGAGUUUAAAUGUAAUACCCGUUUGGUACGCUGAAUUCAAAAAUAAACUGUAAAACAAAUAAUUCAGAUUUCCAUUUACAGUUAUAAAAUUGAGAACGUGUUUAACACGUUCUCAGUGAAUCACAAACCAAAUUUUAGAAUAAAUCGCAAAACAAAACCCGAUCAAAAUACACCUUUCUCUCAUCUCUCUCAUCCACAGCUCUCUUUCUCUUCGUGACAGUUCUCCAACCAAAAUCAGCUACUGUUACUGCGUCUCAGCUCCAUCUCGACUAGUGGUGGUGGUGGUGGUGCGUCUCUGCUCUGCUUCGGCCAUGGUGGAUCGACUGAUACUGCUGUAUCUCUGUUGAGGAUUGAUUGGUGCUGCUGCUGUUGCGUCUCGGCUCCGUCCCGACUGGUGGUGGUGCGGCCGUUGCUGCUGCAUCUCUGCUCUGCUUUAGGGAGGGCUUAAUUUCAUUUUCUGCUUAACCGAUCGAAUCUAUUUUUCGUUUUGAAUGAUUGCUCGAAGCAUGCCUUCGAUUUUGCAUUUAAUUGGGCAAACAAAACAAAAAAAAAAAUUUAUGGAUUCAUUCGUCAUUUUCACAUGGAUUGAGAUUGACCAUUACAUUUCUUAUUAUUUGUUGGCAGUACAUUAUAAUGAUGACACAUAUAUAAAUCAUAUAAUUAACAUUAUAUUAAUAAUAAAUUUAUACCUAAUAAUAAUAUUGAUACCAAUUAACAUUUUAUAUCAAUUUUUAAAAAUUUUAAAAUUAACAAUUUUUGGGCAAACUAACAAUUGUUAAAAAAAGAACAAAAAGUUACUGAUUAGAUAGAGUUGCUUAAUGCGCAUGGUGUGUUUGUGUAUGUAUUAGUUAAAUUUUUUAGUAAAAAUUAUUUCUGAAAAAAAUAUUACCAAACGCAUAUUUUCUGUUUUUAUCAUUUUCAAUUGUGUCUACCAAACGCAUAUUACUGUUUUCAAUUUUAAAAUAUAGGAUAUAGAAAAUGAUACCAAACGCAUAUUUAAAUUCGAAAUACAGUAACUGUUUCGUUUUUAUUCUCAGAAAAUACAGAUUCAAAAACAAUACCAAACAUGCCCUUAGUCUCUCAUUUUCUAUUUCUAAUUUGAUGUGAGUUCUACUAUUUCGAUUCCAAUUCUUACAUUUAUUUGUGAGACAAAACUAUGGUGCAACUGUAGACUGUAGUACCAUUGGAUCCAGCCACAAUAUCAUCAUGACUGGAUCUAAUGGCUGAAACCUGAAAGUAAUUGUGGUAUGGUACCACAGUUGCACCAUAGUUGAACCUUUAUUUGUGAAGUAAAAUGAUGUUAAUAAUUUCGAUUUUCAAUUCGAGAAGUAAACACAUCAUAAUAUUUUUUUAGAUGCUUCCAUGGCAUAAUCUCAUUGGUCCAUUUUUCUUCACGCCUUAGAUUCAACUUCAAGAUUCAAGAUUCAAUUUGAAGCAAACACAACUGCAAAACAAAUAUAAUAAGCGUUAAUAAGCCUGCGGCUGACUGGCUGUGGCCAAGCAAAUGUAACAUAUAGUGACCGAAUCAUAUCUUAUUAUCUUACGCCUGAAGCAAAACAAUGUUCCCAUUCCACGUGUCACUCUUUGACCAAUCCCCGAACUUUCUUCAUAUUUCCAAAGAAACCCUUACAAAGUCAAGAUAAUUACCUUCACUCUACUCAUCCUUACGGUCUUCAUUUAAAAGGAAAAAUUAUAAAAAAUUCUCCUCAUUCCUUAAAAAUCUAGGGUUUCUCAAGAAUCGCUAAACAUAUAUCCCAAUCAUUCAAAAUCUCAAUUUAACCUCUCUAGGGUUUUGAUUGUCGAGGAUUCGCUUGAAAAUUUAGUAUUUUUUAGUGGAUUUUGCUUGUCUCGUAUGCUUCAAUUGUUGUUCGGUUCUGAAAAUAAUUUGGAAUUUUAGGGAUUUUCAGAUUAUUUAGUUUUUUUUAGUGCAAUUUCCUCUAGUUACGGUUUCAGUUUGAAGGGUUAAGUGCAAUUUCGAAUUUUUUUAUAAAAUUAAAAUUAAAAUUCCUAAAACGAUUGGGCGCUUAAUAAUUAAUUGAUGGCUAGCGAUACUACAACUGCGGCCGCAGCUGCGGAAGAAGCAGAGGCGAUGGAGGAGUAUGAUAGCAAUCCAAAUGAAGUGAAACGCUCUCUUGUGAUGCGCAGAAGGGAUGCCAGCGAUGAGGAGGAGGCGGAGGAUGAGAGAGAUUCAGAGCUUCCAAUCGCUCAAAGUGUCUACAUUCCUGCGGGAGAAGCGGAGGCUGUGGAUGAGUAUGAGAGCGAUCCAGAUGAAGUGAAACACUCUCUCGUUAUGAGCAUAAGGGAAACAAGCGAUGAUGAGGAGGAGUGGACAGAAUUUGAGCGUCGAAUAAAUUGAAGGGUCCAGAUUCACUCUUACAUUGAAUCUGAUGGCCUAAGUGGUGCUCCAGCUGAGUAUGAUGAUGAUGAAGAGGACGAAGAGGAACAUGACAGAGAAUUAGAAGAAGAAGAUGAAGAAGGGGAUGUUUAUGAGUAUGAAGAGGAAGACGAGUUUUAUGAAGAAGUGGAGAGGAAUGACGAGGCGGUUAAAGUCAAAGAAACAGAGGGUAAUGAUGCAAGAGGAGUACAGAGGGCGCAGUGGAAGUGAGUAAAGGGAAUUAUGAUAAUGGCAAUGGUGCUAAAACAAUGAUGCAGCGAAGGAGGGAAUGGAGGAAGGGGAGAAGGAGAGUAAUGAGCCUUUUGCACAGCAGCCGGGGCUUUUUAUAUGGGACAAUGUUGCAGGUCGACACAGGUAUUAUUUGAUUUGAGUCAUCUAUAAAUAACUGAUAGCUGUACUUUCAUUAGGCUUGUCGAUUAGUCUAGUCUCGUUUUUUGGUGCUGUCUAAUGAUUGUUUGCUGGAAUCUGUGUAGAAGGCUUUUGGCGUAGUAGGUUGAAAGGAGAGAAAGUUCUCAAGUAAACAUCUGUGCUUUGUGGAAUAUAAUUAAUAGGGACAAAGUAUACUAAAUUACUUGAUAGAUAGAUGCCGAGCUAAUCAUGAGCUAUGAUAGCAUUAUCCGUGCUUUGUGUAUUUUUAUUAGGGCUUGUCUAUUUCAAAGCGUGGAGUAUAGAAUUUUUGGGUUAAGUUUGAGUGAUGAAGUGUUAGAUAGGUUUCUGUUUUGCAUAGUUAAGCCGUCAAUACGAGCUAUCGAAGCAAAUAUGGAGUAGGAUAUCUAGUUUUGGCUUUGGUCUUAGUUUGAAGAUGGCUACUGAUUAUGCAGCUAGGUACGUAUUAGUGUUUGUGGAUUUCUAAAUGCUUUCUUUUAAAUUUGACUAGAUUAUUACUAGAAGUGCAUGGAUCUUACACUUAAUUAAUUAUAUAUCCAUUUGUAAUGUUCAAAAUGAUAAUGUACUAUUGCUUGAAAUUAUGCUUUCAAGACAUCAUUUUGAAAAUCCAUGGUUAUAAUGUGUCUCUAAAUUCAGUAAUACAAGUUCUAUCAAUUGCUGUUGGAUGCAGUGACCUGAAUAGUUUAAUAUUCAUUUGCAGAAGAGUUGAGAAAGAAAACUAAAAAUUUCGGUGCGUUCUGCUGGAAAUUUAAUUAGCUUCAUUUGAGCAUUAAUUACCGGCAUGAUCUCUUAGACUUCUCAUUGCAUUGAAUGAAUGGAUGAGUGCUAAUCCAUGCAAAGACUUCCAUGCAUGCACAAUGAAUGCUACAUCAAAGGUAUGGGAAAAUGUCAGCAAGCUUGGCCCAAAUUAUCUAGCUGGUUUGGUGGCUGCUAGAUUUGUUCAUCCGGAUUUUGGACCAUUUUCCUUGACAAUGAGAAAAGCUCCAAGAUCUGUAAAUCAAAAACUCAUUGAAGUGCCAAAAGAGAGAUGGAAGUGAAUAACUAGAGAGUUAGUGAAAAGAGGGUGCAGUGAUUGUGUGGGAAUCUUUGGGUAUAAUUGGGGUUUGGAUGUGAGAUAAAAUAUUUUGAGAGUGAGGUUGUAACAAUUUUUCACGUAGGGAAAUUUUUUAUCUCGUUGUCCUUGGCAACUGUGGUUUUUUAUUUGGGUAAUAGAGUUUUUCAGGUAACUUUUUUGUUGUGUGAUCUGAGUAUUCUCUAUUGUAUUUCUUUUAUUUGUUAUUUAUUUGAUGUAUUGCUAGCAGAGAUCUUGGGUGGGAACCAAAAAUUCCCAACAAUUGUCAGUUGUUUUAAACGCUAUUCCGAACAGAGCAUGAAGGGAUUCACUUAUCUAAUUAUGUCAUUUAUGCUUUAACUUCACUUCAUUUCAUCUUGUCCGUCACCUUUACUAAAGUUGUGUAUGUUUGAGUAUUAGGUUCAUCACAAGGAUCAUAUUAUGUUUGAGUAUUUGGAUUCAAGACUGUUAUAAGGUUGUUACAGAUGCAAUGCUGUUGCUGUGUAACUGUAUGCCAUGCUCGCAAGUGCGCUGUAACAGAUUGCUCAGCUGGCACCGGAUAUUUUAAGCUAAUUUUGGUAAUUAGUCUAGAGUGUUCUGAUUUAUUCUAUAAAUAGCUCAUUUGAGCGUAGAACCUUUAAGGUGUAUCGUACAUCUCUGUUACUUCUAAUAAAGGAUUUCUUUAUUCCUUUUUCUUUCGCUUUCUCUUUCAUUUUCAUGAUCCCCAAACACCAUCAAACAUAGAAUUGCUGUUUUAAGAAACAAAGUACUCUAUCCUGUCACCCAGCGGUCUCCUCGUUUAUCGACUUGUGAACAGGGCUAAAUAAAGGGCAAAGAUAUUAGGCAAAUGGACAUAACGUGACAAGUUCUUGAAUUGAAUGGCUCCUCAUUUCUUCAUAAAUCUUUGCUUAAUUUUUUUUGUUCCCUCAACCUUUUUUGACCUUUUGCGCUAAAAUUCUUUUUUUUAUACAUUAUGCAAAAAUUGAUGAAAAUGAGUUACUUUAGAACAUCAAUAAAUUUUUAUUACAUGAUAAGACAAUAUCAAUAAAUUUUUAUUACAUGAUAAGACAAUUAUACUUAGAUUACUCUUAUUUAGUUGAAUUAUAUGUAAUAAAAUUAGUUUAACAAAAUUUAACCCGCAAAUAUUCCUCAUCAUAUGAUUAACGUACUUAAAAAAUCAUAACUGAUCGGCCGCUUGUUUUACUAUAAAAGAUUGGUGUGAUUUAAUUAUUUUUCUUUUUGCUUGGUGACUGUAAAAUUAUGAAUACUUUGGUAAAUAAGAUAAUUAUAAACACCAUUUUGAAAAUCCAUGGCCAUGGUUGUGAUGUGUCUUUAUCAAUCACGGAUACAAAAAUUAAUCAAAAUUAUCGAUUGUUUUAAAUUCUGUUUUUAACAGAGCAUGAAGAUGUCGCUUAUCUAGAUUUACUUUUUAUGCUUUGACUUCACUUAAUACAGCUUCUUCCUCCUUUAACUGUAUGCCAAAUGAUUACUACCAAAUUAAUUUCACAAAUUAAUAAGCUAACCUAAUUAAUUUGCAGCAAGGUAAUUGGAAGCUCAGAGAGUCUGUAUUAGCCGACUCUAAGCGAUAAGUGUUUCCAUGUGAGCCAUAAUUUGGGAAAAAGACCAAUUCAAGUUAAAGAUCAGAAAAGUCUGUCCCGCACGAAUACAAUAAUUCGAGCCACACAUUCAUCAAACGCUUGCAUUGCAAAUACACUUCAACAUGUUGUCUCAUAGGGAGAAAUCCUUCACUCUUUGACGUAAUGCUUGGGCAACGUAAAUUAGUCCCAUUUUUUGAUGCAUGAGAGAUAAUUAGUCCCAUUUUUGUCCUGUUUACUUGACUUGGGCUAUUUGCCGUCAACUCUUCUCAUCUACGUAGGUAAUGUGUCUUUUAUUUGGCAUGAAAAAGCCAAUACUUGCACGAGUGUAGCAUCACUGAUUUGUGUAAUUUUCAGGACUGGUAAAUUAUCUUAAUUUAAAAAAAAUAUAUAAUUACAAUUAUCGAUCGAACACCACUAAUUCCAACAAUUUAUCCAAAAAUAUCUUUGAGUUUCAAGGAAUUAAUGUAGCACGAAUGGCCAAGUUUUUCAACUUUUUCGAUAUUUGAUAUAUGUCAUGUUCUAACUUAGUACGAGAAGAAAAUUAUAGAAUAAACUUUUUAAAAAAUUAGUGGAAUUAUUUUUCGAUAAAAUUAUCACAAUCACAUUUAAAAAUAUUCUUUAGAUUUUCACUAUUUCUACUGUUAUUCUUUAAACUCUUUUCUGAACAGAGCAUGGAGGGUCACUUAUCUAAAUAUGUUUUGUGUGCUUUCACUUCACUUGAUUCAUCUUGUCCCUCUUUUAUAGCUUCUAUCUCGUGUGAGCUUUGAACCUGCAACUCGUAUUUUACGUUUCUAUUACUUUCUCUUUCAUUUUCCCGACUCCCAAACACCAUCAAUCCUUGAUGUUAUAGAGUAUUAGCUGUCUAUUUGUACAAACAUAGAGCUACUGUUCGUACUUUAGAUCUUCAGAUGGUUAGCUAACUAUUGUUUGAAUAUUAAAAUUAAUUUGUUAAAUAAAUGAAGAAAACAAGAGACAAUUACCAUUCAUAUUCCAUAUUAAUUAGUCACUGUCCGAUUGUCUCCGCUUCCAUUGAAUCUGUUGAUUCAUGCUUUCAUGAAGUGAAACGCUUAACACUCUGUUCUGAUCCGCAGGAGAGGAGGAAAAACACAAUUUUAUUAUUUCAUUCCUGACACGGGCAAAGAGCUUUCUUAGCCGGCUCGGCAGCUAAUUCCUUAAAAUUUGUUAAAUUUCAUUUAAUUGAUGAAUGUGACAUGAAGCUCUAUAAAUAGUUUAAUUUGUAGAAUUGUUAAAAAUUUAAAUUUCAAGUAAGGUAGAUAAAAUGAUUAAUGUUUUUCAAUAUUUAGUAAUGAACAUGUGUCGUGUUACUAUGAGUGAAUGAAUGAAAUUUUUGAUAGAAAAUACAAUGCUAGUAUUAAAAAUUUUAAGUGCGAAUCCAUUUAGUGUACGUUAUCCAUAAAAGCAAUUGCGAGUCUUGUUUCCCAUUUUGUUUAAUUUUCAUAAAUUUGACUCACGAUCAAUUACGAGUGAAGAGUUUGUUGGAAAAAUCUGGUCUUCCAUUUAUUGUAAUCAGAUGAGUGUGAUUUAAUUAUUUUUUUCUUUUACUUCAUGUUCUGAAAAUUAUGAAUGCUUUGUAGGAUGUAGGAGAUUAAAAAUUUUAAUGCAUAUUUAUAUUCAAAACUGAGUAAACGUAACAUUAUUGCUUCUAUAAAUAGGUCAUUUCAACUUAAAACCUGUUACUUGUAUUUUACGCCGUUUCUGUUUCUUAUCAUAAAGAUUUUCUAUGUUUUUUUUUUUUCACUUUUUCUUCCGUUUUCCCGACUCCCAAACUCCACCAAUCCUUGAUUCUUUUCCUAGAGUAUUAGCUCUCUAUUAUUACAAACAUACAGUCUGUCUAAUUACCAUCAAGAAACAACAUACCUUGUCCUGGGGUCUCUUCGAUUAUUGACUUGUGUGACUUGCGAACGGGGGGCAUUCCCUUCUUGAAGAAAGAAUGCAAAGAGCCCAAGAAAGUACUAUCCAUUAGACACGUUAAGAAUUAUUUUGCUUUUCAGUAAAAAUGAUAAUAAUUAUAAUAAAUUAGAUUGAAUUAAUAAUAUUUGCAUGUGGGAUAUAAAUAAUCAGUUUAGUCACUAAUGAGUGACUGUCCGCUUGUCUUCUCUUUCAUUGACUUUGAAACUGUGACUUCUGAGUUGGAUUAAGAAUUGAAAAAAAUGUUGCAACCCAUAAAGCGCGUAAAAUUAAUUAAUGGGCCACUAAUUCUUCUUCUUAAAAGAAAAGUUUUGCAGGGAGAUUGAAAAAAGGCUAAUUCGUGUUGAAGAUCAUAAAUGAGUAUCUGUCAUAAAUACAAGUCAAGCUACACAAUUGUUCUUGUCAUACUAUUUAUUGGCACUUGUGAUCCUUGAAUUAUCAAACGAAUAGCAACAACACUUCAACAUCUGUUGUCACAUGGAGGGAAAUCCGCUGCCUCUUUGAUGUAAUACUUGGCAAUAUACAUUGACUUUUCAUUAAAACAAGCAUUGGCAUAUUGUCAUUUUCAAAUUUUUAACGUCUUGUAAUUAAAGAUUCCUAUAUCACAUUAUAAUUUUCAAACAAAUCUAAGUGAGUCAAAUCAAAUUUAGAAAUUUGAGGUCUACUAUAGACUUUUGACAUAUUAAAUUUAAGACAAUUAAGUAAAUGCUAGACAAAAUCUAACUUGCAAAUAUACCUUACCACAUGAUGAACGUACUUAAAAAUCUUAAUUGAUUGCUCACCAAUUAAUUGUUGUUUUACAGUUUGGUUUGAAUGGUUAAGUUCAAGUUCGAAUUUUCUUUUUGUAAUUUAAAUUAAAAUUGAUAGAACAAAUGGGCUGAUCAGUAUGAUGAUGAAGAAGAAGAAGUAAAAGCUAUUAAGCAUUAUCCUAUCACCAUAUCAAAUGGACCGAAUUCAAUCAAAUGAAAUCUAGAAAAUAGAGCAGCUCAUAGAUGUACGUCGCUAAGUGGAGGUUCAUUUGGAAGUACUUGGUCGAAUUGCGACUUGCGCCGGAGGCUUCGUUUCGUUUUAGAAGAGUGCAGAGCAGCUGCCUUGUCCAUUAGGCACGCCAACGACUUUCUAUUGACCAAUAAUUUUGAAAGCGAUAUUAUUAAUUUACCGUCUAAUUUUUUUUAUAUUAUCAUUUCCCCAUCAAAAUUUUUUUAUAAUUAUUUUUUUCACUUUGUAUUUUGGUUUUUAUUAUUUUACUACCGAAAAAUAGUAAACACACCCGUAAGAUAGGUUAUCCACAAAAAUGAUUACCAAAUUGUCUUGUUUCUCCUUUUGUUUAAUUUUCACAAAUUCGACCCACGAUUUAAAUGUGAGUGAAGAGUUUUUUUUUGGGAAAAAAUAUGGUCUUCCAUUUACUAGAAUUAGGUAUUUGUGAUUUUAUUAUUUUUCUUUUGCUUAAUAUGUAUCUGGAAAAUUAUGAAUACUUUGCAGGAUUUAGAAUGAUUUGAAUGUUUGAACGCAUAUAGCUUUCUGUCCAUCAGCUAAUGCAUAUUCUGCAUUUUAUGAAUAUCAGAGCUGGUAGAUUGGAAGAUGGAUCUUAUUACAUGUCAUAAGAUACUUUGCUCAAAGCUGCAAUUGGGCAACGCCGUGCUGUUCUUAUCGGCCAAUGCAAGCCAUUUACUAUUCUUUCUAAUGGAGCAAAAUAAGAUGAUUCUUACCUGCAUAGAGAAUUAGAAAAGAAAAGGAGGAUUACUGAUCCACAGAGCUGUCAUUUGCUAGAGGCACAUAAAAUCUUACACUUAAUUCAUUAACCAUAUGUACGUUCUAAUGAUACUUAAGUAUUACCUAAAUUGGCCUUUCAAAAUUUCAAUUCGAAAAAAUCCAAGGUUGUGAUGUGUCUGUAUAAAUUCGCUAAUACAAGUUCUCUCUAUUCCCAAUUGUUUUAAACUCUGUUCUGAACAGAGCAUGAAAGGAUAUAUUUGUUUAUCUAGUUAUAUUUUUUAUGCUCUCACUUCACUUGAUUCACCUUCUCCAUCUUUUAAAACAGUUGUAUAUGUCGGAGUACAAGUUCAUCACAAGGAUCAUAUUAUGGCCUAAGGAAGGAGCACAGUUUAUUGUCUGCACUCAAGCUUAGCAGAGUAUUUUGGGAUUCAAGAGUGUUAGUAGGCUGUUGCUGUAAAACUAUAGGCCAUGCUGGCAAGCGUGCUAUGACUGAUUGCUAUUUGCACGUAAAAUUUACCCAAAACAAAUAGAAUGAGAAUACUUGUACAAAAGGACAAGAUUAAUAAAGUGAAUAAAUUUUAUCUUUUAGUGAAUGCUUCUUGUCUUUUCGAGUUUUAGUGCAUUUUCGUGUGUAAUUUUAUGUGCAAAUAGCAUUACUCGUUAGUAAUUAGUCUAGAGUGUUCUAAUUUCUUCUAAUAAGUAGCUCAUUUGAGCUUAAGACUUGCAUUUUAAGUUUUUAUUACUUUCUAAUAAAGAUUUUCUCUGUUCUUUUUUACUUUCACUUUCUCUUCCAUUUUCCCGACUCCCAAACACCACCAAUCCUUGAUUUUCUAGAGUAAAGCUAUGCAGUUCUACAAACACGAAACUACUGUUGGUCCAAUUACUUUCAAGAAACAACGUACUCUGUGGUUUAUUGACUUGUGACAUGGGCAAAUUAGUCACGGUCCGAUUGUCUCCUCUUCCACUGACUCUGUCAAUUCAUGACUUUGGCACACAGUAGACGCUGGCUGCCUGCUUCAUUUGACGUGCAAAAAACUUUCUUGAGUCGGGUUAAAAUCGAUUGAUUAGUUUGUUUGGUGAUGAUGAGUUAGUCGUCAAUUCAUGAGUUUGAUGCAGUGAAACGCUUAACGCUCUCUUGUGAUGCGCAGGAGAAAAGCCAGUGAUGAUGAAGAGGGCGAAAAACAUUAUUUUGUUAUUUACAAUAAGGCUAUCAAUUAUAUAAUCCAAAAUAAUUGGGUUUGGAUGGUCAUUUUGUUUUCUAAAAUAUCCAAAUGAAAACAGAAUUUAUAAAGUGGGAAAAUCAAGAAAUACUAUACUCUUCGUAUAGUGGAAGGAGAUUUGGUUGCCAUUAUACUAAAUAAAAGAAAAAUAAAAUAAAAUUACAAUACUUUAAUAAUCUCAUUCCCAAUCCUACUGGAAAUAAAAUUUUCUGUAUAUUUAUGAAAUAAUUACUGAUUUUACUUUAGUGAUUUUUUUUUAGGAUAAAACUGUAGUGCAACUGUGGUACCGUGCCACAGUUGCACCCAACCGUUGGAUUUCCACUUAUUCAAGUGGACCCAACUUAUUUGAGUGAAUCUAACGGCUAGUGCAACUGUGGCACAGUACCACAGUUGCACUGUAGCUUGACCUUUUUUUUUUUAAAGUAAGGUAAGCAGCUUUAUUUUCUUUGCAUACGAGCCUUCUUUCUUUUGCUUUUGCCUUUACUCUUGACUGUAUUUCAUGGUCAUAUUCAAUCUCAAUCUCCUGUAGGUUUGCGGCUGCUUUAUGAGUUACGAUUUUUUAUAAGGUUGCAGGUAGAUGAUACAUUUAUAUACAUUUUUUCUUUUUUCUUUUCUUCUUCGGUGAAGACACUAAAAUUUAGUUUUUGUUAUCAUGUGAAAUGAACAUAGUCCUCAUUUCAAGGAUUAAUGUGUUAGGAAUUUGGUGGGUGAAGCAGACACGCAGCUAAAGUAAAAUUAGAAGAAAAUAGAGAACAAACACAAAAGAGAAUACCAGAAAUUACGUGAUUCGGCUUUUAGCCUACGUCUACGAGCGAAGACAAAAGGAAAAUAUUAUACUAGUGAAAAUGAGUUACUAGUAUUGUAGUAUUUUAGAUCACUACCCAAAACCCCAAUACACCCAAACUCUCAAAUCACUAAGCACACAAAAUUCUUUACUCUGCAAGAAUUACUUCUCACAACUCUCAACUCUCUCUACAAAAUUGGAUGCUAAAUGAAAUGGGGAGCUCUCUCUUUUAUAGCCAAAAAAUGGCUAUUAAAUUAAUUUUUUUUCCUUUGGGCGGUACCAAAUUCUUCUUUUUCUUCUUUCUCUUUUGUUUCUUUCUUUGGGCAGCACCUCCCGACCAAGACUUUAACUCUUUCUUUGGGCGGCACCUCCCAACCAAAACUUUAACAUUCUCCCACUUGGAGAUUUGAUUGAGAAUCAAUCAAUCUCCACACCAUCCUUUCUGCUCCGUCAUUGUUAUGUUGCCUACGUUUCUGCUAGGCCACAAGAGGAUCUACUCCAGAAAAACUUAUCAGUAUUUAUCGGCUUGGUCAAAACAUCUGCUAGGUUCUCCUUCGUAUGGAUUUUCUAUAAAUCCACACUUCCGUCUUCCAAAACUUCUCGAAUGAAGUGAUACUGAACUCCUAUGUGCUUUGUCUUGGAAUGAAAAGCUGGACUCCUUGCAAUGUGCAAGGCACUCUGACUAUCACAAAACACAAAAAAUUUCUCUUAUUUGAGCCCGAGCUCCUCCAAUAAUCUUUGUAUCCAAAUAGCUUCCUUACAAGCUUGUGUAGCUGCCAUGUAUUCUGCUUCUGUUGUAGAUAAAGCCACAACGGUCUGCAGUUUCGAAACCUAGCUUACAGCUGCUCCCGCAAGUGUAAACAUAUAACCAGUAGUAGAUUUUCUUUUAUCAAGUUCUCCUGCAAAAUCUGAAUCCAUAUAGCCUCUGACAGUAAAUUCUGAUCCUCCAUAACAUAAUGCAACAUUUGAGGUUCCUUUGAUGUAUCUUAGAAUUCUCUUCACAACUAUCCACUGCUCUCCACCAGGAUUUGUCAUGUAUCGACUAACUGCUCCCACUGCUUGUGCAAUGUCUGGUCUUGUGUUGUGCAAAUUUUAAUGUACUCGCAAGCGCACGAAUCUAUUGUAGUGUAGAUCAAUGGUGACGAGUGUCGAUCCCACGAGGAGGAGGAUUUUAAUUGUGUAUAGAAUUAAUUUUGCAAAAUGGGUGGUUGGAAUUAUGGUGGAAGUGAUUUAAGUUAUCCCAAAAUUGGAAUUGAAAUUGCGAUAAUAAAUUCUAAAAUUGGAAUUGCAAUGGCGAGAAUAAGUUGAAGCGAAAUCUAUUGAAAUGACGUACUUGGGUAUCUGGAUCCGUAUCAACAUGCAUCAUGGGCUAAAUAAUCCGUAUUAAUGCCAAUUAAAUCAUGAGGGGGGAAUCCACACCUCAUGAACCACGCUCUAAUCAAUAUGGUGCUAAGGGCUUAUCGUGCCAAAUAAUAAUAACCUUAUACUAGAGAGCCGGUGUAACCAAGGCGGUAUCUAGACAAGAUCAGUAUUAUUUGUCGACGAUAAGUCAAAUCAUCCACAAAAACUAGAGGGGAAAAGAAAAUAAAUUUACCAAAUAAAGCCCAUGACACAUGUUGAGACUUCACCUUCAACCCAAGCUUGAAAGGAAAUUAGCUACUCAUAAUUGAACUAGGGGCAAAAUGGGAAUUUAUUAAAAUACAAAGAAAAUACAAGAUGGAGAGGGAAUUACAGAAAAUGGAUCCCAAAAAUGGAUUCAGAGCUAUCAAAUUAGGGGGGGGAGGCCCCCUUUUUAUAGAUACAUGGAGUAAAUCAUGGCCAUUGGAUUAAAAACAGUUUGGACGCUCAGGAUUGCGCCACGUCAUCAGUCAACAGUCCACUGUUUGACCACGCGGAUGAACAGUAAUGCGGUUUGACCCGGAUGAACAGUAACGCGGUUUGGUUGAAAAUAAUCCUGUGUGAUGCAUGCACCGUACGUGAGAUUUUUCGUCCACUGAUAUGCUGCCACGUCACCAUCAACAGUACAUAAGAAUUUUAGUCCAACAGGAUCGUGACACCUCAUCAGUCAAUGCCACAUCAUCGGUCAAUGCCACGUCAUCGAUUCGUUUAUGUGAACAGUGCCGUGAACAGUAACAUAUACAGUACCGUAUACGUGAAUAGUACCGUACAUGUGAAUAGUGCCAUUUUUCCUUUUAUGCUCCUCCUAAGGUUUUCGACCGUCCUGAGUUCAAAAGUGAUGUCCGUUUUGCCGUCUGAUCUCUCCUUUAUUGUGAAAUGACUAUAAUGCCCCUAAAAUACAUAAAAUACUUAAUUAAAAUAACACACGCGUAAUUACAUCACAAGAAGGUUAAAUACAUAAAAGUAAGAGUUGUUAGUAAGACUUGAAAUGUAAAAUGAUGGUUUUCUCCUUUAGAAAUAUAUAUUUUCUAACACUCAACAUCUUGUACAUAUCACAGCGAACAUCAAACUUUCCACUGCUGAUGCAUACGGUACUCAAGACAUCUCCUUCCUCUCUGCUUCAUUGCUAAGACAUAUACUUGAGGAUAAUUUGAAAUUAACAGGAAGUGGGGUAGAAAUUGACUUACAAUCUUGCAUGUUGAAGCGCCGUAAGAUUUUCUUCAAGUAAUUCUUCUGUGAAAGCCAAAUCUUCUUGUUAUUUCUGUCUCGAUGAAUUUGCAUCCCUAGAAUCUUGUUUGCUGGUCCCAAGUCCUUCAUUUCAAACUCCCUAGCCAAUUGUGCCUUCAAUUCUUGGACUCGAUCUUUGUUGGGGCUUGCUACCAACAUGUCAUCCACGUACAACAACAAAAUGAUGAAAUCAUUAUCUUCAAACCUCUUACAAUAUGCACAAUGGUCUGAACUGAGUCUGUUGUAUCCAAGGCUCAUGAUGAAGGAAUCAAAUCUCUUAUACCAACACAUUGGCGCCUGUUUGAGACCGUAUAGAGAUUUGUUCAACCUGCAAACCAAGUUCUCCUUUCCUGUUUCUACAAAACCUUUUGGUUGGAGCAUAAAUAUUUCUUCUUCAAGUUCUUCAUGAAGAAAUGCAGUUUUCACAUCUAACUGCUCUAGAUGUAGGUCAAAUGUAGCACACAUUGCCAAGACUAUUCUGAUUGUUGUGAGUCGAGCCACCGACGAAAAUAUCUCGUUGAAGUCAAUACCUUCUUUUUGAGCAUAUCCUUUCACCACCAAUCUGGCACGAUACCGCUUCACUUGGUCAUUGUCAUCACGUUUAAUCUUGUAGACCUAUUUGUUUCCAAUGGCUUUUCUUCCACAUAGUAGUGGUACAAGUUCCCAUGUCUUGUUCUUGUGUAGAGCUUCAAUUUCUUCCUGCAUUGCUGUCAUCCACAAAUCAACAUUUGAGCUUUCUAAAGCUUCAUAAAAAGUUGAUGGCUCUCCAUCCUCUAUUAGAAGACAGUACGCAACAUUGAUCUCUGUGACAUACUCUGAGUGCCACGCCGGCGGUUGUCUCUCAUGAGUUAACCAAUGAACUUCUGGAGCCUCAGACUCGACUGGUUCUUGUUCUUCGUGCUCUAGUGCUGCUUCAGAAGAAUCUGAAUCUUCUGGAUUAUUUUUGACAUAUACCGGCACAGUUUCUGACUUUUCUUUUACAGUGUCAUCAUCUCCAUCUUUCAUUUGCAGUUGAUCUUCUACAAAGAUAACAUCUCUGCUGAUGACAAUCUUGUGGGCAGUGGGGUCCCACAGACGAUACCCUUUACUCCAUCAACAUACCCCAAGAAGAUACACCUCCUAGAUUUUGGAUCUAACUUUGUUCUUUCUUGGGCAUUGUACAUUACGUACACAGGACAUCCAAAUGCAUGUAGGUAGGAAUAAUCAGCUGGCUUUUCAGUCCACAUCUCCAUCGCCGUCUUCAACCCAAUAGCUGUAGAUGGCGACCGAUUUACUAUAUAACAGGCAGUUUUGCCUGCUUCUGCCUAGAAUGAAUUGGGUAGACCAGCAGUCCUCAACAUAGCUCUUAUUCGUUAUUUAAGAGUUCUAUUCAUCCGCUCUGCCACUCCAUUUUGUUGAGGAGUGUAUGCCACCGUGAACUGCCUCUGAAUACCUUCUUGCUUACAGAAAGCAAGAAACUUGCCGUUUGUAUACUCUCCACCAUUAUCUGUCCUUAAGCACUUGAUCUUUUUACCAGAUUCAAGUUCCACCCGUGCUUUGUAUUCUUUAAACACUGGAAAUACAUCUGACUUUUUCUUAAUUAGAUACACCCAACAUCUUCUGGAAUAAUCAUCAAUGAAAGUCACCAUGUACUUUACACCUCCCAUGGAUAUAUCCGGUGAUUCCAAAACAUUAGAAUGAAUCAAGUUUAUAAUGUAUUAACUUCUAGCAAUAGAUCUACUGAAUUUUAAUCUAUACUGCUUACUUGUAACACAAUGCUCGCAAAAUGGUAAAUUUACCGAUUUAGGCCCUGGAAGCAAUUUUCGCUCAGAGAGAAUCUUCAAACCUUGUCUGACAUGUGGCCAAGUUUGAGAUGCCACAUCAUCGUUGACUCUUCUCUAUUUGAUGCGACACACGCAUCAACCUCCUGUAGUGUUUCUCCUUUAAGCAUGAAUAAAUUAGCACUGAUCUUUUCUGCUUUCAUCAAUACAAGCGCUCCUUUAACAAUCUUCAUAAUUUCAUUCUCCACAGGCGUUUUGCACCCAUGACUGUCUAUUUGUGCUAAAGACAAUAGAUUUUUCUUCAGGCCAUUAACAUGUCGUAACUCUCCAAUUGUGUGAAUUGUACCAUCAAAUAUUUUUAUUUUGAUAGUACCAAUACCAGCGAUCUCUAAGGCAUGAUCAUCUCCUAUAUAUACAGAUCCUCCUGAGAUAGGUUCAUAUGUGUGGAACCAUUCUCUCCGAGAGGUCAUGUGCCAGGUAGCUCCUGAGUCUAUAAACCAGACAUCAGAUAGUCAUUUUCUGCUUUCUGAAAUAGUUGUUGCCUCGCUGUAGAGAAUUUCGCCAUCAUCCGAGGUACUUGCUACACACCCCUGAGCAUUUGAUGACUCAGGUUCAUUACCCUCUCUUCUCUUUUGGUUACUCCAACACACUUUCUUGAUGUGCCCUUUCUUGCCAUAGUUGUAGCAUUUAACAUUUUUCUUACUUUUGAAUUUUGAUCUACCAUUAUUGUGACUCCCACUGGGGCCACGUUCCGUUGAUCUCCCUCUCGUCACCGAUAGCGCCUCCACUUGCUGCGAACUUGCUUGUCUGUUUUCCUUAUUUUUCCACCUGCUCUCCUCAUUUAAUACGGAGGCUGCAACAUCGUCGAAAACUAGACUGUCCACUGGAUUGUUGUUCGUCAGGUUAAUGAUGAGCUGAUUAUACGAAUCUGGUAGACUUUGAAGUAGAAGCUCUGCAUGUUCAUUUUCCUCUAUAUUAUGACCCAACGUUGUGAGUUGUGAAAAUAGAGUUUUCAAGGUGUUGAUAUGGUCGGUCACCAUUGUAGAUUCUGCCAUUCGAAGAGUAUAGAGUUUCCUCUUCAAAAAGAUUUUGUUGUGUAGUGACUUGGCCUCGUACAAUUUUGUGAGAGUAUCCCAUAUUUCCUUCGCUGUAUUUUUCUCUGCCACACUGGAUAAUACUCCAUCCGCAAGUGCCAAGUCUAGAUCAGAAAUGGCGUUGCCGUCUACCUCGUUCCACUUGUCAUCAGUUAUCUCCACGGGCCUUUCUCUAAUUGCUGCCAAACAAUUAUUUUUCCUCAAUACAGCUUUUAUCUUCAUUUUCCACAACGAAAAAUUAUUUCUAUUAAACUUCUCAAUUUCAUAUUUUACUGCCAUUUUGAUGAUAAAUACCGCACACAAGCUAGUGUACCACCUUGAAUAGUUGUGAGUAUGUGUAAGAAUACACACCAAGAAAGUUCCUAGUAAAGACUGGAGGGGUCACAAUGGUCCCACUUAAAACCCAGACUCCUUAAGCUCUUAUCGCCUUUGUAGCAGAACUUUCCUAUACAUGUACAAAACCACACAGUUGCUUUACUCACACCACUAUUCUGAAAUACAAGUAUGCAACCCAAGAUGGGGGUGAAUUGAGAUUCUAAAAAUUAUUCAAUUUAUAAAGAAAAACUUAAAACAAAUAUAAUCCAAAUUCAAAGCAAUAACAAUUAAGUUGAUCACAAUAUAAAAAGAUAAGGGAAGAGAAAUUCAAACACAGAGAUUUUUACGUGGUUCGGCCAACCUCGCCUACGUCCACGCCUCCAAGCUUUUCGGGCUUGAGGAUUCCACUAAACAAGCCUCCAAGGCUUCAAAUGCUUACACUUGACUUCCAAGGUGUCAAUAACCUUUACAACAAGAGAUUAUCCCAAUCUCUUUAACCCAAGUGAAUCCCAACACUUACAACCACUCAAAACAAAAGAUUUCAAAUUUGUUUUGCCUCUCACAAUAUAUAAGAUUACACAAUGAUGCCCAAUAUGUGAAUAGAUGAAGUAAGAAUGUGUUCUAAGCUAUAUGAAGAUUGUAUUCUCGAAUAUAAGCUCAAUAGUCGUGUUGUGAUCAAUCUUCUUUGAAUUUGAAUGAGCUUAUUUAUAUUUGGAGCUGAAAAACUAGCCGUUACAAACUAUCGGCCCUAAACGGUUUGCCGUUAACUAUUAACGGUUAACCGUUUAAGCUGGUCAAAAGUUACCGUUGGGCCAAAUUUUAAAUAAACGGUUUGCCGUUUUAUGAUUACCCUUUCGCCGUUAAAUUCCAGAGACCUGCAAGAUGAACAUCAGUUAUCCGUUUACAUUAAACGGUUAAGGAUUUGCAUGAAGUGACUUCUCUGGAUAUUAUCGGUUAACCAUUUGUAAUAAACGGUUCGCCGUUUGUUUUCAGUAACCUGCAAAACAAUUUAGGCUUAUUCGGUUUUGUUAAACAGUGCCAGAGGAGUACAACCUUCAAUUCUGGAUGUUAUCGGUUAACCGUUUCAAUAAACGGUUCACCGUUAAAUUCCAGUAGCUUUCCCAUCUUUUGUGUUUUCCGUUUUUCACAAACGGUUAGAGCUUAGGCAAUAUGUUGCUUUCUGGUAUUAAUCGGUUAACUAUUUAAAAGAAAACGGUUCACUGUUUAUUUUCAGAAUCACAUUUUAAACCAGUUUUUGCAGAGAAUCUUUUUCUAAUUUGAAAGUCCAUCUUUUAUGAAUAUGAAUGGAAUGAUUAUUAAGGCUUUCGUUUAUUAAGGAAUAGCUCCAACAUUUUUAUCAAAAACCAUUUAAAGUUUGUUAUCAUCAAAAUCAAUAUUAUUAAAAAAUUCAUGUUAACAAUCUCCCCUUUUUUUAUGAUGACAAACUUCAUUCAAUAUAUAGCUCCCCCUUAAUAUGUACUCCCCCUAAAUGUAUGGCCAAAUUAAGAAAUGUCCAAUAAAAAGAUUUUUGCUCAAGAAAACAUUUUUAAAUUCAUUUAAAUACAUUCUAAAUCUCCCCAUAAUUCUCUCCCCCUUCAUCAUCAAAAAGAAAAGAGAGAAAUAAAAAAAAAACAAAAAACGCAAGUCCGUUAAAGAAGUUACCCGGUUUUGGUGAGCGAAAAUUUUGGCAGAGUUUCCCUUUAAAAAUGAGCAAAACCACUAAUACAAAAUGAGAUUAAAACACUUCCAAAAUAUAUUAACAACAAUUCCAUCUUUCAACAAACCAACAACGCCAUGAACAAACAAACCAACACUUCAAUAUCCAAGAAACCAACAAUUUCAUCAACCAAUUACCAAGUCAUCCAACAUCAAGAACAUCACAAAAAUAUGUCAUCAAAAUCCAGAAAGAGCAUAUAGAGGUAACAGUGUGUAUAAAAAUAUAAAUGGAAACACGCAAACAACCAAAAUAUGAAAUGUAUGUGCGAAAAUAGAACUCAGAAACUAUGGAGGUGGAGAAGAUGUGCUCCCCGGAUCAUAGCCGAAAUAGCGGAGAAGAGUGCGCUGUCCAGCAAUAAGCUCAAGCUGCUGAUCAAUGCUCUGCUGCUGGAAGGUCUGAAAGUCAGAACGUAGCUGCUGGUGGGUGAGGCAGACAUGCAGCUAAAGUAAAAUUGGAAGAAAAUAAAAAACAAGAACAAAAGAGAAUACCAGAAAUUACGUGGUUCGGCUUUUAGCCUACGUCCAUGGGCGAAGACAGAAGGAAAAUAUUAUACUAGUGAAAAGGAGUUACAAAUAUUGUAGUAUUUUAGCUCACUACCCAAAACCCCAAUACACCCAAACUCUCAAAUCACUGAGCACACAAAAUUCUUUGCUCUACAAGAAUUACUUCUCACAACUCUCAACUCUCUCUGCAAAAUUGGAUGCUAAAUGAAAUGGGGAGCUCUCCCUUUUAUAGCCAAAAAAUGGCUAUUAAAUUAAAAAAAAAAUUUCCUUUGGGCGGUACUAAAUUCUUCUUUUUCUUCUUUCUCUUUUGUUUCUUUCUUUGAGUGGCACCUCCCAACCAAGACUUUAACUCUUUCUUUGGGCGGCACCUCCCAACCAAGAAUCUACAACUUCAGCCCCAGGAACAGAAUCGAUCCCACUUAAAAUUUCAAUUUUGCAAUGCAGCUGAGGGGCAUGUGCCCUGUAAGAAUUGAUCCUAAAAUUGCCAUUGACAUGGACCCCACGAAGCUUGAAGAUUUCUAUAUUACAUAGCCAAACCUAAGUGAUAAGAAUUUUCAUAUGAGAUAUAAUUUUGGGAAAAAAACCAAUUCAAGUUAAAGAUAAAAAAUCUGUGUUACUUAAAUUCAAGCCACACAAUUUUUCUUGUUUUAUUUGAAAAAAAGAAAAUUGUGUUCCUCACAAAAACACUUUAACAUUUGUUGUCUCAUAGAGGGAAAUGUCCUUCACUCUUUGACGUAUCCCUGGGGCAAUGUAAGUUGACUUUACAUUAAAACAAAACAAUUGAAACGUUGUCCACAAACAUUGUCAUGUAGUUAAGAAAAACUUAAUUUUGACAAGUGCAAGAGAUUGGUGGGACUCAUUUGAUUCAAGAAAAACAAUCAGUCUCAUUUGAUACGCAAAGAGCUUUUCUACUCUGCGGCCAAUAUUUUGAUGAAUGUGACAUUAUCUCAAUUUUACUUCUGUAGGUUUGUUGUUUGUAUAUUAUCUCAAUUUUUUAAAAAAUGUAAUUGCAAUUAUCAAACAUGACUAAUCCCAACAAUUUAUCCAAAAAAUUUUGUUUCAAGAAAUGUAGCAUUUAUGAUAGAAUGGCUAAUUUUUUCAAUCGACUUUCUGGAUAAAUGAUAAUUUUUUGAUAGAAAUGUUACUUACUUAUUACAAGAAGAAAAUUAUAGAAUAAUUUUUUGAAUUAAUAGUAUUACUUUACGAUAACACUAUCACAAUCUAAUUUUAAAAAGAAAUAAAGUUAUUCUUUAAAUUUCGCAUUACUAUUCCUACUUUUCUUGUUAUACUACUUAAUGGCACUGGUGAAGCCUCGAAUUAUCAACCAAAAAGCAAAAAUAGUUCAAUAUCUGCUGUCCCACUGAGCAUUGUUAAAUUCAUACGAUAAAAUGAGUACUUAUAUUAAAAAAACAAUCGGUCUCAUUGCGUGCUCUUUCAUUGACAUAGGCAAUUUGCUGUCAACUUGUGGCACUUUUACGAAUUUUCAAGACAGGUGAAUUUUUCAAAUUUAAAAGAAAAAAAUACAGAAAUGUAAUUUCAAUUUAUCCAAAAAUUUGAGUUUCAAGGAAUACGGCAUUUAUUAAAUGUCAUGUUAAUAUAGAGAAGAAAAUUUUAAAAACUUAUUUUUGGAUGAAUAAAAGUAUUUUCUGAUAAAAUAUUUCACAAUCAAAUUUAAAAAAUUUCACUCCUCUUGGUACAUAAUUUAAGAAUUUAACAUUAUAAAUUAAUCUUUCUAAUCAAAGUAAUAAUCUCUCCUCGGUCUGCAAAUGCUAAAAUUUAAAUAUUAUAUCCAUUGACAAUAUUUGCUCCAAAUUCACGAAAACAAAAUUUCAAACAGAAUUAUGAAAUUCGUUACUAGAAAUUUGUAUAAAAGUUGUGAGAAUAGAAGGUUUGAUCAUAGGAAAUUAAUAUAUCCCUAUCCGAUGCAAAAAUGAUUGUAAAGAAAAACAAAAGUCACGGGCUUAUUUAGAAAAAAAGAAAAAAUUACAUUCCAUUUUCCAGUUAUUAAAGUAAUUCUAAAAUCGCUAGGAUCACAAAGGAUAGGCUUUGGUUGACUGAGGUCAGCCUUAACGCAUGCCGGUCUUUUUCUCCUCUACAUUCUUAGAAAUUUUGGUUUCACUAUAAAUACUCGGUAUAUAGCAAACUUAUAAGUGUUCUUGCAUUACCAAUCCAACUAAGCACACGCUUACAAUAUAAAUACUCUCAUCUCGUGGAAAGAGUUCAUUCACUCAGGAUGAUGAGCAGAUUUCUCUUACUCCAUUGUUUGAUUCUUAUUUCCUUCUUUAUCGCGGCAGCAACAGCCAACACAAGUUCUACUAUCACAGACCGAGAUGCUCUGUUAGCCCUGAAAGCUCGCAUAACUCAUGAUCCGACCAAUUUCUUGGCCAAGAAUUGGAACACAAGUACUCAUGUUUGUAAUUGGACAGGCGUCGCUUGUGAUGUCCAUAGCCAUAGAGUCACAGUCUUGAAUAUUUCAAGCUUAAAUCUCACAGGCACCAUCCCUUCUCAACUUAGGAAUCUUUCUUCUCUGCAAUCACUCAAUCUCAGUUGUAACCGACUUUCUGGUUCCAUUCCCUCCGCCAUCUUCACCAUAUAUACACUGAAAUAUGUUAGUUUCCGUGAAAAUCAGCUCUCUGGCGCUUUCUCUUCUUUCAUCUUCAACAAGUCUUCUUUACAACAUCUUGAUUUUAGUCACAAUACACUGUCUGGUGAAAUUCCUGCAAAUAUUUGCAGUAGUCUUCCUUUUCUGGAUUUCCUUUCUUUGCAAGAAAACAUGUUGCAUGGAGGAAUACCGUCCACUCUAUCAAAUUGCACAUAUUUGCAAAAAUUAGGUUUGGUAUACAAUAAUUUCUCGGGGGCCAUACCUAAAGAAAUCGGCAAUUUGACCAAACUUAAGAUAUUAUAUCUUGGCGGUAACAGACUCCAAGGUGCGCAUGAUCACAGAGUUUAAUUAUGAAAGUUGUUCCAUAAGUUGUAAUAUGAAUAACGUUCCAUAAUACAGUUUACACACGUUGAUUAAUUUGCAGGAGAAAUUCCUCGAGAGUUUGGCAAUCUUGCCGACUUGGAACGGAUGUCGUUAUCAGAAAACAAUCUCCAAGGUAUGAUUUUAAACUUUUUGCAAUUUUAUUUUAGCGAUGCUUGCUUCUGUAUUCAUUCGCUUGUUCUUUGAUUAUGCGAUGAUUUAUUGUUUUUCUUUCAGAUAGAGAUAAAGCUCCAUGUCUCCCCUCACUCAUUUCAUUCUUUAAUUUAUGCAGAUAAAAAUAAAAAAAAUGUUUUCUAAUUUUCUUUUGUCAUAUUGCCACUUCCAUUUUGAAGCUCCCAAUUAAGUCGAUGAAAAUGAAUGAUGUUUCAUUCUUAUUCUUGUCAGCCUAAUUCUUAUAUAAUUGAAGAAUAAAUUGUUAUUACGAUAUUCGUCAGCCAAUAAAUUCUUCUUUUUUUUCCCCCCAAACAUGAGUGAUCAAAUUGUUUGCGCAUUUAUAAAUGUACUUAAUUUGCAGGAGGUAUUCCACGGGAAUUGGGGAAUCUUACAAAAUUGGAGAUAUUACAGCUGUUCCGGAAUAACUUGACCGGUAACUUUCUUUACAAUAUAUAUAGAGACAUCUUCCGCUUUUUAUUAGAAAUUAUAAAUUCAAGUUAAAUCUUAAUUAAAAGAUUUCAAGUCUCUCAUUAUAAAUUCUCAUAUGAGGAUGUGUCGUUACCACUAUCUAACAUUAUUCUGUUUUUUAUUAGAAAUUAGUUUGUGUUAAUUCAAAAUUCUGUAGCAUUUAAAAAAAUUAAAAACACGUGGAAUAAAUUGUUAAUCUUUCUUCUUUACUGAAUUUGGAUUUCUCAAAAAUAAUCUUGACAAGUAUGCUUCACUAAUGAUACGCAUGUGUGACAACUUCAUAAAAUAUUUUACAGGGAAUCACUAAUUAUGUUUAAAUAAUUAGAGAUGCCAGCAGUGAUACAUAAUUUCUUAACAAGCACCAUACCAAAAGAAAUCAACAAUUUUAUUAGUCUUAAAGAGUUACAUUUUCACUGCAAUUAUAACAUAAAUUUUUAGUCAUCAAUUGCAUAAUAUUUUAUCUUAACGGAUGAUGUUUAGUCUUGGAAUUUAUAAUAUCUUGAAGGUUAGUAGCUGUGAAAAUAAGAAAUUGUUCAUUUGCUAAAAAGUUAACUUAGUAUUUAAGUUUUUCAAUUGAAAAAUAGGCUUGAAGAAAUUAUUGUUGUGUGUGCUUAUUCUACUUGGGCUUUGGGCUUGAUUACACGGUCGAGCACUUACACCUGUCGUACUAAUAGGCUUUUACUUUGACCACACGUUUGAUAAUUUCUUAACCUUCCGAAUUAAAUCUGAUUAUAAUUCUUUUAAAAUACAGAUUAAAUAGCACGUGAAAUCGGAAAAUAUUUUACUGCGAUAAGAAUUCAUAUAUUCAUUACACACGGUCGAACACUUACACAUGUUAGAAUAAUAAUAGCAUCCGCCAAUCGACUAUGAGUGAUCAAAUUGUUUGCACAUAUGUAAUUUGCAGGAGCAAUUCCACGGGAGUUGGGAAAUCUUACAGGAUUGGGGGUCUUAGAGCUGUCUGAAAAUUUUUUGACCGGUAUCAUUCCUUCAUCUAUCUACAGAUUGCUUUUCUCUAUUAAAUUUGGAAUUGUCAUUUAAUAACUUAACAAGUAACUUCCCUUACAACAUGUCUGUGUGACAUGUUUUGCUUCUAAAUUUAAAGGUCUCACGUCUCUCAUUAUAAAUUCUUCUAGGAGAUGUAUUGUUACUACUAUUUAACAUUACCUCGUUUUUUAUUAAAAAUUAAUCUGUAUUUAUGCAAAAAAAAUUAUUAUCUAAAAAAGGUAUAAAAACACGUGGAAUAAAUCGCAAAUCUUUCUUCAUUACUGAAUAUGGAUUUCUCAAAAAUUAUCAUGAUAGCUAUGUUAGUGUCUUACUAAUGAUAUGCAUGUGUGACAGCUUCAUAAAUUAUUUUACAUGGAAAAUAUGAAAAAUAAACUUGAAAAAAAAUUAUUUUACUGAAAUAAUAGUUAAAAAGGGAGGAGAAGUACAAUACUCAUGACUUAGGCUUGCUGUGUACUUAUUUUACUUGGGAUUCGGGCUUGAUUACACACGGUCGAACACUUACAUCCCACGACAUAAGCUUUUAGGGAUGAGUGGCGUAAAUGUGUAUCUGCUCUUAUGUAUUAUUAUUCUUUGAAACAAAUCUGAUUAUAAUUCUUUUAAAAUACAGAUUAAAUAGCACGUGAAAUCGGAAAAUAUUUUACUGCGAUAAGAAUUCAUAUAUUCAUUGUUCUAGCACAUAUAAAAUAGACUAUAAAUUUAGUUCCAAAAUACAUUCUUAUCUUCAUAUAAAUUUUACAUUAUUAAUUUAAAUUAAUAUUAAAAUAUAUUGUUUCUUUCACUAUGUUAUUUUAUUUACACAAUGAUGUGACUAUUGGAAUGAUUAAUACUUAUAAUUAUUUUGUAAAAAUAUAAAUUUAAUACUUUGUUAACAUUUUAUCUACAUAUAAUAAUUAAACUGAAACUCGUAUUUAAAAAAUUCUAGUUACGCAUAUUCAUUUCAUGACAUAAAAGUGUAUAUUUAUGCUAAUUUACCAUUAUCAACAAAAUGCUUUGAGAGACAAGUAAUCUAAUUUAUAUUUUUAUAUUUAAAAUACUUCCAUUUAUUAUAUUUUGAAAAAAAUUUAUUUGCAAUUAUUUUAAACCCUGGAUUCAAAUUUUCGUAGUUAUUAAAGUCAAAGGGUAUAAAUGUAUAAUAGUCAAAAACAGAUUUGUAUGAUCAUGUAUAAAUUUUCUUAGUUAGUAGGAAAAUUAGAAAUUGUUGAUUUACUCAUAAAUAAAUUUAAUGUUUUGCAUUUCAAUUUUGGAAAACUUGAGCUAAACGUUGAUAACUUCGAAUUGGUCGAGCCGAGUUUCGCUUCCUCGACCCACGGACCCAUUGAAAGUUCUAUUAAAAUUGAGUUUCCCGGUGCUAAUAAAAAGCAUUUCUUUUCCUUGUCCCAGUAAUUUAUUCACAAAUGAGUUGAUUAGCAUCGAAGUUGCCUGAGAGUCUGAGACCAUACUAGUAGGAGAAAUUUGAAAAGAAAUUAUUUUAUUGAAUUAAUUUAUUUUAUCUUGUUGUAACUGAAAUACUACUUUUUUUUGGGAUGUCACUAGGUCUUGAUUUACUUUAAUAGUAGCAGCCACCGACUUAGGCUUUUUUUACUUCUCACUACACAAUUUGAUCUUUUAAUUCGUUUUAACCACAUAAUCUAUCUAUUUCUCACCUAUUGCUUACUUAAAUUGCAUACAUAUUUUACCUACUAAUUUUUAUAAAUAUUAGUCAAAUAUAUUUUAUUACGUUUCUCUCGUAAUUGCUCCAAAUGUGUACUAUUAAUACUUAACCCUCCCUUUUAAUUUACCGUGCAAUCUCUAUCACUUAAGUCACAUAUAUAUUUUACCUAUAUUUUACCCCAAAAAAUAUAAAAAUAAAAGAAAAAGAAUAUGUGUAGCAAUUUGUAUAUAACUAACAAAGCAUUGACAGCGUGUAGCCUUUCAAUACUUCACGAGUGGCUUUUUCUUGUGUGUUAGUACUUGUAAUAAUUGUGUAGCGUAUAAAUGACAUUUUAUUAUUAAAGUGCGUCCAUUUUUAGAUAUUACUUAUUAUUUGAAAAAUAAUCUGAAUAUAAUCUUUUAAAAUACAGGGGAGAUACCACUUGAAAUCGGUAAUCUCCAAAAUCUGGAGGAGUUGGAACUUGGUCAUAACAAAUUAAUUGGUACUGUCCCAGUUGCAAUCUUUAAUGUGUCAACAACACUCAAAUUACUUGGGCUUCAAGAUAAUUCUCUCUCUGGAGGUCUUUCGUCCAUCGCAAACGUCCGACUACCAAAUCUUGAAGAGCUUUAUUUGUGGGGUAAUAAUUUUAGUGGCACAAUUCCUCGUUUCAUCUUUAAUGCUUCUAAGCUCUCUAUACUAGAUUUGGACAAGAACUCAUUCUCCGGUUUUAUUCCCAACACAUUUGGCAACUUAAGAAACCUUGAGUACCUUGAUUUACAAUAUAAUUAUUUGACAUCUUUAACUCUAGAAUUGAGCUUUCUAUCCUCGUUGUCAAAUUGCAAGUCUUUAACACUUAUUGGCUUAUCAAAUAAUCCACUAGAUGGCAUUCUUCCAAGGACGUCUGUCGGUAAUCUUUCUCAUUCUUUGAAAUAUUUUAAAAUGCACAAUUGUAACAUUAGUGGCGGCAUCCCUGAAGAGAUCAGCAACUUGACCAACUUGAUGACCAUUGAUUUAGGAGGCAAUAAAUUGAAUGGAUCGAUUCCGAUUACUCUCGGCAAAUUACAAAAGCUUCAAUGGUUGAGUCUUGAUGAUAACAAAUUAGAAGGAUCAAUCCCAGAUGAUAUUUGUCGUUUGGCUGAACUGUAUUUAUUGGAGCUGGGCGGCAAUAAGCUUUAUGGAUUAAUCCCUGCAUGCUUCGGUAAUCUGGCUUCUCUGAGGAUACUGUCGUUGUGUUCCAAUGAGUUAACUUCUAUUCCCUUAACGUUUUGGAACCUUAAAGAUAUCUUGCACCUCUACUUUUCUUUAAAUUUUUUUACUGGCCCACUCCCAUUAGAGAUUGGAAAUUUGAAGGUUUUGAUUGGAAUUGAUUUUUCGAUGAAUAAUUUUUCAGGCGUUAUCCCAACAGAAAUUGGAGGCCUAAAAAAUCUAGAAUCUCUCUUCUUAGGAUAUAAUAGAUUACGAGGAUCGAUUCCUGAUUCAUUUGGUGAUUUGAUAAGUUUGAAAUUCUUGAAUUUGUCCAAUAAUAAUCUCUCUGGGGCUAUUCCUACAUCUUUAGAGAAACUCUCAUAUCUUGAAGAUCUAAAUCUUUCUUUCAACAAGCUAGAAGGAGAAAUUCCUAGGGGAGGAUCUUUUGGAAACUUCUUAGCUGAAUCAUUUGAGGGAAAUGAAUUAUUAUGUGGUUCACCCAAUUUACAAGUCCCGCCAUGCAAAACUAGCAUCCACCACACAUCAUGGAAAAAAUCUCUUCUCCUAGGGACUAUCUUGCCAUUGAGUACUACAUUUAUGAUAGUAGUCAUUUGGUUGAUCCUAAGAUAUCGACAGAGAGGAAAACGACCAUCGAAUGAUGCUAAUAUGCCACUAGUAGCAACGUGGAGAAUGUUUUCAUACCUAGAACUUUGUCGAGCAACAAGCGGAUUUAGUGAAAACAACCUAAUCGGCAGAGGAGGUUUUGGCUCUGUUUAUAAAGCAAGACUUGGGGACGGGAUGGAGGUUGCAGUGAAGGUUUUCAAUUUGCAAUGUGAAAGAGCGUUUAAGAGUUUCGAUGUUGAAUGUGAAGUGAUGAAAAGUAUUCGCCAUCGAAACCUUAUCAAAGUUAUUAGCAGUUGUUCAAAUGAAGAGUUUAAAGCGUUGGUAUUAGAAUACAUGCCUCAUGGAAGUUUGGAGAAGUACCUGUAUUCAAGUAACUGCAUUUUGGAUAUUUUUCAAAGACUGAACAUAAUGAUAGAUGUUGCAUCAGCUUUGGAAUAUCUGCACUUUGGUUGUUCAACUCCAGUAAUUCAUUGUGACUUAAAGCCCAACAAUGUAUUGUUAGAUGAUAAUAUGGUUGCUUAUUUGAGUGAUUUUGGCAUCGCGAAGCUCUUAAUUGGAGAAGAUCAGUCUAUGACUCAGACACAAACACUUGCCACAAUAGGUUAUAUGGCACCAGGUCUGUUCAAUAUAAAUAUUUUCUAUUUCUUGUAAACUUCCUAAUAAGUUAUUUAUGUUUCAUAAUCUUCAUUAGAUGAGGAAAUUAUUAUUAAUGAUAUAUCUUUCUAUGUAAAUAUUGCAAUUCAUAGAGUAUGGAAGAGAAGGACGCGUAUCCACAAAUGGAGAUGUUUAUAGCUUUGGAAUUAUGUUAAUGGAAACGUUUACCGGGAAGAAACCCACAGAUGAAAUUUUUAAUGGAGAAAUGACAUUAAAGCAUUGGGUUAAUGAUUGGCUACCCAUUUCCACUAUGGAAGUUGUUGAUGCUAAUUUGCUAAGUCAGGAGGACGUACAUUUUGUUGCAAAGGAGCAAUGUGUGUCAUUUGUCUUCAAUUUGGCUAUGGCGUGCACUGUGGAAUCUCAUGAGCAGAGAAUCAAUGCAAAAGAAAUUGUAACAAAGCUCUUAAAAAUUAGAGACUCAUUACUUAGAAAUGUUGGAGGCAGACGUAUAAGACAACCAAAUUUAAAUUGACUCUACCCCUCCAUUGCUUGCUAUCCUUUUCAGAGACUUGAACGGUUAUCCUUUAUACCAGUUUUGUUGAUAUGUUUUGUUAAUGCUCUUGCUCAUGUCUGUUUCUCUAUUUCUUUAAUUUGCAUGCAUGUAUUUUUCGUUCUCUUUUAUGUUUUUGUUGGUUUGUAUGUAGUUUGUUUUUAGGGGUAAGGUUGAUUAUGUCCUCCCCUAAUCAGGCGUAUCCUUUUUAUGUUUAUUCAAUAAAGCUUCUCUAAUACUAUCAAGGUUCAUCAAAAGAAAAUUUUUAAUUAAUUUUCUUUUCUUUGACAGGUAAUGAAAUUCUAAUCUACAUAGUGAAUAACUUCAAUAAUAGAGUGCAAUAGUAUUAGUAGUUAUGGUUGUUUUUUUAACCUGGAGUCAAGAGCAAUUUAACAGCAACAAACAAGUCUCUUGUAUUAUAGGCAAAAUUCUUUUCAUUAAUCUUAUUUGUCUACAUGUUCUCCUAUUUUCUCCAUUAAUCUUCGCUCAAGGUUUCAUGCUUCCCCUUUGAUAAAGGAAAAUAUUACUCGUGAAUAUUUCAAAUUUUCAAUUUGACAUGAGCGACUGAUUGUCAGCCAUUUGAUAAAAUGGAUAUGAGUGGAGUUUUCAAUCAUUACCUCCACCAAAAUCCUUACAACGCCACUUUUUAAUUUUAUUUUUUAAAAUAUAUUUCUUUUAAAUUUUUAUUAUAAAAUACUUACAAAUUCUAAACUAUUAAAUUAUUUUCUUCUUAUUACAUAGUUUAUAUCUCCAUAUCUCUAAACUCCUAUAAUUUUUUAAAAAAUAUUAUUUAAUUUAAAAUAUAAAUAUAAAAUAUAGAAUGGAGUGAGUAUAAAAAACUUGUUAAAAGAAUAAUUCAUUUAAGUAUUUAACUGAAUUUUAAAUUAAAAUAAGAAAUCAAUAAAUUUAUUUUUUAUUAGUUAAGUAAUUUUCAAUUGAAAAAGAGCUUUAUGAGUAAUAUUAUUGAAAUAUGAUUAAAAUUCUUAUGAAUUAAACAUUUUCGUAUUAAUACUAGUGAUAAUUAUAGAGAAAAUACGAUGAAGUGAAAAAACUUAAAUAUAAAUACUCUAGUAUAAUUUUACACAUGCAACUUAUGAACCAGUGAUCUUCAGAGCAUCAUAAAAUUGUUUUAACACAAUUAAUUGGUUUGAAAAAUUGCCAAUAAUGUCUACAGUGGGAUUUAAAAGAUUAAACUACAUAUAUAAGACAUGAUAUCAUUUAAGACGGCUUACAGAUUAUAAGAAAUAUUUUGAUCUUCCAAAUAUUUAAUAUGUCAAUUAGACUGAGUCUAUGCAAUGAAAAUUUCAAAUAAAAAAUAAAUCUCUUAUUUUCUUUUAAUCAUAAGUGUGAUCUUAAUUAUUAAAGUCAUUUAAUGUCCAUUACUUAUUCAUUUUUUUAAUUACCUAAAUGACAUUGAAAACUCUGAAUAUUAAUUCAUUCAAAUGUUUUGUUUUAAGGUAAUUGGAAACUGCAAAUGAAACAAAUACUUGAAAUCACAAACAGCCUAAAAUUAGAUUUUCAUUUUUCAAUGUUGCAGUGACUUUGAUCUUGAUAUUGAAAUUUUAUUUGUAACUUAUAUAAAGGCCUCAAUUUUAUCAUAAUUGGUUAGUAAGGCUACGUAGGGAGCAUCGACAAAUUUUGGGAUUGGAUUAUAUUUUUGGAACUAAAAAAUUAAUUUCAUCCAAUGAUAUGUUUGGCUAUUAGGACUAGCAACUUCGUCUAAAAUUAUUGAAAUUAUUGAUGUUUUAUAUUAUAAUCUUUUCAUUACCACUUUAAACAUUAUUGGUAACUUAAAUCAUUUUUUAAAUUAAAUAUAAAAUUUAAUUUAAUUAAUUAUAAAAAUUAAUUUAAUUAAAUAUAAAAAUCAUUUAAAUUAAAUAUUAACAUUAAUUUCAUAAUUUUUUACCUAGAAUUUUAUAUUAUAUUAAAUACUAAAAUUCUAUUCGAUAAUGUAUUAUCAUUUAUUUAAUAAAUGUUUAGUAUGUUAUAUUAUUAUUUAAAUUAAUUUUUUUAUUUACAUAUAAACAUAAAUUAAUAUUUACUAAUUUAAAGUUAUUAUAAUUUGUUAAAUAAUAAAAGCUAAAUGAUUAUAUUGAAAAUAUAAAUAGUAUUCUAAUGUAUUAUAGUCUAAAUUUUACCCCUAUGAGUUUAUUUUAUACACCUUUUAUUAUAUUAACCACAUUUAUAAUGCAGUGCAAUGUAACAAAAAAUUACAACCAAAUAUGAAUUAGCAUGAAAAUAAUAUUUUAGUGCAAUAUAAUACAAUGUAAUGUAAGCUAACAAAUGGAUAUUUAAUGGAAGCAAAAAUUGCAUAUGGCUUGUGGGUCUCUUAAAAGACAACAAAAAAAACCAAUAUGAUAUACUGAUUUCGUCCUCUUUAAUGGUGUCUUUACUAAAUGGGAAUCAGAAUAAGUUAGAAUUGGAAUGAGCUUGAAUCGAAAUAAAGAAUUAGAAUCAAAAUAAGUUGUUUAUUGAAGUUGUAUAAAUUAGAAUCAAAAUAAGUUGUUUAUUUAAGCUGUAUGAAUCAGAAUCAAAAUACAAAUUGAUGUGUUUAUUUUCUCUUGAAAUUAGAAUGGACUAUUACAAGUUACUAAAAAAUCAUUUGGUAAUUGUUGUCUCUAGUAUUAUUUGUAUCUGUUAUAAUGGUAACAAUAAUAAGAAUAAAAAUAAUACUAAAAAUGAAAAUAAUAAUAAUAGUAGAGACAAUAAUAAUAAAAUUAAUAAAUUAUUAUUAUUAUUAUUACUACUACUACUACUACUACUAGUGCUGAAGACCGCUCGGUGAAGAUUGGAGAGUGAAGAUGAAGAUACGAAGAUCCCGGUAACCAACUGCUGUUCCAAAGAUGAUGUGCCCAAAUGGAGACAACCAAUGAUGACUAGCCAACUAGAUCCCAAUCUCAAUGUUGUGAUCUCAUAUGACCACAGAUAAAGCUAUGUGUGAUGUUGGUGUUAUGAUUUCUUUUUUAUUUAUAUUUUUUAAUUUAUCAGUAGUAUUUUCACAUUUUUGUAAUUUUAAUAUGGACAAAUUGGAUAGUCCAAUGAACAAGAGACUGAUUCCCAACCAUCCUAAAAAUUAGUCUCUCAUUUUCUAUUUCUAAUUUGAUGUGAGUCCUGCUAUUUCGAUUCCAAUUCUUACAUUUAUUUGAGACAAAACUAUAGUGCAACUGUAGUAUCAUUGGAUCCAGCCACAGUUAUCACCAUGACUGGAUCUAAUGGUUGAAAGUAAUUGUGGUAUGAUAUCACAGUUGCACCAUAACUGGACAUUUAUUUGUGAAGUAAAAUGAUGUUAAUAAUUUUGAUUUCCAAUUCAAGAAGUAAACACAUCAUAAUAUUUUUUUAGAUGCUUCCAUGGCAUAAUCUCAUUGGUCCAUUUUUCUUCACGCCUUAGAUUCAACUUCAAGAUUCAAGAUUCAAUUUGAAGCAAACACAACUACAAAAAAAAUAUAAUAAGCGUUAAUAAGCAUGUGGCUGAAUGGCUGUGGCCAAGCAAAUGUAACUCAUAGUGACCGAAUCAUAUCUUAUUAUCUUACGCCAGAAGCUAAACAAUGUUCCCAUUCCACGUGUCACUCUCUGACCAAUCCCCGAACUUCUUCGUAUUUCCAAAGAAACCCUCACCAAGUCAAGAUAAUUACCUUCACUCUACUCAUAUAAAUGCUGUCCUCGAUUCGACUGAUGUCUGAUGACGACAUAUCCUUAGUCUUUAUUUAAAAGGGGAAAUUAUAAAAAAUUCUCCUCGUUCCCUAAAAAUCUAGGGUUUCUCAAGAAUCGCUAAACCUAGAUCCCAAUCCUUCAAAAUCUCAAUUUAACCUCUCUAGGGUUUCAAUUGUCGAGGAUUCGCUUCAAAAUUUAGUAUUUUUUAGGGGAUUUUGCUUGUCUCGUAUCCUUCAAUUGUUGUUCGGUUUUGAAAAUAAUUUGGAAUUUUAGGGAUUUUCAGAUUAUUUGGUUUUGCUUGAGUGCAAUUUCCUCUAGUUACGGUUUCAGUUUGAAGGGUUAAGUGCAGUUUGAAGGGUUAAGUGCGAUUUCGAAUAUUUUUAUAAAAUUAAAAUUAAAAUUCAUAAAACGAUUGGACGUUUAAUAAUUAAUUGAUGGCUAGCGAUACUACAACGGCGGCCGCAGCUGCGGAAGAAGCAGAGGCGGUGGAGGAGUAUGAUAGCGAUCCAGAUGAAGUGAAACACUCUCUUGCGAUGCGCAGAAGGGAAGCCAGCGAUGAGGAGGUUGAGGAGGAUAAAGAUUCAGAGCAAAACCAAAUCAAGGUAAUUACCGUCACUCGGCUCAAAUAAAUAGUCUCCUCGAUUCAACUGAUGACGACAUAUCUCAUAGUCUUUAUUUAGAAGGGAAAAUUAUAAAAAAAUCCCAUCGUUCUCUAAAAGUAUGGUGUUUCUCAAGAAUAGCUAAACCUACAUCCCAAUCCUGCAAAAUCUCAAUUUAACGUCUCUAGGGUUUCAAUUGUCAAGGAUUCGCUUCAAAAUUUAGUAUUCUUUUAGGUGGUGUUUGGUUGGAAGGAGAGGAAGGAGGAAAGUGAAGUAAUUUAAUUUUUUUUUUAUUUCUUUUGUUUGAUUUACCAUAAUUUAUAAGAAUUUAAUUUUCAUUAAAAUUUAAUAUACAUCAUGAUGUAGAAUUUAGAUUCCACCCCAAAGAGUGAUGAAUUUGAAUUCCUCCUCUAUUGAAAGCCAAAAUAUCCAAAAUUGCCCUUUCAAUUUUUUAUUAACUUGUUUAAUAUUAUCAAAUUAUUAUUAUUUACAAUUUUAUUUUAUCAAUUUAAUAUUGUAAAUAAUUAAUUUUGUAAUAGUAAAAGUUAAAUAAUUAAUAAAAUCACUUUAUUUAUUUAAUUAAUUUUAAAAAUAGAAAUACAAAUUUAACAGUCGCCGGAUCGCCGCUGCUGCUGCUAACAACCUCGCGUGAGACGUCACCACCUGUACUGUUGGAGUCGUUGGACGACAAGAAACGUCAUUUUACCGUCACGUAAGUGAAAAAAUGAAUUUAUGUUCCUCAAAUUCGGUUAACAUAAAUUUAAAAACUUUCUAACUAUCUCAGAUCCGGAUAGCAUUCGAGUUUUUUGGCCAAAUAAGUUGUUUCAAUCCAUAGAUCGUCAAGUUCUGAAAAUUUUCAUGUAAUUAGCGAGUUGAAAUGACAUGAUGCAGUGGUGGCCGACGGCGAGAGGCGGCAGCUCCGACAGCGGCGGCAACUCUUUUUUUUUUGUUGUUCAAAUAAAAUUUUAAAAUUAUAAUAUAUUAAUUAAGAAAUUAUUUGUAUUAUGUCAUAAUUUAUUUAGAAAUAAAUUAAAUUAAACUAAUUUUAAAAUAAAAUUAUGUUAAUAAACUUUUUAAAUAGAGUUUAAUUAUAAAUAUAAUUAUACUACUUAAAUAAAAUUUUAGUAGUUAUUUAUAUAAUAUAUUAAAUAAAUUUAUUGUUUAAUUUUUGAAUUAUAUUUUAUGAUAAAUAUUGAAAGUUUAACCCUAAAGGGUGAAAUUGUCCAAAUAAAAGUUAAGACAUUUUCUUUCUUUGUAUAAUUUUAUAACAAAUCAAACAUUAGAAAAGAAUUUUAAUGUACUCUCUCCUCUCCUCUCCUCUCCUCUCCCUCUUUUUCUUAAAACCAAACACCACCUUAGUGGAUUUUGCUUGUCUCCUAUCCUUCAAUGGUUAGUUCAUUUCUGAUAAUAAUUUGGAAUUCAGUUUGAAGGGCUAAUAAUUAAUUGAUGGCUAGUGAUACUACAUCGGCGCCCGCGCCCGUAGCUCCGGAAAAAACGGAGCCGGUGGAGGAGUAUGAUAGCAAUCCAGAUGAAGUGAAACGCUGUCUUGCGACGCGCAGAAGGGAAGCCAGCGAUGACGAGGACGUGGAGGAGGAGAGAGAUUGAGGGCUUCCAAUGGCGAAGUUUCCACAUUCCUCCGGGAGAAGCGGAGGCUGUUGAUGAGUACGAGAACGAUCCAGAUGAAGUGAAAUACUCUCUCGUGAUGGGCAGAAUGGAAGCAAGCGAUGAUAAGGAGGAGGAGGAUAAAGAAUUUGGGCGUCGAAUGAACCGUAGGGUCCACAUUCAUUCUUACGAUGAAUCUGAUGGCCAAGGUGGUGUCCAGCUGAGUAUGAUGAUGGUGAUGAUGAAGAACAUGACAGAGAAUUAGAAGAAGAAGAUGAAGAGGGGGAUGUGAUAUGACUUCAUAUCAUUUAAUUUGUAUAACCGUGACGCCAAUCCCAUUCAUCCUGGUCCGAUCCGAACGGAUCUUGUUGAAUGAAUUGAUCCAUUGUUGUAUGCCUUACUUCUUAGUGAUUUUUUUCCUACUUGGAGCCGCCUUUGAGUACUCCUGAGAGAUAGAGUGGAAGCAUUUUGUUAUGGUGGAGAGUGGGGAGUGAAAAAGCCCAAUUCAGCAGAGAACGACAGCAUGAAUCGGAAUCCACUUAUAUUAUUAAGACAGACGACCGAGAAAGAAAGGCUCCACGUUCUCCAAGUGAUUGAUCUUAGCGUAGCGCGCUAGCCGCUGCUUCAUUUCGUAUAGUGACAACGCUUUCUUAGCGCUCCGCCCCCCCCCGGCGCAUAGUAAGGGGGACUCUGGUUGCGCGGCUUUCUCUUACAGUGGUCUAUUUUCUCUGACUUUACUCAACUUGUGUCGGUUAGAGUAUCGCUUUCGUACGGCGAGAGUUAUUGAUUCAAAUCCAAUAGUAGUUAAAACCGGGGGAAACCCCUGCUUUUGCCAGCAUGACAGCAAGCACGGACUGGCAGCAAAUGUGGUGCGGGUUCAUCUCUCUCGAGCAGUUCAGGUUCAAGGGAAGGGUGCUCGAGGGGUACUUGUCUUGUUUAUCAUUUUUGUUUAAUUUUCAUAAAUUCGACGACCCACAAUUCAAUUAUGAGUGAAGAGUUUGUUAAAAAAAUGUGGUCUUCCAUUUACUAUAACUAAGUCCGUGUGAUGUAAUUAUUUUUCUUUCACUUAAUGUCUUGAAAAUUAUGAAUACAUUGUAGGAUUUAGAAGGAUUUUAAAGUUUUAAUGCAUAUGGGUUUUUUAUGUCCAUCCACUUAUGCGUAUCCUGCAUUUUAUGAUUAUCGUUGUUGGUAGAUUGACAAAUGGACCUUAAUUACAAGUCAAAUAACCUAAAUACUUAUCGGCCAAAGGAAGCCAUUUACAGUACUUUCUAGUGAAGCAAAGUAAAAUGAUUCAUACUGGCAAAGAAAAUUAGAAAGAAAAGGAGGAUUACUGAUCCACACAGUGUCGUUUACUAAAAGUACGUUGAUCUUACACUUAAUUUAUUAUAUAUCCAUUUAUAAUGUUCAAAAUGAUAAUGUACUAUUUCUUAAAUUAGGCUUUCAAAACAUCAUUUUGAUAAUGCAUAGUUGUAAUGUGUCUCUAAAUUCAGUAAUACAAGUUAUUUCUGUUACUAAUGGAUGAAGUGACUUGAAACUUGCAUGGUCAUUAAAUGCUGGCAUAAUCUCUUUGACUUCUCUUGCAUUUGAAUGAAUGGAUGAGCGUUGCAUUUGAAUGAAUGGAUCAGUGUUAAUGCAGGCAAAGAUUUUCUGGACUUUCAUGGAUUCACAAUAAAUGCUACGUCAAAGGCCUGGUAAGAUGUCAGCAAGCUGGUCGAAGAUAUCAACCUGAUUUGGUGGCUGCAAGAUUUGUUCAUCCAGGACCGUUUUCUUUGACAAUGAGAAAGCCCCAAUGUCUAUAAAUUGAGAACUCACUGAAUUGUAGAGAGAGAGAGAGGAAAGUGAAUGACGGGAGAGGCAGUGAAAAGAGAGAGUGGGAAGAUUUGGGCGUAAUUGGGGUUUCGGAGUGAGAUAAAAUAAUCAGAGAGUGGUUGUAAUAAUUUUUUAUACGGUGAAAUUUUUUUGUCUCGUGUUGUUUUUUGCAGUGGUGGUUUUUUACUCUAAUAAAAUAGUCUUCCAAGUAAAUUUUGUGUGUUAUGAUUGGGAUAUUCACCAUUUUAGUUUUCUAUUUAUUAUUUGUUUUACAUAUUGCUAGCAAAAAUCUGGGGCGAGAACCGAAAAUUCCCAACAAUUAUUAAUUAUUUUAAACUCUGUUCUGAACAGAGCAUGAAGGGUUUCACUUACCUAGUUACGUUUUUCAUUCUUUCACUUCACUUGAUUUCAUCUUGUCCCUCUCCUUUAUAAAAGUUGCAUAUAUUGGAGUAUCAAGUUCAUCACAAGGAUCAUAUUCUGGCUAACGAAGGAGCAAAGUUCAUUGGCUGCACUCAUGUGUAGCAGAGUAUUUGGAUUCAAGACUGUUAGAAGGUCGUUACAGAGUAUUUGGAUUCACUCUCCAAUUUUCAUUAAUUUAGUGUAGCCAAGCUUUAACUAGAUAGGUAGAUAACGUGGUCAUGAAAACUUGAUUAAGAGUUUAAUGCAAUCAAAUCUACUUUAAUGAUUAUUUAAUGCACGGAGAUUUAACAUCAAUUAUCAUCACGUUAGUCUAACAACGAAAUUGCAGAGCUUGGAUCUUUACUCGAACAGUUUCACUGGCUGUAUUUCUGACACAUUGGGCAAGCUGAUGGAAUUGCAAUUCCUGUAUGAUCAUUUCCCCAACUAUUAUUUGAAUAAUUAUUUAAUGCCAUUAUUCCAGCUCUGUUUGGCUGUUAACUUUAUUUAGUUAUUUAUGAGGAGAUUCAUUUCUCACCUGAAGCUAGAAAUUUACGGAUCAAUGACUUUUUAUUUUUUCUUUUAUAUGAUAGCUUGCAAUCCCUGGUGUGUGUUGAUAGUGCCUUACAUGAAUACAAAAAUGAACAAAUUUUUUUUUUUUUUUUGGGGCCAAUUGCAGUUUUGAUAACAACUAAAAUCUGUGUGGUCCGGUUACCACAAAGCCUUGCCCCAGAUCCCUGCCAUUUUCUCCUCCACCUCCAUUUGGGGAAAUUACUACUUACUUUUUGCAAGUUUUUCGUGAAAUAUUUAUUUUGAGAAGAAAACCAACAAUACAUUUUAUGAUUUGGGCUGUUUCAAAGAUCUUCGCUUGAUGUCUCUGCUACUGGUUUUCAGCAGAGUGCCCAAAAAUAAUCAGUGCACGCACUAUAGGCUCUAUUAUUAUUAGUAAAAAGCGUUAAUGAUAUAUUGGGAUCGACUUUUUUAUUUGGGAGUGGAAGGAUGCUUGAAAGAGUAGAGUGGUGCAUCUUGUUCAAACAUGCACCGUAGAGCCAAUUCCAUUUUAUGAAAUAGGAGUUAGACUGAACAACGUUAUGUCUUCGUUAUCAUUUCAGAAGGAAACAAAUCAAAUGCAGCAAUUGAUGUAGGAGUUGCUGUUGGCGCUGCUAUAUUUUUUACGGACUCUCAUACCAUGGAAAAACUCAGCUUUAAAGAAUGGUAUGAUGCUUUGAUAUAUGAAGUAAUUGGUAUAUAUUUUGUACCUUGCAUACAUUUUGCUCUGUUAAUGUUAUUAUUUGAUAACAUGUUUGUCGAGUUGCACAGUGUCUAGAAUUUUGAGAUUAAGAAGAGUAUAAAUGUUAUACAAAUACACUCCUUUCAUUUUAUACAACUUUGAUUGAUCAAGUUGUAUCUCUUUGAUAAAAGAGCAGUAUGACAUUUAUGUGCAAGCAAAGUUGCAUUCUGUUUUGGGAUCCUGGAAAAAAUAAAAGAAAGAAAACGCGGUACGACGCUGAUACUGUGCUCUUUAAUAUUUUUCUAGAUGCUUCAAUGGCAGAUUCUCGUUGGUUCAUUUUUCUUUACGCCUUAGAUUCUAUGAUUCAAUUUCAAUCAUAUACGACAAACAAAAGAAGCCUUUGGGAAAUUUACAAUAAUAACCAUUAAAGUUUUGCCUUUUUUCAUCUUAACCCCCCAAAAAUAUUUCUAUCAACAUUAGCCAUUAAACAACUUUUGAGACGAAAACACCCCUCCCUCAUCUCUCCCCCAACACUCCCUUUCACUCAUCUCUCCCAAACCGAUCCAACUUCCAUCAUCGGCGGCGACAUUAACCCUCGUCGGCGGCGGCUCCAUCUCUCACCGGCAUCCGAUCUACGAUCUACAACCUUCAACAAAACCUAGGUUAGUUAUUUUUCUUAUUUUCAUUAAUUUAAAAUGAAAUUUUAGAAUAAUAAUAGUUAUAGCUUGAGAAUAAUGGUGGUGGUGGUGGUGUUUGUGGUGGUUGGUGGUGUUUGGGAGUAUUGUUUUUCGAUUUUGUUGUGGCUUAAUUUUGGGGGUGGAGAGGGAGGGGGGCAGGGCGCGCGCCCAUGUGCGCCCCACUGUCGCACCAGCUUUGGUGCGACAGGCGCCUGUCGCACCAAAAAUUAUAGUGUCUUUUUUUUUUUAAACGAGUAUUUUUUUUUCUGUAAACGUAAUGUAAUAAUUUUAUAAAUAUUACAGAUACAUGGUGAAAUCAGAUUCACCGGAUAUUGAUGUAGGCAAGAUGUAUUUUAGUUAUGCCGAUCACUUUCCUGGUCGAAUUUCGAGCAUGUGUAAGUUAUCUUCGGUCAUAAAAGCCAUCGAGGAAAAAUUAACAAAGCGACAGUUGACUAUGUUCAAAAAGGAUAUAUUUGGGCAUUUCUUGGAGUGUCGAAGUUUUCCAUUUAGUGGGGUAAUUUUGCACAAUCUUUUACUGAGGCAAGUGGCCCAUGAAGAAGAUAGCCGUGAGGAUCAGUUAUGGUUUCAAAUUGGUGAGCAUUUGAUUCGCUUGUCAAUUGUCGAAUGGUGCUUGGUUACUGGACUUUCAUUUGGUGUUGAUACCAAUCAAAAAAAUGAAGAAAUGGAGCAGAGGCUACGGAAUACGUAUUUUGGUGGUGUUCAUCGUAAGAUUAAUGUGAAGGAAUUCGAUGCAAUAUUUAAGGAGUUGAAAUUCGAGGAAAUGGACGAUAUGGACGCAUUAAAGAUUGCGCUGUUUUAUUUUGCGGACCAAGUACUAAAUGCAAGAAAAAAUCACUGUCAAAUCAAUUUCGAUUGGCUUGACAAAGUUGAUGAUAUACAGUACUUCUGAAAGCGUCCAUGGGGUCUGUUGUCAUGGGAAAUGAUUUACGAGAGUCUUGACAAUGCACUGUUCGAGAAAGACGAGAAAUUUAAGAAGACUCGGUUGAAAAAUCCAGAUCAUAACAUUGAAAAAUACAAUCUUUACGGCUUUACGUCUAGGGUUCAAGUGUGUUUUUGUUUUUGUUUAUUAAUAAGUUUUAUAGUAUUAAAUAUUUGAUAUGUUGUUUUAUUUGAUUUUUCAAUUUGGUUGUUGUAGGCUUGGAUUUACGAAGCAAUCGGAGGGUUGCCAUCAACAUGGGUCGUCAAAACGAAGAAUAAGAUUCCCCGCAUUUUGCAAUGGAAGCCCAUGGCGUCUUCGAGAAUCAAUUUUGCGGAGGUUUAUUCGUUCUUCAAUGACGAAUCUCGUCUUGUAAGCAAUAUGUAUUACUUAUUUUUUUAACUUUACUAAAUAUAAGUUAUGUAUACUUACUUAAAAUUUUCAAUUUAAUUUAUGGCAGGGGGACGUUUUACAAACUCUUGAGCCAAAUUCAAAGGAGAGUAGCAGAAAUUAUUGGGUCUCUGUGAAGGAUUACUUGCCAAGCAUUCCAGGCUGGGUUCUUAAGGUUGGUAUACUCUAAGUACUAAAAAUUAUUUAAUUGAAAUUUUUGACUUUUCAUUUACAAAUUUUAAAUGAUACUUUAUACAGCACCAACCCUCAAUCAACCCGAUGCCGUCGGUUACAAGGCAAUCAGACGAGCAUGACGAUCAUGACGACAUACUAAACCCAAUACCAGAGCAGCGUCAUGACACUUAUGAGGAUGAGGUGGCUGUUGAUGACCAGCAGCAGCAAACAAACAACUCUGAUGACGCACGGGAUUCUGAGGUUAUAAAUAAUAUACGAUAUUUUUUCUUUAUAAAUUAUUAAUUUUUUUUUGUUUUUCUAAAGUUUUCUGUUUUUUCUUUUGUAAUAGUCGAGGACAAAGCAGUUUAAUGAUUACAUACGACGACGGCUGGAUAAGAUUGAUCGUAACGUGUACGAAAUAAAGUCAGAAUUAAAAGAUUUUAAAGAAACCGUUGUUGGCUUUAUCGACACAUUUUCUAAAUGUCCAAAUAAGGAUUCUCCCACUGCACACUCGUAUGCGGUGAGAAAAUUUUUAUUUAAUAAUUAUGUUCGUUUAACGUUUAAUUUGAUAGUUGUUUAAUAUGUUCUUCUUGGCGAAUGGACAGGCCCCGGAUGACUAUGGAGUGUAUACUAACGUGGGCAAUGAAAAUUUGUCUACGCCCACGUCAUUGUAUAGUUUCUACGGGGAUGUUAGUGGGGAGAGCGUGCAGGUGUUCUCUGAGGUGCCUCCCGGCGUUAGUAAGUUCGGCCGCGCGUACAUACCGUCGUAUGUUUAUAACAUUCCUUACAUGAUUCCUCCAGUCAAGCGAAGACAGAACAUCCGGCCUUUGCCUCGACCCCAAAUUUUGGAGCAUGCGAUUGUCAUGAGUACGACUGUGGAUAUAAAUCCACUGAGAGGAUUGGAAGACUCUAGUAUGUUUGCUGAGUUUGAUCGAUGGUUCGCUGGUGAUAUGAUAGUGGUUCGGAGAGUCCGGCACCCGCGGUCAUUCUUUGAAAUACUUUUGGGUUUAACUUCGAUGGGAUGGCUAGGCGAUGAGGUAAUUAUAUUUUCGAAGUGCUUUGAGUAAUGUGGAUUUGUAAAUAAAUAUUUUCUUUUAAAUCGUAAUGUUUAUGUUUCUCUACAGCAUAUUCACGAGUAUUUUUGCUUGAUUAGCGAGAAACAACGGCAGUAUCCGAAUGCCUUACUUCAACGUGUCACACAUACCGACACAUUUUUUUGGGUAACGUGCCAACAUAACGAACAUAAAUACUAUUUAUGUUUUUUUUAAUUAUCGCCUUUAAGUUUUGUUAAUUAAUGCAUUUUUUUGGUUAUCUAUGUAUUAGGUGUUCUUGACUCAGUUAUGGAACAAUGGGCAUUGUGCGGUCAAUUCAUUAGAAUUUGACGACCGCUUGAAUAGCUAUCUCUGUGGGCGACAGCACACAAUGUCCAAAUCGAUGACGGAUGUCGAUAUGGUAUGUAGUUUAUUGUAUUUCGUAUACAAGUUGUCGAUUUUUCUUAGUUGUUUUUCAAUUUCAUAUAUAACGAAGAUGUUUUUGAAUUUUUAUAUACAGUUACUCAUCCCUGUUAACUUGGACGGCGAGCAUUGGGUACUAGCACGAGUAGACUUUCAGAAAAACAAAGUCUGGAUUUAUGACUCAUUACUCACAUGCCGCGACGACAAAAGAUACAGGUUGAAAUUCAAGCCACUUGAAGUUAUCUUCCCUCGAUGGUUGGAAUAUGUUGGGUUCUACAACAUCCGACCUAAGUUGCAGAGUGCUGACCCCUGGAAAGUUCUCGCAGUUAGGAGUGCGCCACAACAAGAGCGCGGAACUGGCGACUGCGGUGUUUUUGUAUUGAUGGUUACGAUGUAUUUAAUGGUCGGGCUUACAUUAGAGUUUACCGCUAGUCAUGUCGAGUACUUUAGAAAGAAGAUUGCGGUUGACAUAUUUAAUGACGAUAUUGUAUUGUAAAAUGUUGUAGUAAUUUCAAUGUUGAAAUUUAAAUUUUUAUUCUAAUUUGCGCACUUAAGUUUAUAUAAUUUGAAUGCUCACAUUUUAAUAUUAAAAAAAAAUACACUCACAUAUAAGUGUACAAUACACUAAAAAAAUAUAGCAGUUUUAACCAACGAAUUAUUGAAACAAUACAACUAACUUCGAUUCGACGCAAUGGGAUUCUUACACCGCUUGCGAUUAUGGCCCAGUUCAUGACACCGCCCGCAUCUUACAGUCCGCCGGUUAACGUCCUCGCCAGCCAAGGGUAUUCUACGCUCUUUACGACGGUCAGGUGGUGGUGCCUCAACUGGAGGGUAUACUUGCAUCUCCUGAAUUUCAUCUGGAACUUCCCAAUCAGCCACAUCGCCAACUGGCUCCACUGGUUGUGCAUAAGCCAUUGCCAACCAUUCUGUAGUGUAAAAGUCCAAGCAAAGGUUAAUAUAAUCCACCCGGUGUGUUAGACACGCCGCAAUUGCAUGAGCACAUACAAGCUGAUCAAGCUGAAAAACUCUACAGGAGCAAGUUUUCUUUUGCAAGUCAACCAAACCUUCCUUAAGCCCACCACCUAUAACUUGAAAUCGAUGCGGAGACACCGGCCGAACUAUCAUUCUUUCAGCUAUAGUUCUCCGCUCAGUGACUAUUUCAUCUACCCAUGUUGUUAGCCGAGUACUCAUUGAUUCAGCCAUAAUUUUUCUAUCAUAAAACCAUUGCUGCAGCGUUUUCCUAAAGUGAUCAACAAGAUGAGUAACAGAAAAUUUUCGCGGUUCUCUCAUGAAAGAAUUAACACUCUCCGCGAUGUUGGUGGUAAGUAUGUUGUACCUCCUACCUUCAAACUGAGACCUUGCCCAAUUACACGUACCGACAUUAUUUUCUAGGUAGUCAGCCGCACCCGAGUGGAUCAUCCACAACCCUUCAAGUUGUCUCUUAAAUUCCUCGUGGCCAUAUGCUUUUGCUGCAUUAAUAAAGGCAGGCUCAAAUUGAUCCCAAAGAACUUUUGACAUUCUAAACUGUGACUUAAUGUUACCUUUCACGUGGUAAAAACAAACUCCAUGAGUUGCAUUCUGAAAUACUUUAAGAACGGCUCUCCUUAUGGCAGUGCAUCGAUCAGAUAUAAUUACCAACUCAGAUCUAUCGCCAAUCACUCCAUGUAACUUCAUCAUAAACCAUUCCCAAGCAUCAUUGUUUUCUGAAUCCAUGAUCCCAAUGGCUAACGGAUACAAUUGAUUGUUACCAUCAAGACAUGUUGCCAUGAACAUGCUUCCACGAUAUAGCCCCUUGAGAUGAGUACCAUCUACAACAAUGACAGGCCGAAUGUACUGCAUAAAACCCUUGAUGGAAGAUCCGAGUGCUACAAAAUAGUACAAGAAAUUACCAUCUCCAUCCUGCUCGAUGUGAGUGACUGUACCCUCAUUCGCUGCAGUUAGUACGUGAGAGUAUUUAGGGAGCAAGUUGUAUGACUCUGCAGGGUUGCCUCGAACUAUUUCAAGACCAACUUCUCUCGCCCGAUAUGCCUGCUGGUAUGUUAACUGAACACCGUAUUCUUGUUGCAUAUCUGCUCUUAUGUCAUUCGGAGUAUAAAUUCUCUUGUCUUGAAUAUAUUUAUCUGCAAUAAUAUGACCGACAACCCGGCUCCUGACUUGAUGACGUCCAGCAAACAAUACCUCAUUAUGACAAGUGUGCACAUUAUCAACUCUCCGCACCACACAAGGAACAUUUUCCUCGUUCGAACAUCUAGUUGCUCGAAUAUGCCAUUUACAUGAUUCUGAACUACAGUGAGCCUCGAAACGUGUCGUAGUAGACCGUGCAAUCUUGAAAUCAAACUUAUCCCGGAAGGCAACCUUGCGUAGUUGUAAUAUAAACUCAUUCUUCUCAGCAAAUAGCUUACCCACACUGAUAUCAUCUGAGUCACAACUGCUAAUAAAGCUUGGAGCAACCAUGUUCGAAGGCAAAGUUGGAGCAAGACUUGUGAGAGGGUCAAUUCUCCUUCUCGAUCGAACCAUUGCUGGAAUAGGUCUAUUGCCUCUGUUAUUCACUGGAGUAUUGUCUUCACACUCAUCCUCAUGCUGAAACGACGGAACAUUCGAAGGACCGGCUCCUCCAUCAUCACCAUCAUUAUUGAAAUGAGUGCCCCUCAUAUUAUUAGAAGGUUCUGCACAAACAUUAUCCCCCUCUGUCUCAGCAUGAAAAUCAUCAUUGUCCCGAAAAUCAUUAUUGUGAUACGGAGAAUACCGUUGCUCCAACGACGUCGUUAUUGAAAAUACCGUCGCUCCAACAUCCUGUAACGUAACGCCAUCAUCAUCAAUGUUGUCAUAAUUGUCGUGGAUUGGAGAGUAAUAUUGCUGCAGUGAUAUUGUCCUUGGAAACACCUCUUCUUUAUUAUCGGGGCCAGACAUAUUUGCUCUAAACGAAGUUUCUGUAUCGACAUGUGGCUCAAUACCUCCACUCGGAACUCGAGGUGAUGUGGUAAUAAAUAUAGGAAUGCAUCCAAAAUUAGCUACGUCGGAUGCCAUAUGUAACACAACCCUCACCAUUUCAUCAUCAAAUAUAUCCAUGGGCAGUGCACAUACACGAUAUAAUGUGUUACUAGACCUCAAAGUUGUCUUCAUUGUGAUAUUAUAUUCAUUAGGAUUAAUUUGUAACACAUCGUAUACUCUUGCCAAUAACUGAUCAAAAAGAUAAUUUUUUCCAACCAAAAAAGCUCUAUUUUUACCGUUGACAUACUCCAUACGCCCAUCCUCUAAUGUCUCCCAGCAACCAUCGUAACACAAUUCAAGUACAACUGAAUCCAUUAAGCUUGAAAUUAUAAAAAAAUAAAUUAUUUCAGCCCUAUCAAAUUAAUAGUUAAUUAUAAUGAAUCUGGCUUUUGGUGCGACAGACUGACUGUCGCACGAAACUUGGUGCGAAAGGGAGCCUGUCGCACCAGGCCUGGUGCGACAGACAACCUGUCGCCAGAUUCACCCAUGAAAUCAUCCGCAGUUCAGUCAAACUCACAAGCAAGAAAAUAACUCAUACCACUAUGUGAUGCCGAUUAGUGUUGGAUCCGAAUAAAUUAUGAUCGGAUUUCACUUUUUAUCGUUGCCUUUUGCCGUUGCCGUUGGUUGAUGAUUCAAGAGUGGAAGCUGCCUUUGUUUGACGAAAGGGGAGAAAGAAUGUUGCUUUUGGUUUGUAAAGAAGGGUAAUUUAGGGAGAACAGCAUGUGUUUGGCUAAUGUUGAUAGAAAAAAGUUGAGAGAGUUAAUUGUGAAAAUAAUAAAAAUUUUAUAAUUAUUUUUGUAAAUUUCCCGAAGCCUUUAAGCCUGCAGCUGAAAUAGAUGGUACUUUAAUUUUCAGCUGAACAUAUAUAUGGUAAGAUUAUUAUUAUUGAGCUUGAUGAGGCUAUAGAAAAUUCAAUAUCGAGAUCGGAUAAGGGUCCAAUAAAUUAUAAAAAUAAAGCAGCUCAAAGCCCAUAUGAUCAUGGGCCAGGCCACUACUUGCUCAUGCUUUGAAUCAAAAUUAGUGACGUUGGAAGCUGAAAGGGGCAAAUGAUGAAAUGGGGUUCAUCAUAUACUAUGCCCAACGGGAUAAGAUCAUCAUUUAAUUGCCUCCUCCUCUCCUCGAUAGAUAUUUGCCGAAUUUUUCUAUUUCAAAAUUAUUAUAUUGGUUAAUAUAAUUAGAAGUUUUACAAAAUAUAAAUAUAAUUUAAAAAAUUUAUAUUUAUUAAUCUAAAAUUUCCAUUUGGUGUUUGAGAAAAAUUUUAAGUAUAUUCGGAUAUACUUUCUCAUUGUUUAUUGAUUUUGGACAUUUAGACAUAUUAGUAUUCAGUAUUCUUAGGUAAUUAGCUAAGAAGUAUACGUGACAAAAGUAUAACACGUGAAAAAAUACACAACAAAAUUAUCUACAAUUUUCCAUUGACUUAGUCAACUCUCCAUUGAUUUCAUUGACUUAGUCAACUUAUGAUCUAACUCAACAACUUGAAAAUUAAAUUAUGCUAGUAAUUCCGUAAAAUUAAAAUUUAUCUCCCAAAAUUGAUAAAUACUAUGUCACUUUGUCAAAUUACUUAGGGUAAAAGUUCUGUGGCUAAAAACUUUUAAGAUGAGUUGUAUGCUAAUUGAGAAGGACAAGACACAAAAGAAUUCAAUGAAUGCUACAAACUUCUAAAAAAUAUUUUCUCUGCUCUUUUUUCUUUCACUUUCUCUUCCAUUUUGCCAAUCCCCAAACACCACCAAUCCUUGAUUUUUUGAGUAUUAGCUGUCAAUUUCUACAAACCUAGAACUGCUGUUUGUUUGUCUAAUUACUUUCAAGAAACAAAACUCUUUGUCAUGUGGUCUCUUCGUUUAUUGGCUUGUGAGCAAAUAAGAUAUUGGGCCAAUGGGCUUAACGUGACAAGUUCUUGAAUUGAAUGGCUCCUCUUUUUUUCAUAGAUCUUUGCUUAAUUUUUUUGUUCCCUCAACCUUUUUUGGCCUUUCGCGCUAAAAUUCUUUUUUUGAUACAUUAUGCAAAAAUUAUGAUGAAAAUGAGUUACUUUAGGACAUCAAUAAAUUUUUAUUACAUCUAUAAUAAGACAACUAUAGUGAGAUUACUCUUAUUUAAUUGAAUUAUAUGUAAUAAAAUUAGUUUAACAAAAUCUAACCCGUCAGUAUUCCAUAUCACAUGAUUAACGUAUUUAAAAAAUCUUAGCUAUUCCGUCGCUUGUUUUACAAUUCUUUUAUAUAUCUUUGAAACUUUCAGCUUCCCAACACAUCAUAUUGUUCUCAAUUCGUCUAAAUUAUUUUUUUCUUCAAACACUGCAGCAACAACCGGUAUAAAAUAGACUGAACUCAUUUAAUGGGAAUUAAAUGAUAUUUCUCUUCUCACCUUAAGAGACGAUAUUUCUCUUCUCACCUUAGGUUCCUCUAACAAACUUAAAAGAUGUUCCCCAUCCCACCUGUCCCCAAAUCUUCGUAUUUCCAAAAUAGAGAAGAGGAAGGCUUUUAUUGCAAACUGUAUGAGCGUUAUGGCCAUGGGAGGAUCAAAAUCAAACCAAUGGAUUGUAAAGCAAAAUUACCGAUUAAAAAUUCAACCAAUUGAAUCGGUUUGGUGUCACUUAAAAAAUAAAUAAUAUAUAAAACAACACAAUUAUCAUAUUAAUGAGCCUCUGUUAAAUUCAUUCAGUCAGUAUUUUUCUUUUCCCAUUUUCAAUGAAUGCUUAAUAUGGAAAACAAUAUGUCCCAUUGAGCACUGUUUAAAUCAUUCCCUAGUUUGUUUAACACGCAAAGAAUAUUCUUAUUCGGCUCUGCAGCCAAUCCGUUAAAAUUUGUUAAAAUUCAUUUAAGUGAUGACUGUGAUAUGACUCGAUCAGUAGUUUAAUUUGUAUAAUUUAUAAAAAUUUGGGCUUCAAGUAAUGUAGAUAGAAUGGUUAAUUAUUUUAAUAUUCAGAUAAAUUGAUAUAUGUCAUUAUAUUAUGAGUGGAUGAAAUAUCCAAUAGAAAAAAAAAAUGUUUGUAUUCGUCAUUUUUAGUGGGAAUCUAUUUAGUGUAACUUAUCCACAAAAAUGGUUGCCGACUUAUCUUGGUUCUCAUUUUGUUUAAUUUUCAUAAAUUUGAAUCAUGAUUAAUUGUGAGUGAAGUUUUUUUGGAAAAAAUCUGGUCUUCCAUUUAUUUUGUAGGAUUUAAAAGAUUAAAAAACUUUAAUACAUAUAAUUUUAUGUUCGAAACUAAAUACUCGUAGCAUUGCUGCUUCUAUAAAUAACUCAUUUGUGCUUCCAACCUGUUAUUUGUAUUUUACGUUUUUGUUUCUCUUCAUAAAGAUUUUCUUUUUUUUUCUUUUUUCCAUUCACUUUUUCUUCCAUUUUCCCGACUCCCAAACACCACUAAUCCUUGAUUUUCUAGAGUAUUAACUGUCCGUUUCUACGAACAUAGACCUACUGUUUGUCUAAAUACUAUCAAGAAACAACAUACUCUAUCGCGGGAUCUCUUCGUUUAUUGACUUUUGACUUGUGAACGGGGCUAAUUAAAGGGCAUUCCUUUCUUCAAGAAAGAAUGCAAAUAAAGUACUAUCCAUGAGACACGUUAAAAAUUAUUUUACAUAAAAAAUGAUAAUAAUCAUAAUAAUCGGUUUAGUGUAACCCCGUUAUUACUUAGUGACUGUCCGAUUGUCUUCUCUUUCAUUGACUUCGCAACUGUGACUUCUAAGUUGGGUUAAGGAUCGACAAAAAUGUUAUAACCUAUAAAGCAUGGAUAAUUAAUUAAUGGGAAUGCACCUCUCAUCUUUACCAUUCUCUUUGUCAUUUUCAUAAUUCAGCUGUUUAUUAAUAAAGUGAAUAAAUUUGUCUUUUAAUAAUAUGUUUCUUGGCUGUUUUUUGUGUAUUUUUGUGUACAAUUUUGUGUGCAAAUAGCAUUAUUCAUUAGUAAUUAGUUUGGAGCGUUCUAAUUUCUUCUAACAAGUAGCUCAUUUUAGCUUAGGACCUGUAACAAGUAUUUUAUGUUUCUGUUAAUCUUUAAUAAAGAUUUUCUCUUUUUUUUUUUUCCUUUCACUUUCUCUUCCAUUUUCCCCGACUCCCAAACACCACCAAUCCUUGAUUUUCUAGAGUAUUAGCUCUCUAUUUCGACAAACGCAGAACUGUUGUUUGUCUAACUACUUUCAAGAAAUAACGUAGUCUGUGGUUUAUUGACUUGCGAACGGGGCUAAUUAGUCACGGUCCGAUUGUCUGACUUCUCCAUUGACUCGGUCAAUUCACGACCUUGACCUGCACAGUUGAUACAAACGGCCUUCUCCAUUUGAGGUGCACAAAACUUUCUUGAGUCAUUUUGUUUGGUGAUGAUGAAUUGGAUGUCAUGAGUUUCAUGAUGAAGAGGACCAAAAACAUUAUUUUAUUAUUUAAAGAAGACUAACAAUUAUUUCGAUGGUCAUUUUAUUAUUAUUUUUAAAUAUCCAAAUGGUGAAAUUUUAAAGAAUUAAGGUGCUUGACUUCUUUACACAGAAUUACAAAGCAAAACAAUUAAGAAAUUAAAUACUCGUCAUCCAAGUGAGAAGAGAUUGGGUUGUUGAUACAUUAAAUAAAAGAAAAAUCAAUUAAAAGCACAACAAUUCAAUAAUUUCAUUCUCAAUCAUAUCAAAAAUAAAAUUUACUGUACAUUGUUUUUCGGUUCUGUAAAAAAAAAAAUUAUUAGGGAUUUGCAGUUUUUUUUAGUGUAAUUUUCGUUAAUUAGAGUUUGGUCUGAAGGGUUAAGCACAUGGAUCAUAAUCAUGUUAUGGCCUAAGGAAGGAGCAAGUUCAUUGGCUGCACUCAGUUUACAAAAUAUUUUGGGAUUCAAGACUUUAGGUUGUUAAAAAUGCAACUUGCAAGGCUGUUGCUGUGUAACUGUAUGCAAUGCUGGCAAGUGUGCUAUUAUUGGGAAAAUAUGCUCUUUAAAAGCAUAUGUGUUUAUUUAAUUGUAAUAAACAAUUUUUCUGAUUAAUAAAAUAAAUGAGGUAUUCUAUUCAAAUAUCUUAAUUGCAUUAAUAAUUUUAUUAAAGUCCAUUUAAUCAUAUUAUAUGUAUUUAUGUGAUCACCAUGUGGAUUCACAGAAGACAUAAAUACAAGUUAUCUUAUAAUUAAAUAAAUUUAGUUCGCAGUUGAUAAAUAAAGUUGGGCACUUUAUUUAGGUAUAGACUGUAAUAAAUUCAUUGAAUGAUUUGUCUUAAUCAUGUAUGAAUUUAUUGAUGUAGUACGACUACAUUGAACAGGAUCACAUAUGAGAUUUAAUUUUCUUUGUAAUAACUGUCAGACUUAUUAAAUCUCAUAGGCAUUGAUUUUACUGCAAUCUUAAUCUUGAGUUAAUUAUGAUUUCAUUAUUGUAAUUGUUAUUCUAUUUGAGUUACCAAUGGGCACGACACAUCCUUGUGGUCAAGAUUACCCGGUAUCUUGGUGGGAGCAAUUAUAAGUAUUGGAGUUAUGGAUUAACAAUAUAGAAUUUGUACAACACAUCUCUUGAUGGGUUUUCGGCACUUGAUCAUAGAAUUCUCUUGCCAGAGUGUGUCAACAUAUUUAGUAUGUUGAAAAUGAUUAUUAGAGAAAACUAGUAAGGAUCAAGGAAUAAGAUGUUAUUAAAUUGAUUGGACAGUUGAGAUAUCAAUUUAAUUAACAAUGUGGUACAAAGGAUUGUGCAGUAAAAAAAAUCAAUGUGGCUUGGGACGAAUUAUUAUUCGAGCAUACAAUUAUGGAAGUCAGUUCCAAUCUUUUAGUGGAGGAGAUUUAGAAUUAAAUAAUUGGGCUAGUUUAAUUACAGGCCUAAUUAUUGUAGCCACUAUUGUAUGUUCCCAAAUGAUCCCCGGGUUAGCUCAUUUACUUGACUGCACCACUACUGGACUAAAAAGUAAGAUAACUAGCUAUUUGGGUCAAAAGCCUAAAUAUAUCAUUUAGUGGGAGGCUCCAUUUAAUUAGCUUUUGUGUAAGGGACCUUAUGUUAUUUUACAAGGUGGGUCCCCUAUAGAAAAAGCAAAUAACGUGAAUUUUGUUUUUUAUUUAUUUGGAGCCUAGGGUUUUCACUAAUGGGUGAUAUAAAAGGCUUAUUUUCUCUAAAGAAAAGAGAGCAGCCACUUUAUACAGAUCAGAGAAAAAGAUUUUUCUCUCUAUUGUUGAGAGAAAAAUUUUCUCGUACUAGUUGCUUUGGUAGUGAUAAAGGCGCCCACAUGUCAAGUGCAGAUCGAACCUGAGUCAUAACCUGGAAGAUCAUUGGUGACAGUUCGUGAUCUAACAAGCGUGGUGGUGAUGGAUCGUGAUCCAAAAGGAGUGGUGGUGGCGGAUCGUGAUCUAGGAGCCUAAAUCACUUCAACGGAAAAAGCUAAAUCGGAUUUUCAAGGUACGAUUUCUAGAUUACAAAUUCUUAUAUAUUAUAUGAGAGCGAUCUUCAAAAGGUUUUAUAAAAAAUUUAAAAACCUGAUUUUUUCCCAACAGCUAUAACAUAUUGUUGAGAUGGCACCAAAGAUUGUAAACUAAUUAGUACUGGAAAAUCCUAUUUGCACAUAAAAUUGCACAAAAUAAAUAGAAUGAGAAUACUUGUGCAAAAAAAAAAAAAAGAUUAAUAAAGUGAAUAAAUUUAUCUUUUAAUAAAAUAUUUAUAGUCUUUUAUUUUUUUGUGUAUUUUUGUGUAAGUACAAAUAGCAUUACUCAUUAGUGAUUAACGUAGAGUACUCUGAUUUCUUCCAAUAAGCAGCUCGUUUGAGCCUAGGACCUGCAAUUAUGUUUUACCUUUCUGUUACUUUCUCUUAAAUAUUAUCUCUGUUCUUUUCUUCUUUGCUUUCACUUUCUCUUCCAUUUUCCUGACUCCCAAACAUCACCAAUCCUUGAUUUUCUAGAGUAUCAGCUAUAUAUUUGUACAAACACAAAACUGCUAUUUACUUUCAAGAAACAACGUAUUCUGUGGUUUAUUGGCUAAUGCCUUGUGAAUGGGGCUAACUAUUUCCAUGAAACAACGUACUCUGUGGUUUAUUGACCUGUGCCUUGCGAACGGACCUAAUUGUCUCCUCUUCCAUUGACUCUGUCAAUUCACGACUUUGACGCGCACAGUACGUAGAUGCUAACUGCCUUCUCCAUUCGACGUGCAAAAACUUUCUUGAGUCCGGUUAAAAUUAAUUGAUCAUUUUAUUUGGUGAUAAUGACUUACUUGUCAAGUCAUGAGUUUGAUGAUGAAGAGGACGAAAAAUAUUAUUUUAUUAUUUAAAAUAAGACUAUCAAUUAUUUCCAUGGUCAUCUUAUUUUCUAAAAUAACUAAAUGGAAUCUUACAGAAUUAGAGUGCUUGACUUCUUCAUACAGUGCUUGACUUCUUUUUACAGAAUUAUAUAGUGAAAAAAGAAAUUAAGAAAUUAAAUACUUUUCAUGCUAGUGGAGAAGAUUGGGUAGCGAUUACAUGAAAUAAAAGAAAAAUAAUUUAAAAGUACAAAACUUUAAUAAUCUCAUUCCCAAUCAUAUCAGUAUAAAAAUUCUGUAGAUUUAUUGAAUAAGUAUUGAUUUUACUUUGGUAAUAACAUUUUUAUUUUCUUUGCAUUCGAGCUUUCUUUCUUUUGCGCUGGUCUUCACUCUUGACCGUAUUUCAUGGGGCACAUUCAAUCUCAAUCUUCUUCGGCAAGUUUGUUGCAGUUUUGUUAAUUACGAACUGUUGUAGGAUUUUAUGGAGAUGAUACUUUUAUAUACAUUUUUCUUUUCUUUUUUUCUUCGGUGAACAAAUUAAAAUUUUAGUUUUUGUCAUCAUGACUAGUGAAAUAAAAAUUGUCCUCAUUUCAAGGAUUGACAAAAACGUUGUGCUCAUACCGAUUAAUGGGGAACUGAUUUCGUCUUCUUAAAAGAGAAUUAUUUGCAGCGUGGUAAUUCGGAGAUUUCUGUAUUAAAGACCAGGAAAUCUAAUUUGGAGGGAAAAAAUUCAAGCGGCGCAUUUUUUUUGAUUUAUUUAAAAAAAUUGUUUUCCUCCCAAAAACACUUCAACGUAUAUUCUGUCAUAGAGGGAAAUGUCCUUCACUCUUUGACGUAUCCCUGGGGCAAUGUAAGUUGACUUUACAUUAAAACAAAACAUAAUUACAAUCACAUAAUUACAGUUAUCAUCACUGAUUUGUAUAAUUUUCAGGACUAGUAAAUUAUCUCAAUUUUUAAAAAAACAUAAUUACAAUUAUUGAUCGAACACCACUAAUUCCAACAAUUCAUCCAAAAAUAUCUUUGAGUUUCAAGGAAUUAAUGUAGCACGAAUGGCCAAGUUUUUCAACUUUUUAGAUAUUUGAUAUAUGUCAUGUUUUAACUUAGUACGAGAAGAAAAUUAUAGAAUACGUUUUUUUCAAAUUAGUGGAAAUAUUUUACGAUGAAACUAUCACAAUCACAUUUAAAAAUAUUCUUUAAAUUUUCACCAUUUCUACUGUUAUUCUUUAAACUUUUUUUUCAACAGAGCAUGGAGGGUCGCUUAUCUAAAUAUGUUUUUUGUGCUUUCACUUCACUUGAUUCAUCUUGUCCCUCUUUUAUAGCUUCUAUCUCGUAGGAGCUUAGAACCCGCAACUUGUAUUUUACGCUUCUAUUACUUUCUCUUCCAUUUUCCCGACUCCCAAACACCAUCAGUCCUUGAUGUUAUAGAGUAUUAGCUGUCUAUUUGUACAAACAUAGAGCUACUGUUCGUACUUUAGAUCUUCAGAUGUUUAGCUGACUAUUGUUUGAAUAUUAAAAUUAAUUUGUUAAAUAAAUAAAGAAAACAAGAGACAAUUACCAUACAUAUUCCAUAUUAAUUAGUCAGUGUCCGAUUGUCUCCGCUUCCAUUGAAUCUGUUGAUUCAUGCUUUCAUGAAGUGAAACGCUUAACACUCUGUUCUGAUCCGCAGGAGAGGAGGAAAAACACAAUUUUAUUAUUUCAUUCCUGACACGAGCAAAGAGCUUUCUUAGCCGGUUCGGCAGCUAAUUCCUUAAAAUUUGUUAAAUUUCAUUUAAUUGAUGAAUGUGACAUGAACUCUAUAAAUAGUUUAAUUUGUAGAAUUGUUAAAAGUUUAAACUUCAAGUAAGGUAGAUAAAAUGAUUAAUGUUUUUCAAUAUUUAGUAAUGAACAUGUGUCGUGUUACUAUGAGUGAAUGAAUGAAAUUUUUGAUAGAAAAUACAAUGCUAGUAUUAAAAAUUUUAAGUGCGAAUCCAUUUAGUGUACGUUAUCCAUAAAAGCAAUUGCGACUUGUCUUGUUUCCCAUUUUGUUUAAUUUUCAUAAAUUUGACUCACGAUCAAUUACGAGUGAAGAGUUUGUUGGAAAAAUCUGGUCUUCCAUUUAUUGUAAUCAGAUGAGUGUGAUUAAUUGUUUUUUUCUUUUGCUUCAUGUCCUGAAAAUUAUGAAUGCUUUGUAGAAUGUAGGAGAUUAAAAAUUUUAAUGCAUAUUUAUAUUCAAAACUGAGUAAACAUAACAUUAUUGCUUCUAUAAAUAGGUCAUUUCAACUUAAAACCCGUUACUUGUAUUUUACGACGUUUCUGUUUCUUAUCAUAAAGAUUUUCUAUGCUUUUUUUUUUCACUUUUUCUUCCGUUUUCCCGACUCCCAAACUCCACGAAUCCUUGAUUCUUUUCCUAGAGUAUUAGCUGUCUAUUAUUACAAACAUACAGUUUGUCUAAUUACCAUCAAGAAACAACAUACCUUGUCCUGGGGUCUCUUCGAUUAUUGACGUUUGUGACUUGUGAACGGGGCUAAUCAAAGGGCAUUCCCUUCUUGAAGAAAGAAUGCAAAGAGCCCAAGAAAGUACUAUCCAUUAGACACGUUAAGAAUUAUUUUGCUUUUCAUUAAAAAUGAUAAUAAUUAUAAUAAAUUAGAUUGAAUUAAUAAUAUUUGCAUGUGGUAUAUAAAUAAUCAGUUUAGUCACUAAUUAGUCACUGUCCGAUUAUCUUCUCUUUCAUCGACUUUGAAACUGGGACUUCUGAGUUGGAUUAAGAAUUGAAAAAAAUGUUGCAACCCAUAAAGCACGUAAAAUUAAUUAAUGGGCCACUAAUUCUUCUUCUUAAAAGAAAAGUUUUGCAGGGAGAUUGAAAAAAGGCUAAUUCGUGUUGAAGAUCAUAAAUGAGUAUCUGUCACAAAUACAAGUCAAGCUACACAAUUGUUCUUGUCAUACUAUUUAUUGGCACUUGUGAUCCUUGAAUUAUCUAUUUAUUGGCACUUGUGAUCCUUGAAUUAUCAAACGAAUAGCAACAACACUUCAAAAUACAGUAUUGUAAUACUUGGCAAUAUACAUUGACUUUUCAUUAAAACAAGCAUUGUCAUAUUGUCAUGUUCAAUUUUUUAACGUCUUGUAAUUAAAGAUUCCUAUGUCACAUUAUAAUUUUCAAACAAAUCGAAGUGAGUCAAAUCAAAUUUAGAAAUUUGAGGUCUACUAUAGAUUUUUGACAUAUUAAAUUUAAGACAAUUAAGUAAAUGCUAGACAAAAUCUAACUUGCAAAUAUACCUUACCACAUGAUGAACGUACUUAAAAAUCUUAACUGAUUGCUCACCAAUUAAUUGUUGUUUUACUAUUUUUAUAUAUCCUUUCUUUUCCCUAAAACUUCUGGUUUCCUAACAUCUAGUUCUCAAUUGGUCUAAGUAUAAUAUAAUUUUUUAAAUAUAAAUAAAUUGAAUUUAUUUAAUGGAAAUUUGAAAAAGAGACACUUAUCUAUGCAAGUAAAGUUGCAUUCUGUCUGUGGGGACCUUAAAAAAAAAAGCAUAAUGAUACACUGAUGACGACAAUCCUUAAGUAUUUGUUUUCUUUAGUUACAGUUUGGUUUGAAUGGUUAAGUUCAAGUUCGAAUUUUCUUUUUGUAAUUUAAAUUAAAAUUGAUAGAACAAAUGGGCCGAUCAGUAUGAUGAAGAAGACGAAGAAGUAAAAGCUAUUAAGCAUUAUCCUAUCACCAUAUCAAAUGGACCGGAUUCAAUCAAAUGAAAUCUAGAAAAUAGAGCAGCUCAUAGAUGUACGUCGCUAAGUGGAGGUUCAUUUGGAAGUACUUGGUCGAAUUGCGACUUGCGCCGGAGGCUUCGUUUUAGAAGAGUGCAGAGCAGCUGCCUUGUCCAUUAGGCACGCCAACGACUUUCUAUUGACCAAUAAUUUUGAAAGCGAUAUUAUUAAUUUACCAUCUAAUUUUUUUUAUAUUAUCAUUUCACCAUCUAAUUUUUUUGAUAAUUAUUUUUUUCACUUUGUGUUUUAGUUUUUAUUAUUUUACUACCGAAAAAUAGUAAACACACCCCUAGGGUAGGUUAUCCACAAAAAUGGCUACCGAAUUGUCUUGUUUCUCAUUUUGUUUAAUUUUCAUAAAUUCGACUCACGAUUCAAAUGUGAGUGAAGAGUUUUUUUUGGGAAAAAAUCUGGUCUUCCAUUUACUAGAAUUAGGUAUGUGUGAUUUUAUUAUUUUUCUUUUGCUUGAUAUGUAUCUGGAAGAUUAUGAAUUCUUUGCAGGAUUUAGAAGGAUUUGAAUGUUUGACCGCAUAUAGCUUUCUGUCCAUCAGCUAAUGCAUAUUCUGCAUUUUAUAAAUAUCAGAGCUGGUAGAUUGAAAAAUGGACCUUAUUACAUGUCAUAAGAGACUUUGCUCAAAGCUGCAAUUGGGCAACGCCGUGCUGUUCUUAUCGGCCAAGGCAAGCCAUUUACUAUUCUUUCUAAUGGAGCAAAAUAAGAUGAUUCUUACCUGCAUAGAGAAUUAGAAAAGAAAAGGAGGAUUACUGAUCCACAGGACUACUAAAAUAUGUGUAAUUAGUUGCAUCACUAGGUGGUGUCAAUAAGCAAAAUAAGAUGUUCUAAUGAUACUUAAGUAUUACCUAAAUUAGCCUUUCAAAAUUUCACUUCGAAAAAUUCCAAGGUGGUGAUGUGUCUGUAUAAAUUCGCUAAUACAAGUUCUCUCUAUUCCCAAUUGUUUUAAACUCUGUUCUGAACAGAGCAUGAAAGGAUAUAUUCAUUUUAUCUAGUUAUGCUUUUUAUGCUCUCACUUCAUUUCAUUUAUCUCUAUUCCUUGUCCAUCUUUUAAAACAGUUGUAUAUGUCGGAGUAUCACUCAAGCUUAGCAGAGUAUUUUGGGAUUCAAGACUGUUAGUAGGCUGUUACAGAUGCAACUUGCAAGGCUGUUGCUGUAAAAUUAUAUGCCAUGCUGGCAAGCGUGCUAUGACUGAUUGCUAUUUGCACGUAAAAUUUGCCCAAAACAAAUAGAAUGAGAAUACUUGUACAAAAGGACAAGAUUAAUACAGUGAAUAAAUUUUAUCUUUUAGUGAAUGCUUCUUGUCUUUUAGAGUUUUAGUGCAUUUUCGUGUGUAAUUUUAUGUGCAAAUAGCAUUACUCAUUAGUAAUUAGUCUAUAGUGUUCUAAUUUCUUCUAAUAAGUAGUUGAUUUGAGCUUAAGACUUGUAUUUUACGUUUUUAUUACUUUCUAAUAAAGAUUUUCUCUGUUCUUUUUUACUUUCACUUUCUCUUCCAUUUUCCCGACUCCCAAACACCACCAAUCCUUGAUUUUCUAGAGUAUAGCUAUGCAGUUCUACAAACACGAAACUGCUGUUGGUCCAUUUACUUUCAAGAAACAACGUACUCUGUGGUUUAUUGACUUGUGACUUGGGCAAAUUAGUCACGGUCCGAUUGUCUCCUCUUCCACUGACUCUGUCAAUUCAUGACUUUGGCACACAGUAGACGCCAGCUGCCUGCUCCAUUUGACGUGCAAAAAACUUUCUUGAGUCGGGAUAAAAUCGAUUGAUUAUUUUGUUUGGUGAUGAUGAGUUAGUUGUCAAUUCAUGAGUUUGAUGCAGUGAAACGCUUAACGCUCUCUUGUGAUGCGCAGGAGAAAAGCCAGCGAUGAUGAAGAGGACGAAAAACAUUAUUUUGUUAUUUAAAAUAAGACUAUCAAUUAUAUAUUCCAAAAUAAUUGGGUUUUGAUGGUCAUUUUGUUUUCUAAAAUAUCCAAAUGGAAUCUUACAGAAUUAGAGUGCUCGACUUUUUUAUACAGAAAUUAUAAAGUGGGAAAAUCAAGAAAUUAAAUACUCUUCAUAUAGUGGGAGGAGAUUUAGUUGUCAUUAUGCUAAAUAAAAGAAAAAUAAAUUAAAAGUACAAUACUUCAAUAAUCUCAUUCCCAUUCAUACCGUAAAUAUAAUUUUCUGUAUAUUUAUGAAAUAACUAUUGAUUUUACUUUGGUAAUUUUUUUUUUUUAAAGUAAGGUAAACGUCUUUGUUUUCUUUGCAUACGAGCCUUUUUUUCUUUUGCCUUGGCCUUUACUCUUGACUAUAUUUCAUGGUCAUAUUCAAUCUCAAUCUUCUGUAGGUUUGUAGCUAUUUUAUGAGUUACGAUUUUCUAUAGGAUUGCAUGUAGAUGAUACAUUUAUAUACAUUUUUUCUUUUUUCUUUUCUUAUUCGGUGAAGAUAUUAAAAAUUUAGUUUUUGUUUGCACAUGAAAUGAAAAUAGUCCUCAUUUUAAGGAUUAAUGGGCCAUAAUUUCGUCUUCUUAAAAGAAAAUUAUUUGCAGCAAGGUAAUUGGAAGCUUGAAGAUUUCUAUAUUACAUAGCCAAACCUAAGUGAUAAGAAUUUCCAUAUGAGAUAUAAUUUGGAAAAAAAAUUCAAGUUAAAGAUAAAAAAUUUGUGUUCCUUAAAAAACAUAAUUCAAGCCACACAAUUUUUCUUGUUUUAUUUGAAAAAAAAAAUUGUGUUCCUCACAAAAACACUUUAACAUUUGUUGUCUCAUAAAGGGAAAUAUCCUUCACUCUUUGACGUGUCCCUGGGGCAAUGUAAACAUUAAAACAUUGUCCACAAACAUUGUCAUGUAGUUAAGAAAAAUUUAAUUUUGACAAGUGCAAGACAUUUGGGACUCAUUUGAUUCAAGAAAAACAAUCAGUCUCAUUUAAUUUUGACAAGUGCAAGACAUUUGGGACUCAUUUGAUUCAAGAAAAACAAUCAGUCUCAUUUGAUACGCAAGGGGCUUUUUUACUCUGCAGCCAAUAUUUUGAUGAAUGUCACAUUACUGGUUUGUAUAAUUUUUCGGACUAAUAUAUUAUCUCAAUUUUUUUUAAAAAAUGCAAUUGCGAUUAUCAAACACGACUAAUCCCAACAAUUUAUCCAAAAAUUUGAGUGUCAAGAAAUGUGGUAUUUAUGAUAGCAUGGCUAGUUUUUUCAAUCAACUUUUUAGAUAAAUGAUAAAUCAAUAUAUGACAUGUUACUAUCUUACUAUAGGAAGAAAAUUAUGGAAUAAUUUUUUGAAAUAAUAGAAUUAUUUUACAACAAAAAUUUCACAAUCUAAUUUUAAAAAUAAACUUACUCUUUAAAUUUCUCAUUACUACUCCUACUGGUCCUGUUAUACUACUUAAUGGCACUGGUGAAGCCUUGAAUUAUCAAACAAAAAGCAAAAACACUUCAACAUCUGUUAUCCCACUGAGCACUGUUAAAAUCAUACGAUAAAAUGAGUACUUAUAUUAAAAAAGAAAAAGAAAAAACAAUCAGUCUCAUUGCGUCCUCUUUCAUUGACAUAGGCAAUUUGCGGUCAACUUGUGGUACCCUUAUUGACACGUAAAGAUCUUUCUUACACUACAGCCAACACUUACUUUCAGGACUAGUAAAUUUUUCAAAUGUAACAGAAAAAAAUACAGAAAUAUAAUUUCAGUUUAUCCAAAAAUUUGAGUUUCAAGGAAUAUAGCAUUUCUUAUGUGUCAUGUUAAUAUAGAGAAGAAAAUUUUAAAAUUUCUUUUUUUAAUGAAUAAAAGUAUUUUUUGAUUAAAAAACUCACAAUCAUAUUUACAAAAAAAAGUUUUAUUUAAAAAAAAUUCACUCCUCUUCCUACAUAAUUUAAGAAUUUAACAUUAUAAAUUAAGCUUUUUAAUCAAAGUAAUAAUCUCUCCUUCGGUGCGCAAAUGCUAAAAUUUAAUAUUAUAUCCGUUGACGAUAUUUGAUCUAAAUUCAGAGAAUAAAAUUUCUAACAGAAUUAUGAAAUUCGUUACUAGAAAUUUGUAUAAAAUUCACGAGAAUAGAAGGUUCGAUCAUAGGAAAUUAAUAUGUCCCUAUCCGAUGCAAAAAUGAUUAAAAAGAAAAACAAAAGUCAUGGGCUUAUUUAGAAAAAAGAAAAAAUUACAUUUCAGCCUUAACGCAUGCCAGUCUUUUUCUCCUCUACUUUCUUAGAAAUUUUGGUUUCACUAUAAAUUCUUGGUAUAUAGCAAUCUUAAGAGUGUCUUGCAUUACCAAUCCAAUUAAGCACACACUUACAAUCUAAAAUACUCUCAUCUCAUGGAAAGGCUUCAUUCUCUCAGUAUUAUGAGUAGAUUUCGCUUACUCCAUUGUUUGAUUCUUAUUUCCUUAUUUAUCGCAGCUGCAACAGCCAACACAAGUACUAUUACCACAGACCGAGAUGCUCUGCUUGCCCUGAAAGCUCACAUAACUCAUGAUCCAACCAAUUUCUUCGCCAAAAAUUGGAACACGAGUAUCUCUUUCUGUAAUUGGACAGGCGUCACUUGUGAUGUCCAUAGCCAUAGAGUCACAGUCUUGAAUAUUUCUCGCUUAAAUCUCACCGGCACCAUCCCUUCUCAGCUUGGGAAUCUUUCUUCUCUGCAAUCACUCAAUUUAAGUUUUAACCGACUUUCUGGUUCCAUUCCCUCUGCCAUUUUCACCAUGUACACACUGAAAUAUGUUAGUUUCCGUGAAAAUCAGCUCUCCGGCGCUUUCCCUUCUUUCAUCUUCAACAAGUCUUCUUUACAACAUCUUGAUUUUAGUCAGAAUACACUGUCUGGUGAAAUUCCUGCAAAUAUCUGCAGUAAUCUCCCUUUUCUGGAAUACAUUUCUUUGUCCAAAAACAUGUUUCAUGGAGGAAUACCAUCCGCUCUAUCAAAGUGCACAUAUUUGCAAAUAUUAAGUUUGUCAUUCAAUGAUUUCUCGGGGGCCAUACCUAAAGACAUCGGUAAUUUGACCAAACUUAUGGAAUUAUAUCUUGGCCGUAACAGACUCCAAGGUGCGAGUAAUCACGGAGUUUAAUUAUGAAAAUUGUUCCACAAGUUGUAAUAUGUAUAAUGUUCCAUAAUACAAUUUAUACACGUUGAUUAAUUUGCAGGGGAAAUUCCUCGAGAGUUUGGCAGUCUUGCCGAAUUGGAGCUGAUGUCGUUACGGGAAAGCAAUCUCCAAGGUAUGAUUAUAAACUUAUUGCAAUUUUAUUCUAGUCUCUGCUUGCUUCUGUAUUAAUUCGUUUGUUCAUUAAUUAUGCUGUGAUUUAUUGUUUUUCUUUCAGAUAGAGAUAAAGCUCCAUGUCUCCCCUCACUCAUUUCAUUCUUUGUUUUUUGCAGAUAAAAAUAAAAAAAUGUUUUGUAAUUUUCUUUUGUCAUAUUGCCACUUCCAUUUUGAAGCUCCCGAUUAAGUCGAUGAAAAUGAAUGAUGUUUCAUUCUUAUUCUUGUCAGCCUAAUUCUUAUAUAAGUGAAGAGUAAAUUGUUAUUAUGAUAUUCGUCAGCCAAUAAAUUCUUUUUUUUUCCUCAAAUAUGAGUGAUCAAAUUGUUUGCGCAUAUAUGAAUGUACUUAAUUUGCAGGAGGUAUUCCACAGGAAUUGGGGAAUCUUGCAAAAUUAGAGAUGUUACAGCUGUUCCAGAAUAACUUGACCGGUAACUUUCUUUAUAUAUGAGACAUCUUCCGCUUCUUAAUUAAAAGAUUUCACGUCUCUCAUCAUAAAUUUUCAUAUGAGGAUGUGUCGUUACCACUGUCUAACAUUAUCUCGUUUUUUAUUAGAAAUUAAUCUGGGUUUAUGCAAAAUAUUUUAGCACCUUAAAAAAGUAUAAAAACACGUGGAAUAAAUCGAAAAUCUUUCUUCAUUACUGAAUUUGGAUUUCUCAAAAAUUAUCAUGACAGGUAUAUCGCACUAAUGAUACGCAUGUGUGACAACUACAUAAAAUAUUUUGCAUGGAAUCAAUAAUUAUCUUUAAAGAAUUGGAGAUGCCAUCAGUGAGACAUAAUUUCUUAACAAUCACCAUACCAAAAGAAAUUAACAAUUUUAUUAAUCUUAAAGAGUUACAUUUUCACUGCAAUUAUGACAUAAAUUUUUAGUCAUUAAUCACAUAAUAUUUUAUCUUAACGGAUGAUGUUCAGCUUGGAAUUUAUAAUAUCUUGAAGGUUAGUAGCUAGGAAAAUAAGAAAUUGCGCAUAUCUGCGAAUCUUAGAUUUGUCAUACAAUGAUUUCUCAGGGGCCAUACCUAAAGAAAUUGGGAACUUGACCAAACUUGAGGAAUUAUAUCUUGGCAUUAAUAGACUUCAAGGUGUGUAUGAUCCCGGAGUUUAAUUUUUAAAAUUGUUGCAUAAGUUGUAAUAUGAAUAAUGUUCCAUAAUACAGUUUAAACGCGUUGAUUAAUUUGCAGGAGAAAUUCCUCGAGAGUUUAGCAAUCUUGCCAAAUUGGAGAUGAUGUCGUUAUCAGAAAACAAUCUCCAAGGUGUGAUUAUCAAUUUUUUGCAAUUCUAUUCUAGCUCUGCUUGCUUCUGUAAUCUGUAUUCAUUCGCUUGUUCUUUAAUUAUGCUAUGAUUUAUUGUUUUUAUUUCAGAUAGAGACAAAGCUCUAUGUCUCUCCUCACGCAUUUCAUUCUUUAAUUUAUGCAGAUUAAAAAAAAAAUGUUUUGUAAUUUUCUUACGUCAUAUUGCCAAUUGCAAUUUAAAGCUCCCAAUUAAGUUGAUCAAAAUUAAUGAUGUUUCAUUCUUAUUUCUGUCAGCCUAAUUCUUAUAUAAUUGAAGAGUUAAUUGUUAUUAUGACAUUCCUCAGGCAAUAAAUUCUUUUGUUUUUAUUUUUAUUUUCAAAUAUGAGUGAUCAAAUUGUUUGCGCAUAUAUAUGUAUACAUAUUACUUAAUUUGCAGGAGAAAUUCCACAUGAGCUGGGGAAUCUUUCAGGAUUAGAGACGUUAGCGCUGUACAAUAAUUUUUUAACCGGUAUCAUUCCUUCAUCUAUCUACAAAUUACUCUUCUCUAUUCAAUUUGGAAUUUCCGUUUAAUAACUUGAUGGGAAACUUCCCUUACGAUAGAUAUAUGUGACAUGUUUCCUUUUUAAUUAAAAGAUUUCACGUCUCUCAUUAUAAAUUCUCAGGAAAAGGACAUUCACACCCCCAAGGUUUAGCAAAAUAAUCACCAACACCCCUAAGUUUUUAAAACAAGACACCAAAACCCCCUUUUUUUACCAUUAUACCCUUUAAAAAUUUGACUUUAAAAUUUUUAAUAAACAUAAGUAUUAUAUAAAAUAAUGUAAUCUAUGCAGUAGAAUAACAAUAUUAAAAAAUUUUAAAAAAUUUAAAUAUGUAAAUUGUUAUAUUUAUUUUAAUAAUAUAUUUUUAUUUAUUAUAGAUAUUUUAAAUAAAUAUUUGCAUUAGCCACUCGGCCACAGGACUUGGAGGGUAGCAGUUCGAACCCCCACAAGUGCAAUGUGGGAGUAUUUCCUUCCUUAAUUAUAUUGUAUAAUUGAAUAAAAUUGAGUGAAGGUAGUUUCUCCUUUACCCAAGAGUGAGUGGAGUAGACAUCUCUCGAAUAUUAGUGAGGGUUAAAAUCUGGGCAGAGCUCCAUUAGCAUUGAUAUAAGUUGGUCUCAGUAAUAGUCUGAUUUGUAAAUAUCAGUUAUACUCUCAUGUAAUAUGAGUUGUAGUUUGAGCAAUAGUCUCAUGUAAUCAAAUAAAUAAAUAAAUAAAUAUUUGCAUUAAAUACAUUUUACAAUUAAAAAAAAUCUCGCAUACUAAUGCUAGCAUUAUUAUUUUACAUAAUAUUCAAAUAAUUUAAUUUUUAAUACACUUGUUCUAAUAUUAUGAUUCUACUUUUUAUAAAAUUUAAUAUAAUAGAAUAUAAUAUAUCUAAUAGAUUGUAAAAUAUUAAAAUAUUUUUAAAUAUUGAAAUUAUUUUACAAUAAAUAUAUUAUUACAUUUAUUUUAAUGUUAUAUUUCUAUUAUUAUAAAACAAUAGAGUUGAUCUUUUUUGGGAUAAUAAAGGCAAAGGGUAUUAUGGUCAAAAGAGGGUCUUGGUGUCCCUUUUUGAAAACUUGGAGGUGUUGGUGACCAUAUCUCCAAAUUUUUGGGUGGGUAUGUCCUUUUUCCUAAAUUCUCAUAUGAGGAUGUACUGUUUCUACUAUCUAACAUUGUCUCGUUCUUUAUUAGAAAUUAAUCUAGGUUUAUGAAAAAAUUUUAGCAUCUAAAAAAAGUAUAAAAAAAGGUGGAAUAAAUCGAAAAUCUUUCUUCAUUACUGAAUUUGGAUUUCUCAAAAAUUAUCAUGACAAGUAUGUCUCAUUAAUGAUAUGCAUGUGUGACAACUACAUAAAAUAUUUUACAUGGAAUCAGUAAUUUUCUUUAAAUAGUUGGAGAUACCAUUACUAAUAAAUAAUUUCUUAAAAAGCAUCAUAAUAAAAUAAAUCAAUAAUUUUAAUAAUCUUGAAGGGUUACAUCUUCACUGCAAUUAUGACAUAAUUUUUUAUCUAACUAAAUUUUUAGUCAUCAAUCGCAUAAUAUUUUAUCUUAACGGAUAAUGUUCAAUCUUGGAAUUUAUAAUAUAUUGAAGGUUAGUAGCUAUGAAAAUUAUAAAUUUUUUUAUUUGCUAAAAAAAUUAUCUUAGUAUUUAAGCUUUUCAAUUGAAAAAUUUGAAAAAAAUGUUGAGAACUGGUCCUCCUUAUAAUUUCGGUGGAUAAAUAUGAAAAAUAGACUAGAAAAAGCUAUUUUACUGAAAUAAUUGUUAAAAAGAGAGAAGUACAGUACUCAUGACUUAGGCUUGCUGUGUACUUAUUUUACUUGGGGUCCGGGCUUGAUUACACACGGUCGAACACUUAGUUGCACCCAUUAUAAUAAUAGCAUCCCCGACAUAGGCUUUUACUUUCACCACAUAUUUGAUAAUUUCUUAACCUUCCCAGUUACGUUACAGCAAUUUAUAUAUAAAUAACUAAAGCAUACUGAAGCUGGCAUUGAUGUACGGAUGAGUGGUGUCAAAAGUGUAUCCGUUUUUUGUAUUAUUGUUCCCCGACACAAAUCUGAAUAAUGGAAUAUAAUUCUUUCAAAAUACCGAUGAAAUAGCACAUGAAUUCAGAAAUAUUUUACUGCGACAAGAAUUCAUGUAUUUAUCGUAGCAUCACAUACAUAUAAAAUAGACUAUAAAUUUAGUUCCAAAAUACAUUCUUAUAUUCAUAUAAAUUUUACAUUACUAAUUUAAAUUAAUAUUAAAAUAUGUUGUUUCUUUCACUAUGUUAUUUUAUUUAACAAUGGUGUAACUAUUGGAAUUAGUAAUACUUAUAAUUACUUAGUAAAAAUAUAAAUUUAACGCUUUAUUAAUACUUUGUUAACAUUUUAUCUACAUAUAAUAAUUAAACUGAAACUCGUAUUUAAAAAAUUUUAGUCACGCAUAUUCAUUUCAUGAUAUAAAAGUGCAUAUUUAUACUAAUUCACCAUUAUCGAUAAAAUGCUUUGAGCCGAGUCAUCUAAUUUAUAUUAGUAUAUUUAAAAUACUUACAUUUAUUAUAUUUUGAAAAAAAUUUAUUUGCAAUUAUUUUAAACCUUUGGAUUCAAAUUUUCUUAGUCAUUAAAGUCAAAGGGUAUAAAUGUAUAAUAGUCAAAAACAUAUUUAUAUGAUCAUUUUUCAAUGCGUAAAUUUUCUUAGUUAGUAGGAAAAUUAGAAAUUGUUGAUUUACUCAUAAAUAAAUUUAGUGUUUAGCAUUUCAAUUUUGGAAAACUUUGAACUAAAUGUUGAUAACUUUGAAUCGCUCAAGCCGAGUUCGCUUCCUUGACCCACAAAUCCAUUGAAAGUUCUAUUCGGAUUGAGUUUCUAGGUGCUUAGAAAAAACAUUUCUUUUCCGUGUUGCCAUAAUUUAUUCACAAAUGAGUUGAUUAGCAUCGAUGGUGCCUGAGAGUCUGAGACCAUUUUAGUAGGAGAAAUUUGAAAAGAAAUUAUUUUACUAAAUUAAUUUAUUUUACCUUGUUGUAACGAAGACUACUUUUUUUUUUUUUGCUAUCACUGGGGCUUGAUUUACUUUAAUAGUAGCGGCCACCGACCUAGGCUUUUUUACUUUUCACCACACAAUUUGAUCUUUUAAUUCAUUUUAACCACAUAAUCUAUCUAUGUCUCACCUAUUGCUUACUUAAAUUGCAUACAUAUUUGUCAUGAUCCAACCCAGAUCUGGCAAGAUAUUGUCCGCUUUGGGCCUUAACAAGGCUCGCACGGUUUUGUUUCUGGAGCACCCAUUCACCCCAAAACGCGUCUUGCCAAUUAAGAUGUGGAUCACCCCUUAUAAACCCAGCAUCUCUCCUGUGUUUUGCCAAUGUGGGAUUUGCCUAGAGUGUUACAUACACCCCCCUUAGGGACUUAGCGUCCUCACUGAGGUUUGCCUUACCAUUACCCAAGAGGACGCGCGGAGCCGCUCUAAUACCAUAAUGUCAUGAUCCAACCCAGAUCUGACAAGAUAUUGUUCGCUUUGGGCCUUAACAAGGCCUGUACGGUUUUGUUUCUGGGGCGCCCAUACACCCUAAAACAUGUCUUGCUAAUUAAGAUGUGGAUUACCCCUUAUAAAUCGAGCAUCUCUCUCACGAUUUCUCGAUGUGUGAUUCGCCUAGAGUGCUACAAUAUUUUACCUACUAAUUUUUACAAAUAUUAGUCAAAUAUAUUUUAUUACAUUUUCUCGUAAUUGCCCCAAAUGUGCACUAUUAAUACUUAAACCUCCCUUUUAAUUUACCGUGCAAUCUAUCUACACUUAAAUCACAUAUAUAUUUUACCCAAAAAAAUAAAAAUAAAAGAAAAAGAAUAUGUGUAACAAUUUGUAUAUAAUUAACAAAGCAUUCACGAUGUGUAGCCUUUCAUUACUUCAUGAGUGGCUUGUCUUGUGUGUUAGUACUUGUAAUAAUUGUGUAGUGUAUAAAUGACCUUUUAUUAUUAAAGUGCGUUCGUUUUUAGAUAUUAUUUGUUAUUUGAAAAAUAAUCUAAAUAUAAUUCUUUCAAAAUACAGGGGAGAUACCACAUGAAAUCAGUAAUCUCCAAAAUCUGGAGGAGUUGGACCUUGGUCAUAACAAAUUAGUUGGUACUGUCCCAGCUGCAAUCUUCAAUGUGUCAACGCUCAAAGGAUUCUCCGUUUCAAACAAUUCUCUCUCGGGAUGUCUUUCGUCCAUCGUAGAUGCCCGACUUCCAAAUCUUGAAGUGCUUUAUUUGUGGGGUAAUAAUUUCAGUGGCACAAUUCCUCGUUUCAUCUUUAAUGUUUCUAAGCUCUCUAAGCUAUCGUUGGAAAAGAACUCAUUCUCGGGUUUUAUUCCCAACACAUUUGGCAACUUAAGAAACCUUAAGUGGCUGAUUUUAUAUGAUAAUUAUUUGACAUCUUCAACUCCAGGAUUGAGCUUUCUAUCCUCGUUGUCAAAUUGUAAGUCUUUAACAUAUAUUGACUUAUCACAUAAUCCACUAGAUAGCAUUCUUCAAAGGAUGUCUAUCGGUAAUCUUUCUCAUUCUUUGGAAGAAUUUCAAAUGUACAAUUGUAACGUUAGUGGUGGCAUCCCUGAAGAGAUCCGCAACUUGAGCAACUUGACACUCAUUGAUUUAGGAGGCAAUAAAUUGAAUGGAUCAAUUCCGAUUACUCUCAGCAAAUUACAAAAGCUUCAAGGUUUGGGUCUUGAAAAUAACAAAUUAGAAGGAUCAAUCCCAGAUGAUAUUUGUCGUUUGGCUGAACUAUUUAGAUUGGAGUUAGGUGGCAAUAAGCUUUCUGGAUCAAUCCCUACAUGCUUCAGUAAUCUGGCUUCUCUGAGGAUACUGUCGUUGGGUUCCAAUGAGUUAACUUCUAUUCCUUUAACUUUUUGGAACCUUAAGGAUAUCUUGCAACUCAACUUUUCAUCAAAUUUUUUGACUGGUCCACUCCCAUUAGAGAUUGGAAAUUUGAAGGUUUUGGUUGGAAUUGAUUUAUCGAUGAAUAAUUUUUCAGGCGUUAUCCCAACAGAAAUUGGAGGCUUAAAAAAUCUUGAGUAUCUCUUCUUAGGAUAUAACCGAUUGCAAGGAUCGAUUCCUAAUUCAUUUGGUGAUUUGAUAAACUUAAAAUUCUUGAAUUUGUCUAAUAAUAAUCUCUCUGGGGCAAUUCCUGCAUCUUUAGAGAAACUCUCAUAUCUUGAAGAUCUAAAUCUUUCUUUCAACAAACUAGAAGGAGAAAUUCCUAGGGGAGGGUCUUUUGGAAACUUCUCAGCUGAAUCAUUUGAGGGAAAUGAAUUAUUAUGUGGUUCACCCAAUUUACAAGUCCCGCCAUGCAAAACUGGCAUCCACCACACAUCAUCGAAAAAUUCUCUUCUCCUGGGGAUCGUCUUGCCAUUGAGUACUAUAUUUAUGAUAGUAGUCAGUUUGUUGAUCCUAAGAUAUCGACAGAGAGGAAAACGACCAUCGAAUGAUGCUAAUAUGCCACUAGUAGCAACAUGGAGAAUGGUGUCAUACCUAGAACUCUGUCGAGCAACAGACGGAUUCAGUGAAAACAAUCUAAUCGGCAAAGGAGGUUUUGGCUCUGUUUACAAAGCAAGACUUAGCGACGGGAUGGAGGUUGCAGUAAAGGUUUUCAAUUUGCAAUGUGGAAGAGCAUUUAAGAGUUUCGAUAUUGAAUGUGAAAUGAUGAAAAGUAUUCGCCAUCGAAACCUUAUCAAAGUUAUUAGCAGUUGCUCAAAUGAAGAGUUUAAAGCGUUGGUAUUAGAAUACAUGCCUCAUGGAAGUUUGGAGAAGUAUCUGUAUUCAAGCAACUGCAUUUUGGAUAUUUUUCAAAGAUUGAACAUAAUGAUAGAUGUUGCAUCAGCUUUGGAAUAUCUGCACUUUGGUCAUUCAGCUCCAAUAAUUCACUGUGACUUAAAGCCCAGCAAUGUAUUGUUAGACGAUAAUAUGGUUGCUCAUUUGAGUGAUUUUAGCAUCGCAAAAUUGCUAAUAGGAGAAGAUCAAUCUAUGACUCAUACACAAACACUUGCAACAAUAGGCUAUAUGGCACCAGGUUUGUUCAAUAUAAAUAUUUUCUAUUUCUUAUAAACUUCCUAAUAUGUUAUUUAUAUUUCAUGAUCUUGAUUAGAUGAGGAAAUUAUUAUUAAUGAUAUAUCUUAUUAUGUAAUUGUUGCAAUUCAUAGAGUAUGGAAGAGAAGGACGAGUAUCCACAAAUGGAGAUGUUUAUAGCUUUGGGAUUAUGUUAAUGGAAACAUUUACCGAGAAGAAACCCACAGAUGAAAUUUUUAACGAAGAAAUGACAUUAAAGCAAUGGGUUAAUGAUUGGCUACCCAUUUCCACUAUGGAAGUUGUUGAUGGUAAUUUGCUUAGUCAGGAGGACAUACAUUUUGUUGCAAAGGAGCAAUGUGUGUCAUAUGUCUUCAAUUUGGCUAUGGCGUGCACUGUGGAAUCUCCUAAGCAGAGAAUCAAUGCAAAAGAAAUUGUAACAAAGCUCUUAAAAAUUAGAGGCUCAUUACUUAGAAAUGUUGGAGGCAGAUGUAUAAGACAAUCAAAUUUAAAUUGAUUCGGCCCCCCAUUCAUUGCUUGCUAUCCUUUUCAGAGACUUCAACGGUUAUCCUUCAUACCGGUUUUGUUGAUAUGUUUUCUUAUUGCUCUUGCUCAUGUUUAUUUCUCUAUUUCUUUAAUUUGCAUGCAUGUAUUUUUCGUUCUCUUUUAUGUUUUUGUUAGUUUGUAUGUAGUUUACUUUUAGGGGUAAGGUUGAUUAUGUCCUCCCCUAAUUAGACAUAUCAUUUUUAUGUUUAUUCAAUAAAGCUUCUCUAAUAUUAUCGAGGUUCAUCAAAAGAAAAUUUUUAAUUAAUUUUCUUUUCUUUGACAGGUAAUGAAAUUCUAAUCUUGAUAGUGAAUAACUUCAAUAAUAGAGUGUAAGAGUAUUAGUAGUUAUGGUUGUUUUUUGAACCUGGAGUCAAGAGCAGUUUAACAGCGACAGACAAGUCUCUUGUAUUAUAGGCAAAAUUCUUUUCAUUAAUCUUAUUUGUCUACAUGUUCUCCUAUUUUCUCCAUUAAUCUUCGCUCAAGGUUUCAUGCUUCCUCUUUGAUAAAGGAAAAUAUUACUUGUGAAUAUUUCAAUUUGACAUAAGAGACUGUUUUGCCAACCAUUUGAUAAAAUGGAUGUGAGUGGAGCUUUCAAUCAUUACCUCCACCAAAAUCCUUACAACGCCGCUUUUAAAUUUUAUUUUUUAAAAUACAUUCAGUUUAAUUUAUAAAAAAAUAAAUCCAUUUGUUAAAAUUAAUCUUUUUCUCAUAAAUUUCAACCUAAAAAAUAUAUUUCUUUUAAAUUUUUAAUUAUAAAAUACAUAUAAGUUCUAAACUAUUAUAUUACUUUCAUCUUAUUAUAUAGUUUAUAUCUCCAUAACUCUAAACUCCUAUAAUUUUUUAAAAAAUAUUUUUAAUUUAAAAUACAAAUAUAAAAUAUAGAAUGGAGUGGGUGUAAGAAAACUUGUUAAAAGAAGAAUUCAUUUAAGUAUUUAACUAAAUUUAAAUUAAAAUAAGAAAUAAAUAAAUUUAUUUUUUAUUAGUUAAAUAAUUUUCAAUUGAAAAAGAGCUUUAUGAGUAAUAUUAUUGAAAUAUAAUUAAAAUUCUUAUGAAUUAAACAUUUUUGUAUAAAUACUAGUGAUAAUUAUAGAGAAAGUACGAUGAACCAAAGAAAACUUGAAUAUAAAUAUUCCAAUGUAAUUUUACACAUGCAAAUUAUGAACCAAUGAUCUUUAGAGCAUCAUAAAAUUAUUUUAACACAAUUAUUUAUUUUGAAAAAUUGCCAAUAAUGUUUAAAGUGGGAUUGAAAUGAUUAUGCUACUUAUAUAAGACAUGAUAUCAUUUAAGACGGUUUACAGAUUAUGAGAAAUAUUAUGAUCUUACAAAUAUUUAAUAUGUCAAUUAGACUGAGUCUAUGCAAUAAAAAUUUCAAAUUAAAAAAUAAACCCUUUAUUUUCUUUUAAUCAUAAGUGUGAUCUUAAUUAUUAAAGUCAUUCAAUGUCCGUUACUUAUUCAUUUUUUUAAUUACUUAAAUGACAUUGAAAACUCUACUCAAUAAUAAUUCAUUCAAAUGUUUUAUUUUAAAGUAAUCGGGAACUGCAAAUGAAACAAAUGCUUGAAAUCACAAACGGCCUAAAAUUAGAUUUUCAUUUUUCAAUGUUGCAGUGACUUUGAUCUUGAUAUUGAAAAUUUAUUUGUAACUUAUAUAAAGGUCUCAAUUUUAUCAUAAUUGAUUAGUAAGGCUAUGUAGGGAGCAUGGAUAAAUUUUGGGAUUGGAUUAUAUUUUUGGAACUAAAAAAUUAAUUUCAUCUAAUGUUAUGUUUGGCUGUCAAGACUAGCAACUUAGUCUAAAAUUAUUGAAAUUAUUAAUCUUUUAUAUUAUAAUCUUUUUGUUCCCACUUUAAACAUUAUUGGUAACUUAAAUCAUUUUUUAAAUUAAAUAUAAAAAUCAUUUAAAUUAAAUAUUAACAUUAAUUUCAUAAUUUUUUUACCUAGAAUUUUAUAUUAUAUUAAAUACUAAAAUUCUAUUCGAUAAUGUAUUAUCAUUUAUUUAAUAAAUGUUUAGGUUUUUAGUAUGUUAUAUUAUUCUUUAAAUUAAUUUUUUAUUUACAUAUAAACAUAAAUUAAUAUUUACUAAUUUAAAUUUAUUAUAAUUUAUUAAAUAAUAAAAUCUAAAUGAUUAUAUUUAAAAUAUAAAUUGUAUUUUAAUGUAUUAUAGCCUAAAUCUUACCCCUAUGAAUUUAUUUUUUCCACCUUUUAUUCUAUUAACCACAUUUAUAAGGCAGUGCGAUGCAACUAAAAAUUAUAACCAAAUAUGAGUUAGCAUGAAAAUAAUAUUUUAGUACAAUACAAUACAAUGUAAUAUAAACUGACAAAUAGAUAUUUAAUGGAAGCAAAAAUUGCAUAUGGCUUGUCGGUCUCUCAAAAGACAACAAAGAAACCAAUAUGAUGCACUGAUUCUGUCCUCUUUAACAGUGCCUUUACUAAAUGGGAACAUAAUGGAUUAGAAUCGGAAUAGAAUGGAAUCGAAAUAAGGAUUUAGAACAAGAACAAGAUAUAUAAUUAAGCUGUAUGAAUUAGAAUCAGAAUAAACUUUAUUCUAAUUGAUGUGUUUAUUUUCUCUUGAAAUUAGAAUGGACUAUUACAAGCUACUAAAAAAUCAUUUGGUAAAUGCUGUCUCUAAUAUUAUUUGUAUAUGUUAUAAUGUUAACAAUAAUAAGAAUAAAAAUAAUACUAAAAAUGAAAAUAAUAAUAAUAAUAAUAGAGACAAUAACAAUAAAAUUAAUAUAUUAUUAUUAUUAUUAUUAUUAUUAUUACUACUACUACUACUACUACUAUUACUACUACUACUAGUAGUAGUACUGAAGACCACCCGGUGAAGAUUGGAUAGUGAAGAUGAAGACGACGAAGAUCCUGGCAACCAACUGCUGCUCCAAAGAUGAUGUGCCCAAAUGGAGACAACUAAUGAUGACCAGCCAACUAGAUCCCAAUCUCAAUGUUGUGAUCUCGCAUGACCAUUAAUAAAGCGAUGUGUGAUGUCGGUGUUGUGAUUUCUUUUUUAUUUAUAUUUUUUAAUUUAUCGGAGGUUUUUUCAAAAUUUAAUAAUUUUAAUAUAGGUAAAUCGGAGUCUAGUGAACAGGAUUCCUAACCAUCCUAGGAAUUAGUUUCUCAUUCUCUAUUUUUAAUUUAAUGUGGGUUCUAUUAUUUCGAUUCCAAUCUUAUAUUUAUUUAUGAAGUAAAUGAUGUUAAUGAUUUCGAUUUCCAAUUUGAAAAGUAAACACAUCAUAAUAUUUUUUUAGGUGCUUCCAUGGCAUAAUCUCAUUGGUCCAUUUUUCUUCACGCCUUAUAUUCAACUUCUAAGAUUCAAGAUUCAAGAUUCAAUUUGAAGCAAACACUACUACAAAACAAAUAUAAUAAGCGUUAAUGAGCCUGUGGCCAAGCAAAUGUAACUCGUAGUGACAGAAUCAUAUCUUAUUAUCUUACGCCAGAAGUUAAACAAUGUUCCCAUUCCACGUGUCACUCUCUGACCAAUCCCCAAACUUUCUUCAUAUUUCCAAAGAAACCCUUACCAAGUCAUGAUAAUUACCUUCACUCUGCUCAUAUAACUACUGUCCUCGAUUCAACUGAUGACGACAAAUCCUUACAGUCUUUAUUUAAAAGGGAAAAUUAUAAAAAAAAUUCUCCUCGUUCCCUAAAAGUCUAGGGUUUCUCAAGAAUCGCUAAACCUAGAUCCCAAUCCUUCAAAAUCUCUAUUUAACCUCUCUAGGAUUUCGAUUUUCGAGGAUUCGCUUCAAAAUUUAGUAAUUUUUAGUGGAUUUUGCUUGUCUCGUAUCCUUCAAUUGUUGUUCGGUUCUGAAAAUAAUUUGGAAUUUUAGGCAUUUUCAGAUUAUUUGGUUUUGUUUGAGUGCAAUUUCCUCUAGUUACGGUUUCAGUUUGAAGGGUUAAGUGCAAUUUCGAAUUUUUUUAUAAAAUUUAAAUUAAAAUUCCUUAGACGAUUGGGCGUUUAAUAAUUAAUUGAUGGCUAGCGAUACUACAACGGCGGCCGCAGCUGCGGAAGAAGCAGAGGCGAUGGAGGAGUAUGAUAGCAAUCCAAAUGAAGUGAAACGCUCUCUUGUGAUGCGCAGAAGGGAUGCCAGCGAUGAGGAGGAGGCGGAGGAUUAGAGAGAUUCAGAGCUUCCAAUCGCUCAAAGUGUCUACAUUCCUGCGGGAGAAGCGGAGGCUGUGGAUGAGUAUGAGAGCGAUCCAGAUGAAGUGACACACUCUCUCGUUCUGCGCAGAAGGGAAACAAGCGAUGAUGAGGAGGUUUUUGUUUGGCAUAGUUAAGUGGUUAGUUUGAAGAUGGCUACUGAUUAUGCAGCUAGGUACGCAUUAGUGUUUGUGGAUUUCUAAAUGCUUUCUGUCAGAUGUGACUCGAUUAUUACUAGAAGUAUAUGGAUCUUACACUUAAUUAAUUAUAUAUCCAUUUAUAAUGUUCAAAAUGAUAAUGUACUAUUGCUUGAAAUUAUGCUUUCAAGACAUCAUUUUGAAAAUCCAUGGUUGUAAUGUGUCUCUAAAUUCAGUAAUACAAGUUCUGUCAAUUAGUGUUGGAUGCAGUGACCUGAAUAGUUUAAUAUUCAUUUGCAGAACAAAUUUCCGUGCGUUCUGCUGGAAAUUUAAUUAGCUUCAUUUGAGCAUUAAUUAGACUUCUCUUGCAUUGAAUGAAUGGAUGAGUGCUAAUCCAUGCAUGCACAAUGAAUGCUAAAUCUAAGGUAUGGUAAAAUGUCAGCAAGCUUGGCCCAAAUUAUCAAGCUGGUUUGGUGGCUACUAGAUUUGUUCAUCCGGAUUUUGGACCAUUUUCCUUGACAAUGAGAAAAGCUCCAAGAAAUUGAAGACUCACUGAAAGCUCCAAGUUUCAGGUAACUCUUGUGUUGUGUGCUCGGAGUAUUCUCUAUUGUAUUUUUUUGUUUGUUAUUUAUUCGACGUAUUGCUAGCAGAGAUCUUGGGUGGGAACCAAAAAUUCCCAACAAUUGUCAAUUGUUUUAAACUCUAUUCUGAACAGAGCAUGAAGGGAUUCACUUAUCUAAUUAUGUCUUUUAUGCUUUAACUUCACUUGAUUACAUCUUUUCCAUCACCUUUAUUAAAGUUGUAUAUGUUGGAGUAUUAGGUUCAUCAUAAGGAUCAUAUUAUGGCUAAGGAAGGAGCACAGUUUAUCAGCUGCACUGAAGUGUAGCAUAGAAUUUGGAUUCAA
rnacentral:lncRNA from 1 species